UGAGCAUUCUAACACUUCCUAAGUGUACAUGCAACCCUAAUAAACCUUGGAUCUAUGUUUGUCUAAGAUACAUGUAAAUAAUUAUUUUUCCAAGGUUUAUAUCCUAACUAGCAUGGCAUGGGGAACAUGAAUCAAAUAAGCUAGUAGAUAUACUUACCUUGUAGUUGUAGUUGAUUGCUUGGAGUUCUAGAGCCUAGCACCAAUAAUGUGGAUGCCUCAAAUGAAAGUCACAAAUCACCACAAACUUGGAACUUUGAGAGAAUAGUAUUUACUAUCUUGAAAUUGCCCUCACCUCAACAAGUGUCAACUAGUCACUUUUCAAGAACCAAAGCCUCCUUUAUAUAGUGUGGUGGAUUAGGUUAAACCCUAAAACCCAUGUCUCUUCAUUUCCAUGAGAUCCAUGGGUUAAAGCUCCAUGGAGUAUCCAUGGACUUUUCCAUCCAAGCCUAGCCCAUUCCAAAUGAGCAUUAGCCCACACAAUAUAAAUAUAGAAGCCCAUAUUUAAUUAGUAAUAUCUUUGAUCACUAAAUUAAUCCUAGAUUAAUUAUAGAUCACUACUAAUUAAAUAAUAUGAUCUUAUAUUAAUACAUUAGUACUUAUAAUAUAUUAAUAAAUCAUAACUUGUACUAUUCUCAAAUAUUAUCCAUAAACUGUUCGGGUGAAGUGCAACCCAAAUGGACCAUGCCGGGUCGGGUCAAGUACAUACCAAAUAUAGUUAUGAACUUAGACACUAUAUCCAACAGAGACAUGAUUGGUUUCUAUUGUAUUUGAUUCUUUGUGUUUCAUUCAUGCUUGAAAAAAUCGAAUUUUUAGUCUUUUGCCUCACUGACUCGGUGAGUCCCAAUGUGGACUCGACGAGUAGGACGAACUCGAUAGGUCCAUAAGGGGACUCGGCGAGUCGGGCCGUUAGACAGAGGGAAUUUCGGAAUUUUAUGUCUGUUUUGUCGUGGGAUAAUUACCAAAUCGUUUUGGAUUAAUAAAAUAUGAAUUUUGUUGAUAUUGUAUGAUUAUCCAUGCCAAAAUAAAAGAUAUUUUCAAAUUAAUUAAAUAAUUAUUUCCUUAUAUGAUAAAUGUUGAUUAUUUGAAUUUAUUUGAUCAUUAUCUUGCAUAAAAUUGGAUUAGGUCAAAAUUAGAUAAUCACCAUAAUUAAUUGUUUAAUUACUUAUUUGAAUUUUGAUCUAGAUCGUUUUGAAAUGUUUCAAAACUUGCCCUCAAGUUUUGAAAUUUAAUUUUUUGGAUUAAAAGUUUAAUUUUGAAAUUAUUAAAUUUCAAACCCUAGAAUUCUACAAAUUUAAAAUUCACCUAUACUAUUAUAAUAUUAUAAGAAUAAUUAUUAUAUAUGUAUAACUUAAACUGCUAGUCUUACCGUUAGUAGGCCUCAUUCACGAAGCCGGUCUAUAAGGGGGGUAUAAGGUUAUGGCCUAUAAAAUGGUCGUUAAAUGGGCGUCCACUCUCACCCACCACUUCCUUGAUUGGUGGAGAGCCGUUAGCCAAACAGGUAGGAUAUUGUAACCCUUUCCUCAUUAAAAGCAUAAUGAAUUAUAAAGUAACUAAAUGUUUUUACAAAAGUCCCAAUCUUAGUUACUUUAGGCAAAAGUGAAUUUGAUGCAAUUCCAUGAAAUUACACUUUUUACCCUUGCUAAGACGUUAGUGGAGCAUGUGUGGUUAACUGGCACACUAAUUGGGUUCUAAGCAAAGGUGGAAAAGGGUGACUCGAUGUUUGUCAUAGAUCGAUAGAGCGUGUGUGGUUAACUGGCACAUCGAUUAGGUGACUGUAACAUUGGGGGCACCAUGUACAUUUGCACGGUUAUUCACACCAUGUUUUGUGAUCCUCGUCAUCCCAGUCGCAAACUCGAGGGGCAUAUCGAGAUUUAAACAUGCCAUUGAAAAGUUCAAUGAAUCUCAAAAGAUCUAGGAGUUUUCAAUACAUUUAAAACAUAAUUUUUUCCUUUUUGUUUUUCAUGGUGAAAAGUAGUGAAUCAUUAUUCACUUACCUUCAAAUUAUUUGUUGUUUAGAUUACGACAUCCCUUUUCUAACUUGAAAAUAAUGUUGUUGGAUCCUAGCCCUAUUUUCUCAUUUGGGUGUUUAAUUGGGGAUUCUUAUCUAAUCAAAUUUUGCCUCUUUUCCUUUUCAGAUGUCGAACAUGAACAACAACGCUUCCAGCUCAAAUGCCUUUGGCUCAUUCUCAUUCAUGAACUUGUGCGGGAGGGUGAUCUUUGACGGAAACAAUUUCAAUGAUUGGAUUUGUAACAUAAGAAUGGUCACCCGCUACGAGGACAAAUAAUAUUUCCUUGCCAAGGAGCCGAAAGAGGUGCACAUGAAAACUACCACUCCCGAAGAGAUCACUGCCUUCGAGGCCCAUGAGUGUGAUGCCAUGAAAGUCCAUUGCAUCAUACUAGCGACAAUGACUGCUAAACUGCAAAAGUCCUACGAGGACUUCUAUCCCUAUGAAAUGCAUUAGGACCUGGUUGAAAGGUAUCACCAAAGUGUGAGACGAGAGAGGUACGAGAUCAUCACUUCGAUGAUCACGACCAAGAUGAGAGAUGGAGAGUCUGUCACUGCUCAUCGGCAGAAUAUGCAGAGGUAUGUUGACCGCUUGCUAAAGUUAAAUGUUAACUUCGAUGAAGAGCUGGCGAUUGACAUCAUCCUUCAUUCGCUGCCACCCUGCUUCAACCAGUUUCGCAUGACCUACCACAUGAACAAAGAGGAGUUCACUUUGAGCAAGCUGCAAGGUCUAUUGAGGACUGCCGAGAGUAACCUUAAGGACAAGUCCGUUUCACCAACUCCUACUACUACCCCGGUCUUGGAAAUUGGGCAAGGAACGGGUAGAACCAAGGAUGGUUAUGCUAAACCCAACUCCAACCCCAAGGAUGCAGAGUGUCAUCACUGCCACGAAAUAGGGCAUUGGAAACGAUGCUGCUUGAAGUAUCUACAAGAUAUCAAGGAUGGAAAGAUCAAGCCGUGCUUCGUAGAUAUUUACACUAUUAAAUCUAAUGAUUCAUCACAUGUUAUUUCUUGGGUUCUUGAUACAGGAUGUGGUUUUCACAUUUGUUCUGAUUUGGCGGGCCUAAGAAGAAAUAGGGAUAUGGAGCAUAGGAAGAUAAACUUGAUCAUAGGGAACCGAAGAUCGUCGCCUGUCCCCAAGAUUGGAGUUUACUCUUUAGUGCUUAGUAAUGGAUUACGAAUAAAUUAAAAUAAUUGUUGCUAUUCGCUAGAUAUUGCAAGAAACAUCAUUUUUUUCAUGGUUUAUACAGACAAUGAUUUAGAUAUUCGUUUGAUAAUGAAAAGGGUUAUAUUAAUGCUUAUCUUAAUAGUGUUCUCUAUUUUGAAGCAUUACCUUGUAAUGGAAUAUAUGAAACUGUGAUGGUUGUAGAUAAUUUAGGAAAUGAUGUGAUGUGUGUCGAUUCUUCCAAUAGUUUGGAUAAAGCAUGCUUGUGUGUAACAUCCAUAAAAUUCGAGCCAAUUUAAAACUUUUUAAUUCAUACAAAACCAUUCAGUCAUUACAAUUUGUUUUCAAAAUAGUUUAGACAUCAGAGUUCCCAGAAAUCAUAAUCAUCAAUCGAGGAAGUGUACGGUCACGCCUUCGCCUUCCCACGGUUAUCCGCGGAACCUGAAACAAUAAACUGAAACUGUAAGCCCGAAAGCUUAGUGAGUUACCCCCGAAAUACCAACCUCAAUAAUACCAUAAUUAUAUAAUAUCAACAAAUACAGAAAAACCUUGCAUCUCGAGUCUAUAGUGUGACUGGUCCGCCCGCACCAGGCCUUUAGUCCACCUGGUCCACUCCGUGAGUCUUCAAUAUGACUGGACCACCUGCACCGAGCCUUCAGUCUGUCUGGCCCACUCUCCGAGCCUCAACACGUGUAGACUGCCCCCUCGGGGCCUUCAGCCUAUCUGGACCACUCGUUGGGCCUUCGGUCUAUGACUAUGUGCCCUCUCGGGUCUGCAGUCUAUCCGGUUCGCCUUAGGUAUGUUGGCCUACAACACAAAGCAGGACCUGCCUCAACCCAACCCCAAACAAACAACCAUGUGCACAUAUAAUAGAUAAUCACAUAACAAUCCAUAGACAAACAAACCACUCUAACAGAUCAUAUAGCAUAGCAACAUCCUAACCUGGAUACUGACCUAACCGGUCGCUAACAAUAUACCAUCCUAACUACUAGGAUGCAGAUCUAACAGAUCAAUAAUCAUAUCAAACAAAACCAGUAUACUAUCUGAGAAAGGGCCGGCCUUGGUGCCUUAGACUUUGUUGAUAUAGUGAGGAUAACUCACCUCACAACGCCAAUCUGAAUUGAAGAAACAAACUCCCGAAUCGAUAUCUCACUGGAAAUACCAAACUAUCACAUAAUAAAAACUAAGUCAUUACACAACAUAACAAACAUGGCAACAGGUUCCACUCAAUCCAUCAUGACCAUUCCCUUUUAUUGGGCCAAGGCCCAAUUCCAAGUCCAUAACCUUGAUAGUUGAUGAGAAUAAUCUGCUAAUAAGAUCGAUAGGUUCUAAAUAGAUAAUUAAUAAUAUUGAAGCAAAGAACACAAGAAUGGAUCACACGAUGUCGAAUGAUUAAUAUUCAACACCUCAAAAGAGCUGGAUUAAGAACUUCGACUAUAGAGGUGUCAAGGGUUACAAUGCAUCAAUUAAUAAGAAGCGUUCCUCUAUUAAGGCUAUACAUGCAUGCACUAUAUAUAAGCUAACCCUUAUAAUAAUCCACGGUUGGAUAGGCCCAAACCAGGUAUACAAUAUAGACAAAAGCGUUAGGCCCAGUGACGCAACUCUCAUAAACCCAACAAUCUCCCCAUUUGCAUCAAUUGAGGCGAGAGAGCAGUUCGGUUGAGUGCUAGUAGACUUCUUCACUGUCUUGAAAACCUUCGUUAUAAUGGCCAAUAGAAUUUGACGAAAAGCAAUAUACCACUGAAGCAUGUCUAAGAAGUUCUUAUCCGAAACACUAUUGUGUUUACACCUGUGAGUUAUGUCAAGAACAUGAUCCAAACAAGUUGUGGAGAACAGGUGCUUGUCGACAGAAGCGAAAAGGAAUUUUUCACCUUCGCCUCUUGUGAACAUGACAAUAUGAUGUGUUGGAUUGAUCUUGUCCAUCUUUAUUUUAUUAAGAUCACUUGGCUUCCCAAUGGGCUUCACUAUCGGCUUCUUCCUCAAAACAUUUGCAACCUCCUGAUCCAUUUUAGCAACUUCAUGCAUGUAGGAAGCCAACAUUCUUUUGAUAUGAUCGAGAAUCGGCACAUACUGCUCUUGAUUGGUUAGCAAAAUGUUGAACAACAAAAUCCAAUUAUGUGGGUUCAGGUUUGGAAGAUCAGCCAAAGAAAUCAUAUGAACCGAGUUAUCUGAACCUCGGGUCACCCUGAAUUGAACAUUGAGAAAAUUUCCAGCAGCAGAGGGUAUCAAUACCUUGACAAAAGUUAUUUUCUGUGCACUCCAUGUCAAGUAUUGAGGUUUAGCGAAUUCAAGAUAAUAGUUAAUAAGAUUUUGAUCAACCUGUGGGUGAGGAAAAUGAACUUCAAGUGUUGAAUCAAAACAAUGAAACACGAAUGCCCUACAGGUAAUAGGCAUAUCAAACUGAGAGUCCUUCGUAUUAACACACUUGAAUGAAGCAACCGGUUCCAACCAGUGAGUGCUUGGGGACUCAAUUGCUUCUUUAAGCAAUCUUUCUUGAGUCCAAGGGGGAAAGAGAGUCUUUUUGCAUAUCAGCUCAUCUUGUUCUUCUUUUUUCUUACGUUCUUUCUCUUCUUCUUCUCUGGAUAUUCGGAGAUUAUCAUCGAUUUCAUUAUCCCUUUUCUUUCUUUUCAAGGCAUCUACAAUCGUUUCAUCUUCCUCAUUGCUCUCAUCUAAAACACCCUCCAAUUUUUACAGUACACCAGAACCUGAAGUUGCAUUAACCUUCGAUUCUUUGGGUUGAGAUUUGAUAACAACUUUAGGUGGAAUUGGAGGAUCUUGAACACCUUCUCCCCCUUGUUGCGGAGUGACAAUCAGCAUCAUCACACCCUUCAUGUGAUUUAAGAUUUCAAUUGUUGGAAGUAGGUUUACAGUUAAAUGAUUCUGGAUGGUAAGAGUGAGAACCCGAUCAUGAGCAUUGACAAGAGUACCUAGAACGGAGAGAACAUCACCAGCACAACUCCUAAGUACAGCACGCUCAGUUUUGAGUGAGUCAAUUUCCUUCUUCGCUUGAUCAAGUUGAACAGUCUGGACUUCAAUCAUUGUAGUUUUGUGAGCUAGUUCAUCCAUUAUCUUGUUUUAUGUAGCAAGAUCAGCCUGAAGCUUAUCAAGGAGAGUAUUGACAAAAGUAAGAAGAGAAGUUUGAUUUGCUUUUAGUUCAGAACAAACAUAGUCAAAUUUCAGUUUCUCCUCUUGAAGUGACUUGGAGAGCGAAUCAACAGAAGCAUUGGCUUUGGCAGCAUUGGAGUCUGCAUGGCCUUUGAAUGAGUCUAAGAAAAUCUUCGAAUCAUGAAUAAGAUUCGCCAAUUUGGUUGUUACUUUCUUACAGGAAGAUGUGGAGGCAUCCACAGCCUUUGUUGAUUUGUCGAUUGAGGUUGUAUACUGCUGAAGAGCUAUGUCGAGAAAAGCCUUCAAAACCAUAUCAGGAUAUGUUGCUGGGGAAGCAAUUAAUUUUUCAAGCUUAUCAUUAAGACUCUUUAUAUUGUUCCUUGUCACCGGAGCAUCAUCAUCAUCGUCACUUGGGAGCCGAUAAGGACUAUAGUAAGUAGAGUCAAAAUCAAAGUUAUCUCCACCAAGAAUAGGGUCAGAAUCUAUGGAAGGAGAUGGUGAAAGAGGUUUGGUGGUAAUAGGGGUUUCGGUGUCUCCGGUCGAUGCCCCCGUAUCAGAUACGUUGACAUGAACCGGAGGUUCGGUUGUAGUGGUUCUUGUAGCUUGAGAAAAGAUUGGUGGUGGAAGUGGAGCAGUGACAGUAGGUUGAGAAGAGACAGGUAGUGGUAUUGGAGCAACAGAAAUUGGUGUUGUAGUAGGAUUCAGAGAAGGAGGAGGAGUAGGAAUAGAAACAGGAGCUUGUACCUCAGGAGUUGGAGAUAGUGGAGGUGUGUUUCCCCUUUGUAAGUCUUCAACGUGAACCUCUUCUUCCUCUUAUGAGUUAGCAGGAGAAGUUUCCUUCGGUUUUCUUUCCAUUUUCUUGACCUUUUUUUUUCAAAGAGGAAGGAACUGCUUUGUCAGCUUUAUGCUUUUUGGUUGUCUCAGCAUGAGAUGAUGGACCUUCAGUCUCUGUUUUUUUUAGUCCGACUUCUUCCCCCUCUUAGCUGGUUUCUCAAAAGCAUCCAAAGCAGAUUGCAUCUCUGGAGUAAGUUGUCGUGGCCCUGAAGGUGUCAAUUUACGAUAAUCGGCCAUAACAUGGCUCACACUUGAAACACAAUGGGACGUUGUUUCAGGAAUUGACCCAUUGAACACGAACUUGGUGGGAUCAGAAACAAUGAUCUUUUUCGUGUGAAAGGUGGCGAUUGAAGAUAGCAUUGCAUCCGCCAUAACCGGAACCUGAAAAUGAUCGAUUGCCCUGUCAGUCACUAGAGUCCAGAAGCAUCCACACGAGAUUUCUGAGUGUUUGGAUGAUGAGUUGAGACUCUGUACCAACUGAGACCAUAUCAUAGAGUCAUAGUCCAGAUUGAUGCCAUGAUAGAGACCAUAAAGAAUGGUCAUGAAGCCUUUACUGGCACCAUCCGAUUCAGCGACUAGUUCAACUAAUCCCUUGAAUAUGAGUGUGAAAAGACCAUUCCAUUGCGGUGGUAAGUUGUACUUCUUGAACUUAGUCACCGUGGUGAGGAAAUCAGUGUAACCGAUGUCAUAAAACAUAGUGAAGAGCUGAGUAGUAGUGAUGAAGUUCGGAGAGAUAACAGAAGCAUCUGAAGCAAGCUUUAGCAGAGAACAGAAGCAAGAUUUUGAGACAGAUGUCUUGUGAUUGAAGAUUUCAAAGAAGAUCUGGUCCUUGCGUUUGUCAUAAGAAGCAGAGGAACAGACCUGUGAGAGUAGAGACAUUGGAACAGACUCAACUUGAGUGAGCGCAACCACCAGUGGGGAAUACUUCAUACACUCGACCACAUGAAACGUGUAGGAGUCAUAGACAAAGGGAUUCAGUUUGAUAAUCAUAUUCUGAUUAGGUUUGAUGGUCAGAAGUGAGGAAGUAUCUAUUUGUUCAUGGAAGGAAGAGGAUUGUUCCAUGGUUGUUGAAAGGAAGAAGAUGAACAGUGGAAAUCGCUUGUUGUAUUCUUGAGAGAGUUUUGGAGGUUAUGAGGAGGUACAUGAUGUGUAAGAAACCCUUUUAUACCAUUGCCAAGAGAGAGAAAGAAUCAGAUGUGACGAUGAUACGAUCCCUGAAAUGGCGCCUGAAAAAGCAUGAUUUGACAGUUGGGUUUUCCUAGAUAUACAUCACUACGCGUGGGUUUAGGAACCGUUUCAAAUUCACGUGCCUAUUCAAAGUCUUAUCCUGUGAGUCAUGUUGAAUCCUUAUCCAGUUACCGUCUCCUCAAUUCUGAAAAUGUUUCAAAUUCCCUUACAGGCAGCUAUAAAUGAGACUCAUUCGUGCUUGUCAUGUGCAGCAACCUUCGCUCCAUAAUAAAGUGAACCACCAUUUCUUUUAGAACCGAAAGCACAAAUCUGAAAAAGUGCUAUUAGGACCACAAACAAGAGUUUGGAAAAUCAUAAAGAUCUUUGUGCAAGAGUGUGCCAAAGAAAAAAAUAAAGCUAGAUGUGUUUGAGAUAUAAGUGAUGUCAAUGAAGACAUGAAACAAAGGAUCCCGGGCACAAAUCUCGUCCUUCAAAGUCAAGAGAGACUUAGAAGUGUCUGUGUGGUUUUCCGGUAAAAUACGAUCAAAUGUUUGUUAAGAAACAUUGAAAGUUUUUUUAAAAAUAUAGGCUUUAACGGGUGGUUAAUCUUCAUCCGAACUUCAAUACUUAAGAUAAGACCGAGAGUAGGACGAAGUACUUGUGAGACUGAUGUGGUCUGUUGAACAAGUAGGUUUGAUAAAAUAUGUAGUGACUAGGUGAUUAUGAGAAAUCUCAAAAACAAAAACGAAACUGGAUCUUAUAGGAAAAAACGUCUUGGUGUUAGACAAUCUCAUAAAGAUCACGCAAAAAUAAAAGGAGAUUUCAUCGAGGUAACAAGUAAUAGCUUGAACUUUUAAGCGUUCACCGUCAAUUCAUAUAAGGUGUUGGAUUUUGGGUCUUACAUAGCCCGUGGUGAACGUAUCUAAGAUCAUCAACACAGAUGUUGUGUAACCAUAAACCUCAGUGGUAAUUGCUGAGAGUCUCAAGGGUUACGAUUGUGGAACGAAAGUAGAUUGAGAAGUGUGAUAACGUGGUUAAGGAACUGAAAGUACCUCUUCUAUUUAAGAAUGACAAAGCAGAAAACUCUUAACUCAAUGUGAGAAGAGUAAGGUAGCUCAUGACUAGAGUGAAUGUAGUAGCCUAAUUGGGAAGAAACGAUGGGUGUCGAUCGAAUCAUUAAGGCUUCACUUAAAGUCUUGGAGGCUUCGGUCGACAUACAGCAGCAUGCUUCUAGGGACACUUAACUAGUACAUAGAUAAAAAAUAUUACCUUCCCUAGCUCCAAAUGAAGUAACAGUUGUGAUCUUCAAACCUAAGGAAGAAAAGAAACAAAAACGAAACGAAACACAAAAAGAAAAUAUUUUUGACGUUUUGGAUUAUUCUGAAAAAGAAUAAAAACAGAAAAUAAAAUAUUUUUGGAAUUUGGAAAUUUCUGAAAAAUAAUAAAAACAGAAAAUAAAAUAUUUUUGGAGUUUUAAAAUUAAUACAAAAACGAAAGAACAACAAGUGAGAAGAUAUACAAAAAUAUACAACCGAACCCGAACGUUCGAAUAGAUGAAGCGAAAUGGACCGAGCGUUCGGUUCAUUUUGGUCCCCGAAAAUUCCAGAACCGAAAUAGACCGAGCGUUCGCUUUGUUUCGCUUUUCCAAUUUUAUUAAAGCUCGCUUCUGGUAAGGCCUUAGUGAAGAUGUCAGCCAGUUGAUAUGAGGAGCGAAUAAAUUGAACUUCAACAUUACCAUCUUCAACAUGGUCCUUAAUGAAAUGAUAUCUCAGUGCAAUAUGUUUAGUCUUGGAGUGUUGCACUGGAUUGUGACAAAUUCGAAUCGCACUUUUAGAAUCACAAUAGAGGGGAAUCUUCUUCAUGCUUAAGCCAUAAUCUCUAAGUUGGCUUUGUAUCCAUAUGACUUGUGAUGUAUACUACAGGAAUGUACUCAGCUUCAGCUGUGGAAAGAGAUACACAAGUUAGUUUCUUUGACUACCAGCUGACGAGUUUGCCAUAAAGGAAUUGGCACCUGCUAGUUGUGCUCUUUCGGUCUAGACCACAUCCACCAAGAUCAGCAUCAGAGAAGGCUUGAACAAAGAAUCCGGAUUUAGCAGGAUACCAUAGACCGAGAGACGAGGUUCUCUUCAAGUACCGAAAGAUAUUUUUCAAUCCAACCAUAUGAGGUUCUCUUGGAUUCGCUUGAAACCUUGCACAAUAACAGAUAGAAAACAUUAUGUUUGGUCUACUAGCCGUUAGAUACAUAAGAGACCCUAUCAUUUUACGAUAGAGUGUCACAUCAACAGCCGGUUUAUCCAGAGACGGUUUUAACUUUGUGCCAAAAGCCAUUGGAACCUUCACUUUGGCAUCUCCCGUCAUGCCGGACUUCGCCAACACAGUACUCGUGUAAGCCUCAUGAUUAAUAAAGAUGUCUUCUGGUCCCUAUCUAAUAUUCGGUCCAAGGAAAAAGUUAAUUGGACCCAUUGCGCUCAUUUCAAACUUCGUCUCUGUCAACUUCCUCAAUUCAGCUGUCAAGCUAGGAUUCGUAGAGCCGAAGAUGAUGUCAUCGAUGUAAAUUUGAACUAUCAUUAAGUGUUCGCCUUCUUUCUUGCGAAAGAAGGUUGGGUCAACCGAACCAUGUUUGAAUUUCAACAUUUUGAGAAAGCGUGCUAGAGUUUCAUACCAAACGCUCAGGGCUUGCUUCAAACCAUAGACUGCUUUAUCCAGAAUGUAGCAAUGAUCACGAUACUUUUUGUUCACAAAUCCAGGUGGUUGCUCUACGUAUACCGUUUCUUCUAGUUCUCCAUUCAAGAAAGCACAUUUUACAUCCAUUUGGAAAACUUCGAAGUUUUUAUGUGCAACAUAUACCAGAAAGAUUCUUACUGAUUCAAACAUUGCUACAAGAGCGAAGGUUUUUUCAUAAUCUAUUCCCUCUUCCUGACAAUAUCCUUUUACCAGUAGCCUUGUUUGUUGCGAAUAACAUUACCCUCUUUAUCUAACUUAUUCCUGAAAACCCAUUUUAAACAGACUACAGAUGCAUCCUUUGGUGUGGGAAUCAGCCUCCAUACACGAUUUCGUUCAAACUCAUGGAGUUCGUCUUGCAUAGCUUCCACCCAAUCCGAGUGAUCAAGAACACCAUUUACCAUCUUUGGUUCAAUCUUGGAGACGAACGGAUUAAACAUGCAAAAUUCUACUUGAGAGAAUAAAGCAGUUUGCUUCACUUUUAAUUGAGAGCGAGUGAGAACUCCCUCAGAUGAUUCACCAAUUAUUUGAGUUUUAGGAUGAUCUUUUGUCCAUUUUGUGAGAGGAUGGUAAUUUGGAUCGUAGGCAGGAUCCAAUUCAGCAUUAAUUUCUUCUUCAAGUUCUGAUUGAUCGCCUUCGUCAUUUGUAUUUUCAUUGUCCCCCUCAAAUGGCGAAGCGUAUCCCAUGUCUUGUUCAGAAUGCUCCCCCUCGGUUGGACUCUCAUGGGUUGAGGUUUGUGAUGGAUUCUCUCCCCUAGAAAGGCAAUUCGGUUGAUUUGGUGCAGACGAACCCUCCCCCUGGAAUAUAGAGCUUUAUGUUGGAGGGUCAGUUGAAGCUGGACUUUUGCUUGAUUCGAUAGGUACGCUUCGAGUCUGCUUCUUGACUUGAGGUUCGCUUUCCAUGUCUUUUGCAGCUUCGUCGAUAAUCUUCUUCAAGUUGUCGAUUUUAUUAUCUACUACUUUCGCUUCCGAGUAAACUCCCUUCUCUGGUUCAUCAAAGAGUAGCAUGUACUCCUCAAAUAGAUUGGAAAUAGGAACCGAGACUUGACCUGAUUCUUGAAAGAUUUCCUCCAUUGGACUUUCGCUUGUUCGAAUCUUCUUCAAGUAAUUAUCGUCAAAAGUAACAUAGUAUGUUUCUUCAAUCAUCUUUGAGCAUUUAUUCAGAACCCUAUAUGCCUUUGAAGUAAGCAAGUAACCAAGAAAUAUCCCUUUGUCGGCCUUUACAUCGAACUGGUUUCGGUUCUCUUUGGAGUUGAAAAUGCAACAUCUUGAACCGAACACGUGGAAAAACUUCACAUUAGGCUUGCGAUUAUUUAAAAUCUCGUAUGGCGUGAUGGAGAAUCCCAUGUUGAGGAAGGAUUGCAUCUGAGUGUAACAAGCAGUAGUGAUUGCAUUAGCCCAGAAGUACAGUGGAAGAGAAUCGAAGCUCAGCAUGGUUCAGGCUGCUUUACAUAAUGAACGGUUUCUCCUUUCAACGAUCCUGUUCUGUUGUGGAGUAUAGGGAGCAGAGAAAUUGUGAGUUACUCCCUUUUCAACAGGAAAGUCUUCAAAAUCUUUCUUUUUAAACUCGAGCCCAUUAUCGCUUCUUAUGUUUCUUACCACCUUUUGCAAUUGCAGCUCUAUUUAUUUGAUAAAAACUUUCAGCUUGAGAGUUGCUUCUGAUUUCUGUUUAAGAAAGAAAACCCAGGUGAAGCGUGAAAAAUCAUCUACAAUAACAAGUAUAAACGUACUGCUACCGAUGCUUUCAAUAGCCGAAGGGCCACAUAAUUCAAUAUGUAGAAGUUCAAGAGGUUCGAUGAUCUUUGUAUUAAUACGAGUAGGAUGACACUUUCGACUUUUCUUUACCAUUUCGCAUGUUGCACACAAGUGUUCCUUAUCAAACUUGAAAAGGGGAAGUCCUCACACAUGAUCGCCAAGCACCAACUUUUUAAUAUCUUAGAAGUUCAGGUGCGAGAGCCUUCGAUGCCACAACCAACUUUCAUUUGAAUUUUCCUUCAUCAGUAGGCAUAUAGCUGGCUUUCCUCGUAUUGGAUUGAUAUUUAGAGGAAACAUCUCGCCUUUGCACUUGGAUUUCAACAAAACUUUCUUUGUUUGUUUCUCAAUUAUCUCAGAACCCUCAUCAUCGAACAAAACCUUCAAGCCAGUUCCCACAACUAGUUUAGAGACACUUAUGAUAUUAUGUUGCAAUCCCUUCACGUAGGCUACUUUUCGUAUUGAGAAUUCACUGUUGGUGAUCAUCCCAUACCCUUUGAUCGUGCCAUAUGAGUUAUUCUCAUAUUUAACACGUCCACCAUCCUUAAGGGACCGAAACUCCCUUAGCUCUUCCCUCCUUCCUGUCAUGUGACGAGAGCAGCCACUGUCGAUAUACCAUUCUUCAUCAAACUGCUCGUCAUUGAUAACCUUUAAAAAUUAAGCAAACUUAGGAACCUAAAGUUUAUUGGGUCCUCGUGAGUCUUUUACAGAAUAGGGAAUUGCAAUCGAAAGAUCAAUCAUAUAUGUUCUUUUUAUUAAAGUGGUUUCAUUUUUUCUUUUGAGGGUAUAGACUUUGAUUUUAUUUUCAUCUCGUUUUGGUUGUGGUGAUUCUGAUGAUUUACUUUUUGUUGGAAUUUUAGUGGAAGUUGUCCUGUGAGUUCUUGGGUUAGUUGACGUUUUCUUAAUGUGAGCUUCAUUAUUCGAGUUGAGCUUUCCCUUUCCUUUGAUAUCCUUCACCGUGUUCAGUUUUGAUGGGAAAUGAGGAGGAUGGGAUUUAGGACCGAAACUGGACUUUUGGUUCUGAGCACUGGUAUAGUUAGGACCGAAUCUACCUUUUAGGUUUUGAUCCUUCUGACUGCCAAUGGUUGCAAGAAGGAGAUUUGGCUCUUGAUUUCUCGUUUACCUUGAGAUUGGUCUCCUUUUUAGAGUGAAGAUAAUUAGGGUUUUGGGACUGCCAAAACUAUUUUCUCUCAUUGAGAUUCUUCUUAUAUCUCUUGUUCCUCUGCCUUUUCUGUUCAGCGAGUUGCUCUUGAGACUUGUGAAUAUUCGCUCUAGGUUUCGGUCUCUCUUCGUAAGCUUCAGUUGUAGUUGAAGAUACACUGGAUGCUUUCAUUGGUUCGUUUGGUAUCUCUUUCGUACCACUUGAGCUUGGUUCAUCGAAACUUGAAGGAUUAUUAAUGGGUUCAACCACGUAUCUUCCUUUGACCCUCCAUGAGGUUCGCUCUGAUAGAACAACCAUUUCGUCUACAUUGUCAAUGGGAGCAGACCAGAAGAAUUUUUCACAACCUUCAGCAUUAUCUUUAUCAACCAUAGAUACCAAUUCUACCAUUUUUUUUCUUAGUUACUCCUUCAACUUCAUACACUUGGUUCGAAACUGUUUUCACCUUUUGAUAAACAGCCGCCAUUUCUUUGAGGACCUUGGACUUGUCCUUGGAUAUGCCAGCGAACUCAACGAAAUUUUUAGAAAUGAGUGGUUUCUCUGACUCAGUGUCGCUCUUAAGAAAUUUUGAAUAGUCAACCUCGUCUUCUUCUGAGAUUUCGCUCAUCUCACUGUCAUCAUCAAAUUCAAAAGUGGUCUCUAUAUUCAUUUUUUGUUCUGAACUUAAUUUGGCAUUUGAUGAGUCAAACUUUUGUAUUGUCUCGGUCUUGAUUUUUAAUUUGUCAUUUUCGUCCAGUAAAUUCCUAAGCAUGCAUUUAUGUUCUUUGGAUUCAAUAAAGGUCUCAAUUUUUUCUAGUCCAUAUCUGUAAGUUUCUGAAACCUCAUCUGAAGACACAAUGGAUUCACAUUCAGCAAUGACUUCAUCUUCCUUAAAUUCAAGGAAGGGAAAAUCAUUUUAUGAAUUUUCCUACCAAUCUCACUAUCUAAAUGAAACAGAGAGAUGUUUGUGUAUAGACGUUUAGCUAUUAAACAAAAAGCAUUCCUUUGUUUCAAAAACUUCAAAUUGUCACGUUGCAAAUAAAUAAGUUCAUCCCUAUCCCUAUCCCUAACUAUCUUUGUUUCCUUCAACUCUAUCCACAUCCUUCUCUCCUCACUCUUGGAAGUCACCCUGUUGAGUUGAUCAGUUAGGUUAGUAUUCGCUAGGCGUGUUUGCAUUAGACUUCCACUUAAGUUAGUAAACUUGAAUUUUAAUUCGUUUAAUUCUUUUUAAUAGUUUGUAACUAGUAUUUUACGUGACUCAAGGAUGGAUUGUAUCUUCUUCAUCAACUGAUCACACUCAUUGAUCCUUUCACUCACAGGCUUGGCAGCGAAGCAUUUGUCUUCCAUCAGCCUCACAUCAUCAUGCUCACCUUCGGUUGUAUAUCCCCUCAUCCUUGACACUCCAGUUAUCACCAUCAAGCAUCUUCCAGCUGACUCAGUAAGGUCUUCUUUCACCACAAAUACUCUUCCAUGCGUAGGUCUACGUACUUCUUCAUCUUCAGAGUCUGUAGACCAGACCUCUACUCCACCGAACUCAUCAUCACCAACGUUCUCCUGCACAAUCAAAGCAUUCAUAGGACUGUUAUAUACUUUCUUCUUCUUUAUUACCUCCAGCUUACGCAUGUAGUAAUCUUCUUCAUCUUCACCAUCCUUUUUCUCAGCCAUUUUUUCUUAGCAUGCAAUCCUUGGCAAAGUGGUUCUUGCCGUGACAGUAGUUGCAAUCGUACCCAGAGUCUCCUGCAAACUUGUGAUGGGUUUGAGCCAUAAGAACUUUCCUAUGUGCACAUGCAAACCCUAAUGCUUGGAUCUAGGUUUCUCUAAUUGAACAUGCAAUGUAUCCAAGGCUUACAAUUCUAGAUCUAGUGUAAACAAUUGAAUCAUAUCGUAUGAAAUCAGAUCUAAAAGAAUGCCUUGAGUUGCUUGCUUGAAACUUCUUGUUCUUGGAGCUUAGAGGCACAAUUGUCACUCCUCUAAUGGCUUACAAACACCAACUAGCAAGAGGAUGAUCUUGAGAGAGAGAGAGAGAGGAGGUGAGAAAUCGGCUCUAGGGUUCUUCCUUGCAAGAGUAUGGCUGAUUUCCCUCACCCAAGGGGUCUAUUUAUACUAUGAGAUACUAGGGUUACACCCUUAACCCUAAUUGAAUAACUUAGGCCCUAAGCAAUCCAAAGAUCCUCCUAGAUAUGAGGCUUAGACGAUUUUAAGGUAUCCUAACCCUAAAAUCCGUCCACCCUAAUAUCCAUAAGGAUACAUAGCCCAAAACACAACUAUCACACAUUUGACAGUUUAUGCCCCUUUAUUCAAUUAACCUCUUUAAGUCACCAAAUUAAUUCUCAAUUAAUAUAUGACUUAUAUCAAUCAAAUAAUAUUAUUAUUCCUUUAAUAUAUUACUCUCAUAAUAUAUUAACAAUAAUAUCUCUUCUCUCUUUACAAAUCAUCCUGUCAAGUUGCUAUGGUGAAGGCAACCCAAAAGGACCAUGCACAACCGGGUCAAGUACUUACCAAAUAUAGUAUAGCCUUAGACACUAAUCCAAUCCUGACCAGGCCCGGCACAUAAGUCAAAUCUAAUCAUCGAGGGUCCCUGAUAUCGCUUUUACCCUCUUAGGAUAAAAGUAACAGAUAAACUUCGAUUUAUAUGCAUUUACUAUUUACUAAUCAACUAUACACAACAAUGUGUUUUAUGACAUCAAUUUACUGAUGCAGUUUCGUAUUGUCAAUGCACAACCAAUUAAUAAACAAUAAACCAUAUAUCUUGGUUUUAAGACCAUAUGAUAUUAUCGUCUUGCGAUCACUUGCGCUACGUUCCAUAAAGUGAUUCCAACAAGCGUGGGUUUAUUCCAAUGCUCAAAACUUGUUCAUAAGCACUCAUGAACGUUGAAGCAACCUUUGCUAUGUCUAAUACCAUUUAUACAAUCUACACACCAAUUCAUCACAAUCUUCAUUCAUACCUACUUCCAACAUAUGAACGAUUGUGGACCAUUCGAAUAAUUCGAUUAUUCUUAAUAACUCAAUUAUUCAGAAAGUCAAAAUAUGCAAAGUGAAACAAUAGUUAAACAAUUAACAUAAGACAUUAGCUUUACUUAUAAAUAAUACUCCUUUAUUUAAUCAUCAAAUGUCAAUUACAUUGAUCUAUUACAUGUUUCCAAACUAUAUAAUCUAAACUAAUAUCAUCUUUCAGCCUAAUGCUCUUAGCGUGCUACAAAUGCUUAACCCUACUCAGUCCCUUCAUAAGCGGAUCUACUAGGUUAUCCUCUGACGAUACCCUCUUUACCACGAGGUGUCCUUCUUCUACUCGAUUUCUAAUAAAGUGAUAUUUUCUGUCGAUAUGCCGAGAUCUACCAUGAUCCCUCGGUUCCUUGGUCAAGGCAACCGCUCCUUCAUUAUCACAGAAAAUUUCCAUAGGCUCCUUUAUGGCAGGCACAACUCCAAGGUCACCAAUGAAGUUCUUCAACCACAUCACCUCCUUUGACGCUUCGCUUGCUGCAAUGUACUCUGAUUCGCACGUUGAAUCAGCUAUGGUCUCUUGCUUGGAACUUUUCCAAGUCACUGCUCCUCCAUUAAGGGUAAAGACCCAACCCGACUGCGAACGGUAGUUGUCCCUGUCGGUCUGGAAGCUUGCGUCACUAUACCCUCGCACCUUUAAUUCAUCACUCCCUCCGAGGACUAAAAACCAUUCCUUGGUCCUCCGAAGGUACUUAAGUAUAUUCUUGACCGCAAUCCAAUGAGCUCUGCCAAGGUUCCCUUGAUAUCUACUGACCAUGCUCAAAGCAAAGGCCACAUCAGGGCGAGUACAAGUCUUAGAAUACAUGAUUGAGCCAACUGCGGAAGCAUAGGGUACUCGGCUCAUCUCAGCUAUCUCGGCUUCUGUACUCGGACUUUGAGUCUUACUCAAUUUGACAUUACUCUGUAUCGGUGGUUCUCCCUUCUUCGAGUUUUCCAUACUAAAACGUUUUAGUACCUUAUCCAAGUAAGUAUUCUGACUAAGUCCUAUUAGUCUCUUACUUCGUUCUCUCACUAUCCUUAUUCCCAAAAUAUAGGAAGCCUCUCCGAGGUCCUCCAUAGCAAAGCACUUCCCGAGCCAGGACUUAACCUCCUGCAGAGUCGGGAUGUUGUUUCCUAUGAGCAGUAUGUCAUCGACAUACAAAACGAGGAAGCUAACUAUACUUCCACUGGCCUUGACAUAUAAACAUGAUUCAUUUUCACUUCCUACAAAUCCAAACUCUUUGACUUUCUCAUCGCAGAAAAGAUUCCAUAUGCGAGAUGCUUGCUUAAAUAAAUGGACUUUUCAAGCUUGCACACUCUAUUGGGAUGCUUCGGAUCGAUAAAACCCUCUGGCUGAGCCAUCUAAACAUCCUUAGCCAACUUCCCAUUAAGGAAAGCAGUCUUGACAUCCAUCUGCCAUAUCUCAUAAUCAUGAAAUGCAGCAAUGGCUAGCAUCACCCUAAUAGACUUUAUCUUAGCAACAGGCGAGAAGGUCUCAUCAUAGUCAACUCCGGGAGUUUGAGUAAAGCCCUUCGCCACCAAUCGUGCCUUAUACGUGUGCACAUUCCCAUCCACGUCGGUCUUCUUCUUGAAGAUCCAUUUGCACCCAACCGUCUUACGUCCGGGCACAUUGUCAACCAAAUUCCAAACUUGGUUGUCAUACAUGAACUGAAUCUCGCUGUCCAUAGCCUCUUUCCAUUUUGCAGACUCCGGGCCUGCCAUGGCUUCCUUAUAGCUAUUAGGUUUAUCUAGAUUUAUUAGUGUACCAUCACUAAUAUACGUAUCCCCUUCGGUAGUAAUAUGAAAACCAUAAAACUGGGGUUGAACUCUAACUCUUUCGGAACGUCUAAGAGGUAAGGACUCGUCAAUCGGUUCAACCGGAGUUUCCUCCUCGGGUUAAGCGCCAACGUUAGAGGUUCCUUCAUCGCUCGACUCUUGAAUCUCUUCAAGAUCGAUUUGCCUCCCACUGUCCCCUUGGCUUAUGAGUUCUCGCUCUCGGAAAACCCCUCUCCUUGCAAUGAAGACAACAUUGUCACUCGGUCUAUAGAAGAGAUAUCCAAAGGAUUUCUGCGGGUAGCCGAUGAAAAUACACCGCUCACUACGAGGUUCGAGCUUGUCGUGAGUUUCUCGUCUUACGAAAACUUCACAGCCCCAAACCUUGAUAUGUGCCAACGAGGGAGCUUUCCCUGUCCACAUCUCGUGAGGUGUUUUGGCAACCUUCUUUGUAGGGACUCGGUUAAGGAUAUGGGCGGCAGUCUCUAAGGCAUACCCCCAGAAUGAGAUAGGUAGUGAAGCACGACUCAUCAUAGAACGAACCAUGUCUAACAAGGUUCGAUUACGCCUUUCUGCCACACCAUUCAACUGCGGUGUCCUAGGUGGCGUCAAUUGCGAAACUAUUCCACAUUCCUUGAGAUAGUCGUGGAAUUCAAGACUUAGGUACUCUCCUCCUCGAUCGGAUCGAAGCAUCUUGAUUUUCCUGCCCAAUUGAUUCUCCACUUCAUGUUUGAACUCUUUGAACUUUUCAAACGUUUCUGACUUGUGCUUGAUUAAGUAAAUAUACCCAUAUCUACUAUAAUCAUCGGUGAAAGUCACGUAGAAGCGGUUCCCAUCCUUUGUGGUGGAUCUAAAGGGCCCACACACGUCGGUGUGUAUGAGAUCCAAUAAACCCUCACCCCUCUCACAAGUGCCAGUGAAGGGUGACUUGGUCAUCUUUCCAAGUAAACAAGAUUCGCACGUGUCAUCUUCCCUAAGGUCGAAUGACUCCAACACUCCAUCCUUUUGGAGUUGGGCUAUGCGCUUCUUGUUGACAUGUCCAAGACGACAAUGCCACAAGGAUGCUUUAUCCAUACUAUUGGAAGAAUCCAUACACAACACAUCAUUUCCUAGGUUAUCUACAACCAUAACAGUUUCAUAAAUUCCAUUACAAGGCAUUGCUUCAAAAUAUAAAACACCAUUUAGAUAAGCAUAAAUCGAACCAUUCUCAUUAUUAAACGAAUAUCUAAAUCCUUGUCUAAAUAAACCAUGAAAAGAAAUGAUGUUUCUUGCCAUAUCUGGCGAGUAGCAACAAUUAUUUAAAUCUAAAUUCAAUCCAUUACUAAGCACUAGAGAAUACACUCCAAUCUUGGUCACAGACGACGAUCUUUUGUUCCCCAUGAUUAGAUUUAUUCUUCCACGCUCCACAUCCCUAUUUCUUCUUAGCCCCUGCAAAUCAGAACAAAUGUGAUAACCACAUCCUAUAUCAAGAACCCAAGAAAUAGCAUGAGAUGAAUCAUUAGAUUUAAUUGUGUAAAUACCUGCGAAAGAUGGCUUGAUCUUCCCAUCCUUGAUGGCUUCAAGAUAUCCCGGGCAGCUUCUCUUCCAAUGCCCUAUUUUGAGGCAAUGGUGGCACUCUGCCUCCUUUGGGUUUGGGUUGGGCUUAGCAGGAUCAACCUUGGUCCCACUAGAAGAGGAACCAUCUUGAGACUUUCCCUUGCGGUGGUUCUUUGAAGAAGCCUUCCUCUUCUUGCCUCUUCCCUGUCCAAUAGCCAAAACAGGAGCAGUGGGUGGAUUGGGAGUUAGUGCAACAGACUUGUCCUUGAGGUUGCUCUCAGCAGUCCUUAGGAGCCCUUGGAGUUUGAUUAGGGUGACCUCUUCCUUGUUCAUGUGGUAGGUCAUCCUAAAUUGGUUGUAGCACGAGGGCAAGGAGUGAAGAACGAUGUCGAUGGCCAAAUCUUCCCCAAAUUUAACAUUUAACUUGUGAAGACGAUCAACAUAUCUUUGCAUCUUUUGCAAGUGCACGGUUAGAGACUCUCCACUUCCCAUCUUAACAGUGAUCAUGUUCGUGUUGAUCUCAUAGCAUUCUUGCCUCGCGCUUUGGUGGUAUCUCUCCAUUAAGUCUUGAUGCAUUUCAUAUGGAUACAUGUCCUCAUAGGACUUUUGGACUUCGGGGUUCAUUGUGGCUAGCAUGAUGCAAUGGACUUUUGUUGCAUCAUGCUCGUGGGUCUCAAAGACAGCCAUUUCUUUGGGAGUAGCGAUUUCUGGAUUGAUCUUUUCGAGCUUCCCAUCGAGGACAUACUCUUUGUCCUCGUAGCACGCAAUCUUGCGAAUGUAUCUUAUCCAUUCGCUAAAGUUCGAUCUGUCAAAAGUCACUUUUUGACAAAGGCUCGUUAGCGUGAAUGAGCUUGCAGCAGCAUUGUUCGCGUUAGACAUCUACAAAUAGAAAGGAUCAAAGUUUGAUUAGAAUUAAGUCCCUAAUUAAACAUCCAAAUGAAAAAUUAGGGCUAGGACCCAACAACAUUAUUUACACAUUAGAAAAGGGAUGUUUAAUCCAACAUGCAAAUGAUUUGGAGGUAAGUGAAUGACGAUUCACUAAUUCAUUACCAUGAAAAACAUAAGCUUAAUUUUUAAAUGUAUUGAGAAUGAAUCACCCUUUGCCACCUUUGCUUAGAACCAAUUAGUGUGUCGGUUAACCACACACGCUCCACUAACAUCUUAGCAAGGGUGCAAAGUGUAACUUCAUGGGAUUGCAUCAAUUCACUUUUCCUAAAGUAACUAAGAUUGGGAAUUUUAUGAAAAAUGUUUAGUUACUUUAUAUAGAUUCAUUAUACUUAUUAAUGAGAAGAGGAUUGCCCUAUCCUACCCGUUCGGCUAACGACCCUCCACCGGUCAAGCGAGCGGUGGGUGUGAGUGUACACCCAUUAAGCGUCAUUUUAUAGGCAGCAACCUUAUACCCACCUUAUAGACCGGCUUCGUGAAUGAGGCCUACUAACGGUAAAACUAGCAUUUUAAAUCAUACAUAUACAUAUAUAUAUAUAUANUUUAAUCAUAUAUAUAUAUAUUAAGCUUGUAAUAAUAUAAUAGUAUAGUGUUGAAUUUUAAACUUGUAAAAUUCUAGGGUUUGAAAUUUAAAUUAUUCAAAUUAAACUUUUAAUCACAAAACUUAAAUUUCAAAACUUGAGGACAAGUUUUAAACUUUUCAAAACAUAAGGAUCAAAUAGCAAAUAAUACAAAUCAACUAAUUAGAUUAUUUAAAUUUGAUCUAAUCAAUAUUACUUGCAAGACAAUUCACCAAUUUAAUUCAAAUAAUCAAUUAUUAUCAUAUAAGGAAAUUAUUAUUCAAUUAAAUGGUAAUUAUCUUUUGUUUGGUCAAGAAUAUACUCCAAUAUAUCAUAAAAUUCGGAUUUUAAUGACCCAAAACAAUUAAGGCAAGUAUCCUCAAGCAAAACAACAAGAAAUCCCGAUAUUGACUCUUUCUGGCGCUAGAACUCGCCGAGUUCCUCUGUGAACUCCCCAAGUUGGAGCUACUCGCCGACUCCACAUCGGAACUCACCGUGUUCACAAGACAGAAGCAUAAAAAUCAAAAUUUUCAAGCAACAAGCAAUUAACCAAAGCAUCAAUUCAAUAGAAAUCAAUCAAAUCUCUGAUACCACUAAUGGGUUUGAGCCAUAAGAACUUUCCUAUGUGCACAUGAAAACCCUAAUGCUUGGAUCUAGGUUUCUCUAAUUGAACAUGCAAUGUAUCCAAGGCUUAAAAUUCUAGAUCUAGUGUAAACAAUUGAAUCAUAUCAUAUGAAAUCAGAUCUAGAAGAAUACCUUAAGUUGCUUGCUUGAAACUUCUUGUUCUUGGAGCUUAGAGUCACAAUUGUCACUCCUCUAAUGGCUUACAAACACCAACUAGCAAGAGGAUGAUCUUGAGAGAGAGAGGAGGUGAGAAAUCGGCUCUAAGGUUCUUCCUUGCAAGAGUAUGGCCGAUUUCCCUCACCCAAGGGGUCUACUUAUACUAUGAGAUACUAGGGUUACACCCUUAACCCUAAUUGAAUAACUUAGGCCCUAAGCAAUCCAAAGAUCCUCCUAGAUAUGAGGCUUGGACGAUUUUAAGGUAUCCUAACCCUAAAAUCCGUCCACCCUAAUAUCCAUAAGGAUACAUAGCCCAAAACACAACUAUCACACAUUUGACAGUUCAUGCCCCUUUAUUCAAUUAACCUCUUUAAGUCACCAAAUUAAUUUUCAAUUAAUUUAUGACUUAAAUUAAUCAAAUUAUAUUAUUAUCCCUUUAAUAUAUUAUUCUCAUAAUAUAUUAAUAUAAUAAUAUCUCUUCUCUCUUUAUAAAUCACCCUGUCAAGUUGCUAUGGUGAAGGCAACCCAAAAGGACCAUGCACAAUUAGGUCAAGUACUUACCAAAUAUAGUUAUAGCCUUAGACACUAAUCCAAUAGCUUCCUCUCCUUCUUUUCGUCAUCCUUUUGAAAAGUGUUCCAGGUUUCCUCUUUCGAUUUCUCUGAGCUGUAGCUUCCUUGCUAGUUUCGGUUCUUGUUGACAGGGAACUUUUUACGAGCAAACUUCUUUGGGUUUGUAACCAUCAUUGCAUAUUAAUCACUAGUCAGAUCGCAUUCUGACAUAUCCGAUUCCUCUUCUUCUUCUGUUACGCUCUUGCCCUUAGAGAAAAGAGCCAAGGAUCCCACACCCAAAACUACCUUCGCUUCCUUUGACACCAUGCUUUCAUGUGAUUUGAGGAUUCCAACCAGCUUCGCCAGUGAAUAGUUUUUAAAUUGCUUGUGUGCCUUCACAGUUGAGACCACAGUCAUCUAUUCAACUCUUAACCCAUUCAUGAAUGUAACAUUUUUUUCGAUCACUUCCCUUCCAAUUCCAUGCUUGAUCAUCUUGCUAAGCAAGUGGUUGAAUCGAUCGAAUGCUUGAAUGAGUUUCUCCUCAGGUUUUUGUUCGAAAGCACCGAACUCAUAGAGUAAUAGAGUUUGAAUUGAGUGCUCUAGAUCCUCAUUAGUGGAAUAUAAUUCUUUUAGCCUAUCCCAGAUUUCUUUUGUAGUGGUGCAAGGGCUUACUAGACAAAAGGUGUAAGCUUGCAAAGCGAAUCUGAUCAUUCUCAUGGCUUUAACGUUACAUAGCACCUUGUCUUUCUCAUCUUGAGGGAUCUUUUCUACGUCUAUCAAGAGUUGAUUGUACUCCUUUUGAGUCUUGACAGUUCUAUUCGUUCCAGAGUGAACAAACGGACCCAAUGUUAUCGCCUCCCAGAUAAGAUAGCCAUUAUCUUCAGAUCUAAUGAUGUAGUCUUUGAAGUGGUACGUCCACACUUCAUAAUCUUGAGUAUAGAGAAUGGGAAUCCUAGUAGUGGAUCCAAUGUUGUUGGAGAUGUUGAUAUGAUUGGAUUGAGAGUCGUCGUGAGACAUGAUGAGCUUCUUCUAAUAUCUGCUAGAAUCAGACUUGUAAAGAUGAACUUAGGGUUUUAUCAAACACAAGAGACAUCGUCGUCCAGAAGAAGACAACUUCUAUAUAUUCGAUAAAAGCGGAAACCCUAAAGGAUUCGUCAAAUAGAAGAGAUGCGUAAUAAUUACACAGUCUCUUGCUCUGAUACCAAUUGAUGAGAAUAAUAUGCUAAUAAGAUCGAUAGGAUCUAAACAGAUAAUUAAUAAUAAUGAAGCAAGGAACACAAGAAUGGAUCAAACGAUGUCGAAUGAUUAAUAUUCAACACCUCAGAAGAGCUCGAUUAAGAACUUCGAUUGUAGAGGUGUCAAGGGUUACAAUGCAGUAAUUAAUAAGAAGCGUUCCUCUAUUAAGGCUAUACAUGCAUGCACUAUAUAUAAGCUAACUAUAAUAAUAAUCCAUGGUUGGAUAGGCCCAAACCAGGUAUACAAUAUAGACUAAAGCAUUAGGCCCAAUGACACAACUCCCCAACAAUAGUCUUUAUGUAAGGCCCAUUAUUGGCCCAAUUUACUAAAUUGGGCCCAACUUCCUUAUUAGGCUUAACCCCAUGAUCCACUAUCACUAAAACUGCCCCAAUACAAUCAACUCAGAAAGUCCAGCAAGGCUCAAACCUUACUAGCCCAAAAAGUAGCCCAAAUCACCAAAAGUCCACAGAAGACAUACGUUGGGCAUACCCCAAUGCUACGUGGGGCGUACGCCAGUCUCGCAUUGACUGGAAAACGAGCCAUUGACUUAGUACGAUGGGCGUACAAAACCUUAUGUUGGGCAUAUGCAGGGUUUCACCAAAACCUUAAUAAGUGCUUAAUGGCUUAAGCACUUAAGCCCAAACUCCAGAUCCAUUGACAAAAUGUGCCUAGGACUCAUAAAGUCUCGAACUUUAUCACUUUGGACGUCCAGAAAGCUCUUAAUCCAAGGUCUUAAUGUAACGACCCAUUUUUCACGUCCAAAAAUUUCAUUUUUCAAUUAAUAAUUGGUAAAAUCAUUUGCAAAUAAACAUUGUCUGAUCAAACCAUUUCAUAACAUAUACUAUGUUUGAAAACCAAAACAUGUGAUCAAUCAAAAUGUCAGAGUACGAAUCCAAGAACAAUCCCAUGAAUGCGGAAAAACAGUGUGUGUGUGUGUAUGAUGUGCCGCUACCGCGCUAGCUCCUUCCCUUUCGACGAAGAGGUACCUGAAACCAAAACUGUAAGCACAAAGCUUAGUGAGUUCCCCCACUGUACCACAUACCAUAUAACCACAUAACAUACUUAUAUUGUCAGACAUAUCUGGGUGCCCGACCUACCCCUUCGGUCCUCUCAACCGGAUACUGACUAGCAUAUCUGGGUGUUGGCCUCCCCUUCGGUCCUCUCGACCGGAUACUGACUAACAUAUAUGAGUGCUGGUCUCCCUCUUCGGUCCUCUCGACCGGAUGCUGGGGACUAUUUCACCCCCUACUACUACCACAUAACACAUAUCACAUAAUCUAUCUAGCAUGGUUGGGCAUGACCGCCCCUUUGGCCCUAUCGACCGGUAAUCUGGGGACUAUCUCCCAUACUGUCACUAGCAUAUAAACAUAACACAGGUAGUAGCAACCCUAGAUGAAUAUCAUAGAGACAAUCAUCUAACAUACAACUCCUACUGGUGGGCUGGCAUUGUGGCCGUAGACCCACUGCUACUGGAAGGUAACUCACCUCGAAGUAGUUGCUGAUUUGAGCGGGAACUGACUGUCUACUGUUGCUGCUGUUCCGGGGGUCCUCCGGCUAUAAUUCCCACAAAACGUUCAAUCAAACACUGCUAGCCAUACUUAGGGUAAAAUUACCAUUUUACCCUUGACCAGGUCAAAGUCAACUUCCAGUUGACCCGACUCGCCGAGUUGGCUUGCCAACUCGUCGAGUCCCUACCCAUUCGAUUGUCCUUAAUCCCGUCUCUACUCGUCGAUUUAGGCAUUGAAUCGACGAGUUCUCCUUCUAACUGAUAUCAAAAGUCCUUCAUCCUACUCGCCGAGUUGUAUGAACAACUCGUCGAGUUCAUCUUCAUCCGACGAACACUCUAUGCUUCGACUCGCCGAGUUGUAUGAACAACUCGCCGAGUCUAUUCUUGAGGUAGGAAGAUUGCCUUGGACUUCCAAAUCACUGAGUCCACCCAUGACUCACAACUCCACCCAGAAAACACUAAAAAAAAAAGGGAAAACUCGGAGACUCGCGGCUCAACUUGCCGAGUCCGAUGAACGACUCGUCGAGUCGUUCACAUGCAAUUACUAUAAACUCAGUUUUUCUUGAAUCCAGCUCAUGCCAUACAUAGAUCUGGGCUCUUAGGGUAGGUUUUACACGUAAAGUUUCCAACUUUACGUGUACACAUGCAUAGGAUAGGGAUUUAAGGCUUAAUAAAGGCUAAAAUGGUAGAUCUAGGUCAUUCAAGCAUUUACUUCCAUAAAGGCCAUGGAUCUGAGCUUCUGGAGCUCAAACAUGCCUAGAUCUAGAGGUUAAUCAACUCAUUAUAACUCCCAAUCCUUAAUCAAGCUUGGAAAUGGUUCAAUAAGGACUUUAAUGGUGCCCUAAGGGACUUUAAGCAUAAAAACAGAAGGAAACUGAGUUAUACCUCAAUGAAUCUCUGAAAUAUCACCAAGAUAUCGGGCCUCCUUCUUCUCCUCUUAAUCUACUCUCCUUCUUCUCUCAAAAUCUUCAAGAAAUCACACCAAAACACUUCAAUCUCACAAGAAGAGGGGUUAGGUCGAUAUAAGGAGCUCUGAGGGUGAAGGAGUCGGGCUUGGGGCGCAUGAGGUUGCUUUAAAUAGGGUGCAAACCCUUGAAAUUAGGGUUUCAUCCAGACAGCGGGGACUCGCCGAGUCGCCAACUUAAGCGUGCUUAAUAUCCUGGCUCUACUCGGCGAGUCGGGCCUACAACUCACCGAGUCCAAGGCUAAAAAUGUAAAUUACUUAGAUAGGUCCUACGUACCAGGAAUCGGGUGCUACACUUAAUCCAUUAAGACCCUUCUACAUCAUGCAUGGGACAUCUUAAGCCAUUGGGACCUCAUUUUUAUCACUUGAGACCUCUUCAAGGUCCAGAAAGGACAACUUAUCUCGUCCAAAAUGCAUCAUGCACCAUAUUUGGGUUUUUAGGACAAGAAAUGGUUCCAUAAUGUUAGAAAGGCUAGAUCCAUGACUACAAGCAUAAAGUUUGAAGCUUUUUACAUGUUGGUGCUUCUAGGGCACAACACAACCUCAGAUCCACAAGCCAAUCUCCUUCUUCAACUAUUUGUUGCAAUGGCUUCACCUUCCAGAGCUCAAAAUACCUACCAAAUCACUCUUACACACAAGAACUAGGGUUUGGGAACAUUUCUGGAAGAUGGGGGCUGAGAAGGAGGAGAGAAAAUGAGCCAUAAGGAUGUUUAUAUAGCCCCCAACCCGAGAUAUUAGGGUUUUCAUCCUUUAUGAGUACGCCCAGCGUACUGGGGCGCGCCCUAGUACGCUCAAUGUACCCUUAUGUACGCGCAAUGUACUCCUCCUGGUCCAAAAAUUACAAUUUAGCCCUUGGGCUCUUCAUGGCUUUACCCUUCCAUCCCCAUGGACUUAAAAUGACAAAACUUGGGAUGUUACAACUCUCCCCCACUUAAAUUUGAUUUCAUCCUCGAAAUCAUUCCUUACCAUCCCUGGAACCCGACACCCUGAAGGGAACCUCCGCAACCAUAACCUCCGACGACUUUCAAAGGAGACUAAACCCAAAUGGGAUCUUUUCAUUCUAAAGAAGACGAUUCUACGAUCCCAUGCGGCACACAAUCCUUUACCACAUAAAACCUAUAAUCUGGAAACCUAGAUUCGGUCUGACCCCCUAGCCAACCAUUCGAACUAUCCAUCGCUAGCUCUCUUUCCAUAACUGCUAGCAGACUAUUCCGCCCUAAGAACCUGAAUUCCCUACGACUCACCGUCGGCCCGCACCGGGUAUCUUGGCCUACUGCAUAGAGCAGGACCGCCUCAGCCCGAUCAAGCACAACAUUCCAUCUAAUAGACCAUCAGAGAAAGAUGUCCACUUAAUACUUACGAUAACUUACCAUGCCAAUCCAUGCCAUCCACCACCUCCAUAGAAAACAAUCCCACAAGCGGUUACCACCAACAACAUACCUAGAACUACCAUCCCACCAGUACGACACUCAUAUCUAUCCCAUACCAUCCUGCGGGUGGGAAUACCAAUGCCGAGUCCAAAUGAUCAUAGGGUCCGGUCAUCCUCGGGAUGGAAUACAAACAUGUCGAAUUGAUUCAAUCAUCGAGUUGAAACUCUCAGGGUUUGUUGGCCUACCGCCUCAACCCUACCGCUCCUCUUAAGCCUCCGUGCCUACAACUUUCAGUCGGUCCGCACCAGGUAUCUUGGCCUACUGCAUUGAGUAGGACCACCUCAACCCUAUCCACAUAUAAUGUGUCGUCAUAAACGAUCAAGAGAAAGAUCUAACCCAAACGCGCCCCUACACAUGACAAAAUAAACAAAAUCUCUAUGCCCACGACCUAUGACUGUAAUACCCUUACAUGGUCCUCCGCAUAGGUCUGGAUUGCCUCUGAGCCCACAUCACGAGUCUGGUAUGCCCACUCCGGCCCUCAGCUCAUGAUUGGAAUGCUCCCGAUAACUUAUCGACACUGCUGUCGUCACCUCAAUUAUCCCAACGCUCCACCCUGGAGAUUCAUACAUCCUCUACUUCCCAAAAGGGCCUAAUCAAAGUCCUUCCCAACACAAACAAGCAUCACAAUACUGAAACCUCACUCCACAAUAUCCACUUGUAUAACAAGUUGCUACACCAUAUCAUAUAUAUACUCGGAACCUGAUCAUAUAACUAUCUAAUCCCACACAAUGUCUUCAGCAUAUUCCAUUAGCAUGUUCAAAACUAGGGGACCGACCUAUCGAUUGAUAUAGAAUAGCAGCAUGCUCAAUACCCACACAUAGAUCUACAACGCAUACAGAGUCUUCGACAUGACGGGACUGCCUCACCAGGCCUUCAUUCCAUCUGGACCACUCUCAAAACCUUCAGCAUGUCUGGACCGCCUCUUUGGGCCUUCAGCCUAUCUGGACUGUUCUCCGAGCCUUCGGCCUGACCGGUACGCCCCUUCAGCCUUCAGUCUAUCUGGACCGCUCUGAACUGUUGAGCAUCUCACUGGACCACCCCUUUUGGUGAUCCUUCCCAUGCAGACUGUUCUCACCCAUUUGGGGUUCUGAACUCCUGAUUCAUUCCGUGGACUCUAACCCUAGCCUAAUCCCAGACCUCAUGCCGAUCGUCCAUCCUUUCGAAAAUCUAUGGUCUAUUCCCUGAUCCGCGUGCCUACCACUUACGCUAAAUAACCCGCAUACCCGCUGAAUGCACUGUCAAACACUGGCAGCUAACAGAACCCUCAAUGGAUGAUGCUCCAUCUGAGAAUUUCCAACUCUCCCCCACUUGGGACACUAACUACUACCUAUUGGCGGCGAAACCAUAACACAAAUCAACCGUUCCUACUAGGUAUCAUCACCCUUAACUAUGUAACGAUUUACCCCUAGAAUGAGCAACUUCCACAGAACAACCUUACCGACAUGGAUCAACCGAACUUCAAAGAAACCAUAUCUCAGCUGAAACCUUCUACCUCUUCGUUUCCUAGUUGAUCCUCUACCCUAACUCCCCAUUCCCAAUGCCUUUGGAGACUAACCAUCUACAACCCCUCGAUACUAAAAUCCCCUGACCUUCCUAUAUUCUAAUGAUACAUGCCGAAUGAGGAGGAAAUAUUUCACAAUAUAAACAUAAACAGUAAGAUAAAAGAUAGAGACAUACCAGCAGCCUUAUCUGGUGUUGUCCUGACCUCCUCUGCUGUAAGAUGGAAAUCACGUCCUUGAGCCCUCGGAGGCUCUGCUCCACCCUGACCCCGCCAAUAAUCCUCAAUGUAGCCGGUGCUGGAGCCUGCACCAGUCUUGCGACAAGCUGUAGACAAUUGUCCUUCACGUGACCAACCUGAUGGCAGUGAUAACAAAUCCUAAUGUCCUGAACCGGGGCCAAAUGGCGGUAAUCCCUCGCAUAAUGCCCCUCCUUUUCGUACAUGCGACACGCACCACCAGACUUACAAACUCCUGUAUGACCCUUCCCGCACUUCUCACAAGUGCGACCGCCCUGACCCCUAACCCUAUAGAAUCAGCGGUCUUGGACCGCUUCGGCGUCGGCUGCGACUGCACCGGGGCUUGCCUCUGCUCUCGCAACUGUAACUCAAUCUCCAGCUCACACCGCCUAGCGGCCUCCUGUAAGUCCAGCAACGUAUCACAUCGUUGGGUAGUAACAAAUUGGCUAAUGUCAGUCUUGAGCAUGCUCAGAUAAUGCGUCAUCUGAGCCUGCUCGGAAGCAAACUCCGGGCAGAAAAUCGCCCUCUCAAUGAACAUGCGGGUGAUAUCAGUUACCGAAUUCGUACCCUGUCUCAACUCCAAGAGCUCCUGAGCUAACUGCUCACGCUCGACUCGUGGAAUGUAGCGGGAGCAAAACAUCUCCUAAACCGAUCCCAAGAGACUACAUAUCUCUACUCAUUCAAAUAAGACCCCGUCAUCAACCUCCACCAGUCUUUCGCCCCGGACCUCAACAUGUUCAGGGUACACCUGACCUUCUGGUCGGUCGGGCAGGAACAUGUGAAAAAGCACGCCUCGAUAUCCGACAGCCACCUCAUGGCUAUAAUAGGGUCUUGAAUCCCAUCAAAAGUCUGGGGCUUCGUAUUGUUGAAGUCCCGAUACUGGAAGCCCGGACCGGCUCCUCCCCCUGCCGCUGUAGCUGCCGCGGCAGCCAUCUCAGCUAGGGUUGCGUAUCUGUCAUCAAAUACUCCAUCACAACGGUGUUGAUAGACCCAAACAGGUUCGGAAUCUGACUCUGGACAAUCUUAACCACCUCCUCGCGGAUGAUCUACCUAACUCGAUCCUUUGUCAACACUAUACCCUCCUGAUCGACAACCUCAGGUGCCGCUGGGGCGUCCUGACCACCCUGUCCCAAUCCCGACCCGAAUGCAAUCACGAAGGUCCGUGUAACCACCAUACUGAAAAUAUACAGAAGAUAUCAGACAACUCGAACAAACAACGGGGAAUCUAACCCCAACCACACCCUAAGGGUUGUGACUUCCUUGCUACGUGUAUGGGUCCUGUGCUUUCAGUAGUACGGGCCCAUACUACCUUCCACACCUACCCAUAUUUGUCUCAAGUAUCAUCACAACACCCUAACAAAAUACAUAAACAUAGCGAGCUCUCCAUCCUCAAUCCUAGAGGAAUGCUAAAUAUCUCAUAACUGGACUACCGGUCCCAUACAACUCAUGAAACUUCCACCAACCCUGUAGCACUAGAGGAUGCUAGCCAUACAUAACGCUGGACCCCAUAGACUUUCGAAUAUCCAAUCCUACCCUAAGCCCCCAAUCAGACAAGAACAGAACAUAAGGCCAAAUCAAACAUUCUCAAGCUAUAAGAUCUUAAUUAUGUAUAACUGUGAUGCAUACACUAAAUAACUACAAUAAUGAUGUCAAUCUCAUAUAAAGGAAAACCUAGGCUAGCAGGCAUCAUGUAAUCAGACAAUUUUAUCAUGCAAUUCCUGAAGAUCCCUAGCCUAGUAUUAGCAUGUUGUUCUAACAUAUCACAUAAUCAGAUAACUGUAUGGUAUUUUGGGGUCUACUUACUGGCUCCGGCUAAUCGUACACUUCGCAUCCUCCUUUCUUAUUUUGAAAACUAUUUAAAAAAAUUAUUUUGAAAACGUUUUCCUUAGUUUGAGACUGGAUUCACACGAAUGUUCCUCCAUUUCACUCAAACCAAGGCUCUGAUUCCAACUUGUAACAUUCAUAAAAUUCGAGCCAAUUUAAAACUUUUUAAUUUUUGAAAAAUACCAAACCACUGGUUUUUUAUUUUGGUUUCAGUUUUUCGUUUUUUUAAUAUAUUUUCGGGUUUUUUUUUUAUUUCAUAGAUUUCUACAUCAACAAAUGUUGCUAGAGUUUAACAAAAAUAAAUAAUUUGCUAAAACAUAAUACAAUAGGAAGUUUGUUCACAUUUAGUCAUUGAACUUUUUUAGAGGGAAACGAACUUUCGAUUUUGUUCACAUUUAGUUACUAAACUUUUUUCCAUUAUCUAUUUGUCACUGAGCUAUUGAAACUGUUCACAUUUUACCUUUAUGACCGGUAACAUUUUCAAUAGUUCAGUGGCAAAUAGAUAACGAAAAAAAAUUUAGUGAUUAAAUGUGAAAAAAAUCGAAAGUUUGUUACCCUUUCAGUCAUUAUCCCAAACAUUAAACUAGUCUUGGCCUAGUGGAAGAGGUGGUGACCCGCAAGGUUAUGAGUUUGAUGCAUAGCAGACUCAUUUUCUUCCGAAAGACACCUUCAUUUUUCUUUAACAGACUACGUCUAACUUGGUAGCCACAUGUUAACAUGUGAUGAAAAUCAUACAAAUGAUGAGAUUCUAGUUGACUGACUUAUUAUAGUACUUUUUUGAAAUAGUUAAUUUUGUGAAAAAUUCAUUUAUGAAAUUAACUGCAUUUAUUUUAAUUAAAAAAAUAUCAGGACAUAUAUUCAAGUGUAAAUUUGAUUUUUAUGUUAAAUUUCACAAUUUCAUUAAUAUUUUUUGAAAAAAAUAAAACAAACAUAAAUAUUACACGUCUUGUACGCGGUGAAGUUUCUAAUUCGCUCUUGUUUUCCGAUAUCAACAAGAAAAACCUCGCACUCAAAAACAAGAAAAGACCACUCAACAUCCCUUAUAAAAUCCCAACAAACAACCCCUAAACCUCAAUUUCUCUUCGGUGACACCAACAACUUGCAAUUCAAAUCCGAUCUUCAUCACCAUGAGUUAUUACAAUCAAGGCCAGCCUCCAGUCGGUGCUCCUCCUCCUCAAGGUUUGAUCGGAGUUCUCCAAUUUCAUUACUUCCGUUCUUGUAUUCGAUCGAAUUUAGCUUAUCAUUCAAGAUCUGGUUUCACUGUAAUUCACCGAUGAGUUUAUGAGUCAACGAUUUUCUCAUGCUCGAUAAUUGAUCAUUACAGGUUACCCACCACAAGAAGGAUACGCGAAAGACGCCUAUCCUCCGCCGGGGUAUCCGCCACAGGGGUAUCCACAACAGGGGUAUCCGCAGCAAGGGUAUCCGCAACAACAGUAUCCUCCCCAAUACGCCCCGCAGUACGCUCAACCUCCUCCUCAGCAGCAGCAGAAACAAAGCAGCGGUUGUCUAGAAGGCUGGUAAGUAAUAAUUACUCUGAUACCCUCUAAGAUCGUUGAUUCGAUUUUGAUAGAGUUUAGAUCAGAUCUAGGUUUCUAGAUUUCAAAUUUCAAAUUUUUAGUCAACCCAGUUGUUAAUUUUGACUUUUUCAUCUCUAGUCGAGUAUAGACUUGUUACGAUCUUGUGCUUCAGGCCGAUAUUUGAGAUUUGACUAGAAAGAAAAAAACAGAGCAUAUGAUAAAAAAUAUUGUGACAAAAGAACAGAAAAGAAAUCUGCUUUCUUUUGUUUUGAUCAAAAGUACAAAAUGGGUGUAUAAAGUAUAAACUUCAUUUUCUUUUUGAUCUUCAGUUUCUUAUUAACAUUUUGGUGUUUUUUUGGGAAUAAUUUUAUCUGAUUUUGUAUGAAUGAUUUUAUGCAGUUUGGCUGCUCUGUGUUGCUGUUUCUUGCUGGAGGCGUGUUUUUAAAAGAAGGCUUGAAUUAGUACAUAUGAGUUCAAGUUAUGAAAACUUUAUUCUGGGAUUUGGAUAUUUGUUUUAAUUUUGGUAAUAACUUUGGAUUUGGUGAAAGAUUCAAGAAUGUAGCUUCAUUCUUAUGUUCUUGCUUCUUGUUAUGACUUUUUUCUCUUGGUGGUUUUUAGGGUUGUAAAUUGUGAGAGAUUUCAUCGGUUUAUAUGAAAACUAUAUUAUCAAGAUCGUGUAUAUUGUUUGUUAUUGUUUUAUUCUUGAAUAAUGACUUGUUAUUUGAUAAUAUUUUGUCUGAAUUUAAUCCGUUUAUAUGAAAACUAUACUAUCGAGAUCUUGUAUAAUAAUGAUUAUUAAUAACAACUAGGGUUUGGACCGUCCGCGCGUUGCUGCGGAAACUCCAGUAUUUUAAAAAAUGUAGUUUGACACCGUAUAUAUCAUAGAGACGAUUAAAUCAUAUAAACUAGAGCACAAAAAUAUCAAAAUAAAAUAUGGAUACAAACAAUUGACUUCAAAGUGUAUCUUUAAGAAAUUAAUAAAAAAAGAAUUAUUAAAAAAUUAUAUAAGGGACCAAAAUAUAAUUUUAAAAUAUAAUAAGGGACCAAAUUGUAAUGUAUAAAAUACUAAUAAUUUAACUUUAAAUUUAUAAAGGUUGAAAAUUAUUAAAUAAAAAUUAAUUAAGGGAAAAAAUAUAAAUAUAUAUAAAAUUUAAAAUUAUAAGGAUAGAAAUUGUUACAUUAAAAUUAAUUUAGAGAUACAAAAUAUAAAAAACAAAUCAAAGUAAAGGAAGAAAAAUGAAAAAAUAAUUGAAAGUAAGAAGACUUACUUUAUUUUUGUUUAUGAUGACAAUANNNNNNNNNNNNNNNNNNNNNNNNNNNNNNNNNNNNNNNNNNNNNNNNNNNNNNNNNNNNNNNNNNNNNNNNNNNNNNNNNNNNNNNNNNNNNNNNNNNNNNNNNNNNNNNNNNNNNNNNNNNNNNNNNNNNNNNNNNNNNNNNNNNNNNNNNNNNNNNNNNNNNNNNNNNNNNNNNNNNNNNNNNNNNNNNNNNNNNNNNNNNNNNNNNNNNNNNNNNNNNNNNNNNNNNNNNNNNNNNNNNNNNNNNNNNNNNNNNNNNNNNNNNNNNNNNNNNNNNNNNNNNNNNNNNNNNNNNNNNNNNNNNNNNNNNNNNNNNNNNNNNNNNNNNNNNNNNNNNNNNNNNNNNNNNNNNNNNNNNNNNNNNNNNNNNNNNNNNNNNNNNNNNNNNNNNNNNNNGGGAUAAGGGAAUGUAUUGUAAAAAGAUGAUAAAUGUGGUGUAAUAUUUACUUAGGAGGUAAGGCAUCGAUAAUAGACGACCUGAUAUUAUGACUUUUUAUUUUUGUUAAAUAAGUUUAUCAUUAACGCUAAGUAGUUGUUAAAAAUAUUAUUUAAUGGUCAAUUUGUUUCAAAAGUUUUUAAAAAUUAAACAAUUCAAUUUCAUCGAUCUAAAUUGUUUUAUAAAGUCUAACCAUUUUAUUUGUUGUUUCUAAACAUCUUCCCUAAUAAAUAGAUAUUUUUUUUGCUAAAUAUCAUAUUUUUAUUUAUUUUGUCACAUGUAAUUUUGUGGUUAUUUUAAAUUUUAAUUCCACAUAUCAUUUUAUUAAAUUCCAUAUAGUAUUUUUCAUUAAUGAACUUUCCUUCUAAUUUCAAAAUUACUAAAUUACAGAUUCAUUAAUUUUCUUUAUUUAUUUAUCUAAAUUAUUUGUUUAAAUUUAAAAAAGAAAAAAAAAACAUUUUAAUUUUUAUAAUUCAAUAUUUUUUCAGUUUUUUUACAAAUUCAAACUUUUCAAAUGUUUAGAAUUUUAUAUUUAGUUUUUUCUUUUAAAUAAACCCAUUAAUACAUGGGUGUUUAUUGAUAUAUAAAUAAAUGACUAAAUGUUAAUAUUUAAAUAAACAAAUUAGCAUUAAAAAACAAUAUGAUAAACUUAUCAUGUAUAUGGUCUUAUAGAAAAACAUAUAUAAUAUCAUAUAAUGGUUACGAACUUUAAUAUUUCAUAAAUACAAUAUUAUUGAAGAUUUAAUGAAAUAAAUAAUAAGUAUGUAAAACUUAAAUUAAUUACUAAAAUAAAAUGGAAUAUUAAUGAGUUAAAGAAAUUAAAAUAUAUAAAAUACAAAAGUAAAAUAACCACGUAAUAAAUUACUAGUGCAAAACAAAAUCAUAUAUUUCGAUGGUAAUACUAACUAUAAAUACUAAUAAACUCUAAACAACUCUUAUUUAAUAUUCUCUCAUUUAAAAAGAAGAAGAAGAAGAUUAGAAAAAGAACUGAGAAUUUAUUAUAUAUAAUUACAUGUGACAAAAGCUAUGUGUGAGUAUUGGAAUAGGAGAAUAUUCGGUAUUUAAGAUUUUCUUGUAAUGGGACAGGCCAAAAACAAAUAUGGCAGUUAAUAAUUAGGUAAUUUAAAAUAAUAAAAAAUUGUUUAAAGUACAAGCCUGAGCUGUUUAGUACACCUGGGAACAGAUUGUUCUGCUUUGUUGGCUUCUGCAUAGCUGUUUGAUUAUGAUUUAUUUUAUUAAAAAAAUAUAUUUGAAUAAGUAAUUAAUUAUUAUUUAAAUGCUUUUAUUUGUAAUUUGGGGUUUAGAGAAACAUAAUUUUAUAGAUAAUAGUUUUAUUGUGGUGUAGAAUAAAUUAGGGUGAUUAUGAUGAAAUAAGCAUUUGUUUAGCAUUCGUAUUUGUAUAGAAACCAAAAUGUAAACUGAAGUCCAAAUUUUAGAAGAAAAAAAGAACAUUGCAUAAGGUUAUUUUUAUACAAAAGAUAUAAAAUAUAUGGAAAGUAAUACAAAAGUUAAUUUCUUAUAAUAAUAUAUAUCGAAUGAUGUAUUUCUUUAGUGAUAUUUUUUAAUAAAUAUUUUUAAGUGUCGUUAUCUUUUUCAACCAUAUCUUAUAAUUCACACAUAUGGCAUAAAAACAACAUUUCCUCAGUAUUUUUAUAAAAACUCAUUUUCUUAUAUUCAAAAUGAUUUGGACAAAGGACAAAAAUCCAUCUUUUUCUCUUUCAUUUGGCUUUCACAUGUAACAUGUUCACUUUUGAUCACAUGUACACCGUUAUACAAUAAAGUUGACCAGUCCCAUUUUUAGUAGAAAUCAUUUUCUAAUUAUAGGGAUCUUUAUUUAUUAUUAUUUUUUUAAUUUGAUUUUUUUAUCGGUUGCUGUUGACUUUCAGUUAUAUGUUAUUUUUGAAACAGAAAAGUUUUGAAAAGCUAAAUGAACAAACAUUUUUGUACAGUUUUUGUUAUUUUUAGUGGCUGUUGCUUCCUUUGUGUUGAAUAAACAUAUUUUUUUUUGUCUAAUAUGAUAUUAUAUGUCUAUGUUGCCGUGGCAAAAUAGUUUAAUAUAUUAGUAAUUAGAUAUAAGACAUCUAUACUAUACAAAUCAUUCUUAAUAAAUAAAUAACUUUUUGUCAUAUGUCACACUCUUAUUGAUUUGACCACAUGUCAUUUUGUGAUUAUUUUUAAAUUUUUUUUUUUUACAUAACAUUUUGUGGUUUUUUUAUUUUAUUAAUUUCCACAUAGUAUUUAAAUGUAAUAAUUGUAAUAAAUUUAAUAAUAAAUGCAUAUCAAUUUAAUUAAUUGAGUUCCUUUUCAUUUCAAAUUUUCUAAAUUAAAGUUUCAUUAGUUUUCUUUGUUUAUUUAUCUAAAUUAUUUGUUUAAUUUAAAAGAAAAACAAACAAUUUAAUUAUAAUAAUUCAAUAUUUUUCUAUUUUUUUCUUAUAAAUUCAAACUUCUCCAAUGUUUAAAAUUUCAUAUUUUUUUCUUUAAAAUAAACUCAUGUAAUACAUGGGUCUUACACCUAGUUUAUUAAAAAUAAAAGUUUAAUGUAAAACUUGAAUGACAUAAUUAGUUGGAUGUGUGAUAUUAAUGAUUUAAAUUUUAAUUCUAAGAGAUUUGAAAUAAGGAAAGAAGUGGUACGUAGAACAUUUAUUCUGAAAUUUAAUAAAAAAAUUUACCUUAUAUUUAUAUAUAUAUAUAUAUAUAUAUAUANNNNNNNNNNNNNNNNNNNNNNNNNNNNNNNNNNNNNNNNNNNNNNNNNNNNNNNNNNNNNNNNNNNNNNNNNNNNNNNNNNNNNNNNNNNNNNNNNNNNNNNNNNNNNNNNNNNNNNNNNNNNNNNNNNNNNNNNNNNNNNNNNNNNNNNNNNNNNNNNNNNNNNNNNNNNNNNNNNNNNNNNNNNNNNNNNNNNNNNNNNNNNNNNNNNNNNNNNNNNNNNNNNNNNNNNNNNNNNNNNNNNNNNNNNNNNNNNNNNNNNNNNNNNNNNNNNNNNNNNNNNNNNNNNNNNNNNNNNNNNNNNNNNNNNNNNNNNNNNNNNNNNNNNNNNNNNNNNNNNNNNNNNNNNNNNNNNNNNNNNNNNNNNNNNNNNNNNNNNNNNNNNNNNNNNNNNNNNNNNNNNNNNNNNNNNNNNNNNNNNNNNNNAAAUCAGCAAGUAGCUAAAAAUGAACUAUUUCAAUAAAUUAGAAGCUAAAGCGGGGUUUUGUAACCAAGAAACCCAACAAAUUUUAGCUUUUUAAUCUAAAAAUAAGAACGAUCAACAACCUCAUAAAAAAUAAAAGAUUUCCUAGGAAUAGCUUUCUCAAAAAUGGUGGAAUUUAUAAAAUUCCAAAUGCACCAAAAAUAGUCAUCACCAUAGCAUCGAAAGCUUUACGCUAUUGAUACAUAUUUUUGUCUUAAAUGUUGAAUGUUUUUUUUUUGUGUGAAAUUCAGAAAUCAAAAGGUUCAUGUUGAAGUCUAAUUGUUCAAUGCUUUGUUUUUCAAGAAGCGUCAACUAUCAAAGGUCUCGAGUCUCCUCGUAACUUAUGGCUUCAGUUUCACUCAUAAUUUAUUUUUGGAUUUCAAAUUUUCUAUAAACAACUACUUCCCUAAAGCAAUAAGAUUGAAGUAUGUUUUCAAUGAAAUUUUGAUGCAACCCUAACCCAAUUAGAUAAGAUAUUGUGUGUUUUGGGUUAAGCCUCACGACUUUACAAAAUGUGUAUUGCCAACUAAGGCAAAGAUUUCACUAACAAAAAUCUUUUAUAUUUGCGAGUAAUGUGUGACAAUAAGCAUUGGUCACCAACUUCCACCAGUCCUGCACCCCCAAGCAAAGAACAUUCAUGGCACACCUAACCUUCUGGUUCUCCGAACAUGAACACGUGAAGAAACAUACCUCCACAUCGGAUAACCACCUGAUAGCCACAAUCGGGUCCUUGACCCAAUCAAACUCUGGGGGCUUCAUUUUACUGAAGUCCCUGUACUAAAAUACCCACUCCUCUAGAGUUAUAAAGCAGCAACGACUGUUGUGGUUGCGGAAACAACAGCCUCGAUGACGGUAGCAUAACGCUCGUCAAACAUCUCGAUCAUAGCGGUCUUAAAAGACCAAAAAACCUCGAUGAUCACCUCCAUAAUAGCCAUGAUAACCUGAGUGGUGAUCAUCUCACGGAUCUCCUCAUCUAUCAAUAUUGGCCUCUCUGAGCCGCCAGCUCCUGAUCCAGAAACUCUAUCGAUCGACAUACUAAAAACAAGCUGGAAUACAUCAAAAAAUCCACAAUUCAUACUAUUACAUAAUUAAGUAAUUACUAAACCCUUAAGGUUUGUGACUUCCUUGCUACGCGUACGAGUCAUGUGCUUCCAGUAGUAUGGGCCCAUACUACCUUCCAAAUCUAGACGUAUUUGUCUCAAGGGGUUUCCAUGGACCACCCAUCCAUAAGGCCCAACAUAUUGGAUAUUCAUACAUCCUAUACAUAUUCUCUCAAGAGUAGCUAAUCCUUCCUUGCACUCUCCUGCUACAAUCCAUCUCACUCAUGAAACUUUCACUAACCUUGCAGCCGCUCGUGCAUGUUAAUCAUACAUAACACUGGAUUCGAUAGAUAGUCAAAUACUUGGUUCUACCCUAAGCCCACAACUAGACAAGGAAUAGGAAAUAAGUCUAAAUCAAACAUUCUCACACUAUAAAAUCUUAGUUAUGUAUAAUUAUGAUGCACAUAGUAAGCAACCACAAUAAUAAUGUUAGUUCCAUCUAGCAUAACAAGAAACUAUCCUAGGGUAUCAGGCGUCAUACAACAUGCAAUUCUCAAAUAUCCUUAGCUUACAUACUAGCAUGUAAUUCUAUGAAUACUCAAAACAAAUGUGGGUAUCACAGGGAAUCACUUUCCUUGGCUCCGAUUGAUUGUACAUAUCACAUACUUUCUUUUUUGGUUAAAUUUGGAAAAUAUUUAUAGAUCCUUAGUUUGAUUCUGGAAUCACACAUGUGUUCAUCCAAUUCUCUCAAACCAGGGCUCUGAUGCCAACUUGAAACAUCCCAAAAAUCAUGAAAAAAAUUUCAUUAUUAAUUCCAUUCCAAAUCCAUAAAUUACACAAUAAUAUAGUUUUCCAAAAACAAAAAUCAUGAAUUAGAGUAUCCCAAAAUCAUAAGUCAAGUAAGAAUCCAUGAUGAUGUGCACAAUCAAUCCUUCUCCUUGCCAUGUCCUCUGAAGUACCUGAAACCAUAAAGUUAAAUUGUAAGCGAGGGCUUAGUGAGCUCCCCCAAAAUACCCCAUACAAUACUAACAAGAACUAUACAUUCAAUAGGGUUUGUUGUCCCACGGCCUCAACCCGACCGUCCAGAGUUUGUUGGCUUACAGCCUCAACUCAACCAUCCUGGUUUGUUGGUCUAUUGUAAAAGCAAGUACACCUCAACCACCCAUCUAGGGUUUGUUGGCCUCCCAACUCAACCCAACCACCCAACAGAUAUACUAUAAUCAACAAUUACAAGUAAUCAUAUAACUUUGCCAAUCUAACAGGUUACUAUAGCAUAGAACAUCCUAUAUACUAGGAUACAUAACACAAUCUAGUGGGCCGACUUUGGUGCAUUCGACCCAUGAGUAUAAUGAGGAAAACUCACCUCACAAUCUCAAAGAUAGUUCAAUUGAUCACCGCUCCAACACUGACUCUACAGAUCAUCUAUACCACAACCAAAGACCAAGCCUCAAUCCACUACUCAAAAUACCCUAAAUGACCUAAAUCCAAACUUGGUCGAAGUCAACAAUCAAUUGUCAAAAGUCAAAAGUCAACCAUGUUGUAUUAGGUGUCUAAGCCCAUAACUAUAAUUGAUAAAAACUUGAGUUGAUACUAGCACAGUCCUUUUGGGUUGCCCUCAAACCUAGCAAUUGGGCAUGAUGAUUUUUGGAGAGAGAGAUUGAUUUAUUAUUUGAUUAAUAAACUAAAAUAAAUAAUUUACCAAUAUAUUAUGAGAAUAAUAUAUUAAUUAGAAAUAGUAAUAUUUAAUUAAUAACUAAUCAGAAAUUAAUUUUGGGAUUAAUAGAAUUAAUUAAAAGUGCAGGGGUUAAAGUGUAAUUGUUCAAUAGUUGAAUAAGAGGCACUCUAGAAUAUUCCUAGAGGCUAGGACGGUUUUUAGGAUGCCUUUAGGGUUCUAGAAUUAUCCUUGUGUAAAAACAAUAAUGAGAUCGAUAGAUUCUAUAUUAAUGACAUGAAUUAAAGACAAGAAACAAUGAUCAAAAGUAAGUCGAAUGAUUAGAUUCAAACAACUCUAGAAGAGUUGUCAAAGAUGGAACUUCUCUGUGAGAGCAUAAAAAAAUGGCGUUUAGAGUUAAAAGACGUCCACCUAAAAUGUUACAUGCAUGCUAUAUUUAUAGACUACGAUACUAGACAAUUCCGAACCUGGACAGGCCCAUUUUGGAAUAAACAAAAUAAUAAAGCAUACAUUUGACACAACAUAAUAAACCUAAAAAUCUCCCCUUUGUGUCAAAUUCAGAAGGAGUGUAUUCAUUGUCUUCGCUGAGCGUCGAACAGUUUAGCCAUUAAGUUCAGAAGUGUAUUCCGGACACACAAGUACCAUCUGAUCAUAUCCGAGAAGCAUUUGAGAUCAGCAAAAGUGUUUGCUUUGCAUGCUUAAGGCAUAGAAGAAUGGUCUUCAGAGUGGAUGUAGAAUACAAAUGUUUGUCUCGCAGAAAGAACAUACUCUUCUAACCUACUUCUCCUUCCUUUCUAUUGUAAACAAUGCUCCAAUGCUCUUUUAUGAUAAUUCCAACUUUCAGCUUCUGAACAUCCUUCGGUUGCUCUUCUGGCAUCAAGAUCAACCUCUUUUUCAGAACGGAUUUAAUCUCAACAUCCAUCUUCACAAUUUCAAGGAUGUAACAAAUGCGUAUCCUUUUCAAAUGCGCUACGAUAGGCUCGUAUUUCGUUUUGUCUUUCAUAAUAAUGUAGAACAAUUAGAUCCAAUCACAUGGGUUCAUACAAGGCAGGUCUGCCAAGGUGAACUCAUCCACAACGUGAUUAGUUCCUUUGAAUCUCUUGAAUUGUAUGUUCAAAAAGUCCUUGGUCCGAAAAGGCAAUUUAACCCUUACUGCACUUAUCCUCUUCAAGCUCCAAGAGUUGUAUUGUGGCUUGGCAUACUUCUACGAUAGGCUCCAAGACUUCUCUACGUUCUAAAAACAACGUAAGAGAAUUUCCCUUGGUGUGAUGGGAAAAUCAAAUUGAGAUUCCACAUCACUGGUCAAAUCAAUCAAGAUCGAGGGCUCCAGCCAAUAGAUGUUUGGAUCGUCAAUUGCCACUUUCUAAAUUCGCUCUACUGAACGAGGAAAUAACGACUUUUGAGUUUCAAGCAUGAGCUUCACAUUUUUAGUCUCAGCUUCCUGUGUUUCCAAUUUCUUCCCAAGAGCUUCGAGAUUAUCUAGCUCUUUAUCACUCUUCUCCAUAGCAAUCCUUUCGGAUUCAGUCAUCUUCGGAUUUUCUCCAGUUUCAUCUUCCAUAACAACUUUACCUUUAUCUUGAUCUUUUCCAGAACCAUAAGAUACCUUAUCCUUCUCUUCGGUUUCGGUCUUGGGUUGUUGAUCCUUGUCUCCCCCUUGUUUUGUAAGAGCCCCGCUUCCUGAAACACGUUCGAUUCGAUUCAACAUAGCAAAGACCGGUUGUAGCUUUUGUCCAAUAAUUACUGUUGAAUCAAGACUGUGAACAAGGAGUCACGAGUCUCAAUAAGCCUCAUCAGAUACUGAUUGAUCUCGGAAACAUAGCUUUUAACUAUUGUUCUCUCGUUUUCAAGAUCAACAACAUGCUUGGUAGCAUUUUUCAGUUUCUCAGAAAGGACCUUUGCUUUCUGAGUUUUCUCAGCCAACUGAUCCAUGAUUUUGUUUUUAGCUGCCAAGUCUUGUGCGGCUUUUCAAUCUUUUUGAGAACAGAAGCGUUAAGUUCCGCAUUAUCGACUUUGAUUUCAGAAUGAACAAGUGAGAGUGUCUCCUUCUCAGCUUGUAAAGAAGUACAAAAUCAUGUGAUCGCCUUGUUUAUGGCUUCGGUAUUUUUGUCAGAGGAGCUUCUGAAUUCAACCAUAAAAUUAGUCACCUCCUGAGAUAGUUUUUCAACUUUUGCGGUCGUUUCCGAAAUGGUCUUUUCAGAAGUUCAAACUUCCUUGGUUGCUUCUUCAAGGACUUUGGCGUUUGUUGAUGUAAUCAACUUCAUAGUAGCUUUAUGAGUUGUCAACAUAUAUUCAAACUUAGAAGAAGAUGGAGAUGUGGAAGACUCUAAAAGAGAAUCCAGUUUUUCAUUUAGUUUCUUGAACUGACCUUUUGUCAUUGGGGCAUCAUCAUCAUUGCUAUUGAGGUUGAUGGUAAAUGGACUGAACAAGAAAUCCGAAAUAGGCUCCUGAUCAUCUCCAAAUAAAAUAUAUUCUUCCUCGUUGAAAGGAGAAGUGGGAGUAGUGACUUGAUCCAAAGUUACACUGAUGUUGACAUUUUCCCUCGCAUCAGAUGCAUUGACAGGAAUGUCUGAAGCCCUAGUCGCCUCCGUAAUGGAGUUGACAAUUGGAUCUUUCGAAGGAGUAGAAAUAGAUGAUGUGGUUGGACGAUUGGAAUCGGUAAAGAUUGUGGAGGUUAAAUGGAUCGAGAUAUGAGGAAGAGAAAUUCCAACAUAAGUCUUUUGAUUUAGUGGGGGGAUGGAGGAAAUCGUAAUUGUGGUUGUAAUUGGUGAGGAUGGUGGAGUCUUUGUAUGAAAAUCGUCUGAAGGAGGAACAGAUGAAGAAGUUGGAGAUGAUACCUUCGGAAUAGGUUUUGUAGGAGUUGGUUCAGAAGCGAUUGCAGUAUCUUCCUACUCAUUCCGAAGUGGUCAACAUCUUGAGGCUCUGCUAAAGUCUCUCAUCUGACUCAUCUUGAAGAACCGGAGAUGGAGAUCUUGGUUUCUUAGCGAGCUUCAUUGACUUCUUUAUAGCUUUAACAACUUUAGAAAGAGCUGCUUUUGCCUUUCUUUUGCCCCCCUCCCCUCUUUGUUUUGUUGCCCUAGUCUAUCAGCUUUCGUAAUUCAUCUGACAUUGGACGAACACCAGACGAUGGCAAACUCCGAUAUGCGUUCACAAUAACAUUAUCAGAAGGAACCUUGACCAACAUCUCUUCCAGUAUUGUACCAAUAAAGGUGAAGUUCCCGAGAUCUGACAUCAAAAACAUAUAUGUUUGGAGUGUCGGAAUUGCUACCAUAACUAAAUUAGUCAUCAAUGGGACCUUGAAGUGGCCUAGGGCACGGUUGACAACUAUUGACCAAAAUAUGGCACAUGAAAUCUUUGUGUGGCGAGUAGCGGAGACCGUUCUCUAAAUGAUUUGAGCCCAUAAAAUUGAUCCAUAAUCGAGAUUAACACCGUGGUAUAGCUCGUAAAUAAGGGUAUAGAAUAGUUUACUUGCAUUGUCUAAACCUGCAACCCUCUCUGAGACACUCUUGAAUAGGAGAGUGAACAAUCCAUUCCACAUUGAGGGAAGGAAGGGUUUCCUGAACUUGGAUAAUAAGGAGAUAUCCCUAGUGUAACCCAUAUGAUAAAACAUCUCAAUUAGGGCAUUGCUUAGAAUCGAUUCUGAAUCCACAUGAACUCUAGGGAAAGUGAGCCCUAGAAGUUUGCUAAAGUGAGGCUUGGUGAUCGAGGUCUUUUGUGAAGCAACCUCAAGGUGAAUAAAAUCUUCUGCUUUUCUGUAGAUUGCAGAGGAGUGAGCCUUGGAUUAUUGAAUCAAUGGAACAAAGUAUGCCAUUGUUAACACCUGAGCCAGUGGCGAGAACUUGAGACACUCGAUUAUCAGUCGGAGAACUUCAUUGUAGCGUAAGGAAUCAAGAUCGAUGAUCAUGUUUUGGUCGUGCUUUACAACGAGCAUGAUGACAAAGGUUGAUUGGCCAGCAAAUGAUAUGUGCUCAAAUGAUAUGUGAUGAGUGGAUGACAAAGGCUGAUUGGUCAUGCUUUUAGGGGUUUUUGCUUUGAGGGUUUGAGAAGUGUGUUUACGAUGAGAGAAAGUGAACCAUCAAAAACCCUUUUAUAUGAUAUGUGAUGAGUGAAGAGUGAAAACCGCCAUUCCACAUUCCCGUAACCAGUAAAUUUAGCAUGUAAAAUCGUGCCAGCUCAUCAAUAAGUGUCAUAUGCCGCUGUAACAGACACACGUGUUGUCAGAGAAUUCAAAAGUCGCGCCUGAUUUGAUUUUUCGUCUCCAAGAAACCGUUGUUUCGGUAUUGACACAUUCAGAAUCAUCAUACAGUUCACCAGCUUUGAGACCAAGACCUAUUCUCAGAAUUAAAGUAACCAUUCGGAAUUAGAACUAGACUUUGAAAAAUCACAAGGAUUUUUGUGCAAGAGUAUGCCAAAGAUAAAGAAAUAAAGAAAAAUUAAUUUUAGGGAUUCUGUAAUGUCAACAAGAUUGACAUGAAAAUCAGAUGGAUCCCGGACCGAUCUUUCCUUCUGAGUCAAGAGAGACUCUGAAGUGCUUGUAGAGGUAUCCCAUUGAAUUACAAUCACCAGUUUAUUAAGAAACUAUGAAAGGCUUCUUUUAAUAGGCUUUAAGGGUGGCUUAAGCUUCAACCAGAUUCCAAAACUUGACAUAAGUCCACAGACCUGAAAGAAGUACUUAUUUGACCAGUGUAUCCAUAAGAACAAGUAAGCCGUGGAUAUUCUUUAAGUGACUGGAUAUGAAGAAAAUCUCAAAAAAAUGGAUCUUAUUGGGAAGAAAUGUCUUAGGUCGAGAGUAUUUCAUUAAGAUCACUCAAAAAGAAAAUUGAGAUUUCAAAUUAAGAACAGUACAACCAAAAAGGUUUUAUGCGUCAAUUACUUGCUGAAAAUAUCUAGAACAUUUAGUUGUUCACCGUCAAUUCAAAAGUAGGUUUCAGAUUUUGGGUUUCACUCAAAAUCGUGGUGAUAACAAUUUUAAGAUCAUGAACACAGAUGUUGUGUAACCAUAAACCUCAGUGGUAAUAUCUGAGAGUCUCAAGGGUUACGUUUAUGAAUACAAAAUUGAUGGAGAAAUUGUAUAGAUUGGUUCCAAAGAAGAUAUUGUACCUCUACUAUAAAUGAAUGACCAAGGGGUAUGGAUGCCAUAUGGGUUAUUGUGGACAGACUGACGAAGAGUUCCCACUUCAUUCCGAUCUCUGAGAGCAUAUCCGUUGAGAAAUUAGCAGAUAUUUACGUGCGAGAGGUGGUUUCUAGGCAUGGGGUGCCAGUGAUAGUAGUCUCUGACUGGGAUGUCUGAUUUACAUCUAGAUUCUAGAGGAAAUUGCACGAGGAACUGGGCACUUAGUUACUUUUCAGCAUGGCUUACCACCCCCAGACAGAUGGCUAGAGUGAGAGGACGAUCCAAACACUCGAGGAUAUGCUUCGGGCAUGCAUAUUGGAUUUUGGAGGGAGUUGGGAUACAUACCUCCCACUAGCAGAGUUUUUAUACGACAAUACUUAUCAUGCUAGUAUCGAAUGACCACUAUUUGAGAUGUUGUAUGGUCGGAGGUGUAGGACCCCUAUUUGUUGGGGUGAGGUAGGGCACCGAGUCAUGGGUAACAUCGAGGUGGUGGUCAAGACUAUUGAGUUGAUUCAGCAGGUGCGCGACCGGCUACGAGUCACACAGAGCCGUAAGAAGAGCUAUGUUGACCUGCAUCGAUUGGACCUUGAGUUCCAAGUGGGGGACUUUAUUUUACUGAAAGUGUCGCCAUGGAAGGGAGUCAUCAGGUUCUGGAAGAGAGGCAAGUUAGGGCCCUUAUAUAUUGGCCCAUUCAGGAUUUCGGCCCGGGUAGGCAAGGUGGCUUACCGUUUGGAUCUACCGGACGAGCUUGGCCAGAUACAUAACACCUUCCAUGUGUCCUAGCUUCGGAAGUGUGUCAUAGACUAGGUCGCAGUUGUUUCCAUGGACGACAUUCAGGUAAAUGAGAGCCUGAACUACAUUGAGAGGCCCAUUGCGAUUCUGGAUAGGAAGAUUAAGGUUCUUAGGAACAAGGAGGUGAAGUUAGUGAAGGUGCAAUGGCAGCACCGAAGAGGCUCCGAAUGGACAUGGGAGCCGGAAGAGGAGAUGCGAGAUCACUACCCAGAUUUGUUUCUGCCAGCAGACUUCGAGGAAGAAAUCUAGGUCAAGUGGCGGAGAUUUGUAAUGCCUGCUCCAGUUAUCAUUUUAUUUUUAAGUAUUAGGGUUUUGUACUGGGACUCGACGAGUUGGGGAGCCUAACUCGACGAGUAGCUAUCGAUUUUGUACGCAGGACUUAGGGUCUACUUGACGAGUUGGAAGGCCCCAACUCGACGAGUAGACAAUGUAAAGGAGAACCCUCAUUUGCAGGGGUUUGUACCCUAUUUAAGGAACUUAUGAGUCAUUUUUGGCCUCCCUCAUCAUCCUAUCUAUUCAGGGAGAAACCCUAGUCGCGCUUUAGUGCCUUAUUGAGUGUGUGUGAGCUUUGGAGAGUGAAUCUUGUGCUUUUUGGAAUCCGGCAUCUACCUGGUGUUAGCAUCCAUUUGGAGGUAAAAAGUUGCUACUUUGAUCUCUAUUUGCUUAGAUCUCAUCUUAUGGAAGAAUAUGGUCACUUUUGGUGCAAAGGAUGUCAUACUCGGAUUUGGACUUGUCAUGAGGAUAUGGUUACAGAUCUGGAAACCUCUAGGUCCUCAUAAACAUAAAGUUGCUCCCUUUACCUAGUCUAGUCCCCUUUCCAUGCUCUAAAUAUUGUAUGAACCCUAGUUUUGGUGUUUUAGCCAUUUGAGGCCAUGCAUUCAUGUAAAGUUUGCAACUUUACGUGGUAUUUCGGUCUUAAGGUACUGGAUCCGUAGUUUGGAGGUUUGGAAUCAACUAGAAGGACUAAUUAUGUUGAGGCAAGGGAAAACUCGUCGAGUUACCCUGGCGACUCGAUGAGUUGGAUCGGGUUUCCCAGCCUUUUGGAUAUUGAGUGAACUCAUUGAGUUGAUGAGACAACUCGACGACUUGGCUAGGGUUUGUCCCGGUUUUCUGGACUCUGAAGGAACUUGAUGAGUUGCUAGAUGCACUCGACGAGUUAGGGUCAACAUAGAUUGUUGACAAUGACUGUUGACUUGGAUUUUGACUAGGGUUGACCAAGUUUGACCUAGAGGGUAUUUUUAUGGUAUUUCGGGAUUUUGACAAGUUAAUCACAUGAUGGUUAUAGGCAGUUGAGUUGGAGUUGUGCGUUAGGUCUUAUCGGAUCUUAUCUUAUCAGUUCAACAUUUUGAGAAGGUGAGUCUCCUCACCAUACCAAUGGGUCUAAGGUGUUGGAUUAGUGUCUAAGCCCAUAACUAUAUUUGGUAAGUAUUUGACCCGGUUGUGCAUGGUCCUUUUGGGUUGCCUUCACCAUAGCAACUUGACAGGGUAAUUUAUGGAGAGAGAGAGAGAGAGAGAGAAGAAAUUAUGAUUUAUUAAUAUAUUAUAAGAAUAAUAUAUUAAAAGAGAAAUCAUAUUAUUUAACUAAUAUUGGUCAUAAAUUAAUUAGGAAUUAAUUUGGUGGCUAAAAUAGAUUAAUUAAAUAAAGGGACAUAGAUUGUCAAAUGUGUGAUAGUUAAGUUUUGGGCUGGGAAACAUAAUGGACUAAGGGGGAACGAAAUUAUGAUGAAGGAUCUUCAUAUUUUCGUCCAAGGCCCCAUUUUAGAAGGUUCCAUGGGCUGCUUGGUGAUUAAGUUGUCCAUUAGGGUUUUGGCAGAAACCCUAGCAGCCUACAGUAUAAAUAUGACCCUUGGGCUAUGAAAAUCAGCUACACUUAAUAUCAAGAGAAACCCUAGGCCGAUUUUAGCAUUCCCUCCUCUCUCUCUCAUAAUUGCCUUCUUGCUAGUUGGUGUUUGUAAGCCAUUAGAGGAGUUACACUUGUGACUCUAAGCUCCAAGACAGGAAGAAUCAAGAAGGAAUCAAGCAAUCAACAAAGGUAAUCAUCUAGAUCUGAUUUCUUAUGUUAAAUUUGUUGGGUUUUGAGCAUUCUAACACACCUAAGUAUACAUGCAACCCUAAAUACCUUGGAUCUAUGUUUUCUUUAUUAUACACGCAAAUAUGAACUUUCCAAGGUAUUCAUCCUAACUAGCAUAAUAACAUUGAUUCAAAUGAACAUAUCAAGUUAGAAUUACAUACCUCUUUGAUGUAGAUUGUCUUCAUGAAGCUUGAGUGCCUAAUGCCCCACGUGUGACACCUCAAAUGGUUCACACAACACCAAAUGGACAUGGAAUGACUUGAGAGAACAUACACACUUCAUGAAAUCGGCUAGCCCUUCAUUCUCACUCAUAGUGGCCGAUUUCUUGAGCCAUUUGAUUCUUUUAUAUGGUGGUUAUUAGGGUUACACCAUGUAACACAUAACUUUACCCAUUCCUUAUGCUCCAUGGAUUUUAACCUCCAUGGAGUAUCCAUGGGUCACCCCAAGGACUUAGUCCAACAUAAGUAAUCUUGGAUCACAAGCCCACAUAUAUAAGAAUGAAUGAUUUGCACAAUCAACCCAUAUAUUUAAUUAGUCUCCUUUUGAUCACUUAAUUAAUUCCAAAUUAAUUCUUUGAUCAAUACUAAUUAAAUAACAUUAUUAAUAUAUUAGAACUUAUAAUAUAUUAACCAACCUUAAGUGUUAUUUCUUUCAUUAUAGUCUAUCCAAAUGCAUGAUGCCAUGCAACCCAAAUGGACCAUGUCGGGUCGGUUCAAGUCUUACCAAUUAUAGUUAUGGACUUAGACAUUAAUCCAACAAAAUUUCGAGUUCAUAAUAUUAGAUCUAGGGUUUGCGAGUCUUGGAUUCAUUGCAUGUACAAUAGAGAAGCCUAGAUCCAAGCAUUAGGGUUUGCAAGAGCACAUAGGAUGUUUAUUUGUGUAAAUCCCAACAGUGGUAUCAAAGCCUUGAUUGGCUUCUAUUGUAUUGAUGCCUUGUUUAUUUUUUCAAGCUUUAAAAUCGAUUUUUAUGCCUUCUUCCUGAUGAACUCGAAGAGUUCCAUGAGGAACUCAACGAGUUGGAUGAACUCUACGAGUUCCAAAGUGGACUCGACACAGAAAGAUUUUCGGGAUUUCUUGCUGUCUUGCUUAAGGAUACCAACCUAAAUUGUUUUGGUUCAAUAAAUUCUGAAUUUUAUUACCUUUUUGUCAAUAUCCUUAACAAAACAAAAGAUAAUUGCCAAUUAAUUGAAUGAUAAAUUCCUUAUUUGAUAAUAUUUGAUUAUUUGAAUUUAUUUGGUGAAUUAUCUUAAUCUUGAUUAGGUCAAAUCUAGAUAAUCAUUAAAUUAAUUGUUUAAUUUAAAAUUAUUUGGUUUUUGAUCCUUAUGUUUUGAAAAGUUCAAAACUUGUCCUCAAGUUUUGAAAUUAAAAUUUUUGCCCUAAAAGUUUAAUUUAAAUUAUUUAAAUUUCAAACCCUAGAAUUUUAGAAGUUUAAAAUUCAUCCUAUACAAUUAUAUUAUUACAAGAUUAAUAUAUAUAUAUAUAUAUAUAUAACUUAAAUGCUAGUCUUCCUGUUAAUAGGCCUCAUUCACGAAGCCGAUCUAUAAGGGGGGGUAUAAGGUUAUGGCUUAUAAAAUGACCAUUUANUGAUAAGCAAGGGUGUCGAACACAAGGGGAACGGUAGUAAAUUAAUUUAAAAUAUUUGAUUAUAGGUCACACGGGACACAUAAAAGCAGUAUAGAAAUGGUUUAUUAAAUCUCAAACGAACAACUAAUUAACAAAUCUCGAUAAACUAACAGUGAAACAAAUCUCUUCAGGUACUUUGGUUUAGAUAAAUUACACCUUAAAAGCAUAGACAAUUGCAUACACAAAUUCAUUUGUUCAUGUUCACCGAUUCCUAAAAUGAUUAGAUUCACGUUCACUAUUACUAAUCCUUUAGCAAACAAGUUAAUUCAAACAAUGAUCAAUUGAUUAAACUAACAUGCUUCCUAGUGUUCAGUUCGUAUCAAGCAAGACUUGUAAUAAUAGUUAAUCAAAUUACUAAUUCAAUUAACCUCUUGUUGAUGGUUUAUCACACAAGGCUCACAUGUUAACUUACUUAUUUCCGAGUUAAUCCUAGUUUCACAUUCGUUAUUCCUAGACAUAUAAUCUUGAUGGUCAUCAAAAUCCUAAGAGACAAGCAAUCAAGCAGAUGUUCAUACAACUCAAUUUGCUUGGCAAUUAACAUCAAAUAAUUAUCAUUAACACGUAAGGAUCUUUUAACAAGCUUGGCAAGAUAAAUUAAACAUAAACAAACAACCCAAUAUAGCAAUUAAUCCAAUAAUCAAGGUUUCAUUCAAUCAUAAACACUAAGUAAAAGGUUUUUACACCUAAAUCAGAAAGUAAACACAUAAUAGCAUCACAAUGGAAUGCAAACAUGGUCACGAUAACAAACCACUUGAUUACCGACAUGAAUCCGCUCUCCAAUCCCUUAGAUCUUCGUUCCUAUCAGCUUAACGGCCUUCCGGCCGCCUUUUAGACCCUCAAAACGGCAACUAUGAAGUUGUCUUGUUGCACAAGUCGAAGUGGAAUAUCAUAGAUUAUGAAAAUGGUGGAAUGAUAUGGGGUAUUUAUAGUUGAUGGAUAUGGAAUUUAUAUGAAAUAUUAGAGUUGGAUUGGAAUAAGGAAACUAAUGGUGGCUUAGGGAUUAAGCAAAUAAAAAUAAGAGAAGUGGUGCUUGGGGAAUAAGUAACUUGGAGGGAAUUUCCAUCCAGCUUUUAUGCUUCAUAUUCAAGGCCGAUUUUGGAUAAGAUAAGUGUAGAAUUUGCCAAAAGUCCCUCUCACAUAAGGCGUAGGAAAUUUCAUCUAGUUUUCAGAACAUAUUGAAUCUUGUCAAUUGGACUUAUGAGUCAUCAGAUAUACCUGAAACACCGAAGAGGGGUCAAUCUGCCAGCAAUAUCCUUUUUGCAUCUUUUCAGCUCCAUUCUCUUCCUUUUGCAUUCCGGCUACCAUUUUUACCGUAAUUGAAUAUUUCAAAGCAUAUUAAGUAUCUUUUAGUUCUAAAUAACAUAAAAACAUAGUAUAAAAUAAUAAGAAAACAUCAUAAAUAUAUGCAUAAAAUAGACGUUAUCAAACUACCCCACACUAGCCUUUUGCUUGCCCUCAAGCAAAUCUGAUUUUAUUAUCUCAUAAAUAUCGCANCGUAUAACUUAAAUGCUAGUUUUACCGUUAGUAGGCCUCAUUCACGAAGCCGAUCUAUAAGGGGGGUAUAAGGUUAUGAUGUAACGCCCCGAUCCUCAGGUAUUUCUUUAUUAUGAAUUUCUGGAUAAAGCUCUACUCGACGAGUUGUUCGACCUACUCGUCAAGUAGCAACGGGGUGAGAACGCGUGUUUAGUGACCUACUCGGCGAGUCCACUAUUGGGACUCGGCGAGUAGGAGCUGGCAGAUGAAACCCUAAAUCUCAAGGUUUGCGCCCUAUUUAAAGGAGCCUUAACCUCCUUUGGGCUUCCUUGCAGUCUUUGAGAUCCCUUAUUAACCCUAAUUUGUGUGUGUGUGCCUUAGAGUGGUUUUGAAGCUUGGAAGAGAGGAUUUUAGAAGAAGGGAUUUAAGAGUGCAAAGGAAAUUGAAGCAAGAUAGGAGGGGGAAACAGGUUUUGCCUCAGCUAGCAUCUUUUGAAGGUAUCAAAGUGCCAUUCUUACUUGCUUUUCUUUCCUCUUGUUGAGUUCUAGGGCUUUUUAUGGAUUUUCAAGUUGGGAUGUUGAGCUAUAGGCUAGAUCUGAAGUUGUAACUUCAGAUAUGGACCCUCCUUGGGUGCUAGAGUCAUAAAGUUGCUGUAUUGGUUGUAGAUGAAGUCCCUCUUGGACUAAAAGCUCCAUUAAGAACUUAAAAUAGACUUUUGGAGCCCAUAUAGCCAUGCAUGUACGUAAAGUUUGCAACUUUACGUGAUAAGUAUGCUCUAGAAGCUUGGAUCUGUGACUUGGAGCCGCUGCAUGGCUCAAAACAAAUUUGGAUGGAAAGAGGAUUGAAUUGACUCGGCGAGUCACAAGGGUGACUCGGCGAGUCCCAUGAAGAUGGUCAUUGAGCUCGGCGAGUUGGAUGAACAACUCGGCGAGUCCGAUGAAGAUCGCCAUAAAACUCGACGAGUUGAAGAACGACUCGGCGAGUCAAAUGACUUUUCCCUUGGAUAGACUUGUGUGUGUACCCGUCGAGUUGCAGGGGGAAACUCGACGGGUGGCCCUUAAGGAUUGAUCAGGAUUCGAAGGAACUCGACGAGUUACUCCGGUGACUCGGCGAGUUGGAAUGUGCUCCAUGAACUCGGCGAGUGGCCGAGUGCACUCGACGAGUAGAGGUCAACAAUGACUGUUGACCUUGACUGAGGACUCUGACCUUGAUCAGGAAUUUCCAAGAGGUUAUGGGGUGUCUCAUAAGGGUAAGAACUUAUGAGUAUAUUGUGCUAUGGUUAUAGGUGGUGGAGCCGGUGUUAAGUGAUCCGAUAGUUGGAGUUUGCAUUUCUAUCGACAUCUGCGAGGUGAGUUAUCCUCAUUAUAUCGAUAGGGUCUAGGGCACCAAGGCCGACCCUUUUUGAUUUACAUCCUGGGUUAGGAUGGUUGCUUUGUUAUUGCCAUGAUAGACUUCAUCAUGGUAUAGGAUGGGUGUUAUGUUAUUGCUUUGCUAGAAUUUAUCCUGUUUAGGAUGGUUGUUAUACUAGAGAUCGGUAGUUAUGGUAUGCUGCAUAAGAUUUUGAUCUAUAGGGUCGGAAUCAGGAUAGAUAGUAUGUUAUGCUUUUAUGAUCCGUGAGGAUUGGUAUGUUAGUGACCUGUUAGGUCGAUACUCUAGCUAUGACUGAAACUCUAUGAUUGAUGGUAAAAGAGAUAAAUAUGUUUGCUAUGUGUACAUGCCAGUAUAUGAUAGUAUGCGUACAUGGUUAGUUGCUUGUUGGCUGGGUUGAGGCGGUCCUGCUUUGUGCUAAAGGCCAACACACCCUCUGAGCGGUCCGGGGAGACUAUAGGCCCACGCGGCGGACCAGUCAUGCCGAAGGCUCAGGAUAGAUUCAGAUAGAUUGUAGGCCCAGUAGGGCGGACCAGUCCGGCCGAUGGCCCAGUAUGUAUGUUGUUUGAUUGAUCGUUAUGGCUAUGGUUCUGCCAUUGUGGUAUUGGUAUUUUGGGGGUAGCUCACUAAGCCCUCGGGCUUACAGUUUUCAGUUUAUUGUUUUAGGUACUUCAGGAGAGCGAGGGAAGGCGAAGGCGUGACCGCACCGCUCCUCAUACCCAUGAUUUAUUUUGGGACACUUUGAUGAUAAAUGAAUUCGUAAUGUUUUGUAAAAACAAUUACUAUUUGACUCUUUUGUUAGUAUUAAAAGUUUAAAUUUGGCGUAAAUUUUAUGGGUGUUAUAUAUGACCUAUAAAAUGGCCAUUUAAUGGGUGUCCACUCUCACCCACCGCUUCCUUGAUUGGUGGAGGGUCGUUAGCCGAACGGGUAGAAUAGGGCAAUCAUUUCUCAUUAAUAAGUACAAUGAAUCUAUAUAAAGUAACUAAAAGUUUUUACAAAAUUCCCAAUCUUAGUUACUUUAGGCAAACUGAAUUGAUGCAAUCCCAUGAAAUUACACUUUGUACCUUUGCUAAGGAGUUAGUGGAGCGUAUGUGGUUAACCGGCACACUAAUUGGUUCUAAGAAAAUGUGGCAAAGGGUGACUCAUUGUUUUUCAUAGUUUGCUGGAGCGUGUGUGGUUAACUGGCACAUCAAAUAGGUGACUAUAACAAUGAGGGCACCAUGUACAUAUACAUGGUUAUUCACACCCGCUUUGUGAUCCUCGGCAUCCCAGUCACAAACUAGAGGGGCAUAUCGAGAUUUAAACAUGCCAUUGAAAAGUCCAAUGAAUCUCAAAGGAAUCUAUGAAUUUUUCAAUACAUUUAAAACUUAAGACUUUUAUGUUUUUCAUGGCGGAGAAUUAGUGAAUCGUCAUUUACUUACCUUUAAAUUAUUUGCAUGUUAGAUUACGACAUCCCUUUUCUAAUGUGUAAAUAAUGUUGUUGGAUCCCAGCCCUAAUUUCUCAUUUUGGGUGCUUAAUUAGGGAUUCAUUUCUAAUCAACUUUGUUCUUUUCUAUUUUAGAUGUCGAACUCAAACAACAACAAUGCUUCCGGCUCGAACUCCUCCGGCUCGUUCUCACUCAUGAAUUUGUGUGGGAGAGUGAUCUUUGACGGGUCCAAUUUCAAUGAUUGGAUCCGUAACAUUCGAAUGGUCAAUCGUUACGAGGACAAAGAGUAUGUACUCGAAAAGGAGCCGAAGGAGGUGAACAUCAACACUGCUACUCCCGAAGAGAUCGCUGCAUUUGAGGCCCAUGAGCGUGAUGCUACGAAAGUCCAUUGCAUCAUGCUAGCGACAAUGACUGUUGAACUUCAGAAGUCCUACAAGGACUACUAUCCCAAUGAGAUGCAUCAAGACUUGGUGGACCGUUACCACCAAAGCACGAGGCAAGAGAGGUAUGAGAUCAUCACUUCGAUGAUCACUGCCAAAAUAGGCAGUGGAGAGUCCAUUACCGCUCAUCUGCAAAAAAUGCAGAGAUAUGUUGACCGGCUGCUGAAGUUGAAUGUUAACUUUGAUGAAGAGCUGGCAAUUGACAUUAUCCUUCACUCUUUGCCUCCUUGCUCCAACCAGUUCCCCAUGACCUAUCACAUGAAUAAGGAAGAGGUCACCUUGAGCAAACUUCAAGGAUUGCUUAGGACUGUUGAGAGCAAUCUCAAGGACAAGUCUGUUGCAUCAACUCCCACUCCAACCGUUGCUCCUAUUUUGGCCAUUGGGCAAGGGAGAGGCAAGAAGAGGAAGGCUCCUUCAACAAGCCACCACAAGGGAAAAUCCCAAUAUGGUACCUCUUCUAGUGGAACCAAAGUUGGUUCUGCUAAGCCCAACUCUAACCCAAAGGAGGCAGAGUGCCACCACUGCCACAAAGUAAGGCAUUGGAAGAGAAGUUGCCCGGAAUAUCUGCAAGCCAUCAAGGAUGGGAAGAUCAAGCCAUCUUUUGCAGGUAUCUACAUAAUUAAGUCUAAUGAUUCAUCACAUUCUAUUUCUUAGGUUCUUGAUAUAGGAUGUGGUUUUCACAUAUGUUCUGAUUUGCAGGGACUAAGAAGAGAUAAGGAUGUGGAGCGUGGAAGAAUAAAUUGAAUCAUGGGGAACCAAAGAUCGUCGCCUGUCACCAAGAUUGGAAUGUAUUCUAUAGCGCUUAGUAAUGGAUUAGGUUUAGAUUUAAAUAAUUUUUGCUAUUCGCCAGAUAUGGCAAGAAACAUCAUUUCAUUUCAUGGUUUGUUUAGACAAGGAUUUAGAUAUUCGUUUAAUAAUGAGAAAGGUUAUAUUUAUGAUUAUCUAAAUGGUGUUUUUUUUAUUUUGAAGCAUUGCCUUGUAAUGGAAUGUAUGAAAUAGUUAUGGUUGUAGAUAACCUAGGAAAUGAUGUAUUGUGUGUGGAUUCUUCCAAUAGUAUGGAUAAAGCAUGCUUGUGGCAUUGUCGUCUUGGAAAUGUCAACAAGAAACGCAUAGCCCAACUCCAAAAGGAUGGAGUGUUGGAGUCAUUCGACCUUAGGGACGAUGACGUGUGAGAGUCUUGUUUAAUUGGAAAUAUGACCAAGUCACCCUUUACUGGCACUUGUGAAAGGGGUGAGGGUCUAUUGGAUCACAUACACAACGGUGUAUGUGGGCCCUUUAGAUCCAUAUCCUUAACUUAGUCCCUACGAAGAAGGUUGUCAAAACACCUCACGAGAUGUGAACAGGGAAAGCUCCCUCGUUGGCACAUAUCAAGGUUUGGGGUUGUGAGGCUUUCGUAAGACGAGAGACUCACGACAAGCUCGAACUUCAUAGUGAGAGAUGUAUUUUCAUCAGCUACCCGCAGAAAUCCUUUGGAUAUCUCUUCUAUAGACCAAAUGACAAUGUUGUUUUCAUUGCAAGGAGAGGAUUUUUCUGAGAGCAAGAACUCAUAAGCUAAGGAGAUAGUAGGAGGCAAAUCGAUCUUGAAGAGAUUCAAGAGCCGAGCGAUGAAGCAACCUCUAAUGCUGGCACUCAACUCGAGGAGGAAACUCAUGUUGAACCGAUUGACAAGUCCUUACCUCUUAGACGUUCCGAUAGAGUUAGGGUUCAACCCCAGUUUUAUGGUUUUCAUAUUACUAUGGAAGGGUAUACGUUUAUUAGCGAUAGUACACUAAUGAAUUUGGACGAACCUAACAGCUAUAAAGAAGCCAUGGCAGGCCCGGAGUCUGCAAAAUGGAAAGAGGCUAUAAACAGUGAGAUUCAGUCCAUGUAUGACAACCAAGUUUGGAAUUUGGUUGACCAUGUGCCCGGACGUAAGACGGUCGGGUGCAAGUGGAUCUUCAAGAAGAAGACCGACAUGGAUGGGAAUGUGCACACAUAUAAGGCGCGAUUGGUUGCGAAGGGUUUCACUCAAACUCCCAGAGUUGACUAUGACAAAACUUUCUCACCAGUUGCUAAGAUAAAGUCUAUUAGGGUGAUGCUGGCCAUUGCUGAAUUUCAUGAUUAUGAAAUAUGGCAAAUGGAUGUCAAAACCGCUUUCCUUAAUGGAAAGUUGGUUGAGGAUGUUUAAAUGGCUCAGCCAAAGGGUUUUGUCAAUGCAAAUCAUCCCAAUAGAGUGUGUAAUCUUGAGAAGUUCAUUUAUGGAUUUAAGGAUGCGUCUCGCAGAUGGAAUUUUUUCUUCGAUGAGAAAGUCAAAGAGUUUGGGUUUAUACGAAGAGAAGAUGAAUCAUGUGUAUAUGUCAAAGCCAGUGGGAGUAUAGUUAGCUUCCUCGUAUUGUAUGUCGAUGACAUACUACUCAUAGGAAACGACAUCCCGACACUGCAGGAAGUUAAGUCCUGGCUCGGGAAGUGCUUCACUAUGAAGGACCUCGGAGAGGCUUCCUAUAUUUUGGGAAUAAGAAUAGUGAGAGACCGAAGUACGAGACUAAUAGGACUUUGUCAAAAUACUUACUUGGACAAAUUACUAAAACAUUUUAGUAUGGAGAACUCAAAGAAGGGAGAAUUACCAAUCCAAAGUAAUGCCAAGUUGAGUAAGACUCAAUGACCGAGUACCGAAGUCGAGAUAGCAUAAAUGAGCCGAGUACCAUACACUUCCGCAAUUGGCUCGANUGACUCUUUUGUUAGUAUUAAAAGUUUAAAUUUGGCGUAAAUUUUAUGGGUGUUAUAUAUGACCUAUAAAAUGGCCAUUUAAUGGGUGUCCACUCUCACCCACCGCUUCCUUGAUUGGUGGAGGGUCGUUAGCCGAACGGGUAGAAUAGGGCAAUCAUUUCUCAUUAAUAAGUACAAUGAAUCUAUAUAAAGUAACUAAAAGUUUUUACAAAAUUCCCAAUCUUAGUUACUUUAGGCAAACUGAAUUGAUGCAAUCCCAUGAAAUUACACUUUGUACCUUUGCUAAGGAGUUAGUGGAGCGUAUGUGGUUAACCGGCACACUAAUUGGUUCUAAGAAAAUGUGGCAAAGGGUGACUCAUUGUUUUUCAUAGUUUGCUGGAGCGUGUGUGGUUAACUGGCACAUCAAAUAGGUGACUAUAACAAUGAGGGCACCAUGUACAUAUACAUGGUUAUUCACACCCGCUUUGUGAUCCUCGGCAUCCCAGUCACAAACUAGAGGGGCAUAUCGAGAUUUAAACAUGCCAUUGAAAAGUCCAAUGAAUCUCAAAGGAAUCUAUGAAUUUUUCAAUACAUUUAAAACUUAAGACUUUUAUGUUUUUCAUGGCGGAGAAUUAGUGAAUCGUCAUUUACUUACCUUUAAAUUAUUUGCAUGUUAGAUUACGACAUCCCUUUUCUAAUGUGUAAAUAAUGUUGUUGGAUCCCAGCCCUAAUUUCUCAUUUUGGGUGCUUAAUUAGGGAUUCAUUUCUAAUCAACUUUGUUCUUUUCUAUUUUAGAUGUCGAACUCAAACAACAACAAUGCUUCCGGCUCGAACUCCUCCGGCUCGUUCUCACUCAUGAAUUUGUGUGGGAGAGUGAUCUUUGACGGGUCCAAUUUCAAUGAUUGGAUCCGUAACAUUCGAAUGGUCAAUCGUUACGAGGACAAAGAGUAUGUACUCGAAAAGGAGCCGAAGGAGGUGAACAUCAACACUGCUACUCCCGAAGAGAUCGCUGCAUUUGAGGCCCAUGAGCGUGAUGCUACGAAAGUCCAUUGCAUCAUGCUAGCGACAAUGACUGUUGAACUUCAGAAGUCCUACAAGGACUACUAUCCCAAUGAGAUGCAUCAAGACUUGGUGGACCGUUACCACCAAAGCACGAGGCAAGAGAGGUAUGAGAUCAUCACUUCGAUGAUCACUGCCAAAAUAGGCAGUGGAGAGUCCAUUACCGCUCAUCUGCAAAAAAUGCAGAGAUAUGUUGACCGGCUGCUGAAGUUGAAUGUUAACUUUGAUGAAGAGCUGGCAAUUGACAUUAUCCUUCACUCUUUGCCUCCUUGCUCCAACCAGUUCCCCAUGACCUAUCACAUGAAUAAGGAAGAGGUCACCUUGAGCAAACUUCAAGGAUUGCUUAGGACUGUUGAGAGCAAUCUCAAGGACAAGUCUGUUGCAUCAACUCCCACUCCAACCGUUGCUCCUAUUUUGGCCAUUGGGCAAGGGAGAGGCAAGAAGAGGAAGGCUCCUUCAACAAGCCACCACAAGGGAAAAUCCCAAUAUGGUACCUCUUCUAGUGGAACCAAAGUUGGUUCUGCUAAGCCCAACUCUAACCCAAAGGAGGCAGAGUGCCACCACUGCCACAAAGUAAGGCAUUGGAAGAGAAGUUGCCCGGAAUAUCUGCAAGCCAUCAAGGAUGGGAAGAUCAAGCCAUCUUUUGCAGGUAUCUACAUAAUUAAGUCUAAUGAUUCAUCACAUUCUAUUUCUUAGGUUCUUGAUAUAGGAUGUGGUUUUCACAUAUGUUCUGAUUUGCAGGGACUAAGAAGAGAUAAGGAUGUGGAGCGUGGAAGAAUAAAUUGAAUCAUGGGGAACCAAAGAUCGUCGCCUGUCACCAAGAUUGGAAUGUAUUCUAUAGCGCUUAGUAAUGGAUUAGGUUUAGAUUUAAAUAAUUUUUGCUAUUCGCCAGAUAUGGCAAGAAACAUCAUUUCAUUUCAUGGUUUGUUUAGACAAGGAUUUAGAUAUUCGUUUAAUAAUGAGAAAGGUUAUAUUUAUGAUUAUCUAAAUGGUGUUUUUUUUAUUUUGAAGCAUUGCCUUGUAAUGGAAUGUAUGAAAUAGUUAUGGUUGUAGAUAACCUAGGAAAUGAUGUAUUGUGUGUGGAUUCUUCCAAUAGUAUGGAUAAAGCAUGCUUGUGGCAUUGUCGUCUUGGAAAUGUCAACAAGAAACGCAUAGCCCAACUCCAAAAGGAUGGAGUGUUGGAGUCAUUCGACCUUAGGGACGAUGACGUGUGAGAGUCUUGUUUAAUUGGAAAUAUGACCAAGUCACCCUUUACUGGCACUUGUGAAAGGGGUGAGGGUCUAUUGGAUCACAUACACAACGGUGUAUGUGGGCCCUUUAGAUCCAUAUCCUUAACUUAGUCCCUACGAAGAAGGUUGUCAAAACACCUCACGAGAUGUGAACAGGGAAAGCUCCCUCGUUGGCACAUAUCAAGGUUUGGGGUUGUGAGGCUUUCGUAAGACGAGAGACUCACGACAAGCUCGAACUUCAUAGUGAGAGAUGUAUUUUCAUCAGCUACCCGCAGAAAUCCUUUGGAUAUCUCUUCUAUAGACCAAAUGACAAUGUUGUUUUCAUUGCAAGGAGAGGAUUUUUCUGAGAGCAAGAACUCAUAAGCUAAGGAGAUAGUAGGAGGCAAAUCGAUCUUGAAGAGAUUCAAGAGCCGAGCGAUGAAGCAACCUCUAAUGCUGGCACUCAACUCGAGGAGGAAACUCAUGUUGAACCGAUUGACAAGUCCUUACCUCUUAGACGUUCCGAUAGAGUUAGGGUUCAACCCCAGUUUUAUGGUUUUCAUAUUACUAUGGAAGGGUAUACGUUUAUUAGCGAUAGUACACUAAUGAAUUUGGACGAACCUAACAGCUAUAAAGAAGCCAUGGCAGGCCCGGAGUCUGCAAAAUGGAAAGAGGCUAUAAACAGUGAGAUUCAGUCCAUGUAUGACAACCAAGUUUGGAAUUUGGUUGACCAUGUGCCCGGACGUAAGACGGUCGGGUGCAAGUGGAUCUUCAAGAAGAAGACCGACAUGGAUGGGAAUGUGCACACAUAUAAGGCGCGAUUGGUUGCGAAGGGUUUCACUCAAACUCCCAGAGUUGACUAUGACAAAACUUUCUCACCAGUUGCUAAGAUAAAGUCUAUUAGGGUGAUGCUGGCCAUUGCUGAAUUUCAUGAUUAUGAAAUAUGGCAAAUGGAUGUCAAAACCGCUUUCCUUAAUGGAAAGUUGGUUGAGGAUGUUUAAAUGGCUCAGCCAAAGGGUUUUGUCAAUGCAAAUCAUCCCAAUAGAGUGUGUAAUCUUGAGAAGUUCAUUUAUGGAUUUAAGGAUGCGUCUCGCAGAUGGAAUUUUUUCUUCGAUGAGAAAGUCAAAGAGUUUGGGUUUAUACGAAGAGAAGAUGAAUCAUGUGUAUAUGUCAAAGCCAGUGGGAGUAUAGUUAGCUUCCUCGUAUUGUAUGUCGAUGACAUACUACUCAUAGGAAACGACAUCCCGACACUGCAGGAAGUUAAGUCCUGGCUCGGGAAGUGCUUCACUAUGAAGGACCUCGGAGAGGCUUCCUAUAUUUUGGGAAUAAGAAUAGUGAGAGACCGAAGUACGAGACUAAUAGGACUUUGUCAAAAUACUUACUUGGACAAAUUACUAAAACAUUUUAGUAUGGAGAACUCAAAGAAGGGAGAAUUACCAAUCCAAAGUAAUGCCAAGUUGAGUAAGACUCAAUGACCGAGUACCGAAGUCGAGAUAGCAUAAAUGAGCCGAGUACCAUACACUUCCGCAAUUGGCUCGAUUAUGUAUGCUAUGACUUGUACUCACCCUGAUGUGGCCUUCGCUUUGAGCAUGGUCAGUAGAUAUCAAGGGAACCCUGGUAGAGCGCAUUGGACCGUAGUCAAGAACAUUCUUAAGUACCUUGGGAGGACCAAGGAAUGAUUUCUAGUCCUCGGUGGGAGUGAUGACUUAAAGGUGCGAGGGUAUAGUGAUGUCAACUUUCAGACCGACAGAGACAACUACCGUUCACAGUCGGGCUGGGUCUUUACCCUUAAUGGAGGAGCAGUGACUUGGAAAAUUUCCAAGCAAGAAACCGUAGCUGAUUCAACGUGCGAAUCAGAGUACAUUGCAGCGAGCGAAACAUUGAAGGAGGCGAUAUGGUUGAAGAACUUCAUUGGAGACCUUGGAGUUGUGCCUACCAUAAAGGAGCCCAUGGAAAUUUUUUGUGAUAAUGAAGGAGCGGUUGCCUUGACCAAGGAACCGAGGGAUCAUGGUAGAUCUCGACAUAUCGACAGAAAAUAGCACCUUAUUCGACAUCGGGUAGAAGGACUCCUCAUAGUGAAGAGGGUAUCGUCAGAAGAUAACCUAGCAGAUCCGCUUACGAAGGGACUGAGUAGGGUUAAGCACUUGCAGCACGCUAGGAGCAUUGGGCUGAAGGAUGAUAUUAGUUUAGAUUAGAUAGUUUAGAAACAUGUAAUAGAUAAAUGUAAUUGACAUUUGAUGAUUAAAUAAAGGAGUAUUAUUUAUAAGUAAAGUUGUUGUCUUAUGUUAAUUGUUUAACUAUUGUUUCACUUUGCAUGUUUUGACUUCCUGAAUAAUUGAGUUAUUAAUAAUAAUCGAAUUAUUCGAAUGUUCCGCAGUCGUUCAUAUGUUGGAAGUAGAUAUGAAUGAAGACUGUCAUGAAUAGGUGUGUAAAUUGUCUAAAAGGUAUUAGACAUUGGAAAGGUUUACUACAACGUUCAUGAGUGCUUAUGAACAAGUUUUGAGAAUUGGAAUAAACUCACGCUUGCAGAAAUCACUUCAUGGAAUUUAUCACGAGUGAUUGCAAGACGAUAAUAUCAUAUGGUCUUAAAACCAAGAUAUAUGGUUUAUUGUUUGCUGGUUGGUUAUACAUUGAUAAUGCUAAAAUGCAUCAGUAACUUGAAGUCAUAAAACGCAUUGUUGUGUAUGAUUUGAUUAGUGAAUAAUAAAUGCAUAUAAGUCGAAGUUUAUCUGUUCCUUUUAUCCUAAGAGGGUAAAAGCGAUAUCAGGUCCCUCGAUGAUUUAAUUUGACUUAUGUGUCGGGCCCAGUCAGGACUUAAUUGAUGUGUUAAAUUAAGUUCUAUGUCAAAUGAAUUUGAGAUCGAGAAACAAACUGUUGGACAAUAUGUAUGACUAUGUUCCAUGUAAUUGUCCGCACGAUAUCUAGAAUAAAGGACUAUACGAUCCCUUAUCUAAAGGACAAGUUACUGAUAAGAUCAGAGUUCAACAACGUCUUUGAGAGCUACGAUUGCUAAUCGGUAUAUGCUUACAUUAUAGUUACUAGACUUAUCCAAGUGGGAGACUGUUGGAUUAGUGUCUAAGCCCGUAACUAUAUUUGGUAAGUAUUUGACCCGGUUGUGCUUGGUCCUUUUGGGUUGCCUUCACCAUAGCAACUUGACAGGGUAAUUUAUGGAGAGAGAGAGAGAGAGAGAGAGAGGGAGAGAAGAAAUUAUGAUUUAUUAAUAUAUUAUAAGAAUAAUAUAUUAAAAGAGAAAUCAUAUUAUUUAAUUAAUAUUGGUCAUAAAUUAAUUAGGAAUUAAUUUGGUGACUAAAAGAGAUUAAUUAAAUAAAGGGACAUAAACUGUCAAAUGUUUGAUAGUUAAGUUUUGGGCUGGGAAACCUAAUGGACUAAGGGGGAACAAAAUUAUGAUGAAGGAUCUUCAUAUUUUCGUCCAAGGCCCCAUUCCAUAAGGUUCCAUGGGUUGCUUGGUGAUUAAGUUGUCUAUUAAGGUUUUGUCAGAAACCCUACCAGCCUACAGUAUAAAGAUGACCCUUGGGCUAUGAAAAUUGGCUACACUUAAUCUCAAGAGAAACCCUAGGCCGAUUUAGGUAUUCCCUCCUCUCUCUCAUAAUUUCCUUCUUGCUAGUUGGUGUUUGUAAGCCAUUAGAGGAGUUACACUUGUGACUCUAAGCUCCAAGAUAAGAAGAAUCAAGAAGGAAUCAAUCAAUCAACAAAUCUAAUCAUCCAGAUCUGAUUUCUUAUGUUAAAUUUCGAGUUCAUACUAUUAGAUCUAGGGUUUGAGAGUCUUGGAUUCAUUUCAUGUACAAUAGAGAAGUCUAGUUCCAAGCAUUAGGGUUUGCAUCAGCACAUAGGAUGUUUAUUUGUGUAAAUCCCAACAUAAGGAACCAAGGUUGGCCCAUUAUUUUUAUGAGAUAUGACUAUUUGGUUAUGGGAUAUGUGGUAUGCUAGUUAUUUAUCUUACUCGUAUGAAAGACCUCGGGGGGGUUCCCGAGGCACUUAUGUGUAAGACCUUGGAGGGUUUCUGUGGCAUCCUAGUAUAUUUGCUUGUGUGGCUUGUAUUUAUUUCUUGGUAGUAAAGACCGUGUGGGGGUUCCCACGACAGGAAGACCAUGUGGGGGUUCCAAUGGCAGGUAGUUAAGACCAUGUAGGGGUUCCACUGGCACUAGGUGUAAGACUUUGGAGGGUUUCCAUGGCAUCCUUAUAUGUUGUAUGCAUGACUUAUGUGGUUUAUGUAGCUUUAAUAGACGAUAUGGUAUAUGUGAUUAUGUGGACUAUGUGGGGUAUGCUUUGGGGAACUCACUAAGCAUUAACUUACAGUUUGUGGAUUUGUUUUCAGGUACAUCUGAGCCUAAGAGCAAGGGCAGAGCUUGAUAGUGCGGCAUGCACUCUUCGACAAUUUUUUUGAUGGGACACUCUGAUAUAUGAAAUAAAAUGUUGAUGCUAUGGAUUUUGAAAAUUAUUGUCAUUGAGAUUUCAUAUUUUAUGAGAAUGUUUUGGUUAAUAAAAAAUGAAGAAUUUAUUUGAAAAUUUUGGUCGUUACAGGAUGGAUACCAUAUUCCGAGAAAUGUUGUUCUUUUGAGGUAUUGGAAUAUAUUCUUUACAUCUACCAUAUGUGGUGCACGGGGAUUCUCCUGAAACCUAGCACAAUAAUAUACAACAAACAUAAUAUCAGGAUGACUUGAUGUUCGAUACAUUAGAGAUCCGAUCAUCUAGCGAUAUAAUGUAAUAUCAGCUACUGGUUUGUCCAAGGAUGGAGCAAGUUUCGUUCCGAAUGUCAUUGGAACCUUAACCUUUGAGUCACCCACCAUUCCGAAUUUAGAGAGCAAAGUUUUUGUGUAGGCUUCUUGGUUGAUGAAUAUCCCUCUGAACUCUGUCUAAUGCUUAAACCAAAGAAAAAGUUAACUGGACCCAUUGAACUCAUUUCAAAUUUAGUUUCCAUUAAUUUUCAGAAUUCAGCUGUUAAUUUAGUAUUAGGGAUCUGAAAAUAAUGUCAUCAACUUAAAUUUGAACGAUCAUCAAAAUGGUCACCAUCUUUCCUGUGAAAGACGGUUGGGCCAACCUAAACUUGUUUAAAUUUAGACAAUGUAAGGAAACGAGUCAGAGUUUCAUACCAUGCACUAGGUGCUUGUUUCAGACCAUACACUGCCUUAUCUGAAACAUAUCAAUGAUUCAGAUAUUUUUCAUUUACAAAACCUGGUGGUUGAUCCACAUAGACAUUCUCCUUGAGUUUUCCAUUCAGAAACGCACACUUCACAACUAUCUGAUAAACUUCAAAAUUUUUAUGAGCGACAUAGGCAAGAAAAAUCCGAAUGGAUUCCAAUCUAGCAACCAGUGCAAACGUCUCUUCGUAGUCUAUUCCUUCUUUUUGGCAAUAUCCUUUAACCACCAUACAUGCCUUGUUGCGAAUCAUAUUUCCUUCUUUAUCCAUCUUAUUUCGGAACACCCGUUUCAUUCCGACCACAGAUGCAUCCUUUGGAGUGGGGACCAACCUCCAUACUUUAUUUUGCUUGAAUUCCCUGCAUAGCUUGAACCCAAUCUGCAUGAUCAAGAGCAAUUUUCACAGUUUUAGGCUCAAUUUUAGAAAUAAAAGAGUUAAACAUGGAAAAAUCCAAUUUAGAAAAUAAUGCAGUUUGUUUCGUUUUUUGUUGAGCCCGUGUAAGAACGCCUGAUGAAGCACUUCCGAUCACUUGAGAUCUUGGAUGAUUUUUGGUCCAUUUAGACAUUGGAGGAUAGUUUUGAUCAUAGGAAGGAUCAAUUUCAGCAUAAACUUCUUCAAAUUCCGAUUUUACAUCCGAGUCAUUAUUUUCAUCCUCCCCCCCCCCCCUUGGAAAUUUGCAUGUGACUCGUCGUUCAGAAUUGGAUUCUCCCCCUGGAGUGGAUCAUUAGAACUGAUGUUCUGAGUGGAACUCUCCCCCUGGAAUGUAGAAGCUUUUGGUUGAGGGUCAUUCAGAAUUGAUUGCUUAGGAGGAAUCUCUGCAUUUUUGGCAGCUUCUUCGACAAUCUUGAUCAGUUCAUCUUCUUAAUUGUCUUUUGCAUUUGAUACUGAUGAAAUAGAUUUAUCAGGUUCAUCAAAAAAAAUUAAGAAACUCCUCAUAUAAAUUCACAAGAGGAAUAGUCUUUGAGUUUGUUGACGGAAAAAUCUCCUCCAAUUAACAAUAUUCUUUUUGGUAUUUCUUCAUAUAAUUGUCAUCAACGUCAUCAAACGUGACGUAGUAGGUUUCCUCAAUCCUCUUUGACUUCUUAUUCAGAACCCUAUAGGCCUUUGAUGUCAAGGAAAACCCUAGAAAAAUUCAUGUGUCAGCAUUCAAGUGGAAUUUGUUCCAAUGCUCUUUGGAAUUACAUAUAAAGUACAUGGAACCAAACACAUGAAAGAAUUUAACAUUAGGUUUCCGAUUGAUAAGAAUUUCAUAAGGAGUGAUCAGAAAUCUUUUGUUGAUGUAGGAACAGUUCUGAGUAAAAUAAGCGGUGGCAAUGGCAUUAGCCCAGAAGUAUAACAGAAGAUUCGAAAAUGAUAGCAUUGUCCUUGCAGCUUCACAUAGAGAUCGAUUUCGUCUUUCAACUACACCGUUUUGCUGUGGAGUGUAAGGCGAAGAGAAGUUGUGAGAAAUCCCUUUGCUAGUUAAGAAUUCUUCAAAUGCAUGAUUUUUGAAUUCUGAACCGUUGUCACUACGAAUUUUCCAAACAUGCUUUCGUAAUUGAAGCUCAACCUGCUUGAUGAAAUCUAUCAGUUUCUGAGUGGCAUCGGAUUUCUAUCUAAGAAUGAACACCCAGGUAAAUCUAGAAAAAUCAUCAACAAUAACCAAAAUAUAUUUGUUAUUACCAAUACUUUCGAUUGGUGAUGGACCAUAAAGAUCAAUAUGCAAUAAUUCUAGUGGCUCAAUGAUUUUGGUAUUUAUGAUAGUUGAGUGACUCUUCCAGCUUUGUUUUCCGAGCUCACAUAUAACACAUAAGUUUUCUUUUUGGAAAUUCAUAAGAGGUAGACCGCGAACAAGAUCAACAAUGACGAGUUUGUUAACAUCCUUGAAAUUCAAAUGGGAAAGCCUUUUAUUCCAUAGCCAAAUAUCAUCCGAAGAUGCUUUCGUAAGAAAGAAAAAGAUGGUUUCCCUUUGAUUAGAUUCAGAUUCAGAGGAUACAUUUCUCCCUUCCUUUUCGACUUCAGAAGUAUUGCUUUAGAUUUCUUUUUGAUUAUUUCUGAACCUUCUUCAUCAAACGACACCUUUAGACCAGUACUUACAACCAAUUGUGAAACACUUAUCAGAUUGUGUUGUAAUCCCUCUACAUAUGCUACCUUCCGAAUAGAGAAUUCUCUAUUUAUUAUCAUUUUGUAGCCUUUUAUCUCUCCAGUGGCAUUGUUUCCAAACUUCACUCUUCCACCAUCUUUCAAAGACCGAAACUCUCUCAGUUCUUCUUUCCUCCCAGCCAUGUGACGAGAACAGCCGCUAUCGAUGUACCAUUUGGAAUCAUAUUGUUCGUCACGUAUAACCUGCGAAAUUUAGAGAGUUUUAGGAACCCAAACCUUCUUGGGUCCUUGUGAAGAUUUCUUUUGAACAUGAAAGAUUUUUGUUUUGUCCACCCAAAAGGAUUUUCUUUCCAAAGUACAAUUAAUCCACUUUUCCAUUUUGAAAACUUCAAUGUUUUUGUCACAGAGAUUAAUUUCAACAAAUUUAUCUUUUCAUUAAAUGUUUUCUUUGAAUUUUGGACCCAUUCUUUUUGAAAAUGCUUUUUCCUCCUUUUUCAAUUUUGCUUCAUACUCUCUGAGAGUAAUUUCUGGUUCCAACGCAAUUUUGCUCUUGCCUUUAAAAUUUUGGGAUUUGACAAUUGGUUUUGAAAACUGUGGUUUUGAAAACGACUUUGAUUUUGGUUUCGGAACUGGAGAUGAAUUCGUAUUUUGAUUAGAAGAUUGUUCUGAGUUGACAAAAUUUGGAUAGAAAUUCAUUUUCUUCCAAAAACGCUUUCUUUCUUUUAAAAUUUUCCUAUAUCUAGCAUUCAACUGUCUUUUCUUGGCAAUCAAUUCUUCGGCAAAUUUGUGAAUGUUAGAUUUAGGUUUCUCCUUUCUGACUAGCUUUUCAUUUUGUUCCGAAGAGGUUUCACUUGAGACAUCUUUUGUGCCACAUGGUCCUGCCUUAUCGUAACAAAGGUCCACACGAUUCAACGGUUCCGUAACAUAUUUCCCUUUUGUUUUCCAAGAGGUCAUUUCUGAAAGACCUUUUUUUUCAUCCGCAUUGUCUAUUGGCUUGGACCAGAAGAAUUCAUCACAUCUGUUCACAUUAUCAUCAUAAACCAGGGAUGUUAAUUCUGAUGUGUCCCUUUUGUUUGGUCCUGUUUUUACAAAAACUUGAUUCGGAACUGUUCGAACUUUUGAAAAAACUGUUGUUUUUUUCUUUUAAAACAUUUGAACCUUUAUUCUCUACAAUUCAAACAAAUUCAAUUGAGUUUUCUGAAAUCAAGUUUUCUCGCUUUCAUCGAAUUCAGAAAUAUUCUCAGGAUCAAGAGAAUUUCCCGAAUUCAACUUCUUGCAUAAUAAGUCAUACUUUUGCAUAGAAGUUAAUUUGAUUUCUUCUUUAUCCUCAUCAUUUAACAAUUCUUUUAGCAUAUUUUUGUGUUCUUUGGACUGAAUGUAUUCCUUAAUUUUCUCAAGUCCGACGUUGUAUGAAUCAGAAACUUCAUCUGAAGAAACAAUCAAUUCUCAUUUAUAACAAUCGGCAUCGAUUUCAUCCUCUUUCAAUUCAAGAAAGGGUAAAAUCAUUAAAUGCAAACCUUUCCCUAUUUCACAAUCUAAAUGCAACUGAGUAAUAUUGAAAUAUAAGUGUUUAGAAAACAAAAAAUAUUCCUUUGUUUUAAAAGUGCAAUACUAUCUCUUUUAAGAUAAAUAAUGGCAACUUGUGAUCUAGUGAGCUCUACUUCUAAUGCCUCUAUUCUUAAUUUUAUCUCUUCACUUUUAAAUAUUACCUUGUUGAUUUGAUCAUUCAUAUCAGAAUUACUAAGAUGAGUUCUUUUUAAACUUUCACUAAAAUUAGAAAUAGUAUAUCUUAAAUCAUCUAAUUCAUAAUCAUAACGGGUAAUAGGAAUGUUUAGAGAUUUCAAAAUAGAAUGUAACUUAUCGACCACCUUCUCGCACUCUUUCACCUUCUCCGAGACUGUAUUUGCAGCAAAACAUCUCUUCGAAGCCUUUCCACCAUCAGUUGUGUAUCCCCUUGGUUCCAAAACACCAUUCUGAACCAUCAAGCACUUGCCUUCAUAUCCAUGUUUCUCUAAAUUCACCACAAAGCAUCCGUCAUGGGCAGGUUUCCUAAACUCAUCAUCCUCUGAGUCUUUAGACCACACCUCGACUCGCCCAUCAUCACUUUCCUCCUGUACAAUCAACGUUGGUUUCACAUUUGAUAUGUUCUUCUUCCUGAGCUCAUCUAUCUUCUAAACAUAAUAAGCUUCAUCCUUUUCUUUUUCUUUCUUCUCAUCCUGCCUCCUCAACAAGCAUUCCUUCGCAAACUGAUUCUUGUCAUGACAAUAAUUAUAGUCAUAACCUAAAUCACCCAGUAGCUUCUUUUACAUUUUCUUUUCAUCAUUUAGGUGGUGUUUGUUUUUUGUCUGCAGAUCUGCGCGGUCACUUUUGUCCGCGUCACGCAGAUAUAUGCCAUCGCAUACCGUUUGUUUUUUGGAAAUGUGCAGGCCUAAAAACAUUUGUGCGAGGUCUUCGUUGGACAGACAUGGACCAAUGUCUUCUAGGGUCUUCACAAAGUCAUGUAAACAUAAAAAAAUGUUGAUUCUUCUCAACACAUUCACGUCUUCCCUCUUCACCCAAAAACCCUUUAUCGAUCAUCGGAGAACUCUACAUCGGAGACGACCUUUCCUGCUUAUGACACCGGCUAUAGCCUUCAACUUCGACGCUAGUCAAAGCCUGCACACCAUCGCAUGGUAAAUCCUUCGACUCAUGUCCUCAACUCUGACCACAGUUCGCCGACGCUGACAUCAAUAUCCGCUCGCCAUCGUCGGAGUUCUGCUCGCCGUCGUCGUCACUCACCACACAAUCACCAACGUCGCCGACCUCUGCUACUACCGGUAUAUCUUUUUCUGAAAAUCAUCUGAAUCUAUUUCCCUGAAAAUCUAUUUUCUCUUCUAGGUUUUAUUUGUUAAGAUGAAAUAUGAAAUCAUAUGUCUAUAUUUGUUGAAGUCCCUUCUGUAACUUGAAAUCAUAUGUCUAUAUUUUUUGAAAUCACUUCUGUAACCUAAAAUAAUAUGUCUAUAUUUGUUAAAAUCAUAUUUAAUUGUUGAAUUAAAAAGUGUUGUUCACGUUUGCUGAAAUCACUACAAGAUUUUCCCCUAAAAUGAAAACAUGUUUGCACUUCUGUAAUCUCCACCAACGAAUCCCACAUCCGGACAGCUCCGUCAGUGCGCUAGUAAGUUUCUCUUCACAUUCUGAUUUUGUGUUAAAAUCAAUUAUGCUUGCUUUAAAUAUGGGUUUCGUUUGUGAACUACUAAUUAUAUUGCCUUUAAAUUGUAGUAUUCUGAUUUUGUGUUGUUGGCCCUUAAAAUUGUAGUCAUUAACAUAGACAAUUAGGGAUUUUUUUGUUGAUGAGUUCUAAAGAUGGCUAAACUAUUGUUAAUGAUGUAGGAAUUGUUGAUGUCGAUGUUGGUAGUAUGGUGGAUGCAUGGUGGUAACAAAUGAAGAACAAAUUCAAUCUUGUUGUUUAAAAAAUCUGUAUGGUUGGGAUCCAAUUGAUUUUGUUUCCACACACAUCAAUGAAAUUGAAGAUAUUGGAAAUUGGUUCUAGUUUAUGUAAAUGCUAGUUUGUAUAAAUGGGAUGUAAUUUUUACUGAUUUGAUUCUAUAUGCAUGAAAAUGGUAUGUUGCAAUUGGUUAUAGUUUAUGUAAAUAUUGAGAUUGUGAAAUGGCAGAUUAUCAUCUCUUUGAACUGGAACAAAUGAAUGCUAGUAAUUAUAAUGCUUUGUGUAGCUUGUAGAAUUCUUGUGGUUUUGAUGCUAAUUUUAUCAUUGCAGGUUUGGGUCUUAUGUGAUUGUCCAUCAUGUUCUUCAUAAAAAAGUAUUGUAGUCCUUUUCAACUGGUUCAGUUUUUUGUUGUAUUAUUCAUUUGAUAAAAAUAUAUACCAUAAGUGAUGUUAUUCUUUCUAUACUUGUGUAUGUGGAUCGACAUAAAAAGUUCCUGUUAGAUGAAUAGUUUUAUUGUACACAUCCUUAGUUUAUUUUAAUACAUAAUGCAUACAACCCAAAAAUAGCAAUAAUGUUUUAAUAAGAAAUUUUUUUGUGGUACAAUGUUACGAUAGUAUAGAGUUCGGUUGUAUUAAUUUAAGUAUUGUAAAACUAUAAUUAAUGAAACAGACUUUUAUGUUUUAUAAAAAUUAAUUUUUUAUAUAGUCCGCAGACAUUAAAAAAAACAGUCUUCUUUUUAUAGAUUGCAGAUGUUUGGUCCACCUCUUCUACUACAGAUGUCUGCAGAUGUGGUCCGCAGACUACAAACAUUUUGCCUCUAAAAAAACAAACACCUUACAGUGUUCUUGAAACUUUCUUCUUUUGGUUUUUCCGAACUGGAAUUACCUUGCCUGUAUUUGUUCUUGAAUCGAGUGAAAUUCUUCUUAAAGAACUUCUUAGGAUUGGAUACCAUAAGAGCUUUGCAGAUUUGGAAUCACUUUCUGUUGACUUCUUUCCCUUUGCAACCAACGCUAAGGAUCUAAUACUAGAAACAAGCUUCACUUCCUUUGUAACUUCCUCUUUGUGAGAUCUCAUAAUUCCCACAAGUUUGACAACGUGUAGCUUUUGAGUUGUUCAUGUGCCUUCAUAGUGGACACAAUAGCCUUCCAUUUGAAUCUGAGUCCAUUCAUGAAUGUGACUUUUUGUUCAAUUACGCAUUGCUCAAGAUUAUAUUUGAGCAUUUUGCUUAACAAGUGGUUGAAGCGAUUGAACGUCUGAUCUAACAUCUCAUCAUGUUUUUGUACAAAAGAACCAAACUCAGAUGAGAGAGUCAUUUGCAAAGAGUGUUCUAGAUCAGCAUCUCCUGGAUACAGCUCCUUCAGCCUAUCCCAAAUACGUUUUGCAGUAUCACAUGCAUUAACAAGAUGAAAAGUUUUUGGAGAAAGAGCAAACUGUAUAAUUAUAAUUGUUUUUAUAUUGCUUAUAAGCUUAUUCUUCUCAUCCUGUGGGAUGUCGGUAUGUUCAAGAAUAAUUGCGUUGUAAUCCGCCUGCAUCUUGAUCUCUUUUAUGGUAGCCAUAUGCGUGUACGUCUCAUGCGUCAUUGCAUGCCAUAUCGUGGAACCAUGUUCAUCGAUACCAAGAACAUAAUAUUUAACGUGCAGUGCCCAGACUUCAUAAUCCUCUAGAAAGAGGAUUGGAAUCCUUGUCGUGGAUCCAAUACUUUUUGAGAGAUUGAAUGAAAGAGAGUGGGGGUCUUUGUUAGGCAUAUUGUCAAGAAUUCACUAAAACAAAUAUAGAAACAGAUGUGUAAAAUGUGAAUCGAGUUCAAAGGAAAAACUAGAGAUUUAGAUCUGGAAUCUACAAUCGAUUGAGACGAUUGAGACAAUAAGAACAGAUGCAAGAAAAUCGUAAACCCCAAUAAAAAUUGGACAGAAGAAUAGCGAACUGAUUACACUAUCUCCUGCUCUGAUACCAAUUGUAAAAAAUAAUGAGAUCGAUAGAUUCUAUAUUAAUGACAAGAAACAAUGAUCAAAAGUAUGCCGAAUGAUUAGAUUCCAACAACUUUAGAAGAGUUCUUAAAGAUGCAACUUCUCUGUGAGAGCGUACAAAAACGGCGUUUACAGUUAAAAGGUGUCCCCCUAAAAUGUUACAUGAAUGCUAUAUUUAUAGACUACGAUACUAGACAAUUCUGAACCUGGACAGGCCCAUUUCGGAAUAAACAAAAUAAUAAAGCAUACAUUUUGACACAACACAUAAUAGACCUAACACCUUGGAGGAUAAUUGGGAAGCUAGAUAAUUACCAAUUCAAGAUAAUAUUAUUAUAUUGAUUUUGUGCUUAUCUAUGGUUUCCAAGUUGCAUUAUAUAAUGAACCUAACCCCUAGCAAUUUUGGCCACUCAUACCUUUAGAGAGCUAGGCCGAAAUUUUUCCCUCCACUCUCCUUAAUCUCCUUCUUGCAUGUGUUGGGUGUGAACCAUUAGAGGCAUUACACUUGUUGUGGUUGCUUCCAAAAUAUCAACAAGAGGAUUUCUAAUUGUUUUCUAUAAAAACUAAAAGGUGUGUAACUCUAAUCCCUCUCUUUAGUAAUUUCAAAAAUUACUUAGGGUUUCUAGGGUUCUUAUUUUGAUGUUCAUAGUUACAGGUUUAAUAGUGAAAUCAUAGAUAUUGUUUUAGGUUGCAUGCACACUUAAGAGUUUUAAGUUUGUUUUGUCAUGCCUAAAACCCAUCAAACCAUCAACUAAUCGCCACGUCGUGGCCAUCCUUGGCCACACCAUGGCAUCGAAACAAAAAAAACAAACGAACCCUAGCUAGUCGCCAUUAAAAAUAAUUCAGAAGUUUUAUUUAAUUUGUUGCAUGUUUAAAAUUAAGUAGGAAGAAUAAUUCAAGGCAACGUGACAGAUAUGUCCCUGGUCUUUAUCAAGUAGCUGGUAGUUCCUAUUUUUCUGAAAUUUUCUUUUCUUUAAAUUCUAGGCAAUGUGUACGUUAUUGAUAUACCCUGUUGAAGUGAAUAACAUUGAUAUUCCUUUGCCUAAUCCCUGUCAUUUCCUUUCCUCUGUUGCUUGUUUGUUUGUUGAAAAGUCAUAGUAGAAGGACCCGUCAAUACCAACAUUGUGGUAUCAGAGCACAACCUGGUGCAUGCCAAAGUAUCAACCUCGUGAAGAGAUGACAAGAAACAAUGGAAAUGGCGAAAAAGAGAGUAUGAUCACCCUCCAUUACCCUAUGUUGUCAAGAAGCAAUUAUUCUGCAUGGGUCAUCAAGAUGAGAGUCUUCAUGCAAUCCCAGGGAGUUUGGGAUGCAGUGAAAGCCAGAACAUCAAACACAAUUGUCGAGGUGAAGAAGGAUAAGAUGGCACUAGCAGCCAUCUAUCAAGGGAUACCGGAAGACCUGUUAUUGUCCCUGGCUGAGAAGAAAAUAGCCAAAGAGGCCUGGGAGGCUUUAAAAACAAUGUUCAUGGGAGCAGAUAGAGUAAAGACUGCAAGAAUUCAGACCUUGAAAACAGAAUUCAAGGCACUGGAUAUGAAAGAUAUAGAGGGUGUUGAUGAGUUUGCUACAAAGGUAAUCAAUAAUGUAAGCACUAUGCAUACCAUGGGGGACACAGUAGAAGAAUCCUACAUUAUGAAGAAGAUAUUGAGGGUUGUGCCAUUUAAGCUUCUCCAGAUUGCUUCUACAAUUGAAAAGUUUGGGGACUUAGAGACAAUGACAAUAGAGGAAGUAAUUGGGAGACUAAAGGCCCAUGAAGAAAGAAUGAAGGGACAUGGGGAGAAUGAUGAAAAGGAGCUGCUCUUGACUCACCAAGAGUGGUCAAAAAGGAACAAAAAGAAGACUGAGGGAGAUUCCAAAUCUAAGUCGAGUAGAGGAGGAUUUGGAACCUCACAAGCACGAUGUAGAGGAAGAGGCAGAGGUAAUGGUGGUCGUGGCACUCGUGGGAGAGGAUGAUCACACUACCAUAAAGAUGGAGGUCGUGGAUCGACUAGUAACCAAUACAAGAGCAAGGUCCAAUGCUAUAAUUGUCAGGAGAAUGGUCACUAUGCAGCAGAAUGCCCGAAUCGAAGACGUGAGAGAAACCUUGAAAAUAAUUUGAUAAAAGAAGACAAUGAGCCUGCACUUCUGUUGUCAUCUUUUGAUCACAAAGAAGAAAGGGGUGAAUCAUUUCUGAAUGAAGAAAAUGUAAUUCCAAAGUUGAAAAUAGGAGGCAAUGAAACAAGUUGAUCAAAAGUAUGGUACCUUAAUACCGGAGCAAGUAAUCACAUGACCGGUGAUAAAGAGAAAUUGUGUGAUCUGAACAGGGAAGUGUAGGGAUACGUAUGAUUUGGAAAUGAUGCCAAAGUCAGGAUAGAAGGAAAGGGAUCAAUAAUCUUCCAGUGCAAAAAUGGAAAGCAACGCAAACUCCAAGAAGUGUAUUACAUACCCGACUUAUGUAGCAACAUUAUAAGUCUUGGCCAACUAUCGGAGAGUGGAGAUGAAAUAAUAAUAAAAAAAAGAUCCAUUUUUAUGGAUAAAUGACAAGGCUGGAAGAUUAUUGAUGAAAGUCCAGAGGUCUCCAAACCGCCUUUACAAAAUAGAGCUCAAAGAAGUCAACUCAAAGUGCUUGGCAGUCGAAAUCAGUGACCCAAAAUGGUUGUGGCAUACAAGGUUAGAUCAUGUGAACUUUACCUCACUAAAAGCGAUGUCGGAAAAGGCUCUAAUAGAAGGAAUUCCAAAAAUGGUGGUUCCAUCUAAUCCAUGUGAAGGGUGUCUCAUAGGAAAGCAAACCCGACAUUCAUUCCCAGCAAGUACAAGCUUCAGGGCAAAGAGAAGGUUAGAGCUUAUCCAUGGCGAUCUGUGUGGACCAGUUUCACCACUAGCACCUGCAGGCAAUAAGUAAUUUAUGCUUCUCGUAGAUGACUUCAGCAGGUUCAUGUGGGUGUACCUGCUGAAAUUAAAAGAAGAUGCAUUUCAAAUGUUCAAGAAUUUUAGAACAAAAGCUGAAAUAGAAAUAGGGGAGAAGAUGAAGGUGCUUAGAACAAACCGAGGAUGGGAGUUCCUCUCCAACCAAUUCACCAUGUACUGUAAAGAAACUAGAAUAGAUCGACACUUUACUUCACCUUACUCUCCACAACAGAAUGGUGUUGUGGAGAGACGAAACAGAACAAUGCUUGAAAUGGUUAGAAGCUCCUUGAAGACGAUGAGUGUCCCAGAUGUGUUGUGGGGAGAAGCUGUGAAUCAUGCGGUCUACAUCUUAAACAGAAUAAGCACAAAAGCUCUAAAGGACACCACGCCUUAUGAGAUGUGGACCGGUCGAAAGCCGCAUGUGGGUCACAUAAGGGUGUUUGGGUGUACUGCGCACAUGAAAAUAGCCAAGCGUCAUUUGAAGAAACUGGAUGAUAGAAGCAAGCAAGUUGUGUAUCUUGGAACUAAAAAAGGAUCAAAAGUUCAUCGUCUUUUAGAUCCUGACACAUGAAUGAUAUAUGUGAGCAGAGAUGUAGUGUUUGAAGAAGAUAAAACGUGGGCAUGGGAGAAGUCAACCAAGAUUAAGCCGAUACCAGGUAUGAGCUUUACAGUCAAAGGUUUUAAUUUGGAAAAAUUUCAAGGCGAUGAUCUUGACUCAGAGUCACAUACUCCCCAACAUGAAAUCGGGUCUCCACGAUUUGAGUCUGACUCGUCAUAUGGUGAUAAUGAUUGGGUCGUAGGAGGUGAGCCCAACAGUCCUCCAUUGGACUCCCACGGUAGCCCACAUAGCACACCCAUAAAUCAGUCGGGUACGCCCAAUUUACCCGUCUCACCCGAGUCACCUGUUACACCGAGUGCGCAAGUCGGAACACCAAGCAUGACAUCAAGCUCCACAGGCGGAGGAGCCCCAAAAAGAUACUGACUUCUCACAUACCUGUAUGAUCAAAUUGAAGAAAUUGAACUCCCUAAAGAACUGUUGAUGCUCCAAGAUGAAGAAGAACCUAGCUCAUACCGAGAAGCAAAAGAGAAGACUGAAUGGGUCAAUGCAAUGACAGAAGAGUUGACCUCAAUCGAAAAGAAUAACACUUGGAAGCUAGUUAACCUUCCAAAAGGACGAAAAGCAAUUGGGUUAAAGUGGGUGUACAAGGUGAAAAAAGACCCAAAUGGGAAAAUUUUGAAGUAUAAGGCGAGAAUUGUGGCAAAAGGUUAUGUGCAGAAACAAGGGGUCGAUUAUGAUGAAUUUUUUGCUCCAAUGGCAAGAAUUGAGACGAUUCGAGUAAUCUUAGCCCUUGUAGGAUCGAGUGGAUGGAGGGUACAUCAUUUGGAUGUGAAAUCGGCUUUCAUAAAUGGAAGUCUAAAAGAUGAAGUGUAUGUAAUGCAACCUGAAGGCUCUGAAAGAAGAAAUGAAGAAGGAAAAUUCUACAAAUUCUCAAAGGCCCUAAAGAACUGUUGAUGCUCCAAGAUGAAGAAGAACCUAGCUCAUACCGAGAAGCAAAAGAGAAGACUGAAUGGGUCAAUGCAAUGACAGAAGAGUUGACCUCAAUCGAAAAGAAUAACACUUGGAAGCUAGUUAACCUUCCAAAAGGACGAAAAGCAAUUGGGUUAAAAUGGAUCUACAAGGUGAAAAAAGACCCAAAUAGGAAAAUUUUGAAGUAUAAGGCGAGAAUUGUGGCAAAAGGUUAUGUGCAGAAACAGGGGGUCGAUUAUGAUGAAGUUUUUUCUCCAGUGGCAAGAAUUGAGAUGAUUCGAGUAAUCUUAGCCCUUAUAGGAUCGAGUGGAUGGAGGGUACAUCAUUUGGAUGUGAAACCGGCCUUCAUAAAUGGAAGUCUAAAAGAUGAAGUGUAUGUAAUGCAACCUGAAGGCUUUGAAAGAAGAAAUGAAGAAGGCAAAGUCUACAAAAUCUCAAAGGCUCUAUAUGGACUAAGACAAGCACCCAGAGCCUGGAAUGCAUGUCUAGACCAAUACUUAAAGAGACUGGGAUUUAUGAGAUGUUCUCUAGAGUACUCGGUAUACACAAGAAAGAAACAAGAGAGGAUCUUGAUAAUAGGUGUUUAUGUUGAUGAUUUGUUGGUCACUGGUAGCUGCCCUGAUGAUGUGAAAGAAUUCAAGCAGGAGAUGAGAGUCAAAUUCGAAAUGAGUGAUCUUGGUUUGUUAACAUACUAUCUUGGAAUUGAAGUCAAUCAACAUGAUGCUGGAAUAACACUCAAACAAGAAGCCUGUGCUAAGAACAUCCUAAACAAAACUCGAAUGAUGGAUUGCAAUGCCACAAGAUGCCUAAUGGAACAUAAGCUAAAGCUGACUAAGGAUGAAGAAGGAGAAUUGGUUGAUCCCACUAAGUAUAGAAGCAUUGUUGGUGCACUCAGGUAUCUCAUACACACAUGCCCUGACCUCUCAUUCACAGUAGUGGUAGUUAGCCGGUUUAUAGAGAAACCAACUGUCAAACAUCUACAAGCAAUAAAAGGGAUACUUAGAUACAUAAAGGGCCCUAUCAAUUAUGGUUUGACUUAUACCAAAGGAGAAAACAAAGUUACUCUUACAGGGUACUCUGACAAUGAUUUUGGAAAAGAUAUAAAUGAUGGAAAGAGCACAGGUGGGACAACAUUAUACAUGAAUGGCAAUCUAGUGACAUGGGCCUCAUAAAAGCAGCAAAGUGUGGCUUUGUCAUCUUAUGAAGCAGAGUUUAUGGCAGCAACCAUGGCAGCCUACCAAGGCAUUUGGCUUCAGAGACUUCUCACUGAAAUAAAUGGGCAAACGGUGCCACCUGUAGCUCUGUUUGUUGAUAAUCGCUCAGCUCUUGAAUUGAUGAAGAACCCGGCGUUUCAUGGACGUAGCAAACACAUUGACAUAAGGUAUCACUUUAUUAGGGAAUGUGUUGAAAAUGGGGAGAUAUUGGUAAGUCAUGUGUGUGGAACCAAGCAGAAUUCAGACAAUCUCACAAAGACAAUAGCAAGAGUGAAGCAUGAAGAAAUGAGAGAUCUGAUUGGAGUGAAGGCAAUUACCAACUUCUGAAUUAAGGGGGAAAGUGUUAAAAAUAAUUCAUAAGUUUUAUUUAAUUUGUUUCAUGUUUAAAAUUGAGUAGGAAGAAUAAUUCAAGGCCAUGUGACAGAUAUGCCCCUGGUCUUUAGCAAGUAGCUGGUAGUUCCUAUUUUUCUGCAAUUAUAUUUUCUUUAAAUUCUAGGAAAUGUAUACGUUAUUGAUAUCCCUUGUUGAAGUGAAUAACAUUGAAAAACCUUUUCCUAAUCCGUGUCAUUUCCUUUCCUCUAUUACUUGUUUGUUUGUUGAAAAGUCACAGUAUAAGGACAAGCCCAUACCAACAGUCACCACGCCGUGGCGGCCUAAGGCCCUGUCGUCGGCACUAGGUUCUUAACAGCUUAAUGGGUUAAGUUGCUUUCUUCAUUUCUAAGGGAUCCAAAGCUCAUAUCUAGUCCAUUCUAUGGUCUAGAUGGAUAAAGUUGGAUAACUUUAUCCUUUAGACUCUCCAGUUGAUAAAGAUCUCAACUCCUAGGUCCAAAAUGGCAAAAACAUAACUCGGCGUAAUCAAUAAGCAUUUAAUCUUGAAGACCUCUUAUCCAACAUUUCCAGAAAGGUUUCUAGCACCAUUACUAACAUAAAAAUCCAUGUUUUUCAUACAAGCAUGUCCAAUGCAUGUCUUGAAAUUCUAUUACGUCAAAUUGAGGGUUAAUGACAAAAAAUCCAUGCAUGACACCAAAAACUCAUUUCUAAUCCAGAUCCAAAACACCUAAUACUCCAAAUGGCCAAGAGAUUCAUAAAUUUUCAAACUUUAUAUGAUCUCACCACUCAAACCCAUCAAGACAUGAAGAAAAUGGACAAAAUCUAAGAUCUAGCAACCUAGCAAGGAAAAAGGUUGGGUCUUUGACACUCACCAAGGCCCAUAAGAUGUGCUAACUGAUGUAGAUGAUGCUUGCAAGGUAAAACACCACACCAAAGGCUUCCUUAUCCUUUAAAGAUCACCAAAAAGACCAAAAUGAGUUCACAAUUGCAAUGGAGGCUAAGGUUACGGUUUUUGAGCUUGAGAGGGUGAUGAAGGUUGAAUGAUCACGAAACCCUAGUCUUAAUGUUCUUUAAAUAGGGCCCAAAGACCAAAGAUUUGGAUUUCUUUCUAAAAACACAUGUCACACCAUGGUAGGAAAUUUAAACCCGCGAUCCAAAACAAUGUCGCCACGUCGUGGUGAAGCUCCACCACUCCAUGGCCACCCCAAAAAAUAAAAGUUAAUAUUUAAAAAUUGACUCAUACAUGGAAUGGGUGUUACAUGUUUUGAGGGUACCAAACUUUGAUAGCUGAAAGGUAUUUUUCAAAAGUGUUAAAACUGGAUUUAGAGCCCUCUUUAUAUAGGGGAAGUGAUUUGAAACCUUAAGGAUAAUUACCAAUUAUAAUAAUAAUUAUCUAUGGAAUUCAAAUCAUUUUGUAAUAUUCCAUAUUCCAUUAUUUUCUAACUAUUUAAUUAAACUAUUAAUUAAUUAACAAAACAAGUCAUUCAUAUAAAUAUCUUUUUGGUUAUGUUUUACUUUGUUUUUGUGUGUAACCCAUAAUGACAUUGUUAUUUAUAGUCUUAUUACCGGACUUGUUAUGGCUAUGGGCACUAAUCUCCAUCAGGUGGUACAUCGUGGUUAAGGAAGAAAAUUGAGAAAAAAAAAACUUCAAAGGAGAAGAAAUGGUGUAUCCACAAGCUCCUACAAACAACAAAAAGCCCCACUGUUGUUCUUUCUUUGUUCCGACGCGAAAAUCUAGCGGUCGGCGGUGGCUUUCGGCGAUUGUUGGUUAGAGAGAUACGAUAAUGCAAGAAAGCUUCAAGAAAAUCGAUCCAACCUCUUUCAUCUAUUUAAAUCCAUUUGUCCUCUUUCAUGGGCUAGGGUUUGGUCCAUUGGCUAAAAGGGUUCACCUGUUAAUACCCAUGGACAAAAUCCCUUUAUCCUAUUUUUACACAUUAAAACAUAAACAUUCAACUUUGGCAAGAAAUGUCACUAUGGUCAAUAACCUUAACAAACUAAUCAUUCAUCUGCGUUAAGUAGUAAGUGCAAAACUUAUGCAUGUAAUUCGUUUCUAAUAAGAAUAUACUUGGUUAAUCUGAGAUCUCUUGUUGUAAGUUAUAUGUUAACCUAAUAAUCCGAUAAUGAUUUUGAUAAGUUGGGAAAUGAAAUAGUGUCCACAUCACAGCAAAAGGGAAAUUUUCAUAACUAUAUAUGAAAUCACUAGCUAAAUUUUAAACAUUCAAAUAUAAUAUUUUUCAUAUGUAAUAAGAUAUAUAAAUUACGCUUUUUGAGAAUAAAUAUAUACGGGCAUUUGGUCUAGUGGUAUGAUUCUCGCUUUGGGUGCGAGAGGUCCCGAGUUCGAUUCUCGGAAUGCCCCGUUUUUCAUAUACUUUUUUGGCAAAUAUUUUAUGUUAAAAAAAACUUAUUUGUCGUGACCAACUAAAAAUAGUUAUGCAUCGUGCUAUAUGUUUUUUUUUUUCUUUUAAACUAGGACAAUAUAAUAUAAAUGAACUCAUUUUAAUGAUUAAACUUUUGUGGCAAAUAUAUUAUGGUAAAAAAAAUUAAGAACUAGUUUUAACUACCGCAACUUAUUUGUUGUGACCAACUAAAAAUAGUUAUGCAUCGUCCUAUAUGUUUCUUUUCUUUUAAACUAGGACAAUAUAAUAUAAAUGAACUCAUUCUAAUGAUUAUUUCAUACAAAUUAUUAAUAAAUGAAAACAUAUUGUGGAAUUGAGAAAAUUAUAAUAACAAAUAUUAUAAAACUUAAUUAUAAUUAGUUAGUAUAUUUUAAAGCCGUGUAUUGUAUAAUUAAGAAAUUUAUAAUAACAUAUAGUAUAAAAACCGUAUAAUCUAGGGCCAAAUAUUUUCUUUUUACAUAUAUCAGUAUUACGACGGAUCUUUGGCAGAUUAGUAACUGUUAAUUACAUAUCAAUAACAAAUUAGUGUAAAUUUUUUUACAUACAUUAACAUAUGUAUUCGACUUUAUCGUAGUAUUAAUCAAAUUUUCUUAUAUAUAAAAAAAAUUUAAAAAUACCCACCCCAUCUUUCAAGGUUUUGGUGGUUUAUUCCCAACUUUAUUUCUUGCCUCCUUGUUGUAUGGAUAAGAACAAACCAGUAAUACAAUAAUCUGAGGUUUCUAUGUUUAAGAAAAUUCACAUCUAAAAAGAGGUUAACAUAGUACUUAUGUUUGAGCUCAAAAAGUAACUAAACACAAAAGGAUGUAUAUUAAGUUAUGAGAGGACAUAUAAAUCUUUGUAGUAAAAAAAUAAUAAUGAAUAAUCAUUAUAAAAAAUGUAUAUAAUUAAACUACAUAAUAAAUCAUGCAGAGUAAUUUUCAUGGCAAAAAACCCAAAGACUAACUACCUUUGAUUAAAGAGAAGCAAUAUCUUUUUAAAUGUUGCAAUCAAUUUUGUACAACUCGAUCAAAAAGUUGUAGAAGUAUUUUUAUUAAAAAAGUCACUUACAGUGUUAAUAUUAAAUUAUGUUUUCGAUGUUAAAGCAAAAUUGGGCAUUUGGUCUAGUGGUAUGAUUCUCGCUUCGGGUGCGAGAGGUCCCGAGUUCGAUUCUCGGAAUGCCCCAUUUUAUGCCAUAUUAUUAUCCUUUUUUUUCCUCAUUCUAUAAGCGGAAGAGUAAUAAAAUGAAAAGUAUAAUGCACACAAACAAUGAAAACUAAAUGCACACAAACAUUGUUUGCCGACAUUCUUCCUAUUCUUUUGGAUAAUAUAGUCUUGUACAAUGUGUUUAAUUUUUGUUAUCCUACGCAAUCCAUUACAUAUACACUGUAACCAAAAAAAAUAUCAAAAUACAAAUAUAAAUAUUAUGAAACAGUACAUAGUUAUCUCAUGAGGCGUGUAAAAAACGUAAAUAUUCUUUUAAUUUUGAUUUGUCUCUUCCUGAAAUCGCUUUCUCAUGCUCAUUAACCAUACGCAUAAGCAUAAGUCAUAACCAAUUGAUGAGUGUCUACUCCAUAGUGAUUACAAAACAUUUUGAGGGGACAAUUUGUUAAAAAAAAAUGUCCUAAUUGUAUUCUUGACUUGCAAAUGAAAGUUUGGUUCGCCUUAUGGGAGUUCAACAAGUCUCAUUGAACAGGCCCACUCUCAAAUUAGGGCCUAAAUUUUUGUUCACUAUUUUAUGUUCCUUGUUUAAGACCCAAAUAUUUAGGUUAUUAACUCCUUCCAUCUUAAUCUAGUGUAUGCAACAAAUAAUAGAGCGGCAACAUAUUGAACGGGAAUUUGAGUUGAAUUCUAUCGUAAAGAGUGAAGACGUUUGGUUUCUAUUGGCAACAAUUAUGAUUUCUCGAUUCCGGCCCUCAUAUAAUCUUCCGACUUAAAUCCUCAACUCCAGAGUUACUCAAGUUAAAGCAAUUAAUGAAAUCUCAGCAAAAAAACAGAUGUGUUCUACUGUUUGAGCUUCAGUUUUCUUGAUUUUUCUCAAGCGACAACAUCAACUCGGAUUUAUUCUUCAACUUUCCAAGGUUAUCUUCUACUUUUACUCUUUUUUUUCAUCGUGAUUUUGUUGCUCAAUAUUAGAGAUUUUAUAUUUUACGUUUGGGUUCUAGUGUUACUCUUAGUACAGUGAUGCUCGAGAGUUCAAUGCUACUCAAGAGAUUCCGUCAGAUUCUUUUAGGUUGUUGCUCAAGAGAUUUUUAAAAGGUAGAUAAAUAAAUAAAAAAUUAAAAAGUUGAACCUGAAGGGUUAUAUUCUUCAAUUCUACAUUAAGGGUACAUUUGUCUUUUACAUUUAUUAGUUGUAAGAUUGUAAAAGUUAGAUGGUUAGCUACUUGUAUAUAAUGUAAAGCUUAAACUUUGCUUUUAUUCCAAGUCUAUAAAUGUAAUAUAACUUUUAGAUUUUUAUAUUUGUCAUUUAUACAUUUCAGAUUUUGAUUUACAUUUCAUUAAUUUUGGAUUUUUAGAUUUUUUUUUCUUUCUUAUUCUGAUUUUGAUUUAUUAAAUUUUGCCUUAGUUGAUCAAGAGAAGUAAGUAUAUUCCUUAUAAAUACUUCAUUGAAAAGUUUGUCUCAAAGAAUACUAGAGGGAUGAUAUUUUUAAGGAGCAAAUAUACAUUAUGUACUUUUUUUGAAUGAAAAUUUGGUUUUGAAAUAUAUUUAGAGGUUAAAUGAUUUUUUUUUAUAUUUUGAAAUUUAUAAGUUUUAAGGCUUAUUUUUAUUAAAUUGCACAGGGCCUCCAAAAUCUCGGGGUCGGCCCCUUCCUAUUUGUAAAUCUCUUAGGAUUAAAGUAGAAGAGAUAUUUUUGUUGAUUUUAAUGAAAGAAAAAGAAAUGGAAGAUAAAGUGUGAAUGAAUUUGAAAGAGGAGUCAAAUAAUGACGCAUCAUAUUGUCCAUAGAUAUGACAUGCCUAUUAUCUCGACUCAAUCAUGAUGCACUUUAACGUAAACUAAUGUCAUUUAAAUUAUGGUUAUCAUACAGUAUAUAAUAAAAUAGGGACACAUGUGGCAAGCGGAAAGUAGUCAGAGAUUGGAAAAUUGAUCUUAGUUUCAUAAUGGACUUUAGAUAUGACCUUUUGUUAAAGUUUAGAGAGCAUGCAUGAGCUCUCUUUACUCCAUGCUUGCAAAUAUGAGCUUAUGUGUAACACCUGAUCCGAGAAGGUGCAUAUUUACCCUAAAAUUUUAAAAGAUUGGCAUUUUGGUCCGUACGUCGUGCGUACUCGGGGUGUACACAUGGCGUACUCAUGCAUGAAGGAGGUGGGUCUUACACACAUACGCCCGUCGUACUCCUCGGGUACGCAGCGUGUAUGAUGUUCAGACCAAAGCCCUAGUUUUGAGGGUUUUGCACCCUAUAUAAUCUCCUUAUGACCCAAAUGUCUUGGCGCACAUCAGCCUCCACCUAAAAAUCGUCUCUCUAGCUAACCCUAAGUGAGAAGAGUGCAUCUUUGAGCUUAUUUCUAUGCUUGGUGGUGUUCUUGAAGAAGAAGAAGGUGGUAGAAGAACAUUGGAGCUUGGAAGAAGCUUAGAUCUAGGAUUCUCACCUUGCUAGCAACCUUGUGGAUGUAAGAAGCUCCUAGCUUGAUCAUUUUUCUUAUGGAUCUAGUUAUCUCUUCAUUCAGGGCAUUUUUGGUCCUAGCUUUUGUGAUUCUUGAGCAUGGCAUGAUCUUACCCAAAUAAGUCGUCCUUUCAGACCCAAUGAGGGGUCUUGAGUCAUAAAAGUGAGGUCUUGUUGCUUAGUUCUUCCCCAUGCAUGCUUUAGAAUGGUCUUUAGGUGUUCAGAAGUUAAGUUUGUUGGUAUUAAGCACUUAAUGGGCAUGCAAAGUCAUAAAAAUGGAAACUUUAUGACUCUUAAUGAUACUUUUACCUUGGAUAUAUAUUUGGAAUGUAAGAGCUUAACGCAUUAAGCUCUUAUAUGGGAAAAAGGGUUUUGGCGCAUACGUCACGCGUACAUGGUCAACCGUACGAUAAUGGUCAAGGCUUGUGUAUGUCGCGCGUAGGAGUUGAGUAUGCCCCACGUACUCAGCUGAGUGGACCGAGUUGACUUGUUGACCUUGACUUUUGACCAAGUUGGACCUAGGGGUAUUUUGGGUAUUUUGGAUAUUUUGUGUUGUUAAAUGAGAUUGGGUCCUUGGUUUUGGUUAGGUGAUCGUUGAGUCGAUUUUUUGAAGCAGAGAUUUAUUCAGCUGGAAGUUCCGACUGAGAGGUGAGUUUCACCUUAUUGUAUCGUGGGUCGAAGACACUAAUGUCGGUCCACUAGUUUUGGUUACCUGUUAGUAGAGGGAUACCUUAAGGAAUGUAUAUAAUCAUGUAGGAUAGACUGAGGAUUCUUGAUCUAGGCUUUUUUUACCUGUUCCUUGUUUGGUUGUGGUUCUAGAGUAGGACCACUUGUCUAGGUGACUAUCUCACUUCUGAGUAUAUACGGUUAUGGAUUCCUUGGAUUAUUGGUAAUUAGUAUGUUUCUAUGUUGUAGUGAUCUGUUAGAUCUGUAUCCUGGUAGUUGGUAUGUUGCUAUGCUAUAGCGAUCUUUUCGAUAUGUAUCUUGGUAUUUAGGAUGUUGCUAUAUGGUAGUGAUCUGUAGAUCUGUAUGCCUAUAUGUACUUGCUAGUUAUCAUCUGGUGGAGUGCCCUAGGGACUAUCUAUGGUCAUGUAGGAUAGCCUGAGAACUCUUGAUCUAGGAUUUCUUGCUUCUUCCUUAUUUGGUUAUGGCUCUAGAGUAGGAUCAUCUGUUUAGGUGGCUAUCUCACUGCUGGUCACUUAUGGUUACACAUUCUAUGGAGGUUAGUUGGUAGCAAGACUGUAUGCUGUGAGAGUACUAGUAGGCGAUAGUGAGUUGUAUGCAUGAUGUUCGCAUGUAUUAUGUGUCUACUUGAUCCUUGAUUAUUUUUAUGUCUACAUAUGGUAGUAUUGGGUUGAGGCAGUCCUAGUUUGUGAUGUAGGCCAAGAUACUCAGUGUAGGAAGCUAUAAGACAUACGCACGGAGGCUUUGGUAGAGCGGUUGGGUUGAGGCGGUAAGCCAAUAAACCCUAGGUAUUCCAGCCCGAUGGCUAAGUAGACCUGAUGCAUGCUUGUAUGUUUAUCGUAUGGGGUAUUUUGGGGGAAACUUACUAAGCUUUGUGCUUACCCAAUUGUUUAUUUUUUCAGGUAUCAUCGCCCAUCAUGGAAAGACGAAGGCAUGAUUGUACACAUUCAUCAACAACACUGAAGAUUCUCACGCUUUAAUAUCACUCUGAUUUUUAUAAUUGUAUUUGGAAUAAAUGAUUUUCUCCAUAACGGAUUUUUAAUUAGGAAGAGUACUUAAAUAAAAUCAAAAAAAUUUUGUUGUGAAAAUGGGACUUUAUAUUUUGAGCUUUGGAGGUUAAGGGGUAAGUGCUUAAUCCAUUAAGUUGUUUUGGACAUUUACCACGGUGUGGCGGGUUGUUAGCCAUGGUGCGGCAAUGAGUUUCAUAUGCGUCUAUUUUUUUCGCCUUGUUACCACAGUACAGUCAUGGGAUUGGCCACGACGUGGUUAAUUAACCGUUGACUUUUUGACCAAUUUGACCUUGAGUCGGACUUGGAGGUUUUGAGGUAUAGACUAAGGCUUAGCUUUUGUUUGUCUUAGGCAUUUCGUGUAGUUUAUUCUUUGGGACUUCGAGUAGUUGGACCCAACUCUUGAUUCAAGUGAGUAUUCUCACUAUAUUGUAUAUAAUGUUAGACUGUCUAUGUGACUCUUACAUGUACAUUAUGUAUGUUGGACGGGGCCCGUUAUGCAUGUUAGGUGGGGCCCAUUAUGCAUGUUUAGCAGGGCCCGUUAUGCAUGUUCGGAGGGGCCUAUAUUGGUAUGUAGUAUAUUGGAGAACUCACUAAGUUUUGUGAUUAUGGUUUUAAGUUUAGAUUUUUCAGGUCUUUUUGGUAGUACGGUAAGAGCACAACGUGAUUGCAUCGAAUAUGCUAUUAUGUUUUCAAUAUGUUCGGUGUUAUAAUAUUAAUACUUUGAUUUGUUUUUUUGAAAUAAUUCAAUAUUUACCUUCAUUAAUUAAUGACAUGGUGAUAGUUUAUUUUAUUUCCUUCUUUUUUAUAGUUUAUUUUUGCAUUUUUAUCCAUUUUUAUUAUAAUUGAAUUGCAUAUUCUAUCUCAUUCUUUAUCUUGGAUCGUAUCGGGUACUUUCUAUUUUGCAUGAGGUGUUUUGCAGGCUUUUGGAAUCUCGAUGUGGUUGCGGUUUAGCUUGGAGUUGGUAUUGGCGGGCUUGUAAAGAGUUUUUGGGCUUUAUGGAUCCCUAAAAUAAGAAUUGGGCUUAAAAUGUUGAAGACUUGGAUGAAGUGGGCUUAUGAAGAUGGGUCAUGGACUCUUGUUAUUGGGCUUGGACUAUCCAUGUUGAAGGUUGAAGAUAAUUAGUUAAAUUUGAAUCAUGUUAGGUGUGGAGGUGACCAAGGGAAUGUUGAGUAGUGGGUGGAGUAGUUGAGAAAAAGAGCCAAUAGUGUUUCAGCACCAUUCGGGAGGGUGAGGUCUCACAGGCGCAAGUUUGCGAGGGUACCCGUGCAAUUACACAAUUAGGGGAAAUUUUGUCAUUUGGCUCGUCGUUUACCUUGGGGGUUAGGUUUGGCAUCCAUACUUCGAUUUUUCCACCAUUGGAGUACCUUGGAGGUGAUUUUGGAGAUUUAGAGCUACAUUCUUUUCAUCCUUCUAAUAAUUGUUAAUUUCUUGAUGUUAGAAUACUUUUGUGAUUGUUGUCUUGUUGUCAUGAGUGGCUAAUCUCUUUAUUUUGGUUGACUUGGGCUAAAACGCUUGGAUAUUUGUGGGUUUCGAAGGAUUGAUGCUUGAUUGUCAUUUAUGCUUGUUCAUAAUUCUUAUGCUUGUUCAAUACUUUAAUCAUGAGCUUGGUACUUUAAUUAUCACUUGUUGGUUUCUUUCUCUGAUUUAGCAAUGAAUCAUUGAAUUUACUUAGAAAAAGGGAUUUAUGAUGGUAUAAAUCAUCUCUAGCUUAUGGAUCAUGAAUCCUUUAUAGAAUGUGUAAGCAUUGGCAUCCUCCAAGAAUUGAGAGUUUCUUCAUUCUUAAGGUUAAUCAAAUUUCUUGGGUUCAAUUUCUUCAAUUGAGUCCUUGAUUUUGAUUAAGAAGGUGUGUUGUGGGCUUCCCCAACCUCCAUACUACCUUUGAGGAAUUUGGGCAUAUCAUGCUUCAUGAUUGCUAUAACCAAUUUGGGAUGAAUGAUAAGCUUGCAUUUUGAAUCCGAAUGAUAAACACAAAAAUGUUCAUUGUGUUGAAUUGCCUUAGUUGACCAAUUAUAUCCAAUAUUUAAGCAUCUCACCAUCUUGCUUAAUUGCAAGUAUUUUAGUUCCUCAAGUCUUUUAGUUUUCAAACAAUCACAACCCCCUCCCCCCUUUAGUUUAAUUGUAGUUAGUUAGAUUUAUUAUACUUGUUUUAUUGGAUUGCAUUGGUGAUUGAAUACAACCAUUUCCCCGAGGAUUAAUACCUCUUUUUAUCAUUAUAUUACAUUUUAUUUGCAUGUAAAGGGUGUAAUUUGCUUGGUGGACUUGACAUCCCACCACAUGGUUUCCUUUGAUUUUUAAAAUGAAAAUUUUGGUUUGAAAUUUGGGAAGUUACACUUUGUGUACACAAGAUAUAACUGAGAAUAGAUAAUAGUGCCCAUGGGUGCACACUCGAUGUGGUAAAUAUGAACUCGGGAAUACGGGGGUAUGGGGGCAGUGCCCAUGGGUGCAGGGUUCUAAGGGGCCGCAACCCCUUAGUGGGGUCUAGGGGAAGCGCUUCGAAAGUUAAACGCAUUUCUAUAACGAGUUAAGCUCCAACCAUGCAUUUCUCGCCAAUUAUAAGUGGUGACAUCACUAUGAUGUCAGAAUCAGUUAUGUCUUACUACCUCCAUCCCAAAUUGAUAGUCCACUUUUGACUUUUGAAGUCUUUUUCCUUCAAUUUUGACCUUAAAUAUUUUUGUUUUUUUAUAGAUAAUACUUGAUGCAAAAUAUAUGAAUGGAUUAUAUUUUAAAUGUUUUUUCAUUGUUAUAAGUUUUAUCAAGUAAUAUAUAACACAAAUAAAACUAUUUAAGGUCAAAGUUGAAGAAAAAAGACUUCAAAAAUCAAAAGUGGACUAUCAAUUUGGGACGGAGGGAGUAUAACCAUAUAUCCAACCACUUGUUUUGGAGAAAACAAUUACAUGUAACUACCGCCAACUACCUUUCCCUCUUGUAUAAGAACAUACUGCAUGUUCCAGAAAAUGGGUUACAAACUUACUCUAAAAAACUAUACUUUUGGUUCUCUCUAUCUCCAAAGAACACAAAACAACAAUGUAUAUUUUUCUGUGUUUCGAAUUUGGAAGUGGCCUAAUUUCCAAAUUGUAUCUCUCAGAUUAUUCGAAAUCAAAUUUCGUGAUACCCCAUGCAUAAGGGGCGAAAUCAUAGAUUUUGAAAAGUGAUUGCAAUCAUGAUCCCAUAAAUUAUCCAAGUUGAUUGAUAUUCUCCAGACCUGUUUCUAAACAAAUACUCACCAAAAUAGGCCACACACCAUGAACUUAAGGCUGACAAAAUGUGGAUUUCUACAAACUCACAAAAAGUAAACUUAAGAACCAUGACUUUUAUCUACAAAUUGGUUUAUGUUUUUUGGUCUUUGGCAUUAGGGGAUUCACCAUUACAUGUAACUUGUUUACAUAAGCAUGCAUUUAUACAACAAAUUCAUGCUUUUUUUUCAAUUAAUGCGAGCAAUUAGGCUUUAUAUGAAUUUUUUUUGAACCGGCAAAUCUAAUCUACUCGUAAGCUAACAAGACCUAUUUCACCUAUGUCCACAACGGGACUUGAACCCUCGACCUCAAAGAGGGAGGACACCACCUGAUACCGCUUCUUUCAUUAUGGUUGGUGAAACUUUGAUUGUUUACAUAAAGUUUAUUUCCAGGGAACUUUGAUUUAUUUUGAAAUAAUUUUUUAGGAUAUGAAUGGUUUGGUCUUUUUUUAAUUGAUCUCCAUGUAAUGGGAAUAAAAUUCAUGUUAAUCUUAUUCGGUAUUUGUAAUUAAUGCUUAAAAAUCUAUGAUUUUUCUAUGGUUUGAUGACUUUUCCAUUUAAUGUAAAAUCAUAAUCAUAUUUAAUUGCUUAUAUUCUUUUCAUUUUGGUCUAUGUUGAUGUAUUUUUUUAAAACAUAAGUUUUACUUAAGAGAGCUAGUUAAUUGGUUUUCUAUAUAGAUUUGUGGUUAAAUGAUUAUGUUUGUCUAAGAAAGGUUAUUUGAGGUUUGAUAAUGAGAGAAUGAGUAGCUAGGGAUUCUUGGUGAAAAUAAAUUUUUUUUAAUGAUGAAUCAAACUAUUGGAAAUUAAAUAAUGUUUGACGUCAUAAUUGGUUAAUCUGUUAGUGGUUUGGUGUUAAAAGAAGGAUCAUUUUUGGAAUAAAUGUCAAUGUUUUUGCAUGAAUUGGAGUUUUAUGGGAAGAAAUGGUAUUUUUGGUUAUAGAUAAAAGAAGAAUUAGUAUAAAAUUAAGAGAGUGGGGCAUAUUGGUCGUUCUUUGGCUAUUUCUUGUAGUCACGGGUGCGACUGGUUCUUUCUUUUAAGAAGGCGUAAGAUUAAUAGAAAAUAACAUAUGGUCCUUUUUUUGUUUAAAAGAAAUAAUGACAGUUCUUUUAACCUUGAUUAUAAAAUAUGGGUUUUAAUAUAUGUGGUAUGAAAAAUCAAAGAAUGGUGGAUGAUCUAGUGCAAUAAAAAGAAUAAAAGAUAGAAAAUGACAUUUGAUUCUUUCUUGGCUGUUACCAAAAGUGAUAGGUUUUUUCAUUGGUGAAAGGAAUUUUCUUAAUACUUUUAGGAAGGGGAUGAUCAUAAAUUGUUUUAAUGUUCAAAAGAUUUUGUGCGUUAAAAAGACAAAAGGGUAAAUUGGUCCUGUUAUGGUUAUAACUAAAUAUGAUUAGUAUUUUCAGUUUUGUAGAAAUUCUCGAGACUUUGGUAGGAAGGAGGAAGCAAGAUACGAUGUGAAGAUUUGAAUUUUUGGUACAGUAUCAUGACCAAAGCGUAUUUUGGUCCUUUUUGGGCUAUUGCUAAAUGGGAACGAUUUAUUAUAAGCUGCAUGAUCUAUGAAACUAUGACAAGCACGGGAAAAAAGAGGUGGAUCUGAUGCUUUGAAGAUUAGGUGUACCAAAAUUUUUAAGGGAUACAUUGUCCUUUACUUGGUCAGUGUUAGGCUAUAAAUGAAUCAAACGGGGGUUGUUCAUAUUCGUUAGUUUAAGUUAGAUGAACAAACGAACGAACACAAGCGAAUAAAUGAAUGAGUUUUCUUGUUCAUGUUCAUUCGUUUAACAAAUUAUAUUGUUCGUGUUUGUUUGUAAACAUGCUAAACAAACAUAAAUAAACGAACAUAAAUAAACGAAAAUAAACAAACAUAUUGAAUAUAUAUGAACAUACACAAACUUAUAAUAUAGUAAUGUAACCAACACAAAUGAGUAUAUAUUAACAUAAAAAUGAACUUAAAUGAAUGAACAUAAAUGAACAAAAUAAACGAACUUCACAAACAUAAUUAAAUGAAUGAGACCAUUGUCCAUGUUCGUUCGUUUAACUAAAAGAACAAAAAUUUGUGUUUAUGUUCAUUCAUUUAUUAAAUAAACGAACUUCCUACCGACCGGUUCAGUUCACUAAACGUUUGUUCAUUUAUUAAAUAAACGAACAUAAACGAACUUUCCGUCGAACGAUUCACGAACAGUUUGCUAAACAUUCGGUUCGUUUACAGCUCUACUCAUGUAUGAGCAUUUUCCCAAAGUACCCCUUAUUUUAUUUUCUAAAAAAAAUAUUUUCCAUUAAGAAAAACAAAAGUGCUAGGUUAAAAAAAACGAUUUUACAUUUUGUUUAAUUGAUUUUAUUUACAUAUUUAGUCUUUGUUUUAUAUAUAUAUAUANNNNNNNNNNNNNNNNNNNNNNUAUAUAUAGGUUUAGGUUAUUUUGUUUAAAGUAAUUAUUGUGUUAUUGUAUGCAUAAAUUAGGGCCAAUCAAAUUUACUUAUUUUAAGAAAGCGAUUAAUAUAUAUUAUUGAAUUAAAUAUAAUUGACAAAAUCAUCUUAAUUAAUUACAAGGGUAAUUUAUUCAAUUAAUGUAGAUUUAAUAAAGGAAAAUUGCAUUUUUUUUAGGGUUCAUAGAUUCUAUUAAUUUUAAAAAUCCGAUUUUACGAAUUAUAAUUCUUUUAAUUCGGACAUUCUGACAGAAUAUGUUUAUGAGUAUAUUCAAAAAUAAAAAUAUUCUUGAACCAUAAAUAAUAAAAAUAUUCUUGAACUUAUUUCUUAAUAAUGACUUUAAAAACUUCUUAUAGAAUAACAAAUUCUUGAACAAUCAAUUGACGAAUAAAAACAAAAAAUACAUUAUUUCUUAUAGAAUACGGGUAACAAUUGUUAGGAAUUACAUUUAUUGUUAAAGUAUAAAACUAAAAAAACUUUCAAAACGGGAAAGAAAACAUCAAAAUCUGACAACGACACUUAUACAUUCUAAAAGAAUAAUGUUGCUUAGAAUCACUUUCAAUUUUGUGGUCCGUUCUUCAAGCAUCAACUUCUGUGAAAACAAAACAAAAUUGUAGUUUAGAUUCCAAUAAUGUAAUAACAAAUGAAAAAUAAAAGACUAAAUUCAUUUGGAAAAAGACGUGGACUUGUGAAUUUCACCAAAACCAAUAAACAAGAAUUGUAGAACAUGCAUAAAUUAGUGAGAAAAUUUCCAUACUCCAUUCCAGCAGAAUUAGAAUUCAUGAUUCCAUUUCAACAAAAUUAGAAUUCAUGAUUCCAUUCCAAUAGAAUUGGAAUCUCACCAAUAUCAUCCAUUGAAUCAUCUACAUAAACAAAUUAAUUCAAAAUGAAAAAAGCAUCAAAGCAUCUAUGUAUUUUACUAAUUGUUCUAGACUUGUACAAUUCUAAUUCAAACAUAACUAAAAAUGAAAUAUAGUUAAACAACUCAAAAUUAAAAGUCUAAGUCUAAUAUAUUAAUUGAAACCCUUUCUUAACAGUUCUAAUUGAAAGCCAACUUGCCUACUUCCCACUAAACAAAUCUUUCAAUCCAAUUCAGAUUCAAACCAAGUUUAAAACCCCUAAAAUUAUUCAUGCUUAGAUGGAAGUUUGAAGCCAAGACAUGGGAAAAUAAUUAAUACCAUCAAUGGUGUAUCAUUAUCAACCAAUCAAACAAACUAUCAAUUGUAUCAAUUAUGUAACGACACAAAAAUCACGACUAAAAAUUUCUUUUAAAACAUUACUAAACCAUGUUUAUAAAAACGUAUCAUAAGUCAUAACAUAAUUUUCGAGUAUUAAAUUCAAAACAUAAUCUCAUUAUCAGAGUAAAACAUUCCCCAGGCUAACUGACUAUCGUGUGUGCACUGCAACCUCUCCGAGCUCCUCCUUUGAAAACUGAGUACCUGAAACCAAAACUGAAAACCGUAAGCACGAAACUUAGUGAGCUCCCCCAAACUACCACAUACCAUACAACAUAUAAAGCACAUACUGGGCCUUGCCCACUGCAUCGGACCAAAGUCCGGAAACUGCAUCGGGCCGAAGCCCGGACUAACUGGGACCAUGUCCCCUGCAUCGGACCGAAGUCCGGAAACUGCAUCGGGCCGAAGCCCGGACUAACUGGGACAAUGUCCCCUACAUCAGACCGAAGUCCGGAAACUGCAUCGGGCCGAAGCCCGGACUAACUGGGGCCUUGCCCCCUACAUCGGACCGAAAUCCGGAAACUGAUUGGGACCUUGUCCCCUGCAUCGGACCGAAUUCCGGACUAACUGCAUCGGACCGAAGUCCGGAACUAACUGAACAAAGCAUAACAUAAACAUAUCAACUAACAUGGACACACAUAUACUGCAUACUGCAUCGGGCCGUGACCCGAAACACAUAACACAUAAAUCCUGUCUGAGCCACGAAGGCAUCAAACAUACUAACUACUGCAUCGGACCGAAGUCCAGAAACUACUGCUAGCUAAACGGGCCGGCAUUGUGGCCUUAGACCCGUUCUUACUGGAAGGAAACUCACCUCGAAAUGUUGACUGCUGAAAACUCGAGUAAAAGAUCCCCGUCUACUGUCCCGGCUGCUCUCCGGCUAUCAUGACAAGUCAAACACUAAAUCAAAAGGGGAAUCUUUUGAUGGGUAAAAUGACCAUUUUACCCCUGCUAUGGCAUGGUUCACAAUAUAGCCCAAACCCUCAAUUCCUUCCAAAUCCAUCCAUGGCCUCGCUAAAGGCCCACUAAUGGCCCAAUUUGCUCCUUUGGGCCCAAAUCCCUUUAUUGGACCUUACUCAAGCCCAAUGAUAAUCCUUGGUCCUUAACAACUGAAUUCUGAUGGCCCAUUAAAGCCCAGGGUCCCUAAGUCUCAACUCAGCCCACACCGAGGCCCGAAAUGCAAUAAGCCCAACUGACUGCGCUACACGGGGCGUACUCUAAUGUACGCUUAGCGUACUGGCCUGCUAGAGAGUACGCGGGGCGUACCUGCAAUUACGCUCGGUGUACUCAUUCUGUUAAGACACUUUUCAUUUAAGUGCUUAAUACUCCGACUCAAGAGCCAUAAACUUAGAUCUAGGUCUUAUUCUAUGCAUUAAGCCAUAAAGUCACUGACUUGGUGACUUUGUAUGGCCCAAACCAACCCAAACUCUCAAAACACUCUUCUACUUCCAUAAAGGGGACUAGAUCUCAUGCAUGGACUUAAUAGGACCACAAAGGUCGAAACUUUACUGCUUCUGGGACUCAUAUGACUCUAAGGGAGGCAACCCUGGUCUUAGAAACGAGCUUAAGUCAUAAAGUCCCAAUCUUGGGACCAAAAGGUCCAAAAACUUGCACUAAGGAGAUCUAAGAGGUUAAUCAUCAAGCUCAAGACUUUUUACCUUGCAAAGGUCCGAAAUGAAGCACUUAUCCCAGAUCUACAAGCUCUAGCCUCAAAGGUUCCUCCUUGCCAACCUUUUUCUCCUUGCUUCCAAGCUUUAAUCCACCAACAUAGGUUCUCCAAGGUCAAGAUCUCAUAAAAUGGAGGUAGGGACGUUCUAGGGUUUCUUCUGAGGUUGGGGAGGCUCAUAUGGGGGCUAUAGUUGGAACCAUAAUGUCCUUUAUAUAGUGCUCAAUCUGAAAUUAGGGUUUCAUGACUUUUAGCGUACGCUGGGCGUAUGCCUUGGACAUCCACGACCAAGCUGCCUCAUUACUCUGGGUGUAACCCAGCUUACGCUGGGCGUACCCACGCGUGCUCCAAACAUGCAUGGAGGGCCUUCCAUGCAAACUUUUCUCUAUAAGGGCCAUUCUCGCCAAAUCUUCAAAGUGUCAUAACUCCUUCGUUCUAGAUCCGUUUCUGAUGAACUUUAUAUCCACAGAAAGGUGGCGAGAAAUCCUAUGCUUCUAACAGCAUAACCCGACCCGGAAACUUCUUGAAUAAUAACUCCAAAUUAAUAAAGGACUAAAACUCCCCUGGCCUUGGCCUCUGAAAUUCCAUAAACGAAUAUUUUAGAACAGGGCGUUACAACUCUUCCCUACUUAAACUAGACUUCGUCCUCGAAGUCCGCUAUGGUCAACUAUUUCACAACCCACUUACUGCUUACCACAGGCUAUGCACUGGACACUUUUCGCUAUUUAGCAUUGAGUAUCCAUCAAUCAACUAUUCGAAUUCUACCAUAGUCCGAUUUCCAUUACUGCCACUGACUGAAAAUUUUUGUUUUCCCUUAUCCGCCUUCCGGAUGAACCGAGACCGCCCUGGUCCUUACUGAUGCCUCCAUAUCUGGUUUACCGGACUCCUACCGGUUACUACACCCCAUCGCAAUCUCAUAGUUGCUUUCAGCGGCUUCUGAAGGUACUUCGACUAUCUAUAACCAUUUUAUCCAUUCUGCCACCCAUACUGAAUCGAUGCUGCUGGAACUAGCCUUCUUAUCUCUCAUCUGACUACUCAACCUCCAAAAAAAACUUGAGUCUCCCUACCCGAAAGAAAGGCUACCUGCCUAAUUACCCUUGUAGAUCACUUAUACUUGGCAGAAGACUUAACUGAUCCUACUGAGAGGGACUUUCCAUUCCCAAAUCAACCAACUAUAUCGUCCUUACCUGAAUUUCAACACAAAUACUAAUAUUGUCCAAAAGUCUGAAACUAUCCAAACAUUGAAGUGCGUGCAAUACUGAACAUGCCUGAAACUCUGAACUGCCUGAAACACUGAGCUACCUGAAACACUGAACUGCAUGAAACACUGAACAUGCCUGAAACUCUAAACUGCAUGAAACAAUGAACAUGCUUGAAACUCUGAAUACGCCUGAAACACUGAACUGCACGAAACACUGCUUCCCGAAUUAUCUCAAGACCUUCCUGGUUACCAAUCAUUUGUCGGUUAUCUGCAACACCAAGUUCCAACUCAACUGUGGAGUCAAAAGACUCCUCACUUAGUCGCUCCUACGACUUCUGAACGAAAUCUUUCUGUGGAACUAGUUUCCACUAGUUAUCCUGUCACUGUGGCUCUAUCAACCUCCCGAUCCACUGAUCAGGUCCAAACGUCACAUCCUGACAUCAUCAAUUCCACGACUAACAACAUGAUGGCUCCCAGACUAACGGUAGCCCAUAACAUACCCGAACCCCAACGGUCCACUGCUACUCUGACCUCAUAACUGUGGUGAUGAUCCGACUGUCGAAUCGCCGACUUAACCAUAACUGAACCAUUUGGGAAAUCCGAAAUCUAACCCGUGGAUUCCCAUAUCUUCACUGCUGCACCCGAACUGGUGGGUACUACUAUUUCCCCCGCAUCCAAAUAUCGCGAUCAUGCUAUCUACUAACUGGACGAGUGCUACGGCUACUUCCGCAGACUUCAACACUAUACUACUAUCUGACUGCUAGUGAAUGCUACGGCUACCCCCGCAGACUUACAACACUACUACUACUAUAUGACUGCUAGUGAAUGCUACGGCUACCCCCGCAGACUUACAACACUACUACUACUAUCUGACUGCUAGUGAAUGCUACGGCUACCCCCGCAGACUUACAACACUACUACUACUAUUUGACUGCUAGUGAAUGCUACGGCUACCCUCGCAGACUUACAACUCUACUACUACUACUACUACAACUAUAUGACUGCUAGUGAAUGCUACGGCUACCCCCGCAGACUUACAACACUACUACUACUAUCUGACUGCUAGUGAAUGCUACGACUAUCCCCGCAGACUUACAACACUACUAUUACUAUCUGAGGACAUCCUGACUAUCCCUAGUCCUGCUAGUGAUUCCUCAUCCUGAUUUCUCAAAACCAGCCCUCAGUCUUUAAAUACUGCAUCAACCUCGACAUCUUAUAUCCUUGAUAUACUUAGCGCUUCGUCGAGGAAUUCUUCGGCUUGGUUCCCAAACCAACCGUCUACUAAUCCGNCUCUACAUGCUGACUCUGUCACUGGCUACUAAUACGAAAGCAUCUCUUGCUAACCGUUCUCAGGAUCCUCAUUCCGACUCACUUGAGCCCUACAGGUGGUCCUCCAAUCCUGGGUUCCCAACCAGCUUCUAACCAUCUCGAUUACAUGAACUAACUGUUCGAAAGGUCCUCAAACUCCCAAACCUGAACUCCUCAAUCCAUCAAUCACUGUGCUACUAUCUUUUCUUCUUAGAGGCCGCACACUCAUUCUGGGUCUACGUGGCUCUUAUCCUUGUAUACUCGGAGGGUUCUCCCCCAAUUGGAUUCGGCUAACUCCUUACUGCUCACUAGUCGAAAGGAUUCCCAACCUUCCUUCCAUUAAAAGGGCGAUCUGCUGUCCGCCAAUGUUUACCUCUGUCGGCACUCCAACUAACUCUUACCAGAUCCGCACCAUUCUUGCUAUCUAACUGAGCACCCUUCGAUCCUUAACUGUAUUUGCUUUAGGGACUACAUCUCGAGAACCUGCGUUUGGGGUGCACAUCCCCAACCCACUUCCCUACUGACCGCUAGCUACUCCACUAAAAACUCUGAAUUAUCACUACUGAGAAUAUAACUGAUCAUUACCCGACUAACACCUUCCGCAAGUAGUAACGCACUACUACAUCUUACACAUACAUGCUACAGUUACUGUAUCCGAAGUAACUUGAUCUAGAGGGGAUGACCUCCAAUUCACCAUUCAAUUCCAAGGUAUGCAGAUGGCAUAAAAAUUUGUCACAAGCAGGUAAUAUAAUACCCCAACACAUAUGCUUAUUGAUAUCAAUGCAGCAACAUAACAAUGAUAUCAUGAAUAACAAUUGACAGGAAAGUAAAGAUAUGUACCCCCAACAUCCAGUGCUGCACGAAUCAUUGUGCGUCCUACCACACUUCCCGCAUCGNCGUUAAUUAGAGGUCGUCAAAUAAAUAAAUGUUUCAUUUAUUUAUAUAUUUAUGUCGUUAAGUCGUGAUAAGAGAAAUGAAAACUCGUAAUACACAUUUUCAUUUAAAUGGAAAAGGUUAGUUUUUAUUAUUACGACCACUAAAUCGGGUGCGACCAAAAGCCCCGUUAAACGACAGUAUCGGGUAGAAUAUCACUGAGCUCCAACUCCCACCCAUAUAUAAGGGGGAGUAAACUCCAUUGGAGCCUUUUCCACCCUCUCUCUCUCUCUCUUUAUACUCUCUCUCUAGACCCGUUUUCGCCCCAAAUCCGCAACCAAACGCUUCCAAAUCGUAAGUCCGCUUAUCCUAGCUUGUUCUAAACAUUAUGACUUGUGUUUAUAGCCCAAAAAUCGGACUUGGAAGCUGUGAAAGAGGAGUUUACGGCCAAAGAUCCUCCUUAGGCCGUAAACACCUUAAAUAAGGCCAAAAUGACCCCAAAACGUCCCUAAACGCUUGGAAAUAUAUUAAGGGAUUAGCCUAGGAGUGUUUAAACAUUAAAUCACAAGGAUUUAGGGUGUAAAAUGGAGUUUACGGNUUUACGGCCCAGGCAUAUGCUUAGGCCGUAAACACCUCAAACCCUUGCAAAAAUGCCCCAAACACACUCCUAAAACACCCUUGGACUUAAUACAUAAACUAGGGGCUUAUCAUUUCGGGUUCAAACCAUUUAAACACAUCAAAAUGUAGGGACAAAAGGAGUUUACGGCACAGGCAUGUACCAGGGUCGUAAACACCCCCAAACAUGCCCAAAUGUUAGUUUUAAUUCCCCCAAAUGGCCUCACACUUCAUUAUAAAUUACUAGGAAGGUAUUAGGGGCUUUAAACUUCACUAAACUCAAGGAAUAAGAGUUUACGGCCGUAAACUCCAUUAGGAGUUGUCCAUGGGCCGCAAACUCCAUUUUAAUGCCCUUAAACCUUAAACUCACUCAUACUAUAUAGUUUUGGACCUAGAAUAAUUCCAUGAACAAGUUAGAAGCCUUAAAACACACUAGAACCCCUCACCAUGAGUUUACGGCCGUAAACUCAUGGUGAAUAGUCCCUGGGCCGUAAACUUAGCUUUGGGAGUUUACUCUCGGAGAGUAAACUCCAUUCCUAAGCCAUACACACCUUUAGACGCUACCCGGGACACCCCAAACACUUAUCCAAAGUUUUUUCUGCUCCUUUGAGUCUGUAUACAUGUUUAAUUAGUAUUAAAUAUACUAAUUGUAUGUAAACAUAUGUUAUCAUUUGUUAAAUAGGUCACUAAGUGUGUCCAAGUCUUUACGUGACACCGAACGCCCAAAUGGCACCUUCGUCGGACCUACUUACACCAGGUAAGUUCAUACCCCUGAAUGAACCUUUCAAUGUUUUUACAUGUUUUAUAGGGGGGGAAUACAAGUUAAACAUGCCAGUUAUCAUAUCAAUCACAUGUGAUUGAUAACCCGCACGCUCAAGAUUUUACCACACUGUACACUGUUUUACCGAGUAGGAUACUAUAAUGGUUUUCAAAAAGGUUUUCAAUUGUUUCAAAACUCUUACUUAUACUGUUUUAUCUAAAUUCAUUUUAAACUGGUUUAUAAAGUUUCCAAAAGAUUUCUAAAGGCUUUCUAACUUAUUUUACCAAAGAAUACCAAUUAUGAUUUUCCCUGGGUAUAAAGGUUUUUCCAAGGUUUUCAUCAAAGUUCCCUUUUCACGACAUAUACUUUUACUUGUUAGUUAUUGCUACUUCGCUUUCAUUUAUUUUAAACUCCUACUUGAAUACGCAUUUCCUUCGUGAUACGCUUAUACCGGUUAUUGUCUCUAUAUCGCUUAUACUUGUAGCCACUUAUACUUGAUAGACGUUUUUACUUCACCAGUUGUCGUUUCCACUUCGUGAUACACUUAUACUUGGUACACUUAUAUUUCACGAUUCGAUUAUUCGACACUGUACACUUAUACUUCACGACUCGGAUAUUCCACUAUACGCUUAUACUUCACGACUCGGAUAUUCCACUGUACGCUUAUACUUCACGACUCGGAUAUUCCAUUGUACGCUUAUACUUCACAAGUCGGUUAUUCCACACUGUACACUUAUACUUCACGAUAUGAUUCCACUUGAUACACACUCAAGCGUAGUUAGAUGUAUGUCUGUGCUUGUAUAGAUGCAUAUAAGUAAUGAUUGAAGGACUUAGGAAGGUUUGUCCGCCCUAUUUCCUUUUCUUCGUUGAGAUGUGGUCUGGUGGGAUCGGAUGUCCAUCCGAAGGUCGUUUGAUUCAUUAGUUAUAUGUUAUGUAUAUGAGCAUAGACAUAUAGGUUUGCUCUAGUCAGUUUAGUCAUGAGUCUCCACCUCUAGUUCAGCACUUACAUUAGAAACCCACUACCCACUGUUUGGAAGUCAUUACCCACUAUUUGGGAUGCAUCUUCAGGACACGGCCUUCUCCGUCGUCUAGUUGGUAACCAGAGUCUCCUGUAGGGAGAGCGGACAUUGUGUGUAUAGAUCUAUACGGGAUUGACACCCCCGCACCCUGACUGCUAGCUACAGUCCACGGCCCACCAAGCCAAGGGGUGACAAAUGUCANNNNNNNNNNNNNNNNNNNNNNNNNNNNNNNNNNNNNNNNNNNNNNNNNNNNNNNNNNNNNNNNNNNNNNNNNNNNNNNNNNNNNNNNNNNNNNNNNNNNNNNNNNNNNNNNNNNNNNNNNNNNNNNNNNNNNNNNNNNNNNNNNNNNNNNNNNNNNNNNNNNNNNNNNNNNNNNNNNNNNNNNNNNNNNNNNNNNNNNNNNNNNNNNNNNNNNNNNNNNNNNNNNNNNNNNNNNNNNNNNNNNNNNNNNNNNNNNNNNNNNNNNNNNNNNNNNNNNNNNNNNNNNNNNNNNNNNNNNNNNNNNNNNNNNNNNNNNNNNNNNNNNNNNNNNNNNNNNNNNNNNNNNNNNNNNNNNNNNNNNNNNNNNNNNNNNNNNNNNNNNNNNNNNNNNNNNNNNNNNNNNNNNNNNNNNNNNNNNNNNNNNNNNNNNNNNNNNNNNNNNNNNNNNNNNNNNNNNNNNNNNNNNNNNNNNNNNNNNNNNNNNNNNNNNNNNNNNNNNNNNNNNNNNNNNNNNNNNNNNNNNNNNNNNNNNNNNNNNNNNNNNNNNNNNNNNNNNNNNNNNNNNNNNNNNNNNNNNNNNNNNNNNNNNNNNNNNNNNNNNNNNNNNNNNNNNNNNNNNNNNNNNNNNNNNNNNNNNNNNNNNNNNNNNNNNNNNNNNNNNNNNNNNNNNNNNNNNNNNNNNNNNNNNNNNNNNNNNNNNNNNNNNNNNNNNNNNNNNNNNNNNNNNNNNNNNNNNNNNNNNNNNNNNNNNNNNNNNNNNNNNNNNNNNNNNNNNNNNNNNNNNNNNNNNNNNNNNNNNNNNNNNNNNNNNNNNNNNNNNNNNNNNNNNNNNNNNNNNNNNNNNNNNNNNNNNNNNNNNNNNNNNNNNNNNNNNNNNNNNNNNNNNNNNNNNNNNNNNNNNNNNNNNNNNNNNNNNNNNNNNNNNNNNNNNNNNNNNNNNNNNNNNNNNNNNNNNNNNNNNNNNNNNNNNNNNNNNNNNNNNNNNNNNNNNNNNNNNNNNNNNNNNNNNNNNNNNNNNNNNNNNNNNNNNNNNNNNNNNNNNNNNNNNNNNNNNNNNNNNNNNNNNNNNNNNNNNNNNNNNNNNNNNNNNNNNNNNNNNNNNNNNNNNNNNNNNNNNNNNNNNNNNNNNNNNNNNNNNNNNNNNNNNNNNNNNNNNNNNNNNNNNNNNNNNNNNNNNNNNNNNNNNNNNNNNNNNNNNNNNNNNNNNNNNNNNNNNNNNNNNNNNNNNNNNNNNNNNNNNNNNNNNNNNNNNNNNNNNNNNNNNNNNNNNNNNNNNNNNNNNNNNNNNNNNNNNNNNNNNNNNNNNNNNNNNNNNNNNNNNNNNNNNNNNNNNNNNNNNNNNNNNNNNNNNNNNNNNNNNNNNNNNNNNNNNNNNNNNNNNNNNNNNNNNNNNNNNNNNNNNNNNNNNNNNNNNNNNNNNNNNNNNNNNNNNNNNNNNNNNNNNNNNNNNNNNNNNNNNNNNNNNNNNNNNNNNNNNNNNNNNNNNNNNNNNNNNNNNNNNNNNNNNNNNNNNNNNNNNNNNNNNNNNNNNNNNNNNNNNNNNNNNNNNNNNNNNNNNNNNNNNNNNNNNNNNNNNNNNNNNNNNNNNNNNNNNNNNNNNNNNNNNNNNNNNNNNNNNNNNNNNNNNNNNNNNNNNNNNNNNNNNNNNNNNNNNNNNNNNNNNNNNNNNNNNNNNNNNNNNNNNNNNNNNNNNNNNNNNNNNNNNNNNNNNNNNNNNNNNNNNNNNNNNNNNNNNNNNNNNNNNNNNNNNNNNNNNNNNNNNNNNNNNNNNNNNNNNNNNNNNNNNNNNNNNNNNNNNNNNNNNNNNNNNNNNNNNNNNNNNNNNNNNNNNNNNNNNNNNNNNNNNNNNNNNNNNNNNNNNNNNNNNNNNNNNNNNNNNNNNNNNNNNNNNNNNNNNNNNNNNNNNNNNNNNNNNNNNNNNNNNNNNNNNNNNNNNNNNNNNNNNNNNNNNNNNNNNNNNNNNNNNNNNNNNNNNNNNNNNNNNNNNNNNNNNNNNNNNNNNNNNNNNNNNNNNNNNNNNNNNNNNNNNNNNNNNNNNNNNNNNNNNNNNNNNNNNNNNNNNNNNNNNNNNNNNNNNNNNNNNNNNNNNNNNNNNNNNNNNNNNNNNNNNNNNNNNNNNNNNNNNNNNNNNNNNNNNNNNNNNNNNNNNNNNNNNNNNNNNNNNNNNNNNNNNNNNNNNNNNNNNNNNNNNNNNNNNNNNNNNNNNNNNNNNNNNNNNNNNNNNNNNNNNNNNNNNNNNNNNNNNNNNNNNNNNNNNNNNNNNNNNNNNNNNNNNNNNNNNNNNNNNNNNNNNNNNNNNNNNNNNNNNNNNNNNNNNNNNNNNNNNNNNNNNNNNNNNNNNNNNNNNNNNNNNNNNNNNNNNNNNNNNNNNNNNNNNNNNNNNNNNNNNNNNNNNNNNNNNNNNNNNNNNNNNNNNNNNNNNNNNNNNNNNNNNNNNNNNNNNNNNNNNNNNNNNNNNNNNNNNNNNNNNNNNNNNNNNNNNNNNNNNNNNNNNCGAAGGGCAACGAGCUGAGACAGUCAAUAUCCCUGCCAACCCUCCCAUCUCUACGCCUAGGAGACCAUACUUAGGAAACCUUCCCCACUGCAGUAAUUGCAGCUACCAUCAUCAUGGUGUCUACCGGGAGCUCUAUUGUGUUAGGUGCCACAUGUUGGGGCAUACUGCUUGCGUCUGCAGAACCCCAGUUGAGUUUAUUACACCAACCACUAGCGCGGCUACCAAUAUAGUUUGUCACCUAUGUGGUGGAAAGGGACACUUCAAAAGGGAUUGCCCAACUGAAAGAAACAACAAGGACACAGGAGGAGCCUAAAUCUACUGCUUAGGGAAGGACGUCAAGGAACUCGUUAGAUUUUGGGACGUCUCUCGAUCUCAGAUAACUAAACUAAAAACAAUAAAAGAUUAAUUCGAAUGUAAAUUCUUCCCAGUAAGGCGAAAGUCGCAGCACUGUUAUAAAAUUUAAAAUUCAUUAGGUAAAACUAUAAUGGCUAAACAUAUACGUUACGACCAUGUAUAUUUAAGAUGGAUAGACCUAGAGUGAGCGAAUGCCGCCUCAUUUCCUGUUCCUCGUUUGGUUGUGGAUUUAGGGCGGGGUCGCUCAGUCAACAGUCCUCCCCACCUUAAAUAUACAUGACUAGUAUAUGUGAGGCGAUUAUAGAAAUGCCUUGUGAGAAUUCAUUCAUGAAAAGAUACUCUAUUCGGAAACACUUAGAACUCUCUAUAGUUCCGCGUCGACUCUAUCGGUCCAAGUAUCCGCGGUAGUGAUACAUAGGACGAAACCCGAGACGCCUAGAACUUGUGUGCCUGUUCGGCACAUGACUCUAUCGAUCUUCAUUAUAUAUCAUGUCGGAGUGUGCCAACUUCGACGACUCUAUUGAUCAUGGUUCGACUUCGUGCAACCAUGUGUACAUCCUUAGUGUUGUGUAAAAAGAACUUUCUCCGUAGCCAUGUCGGCAAAUAAAGGUUCUUCUGAACCUAAACAUAAUGCAAAUAAUCAAACCUAAUGCGAUCCGUCAAUCGUCCCUCUUAUCUCAAACCUUCCGAAGUACCCAAGAGAAGGUACCACGCACCGUUGACUGACUCCUCGUAGUCAGAUGAACACCAAAGUGAAGGACACUGUAGAUACUCCAGAAGACAAUAACUAUCUGGAGCAUACUUCAAAGAAUCCCCAGAAAGACCCUCCGCACCUCGCACAUUAGGUUCGUGAACCCAGAGAACAGAACUCAUGAGACUGACCACUAUAACUAGGUAUAUGCAUAAAGGUGGCAUAUAAUUGAGAUCAAAAAGAUUUAAGGUGUGUGUUUCCUCCCUAUUCCCUGUUCCUCGUUGGGUUGUGGGUUUGGGGUGGAGUCGCACAGCUAAACAUCCUGCCGACCUCAAUUAUAUAUUGCUUGCAUACACCCGUUAUUAGUGGUUAGGCUAAGCAUGAGCUCUACCACAAACCUAGUAGCAAAUCCCUUCAUCCUAUUCCAUAAAAUAGGAGCUGGAGUCAAGAGAAUCACUGCGGGUUGAACUAUUAAAGUUCCGAGUGAUGAGACCCUAUACUCACUAGAGUUGACCUAGACAAAGAAACUCAGAACCUUUGAAGGAGUGGUUGUAGUAGAUGCUCGCACUACUCAGGCACUUCGUCCACCCCGUUAUAGACGAGUAGUGCCUAUCAUCCUCCACCCUCUCGUAUGGAGGAAAUCGUCGUCGCCCUGUAGAAGAUAGACUUCAUUCUCCGAAGUAAACACUAGAAUACCGAGAACCACAGGAUAACCUCCGCAUCCAGGAAUACUUGAUCAAAGCACGAGCGUAGUUGCAUUCAGCAUCAUGACCCAGAUCCCGAAGAGAUUAUAGACUUGACACCAGCCUUGGUGUUAGUCGAGGGGUUAUGCAGGAGCAUGCGCUUUCCGCACUAGGAUAAACCAACGCCUUGGAAAUUAGGGCACGUCUCGCGAGGUUCAUUGGACUAUUAGGUGUUCCACGAAUACUAUCUCGCGCAAAAAUAGUAGAACCACCCCCCGAGAUAGUCCAACACUAGUCUAGUGAAACCCUAUCUCCCUGACCCGGAGGGUUUCCGUAUCUCAAGAUUCGUUAGUGCAGUUUCCUUUGCACAAGCUUGAGGUAGACACUCUUCAGCAAACAGAUAACCAUAGUCACGCAACCCACUCGACGAUCUAGAAAGUCUCUAUCAGCCAGAUGACAGGAAUCACGCAACCAAAGACCACCCGAGCUCCCUAAGAACCAACCUGAAGGACCACACACAGUACGAGUAAGAACAUUAGGAACUUCGGAAUGGCGAUCACACCAGUGAUGAUCUUGCCAUAGAAGUACACUAUGUUCUAAGUGCUGAAAAUCUCUACCAUUCCGAGAGCUUAGGACCAUAUGAGGAUUCUCAUGGAGAUUUGGUCCAACCCCUUUUCAGGCCGCUACUACUUUCGGAUAUUCCACAAGCUUCACACCUCGAUCGAUCCACUUCUUAGACUUGAUAUGCGAUUACCCGACGACACUCUGCGUAUCCCACUCAUCUUGAUAGAGACCAAUGAGAACCCUAACCUCGUAGAUACACCAGUCAGAACCCACUAGCUACCGAGGCGGAAUCCGCAUCCCGUAGGUGAAGGUAUGUUGAGAUAACAAACACAGACCAAAGAUUCACAGGGGAAUGCGAGGACAAACAGAAUAGGGAGUAUCCUCCUGCCUCUACCCGGUCAUUCAUACCUACUUCCUUGCCUAGACCUGAAUUUCGGGACGAAAUUCCCUUUAACGGGGGGAUGAUGUGACAACCCAAGUUUGUUCCGUUACAUUUCCCCGUUACCGUUAACGAAAUAUUACACUGUAUAAAAGUUCCGUUAAUUAGAGGUCGUCAAAUAAAUAAAUGUUUCAUUUAUUUAUAUAUUUAUGUCGUUAAGUCGUGAUAAAAGAAAUAAAAACUCGUAAUACACAUUUUCAUUUAAAUGGAAAAAGUUAGUUUUUAUUAUUACGACCACUAAAUCGGGUGCGACCAAAAGCCCCGUUAAACGACAGUAUCGAGUAGAAUAUCACUGAGCUCCAACUCCCACCCAUAUAUAAGGGGGAGUAAACUCCAUUGGAGCCUUUUCCACCCUCUCUCUCUCUAUACUCUCUCUCUAGACCCGUUUUCGCCCCAAAUCCGCAACCAAACGCUUCCAAAUCGUAAGUCCGCUUAUCCUAGCUUGUUCUAAACAUUAUGGGUGUUUAUAGCCCAAAAAUCAGAAUUGGAAGCUGUGAAAGAGGAGUUUACGGCCUAAGCUCCUCCUUAGGCCGUAAACACCUUAAAUAAGGCCAAAAUGACCCCAAAAUGUCCCUAAAGGUUUGGAAAUAAAUUGAGGAUUUAGCCUAGGAGUGUUUGAUCAAUUAAAACAAUCAUUUUGAGGCAUAAAAAGGAGUUUACGGCCCAGGCAUAUGCUUAGGCCGUAAACACCUCAAACCCUUGCAAAAAUGCCCCAAACACACUCCUAAAACACCCUUGGACUUAAUACAUAAAUUAGGGGCUUAUCAUUUCGGGUUUAAACCAUUUAAACACAUCAAAAUGGAGGGUCAAAAGGAGUUUACGGCCCAGGCAUGUACCAGGGCUGUAAACACCCCCAAACAUGCCCAAAUGUUAGUUUUAAUUCCCCCAAAUGGCCUCACACUUCAUUAUAAAUUACUAGGAAGGUAUUAGGGGCUUUAAACUUCACUAAACUCAAGGAAUAAGAGUUUACGGCCGUAAACUCCAUUAGGAGUUGUCCAUGGGCCGCAAACUCCAUUUUAAUGCCCUUAAACCUUAAACUCACUCAUACUAUAUAGUUUUGGACCUAGAAUAAUUCCAUGAACAAGUUAGAAGCCUUAAAACACACUAGAACCCCUCACCAUGAGUUUACGGUCGUAAACUCAUGGUGAAUAGUCCCUGGGCCGUAAACUAAGCUUUGGGAGUUUACUCUCGGAGAGUAAACUCCAUUCCUAAGCCAUACACACCUUUAGACGCUACCCGGGACACCCCAAACACUUAUCCAAAGUGUUUUCCGCUCCUUUGAGUGCGUAUACGUGUUUAAUUAGUAUUAAAUAUACUAAUUGUAUGUAAACAUAUGUUAUCAUAUGUUAAAUAGGUCACUAAGUGUGUCCAAGUCUUUACGUGACGCCGAACGCCCAAACGGCACCUUCGUCGGACCUACUUACACCAGGUGAGUUCAUACCCCUGAAUGAACCUUUCAAUGUUUUUACAUGUUUUAUAGGGGGGGAAUACAAGUUAAACAUGCCAGUUAUCAUAUCAAUCACAUGUGAUUGAUAACCCGCACGCUCAAGAUUUUACCACACUGUACAUUGUUUUACCGAGUAGGAUACUAUAAUGGUUUUCAAAAAGGUUUUCAAUUGUUUCAAAACUCUUACUUAUACUAUGUUAUCUAAAUUCAUUUUAAACUAGUUUAUAAAGUUUCCAAAAGAUUUCUAAAGGCUUUCUAACUUAUUUUACCAAAGAAUACCAAUUUUGAUUUUCCCUGAGUAUAAAGGUUUUUCCAAGGUUUUCAUCAAAGUUCCCUUUUCAUGACAUAUACUUUUACUUGUUAGUUACUGCCGCUUCACUUUCAUUUAUUUAAAACUCCUACUUGAAUACGCAUUUCCUUCGUGAUACGCUUAUACCGGUUAUUGUCUCUAUAUCGCUUAUACUUGUAGCCACUUAUACUUGAUAGACGUUUUUACUUCACCAGUUGUUGUUUCCACUUCGUGAUACACUUAUACUUGGUACACCUAUACUUCACGAUUCGAUUAUCCCACACUGUAAACUUAUACUUCACGACUCAUAUAUUCCACUGUACGCUUAUACUUCACGACUCGGAUAUUCCACUGUACGCUUAUACUUCACAAGUUGGUUAUUCCACACUGUACACUUAUACUCCAUGAUAUGAUUCCACUUGAUACACACUCAAUCGUAGUUAGAUGAUGUCUGUGCUUGUGUAGAUGCAUAUAAGUAAUGAUUGAAGGACUUAGGAAGGUUUGCCCGCCCUAUUUCCUUUUCUUCGUUGAGAUGUGGUCUGGUGGGAUCGGAUGUCCAUCCGAAGGUCGUUUGAUUCAUUAGUUAUAUGUUAUGUAUAUGAGCAUAGACAUAUAGGUUUGCUCUAGUCAGUUCAGUCAUGAGUCUCCACCUCUAGUUCAGCACUUACAUUAGAAACCCACUACCCACUGUUUGGAAGUCAUUACCCACUAUUUGGGAUGCAUCUUCGGGACACGGCCUUCUCCGUCGUCUAGUUGGUAACCAGAGUCUCUUGUAGGGAGAGCGGACAUUGUGUGUAUAGAUCUAUACGGGAUUGACACCCCCGCACCCUGACUGCUAGCUACAGUCCACGGCCCACCAAGCCAAGGGGUGACAAAUGUCACAUUAUAUAGACGCUUGUAGGGCGUCUGGUACUCUAGUGUCGGUUAGUAUGGUUACGAGUAUCCCGGGUUACCUUAUAAUUCAUGGCCUUAAGGUAACAGUAUUCACCGGCAAUUUACAUUGUAUGCUGGUAACUCAUUUUCAGAGUCACACUGUUUUGACCUUGCAAGAUGUAUCUUUCAUUUGAUACUGUCUGCGGUCUGUAUCCUCUGUUUUGACCUUGCAAGAUGUAUCUUUCAUUUGAUACUGUCUGCGGUCUGUAUUCUCUGUUUUGACCUUGCAAGAUGUAUCUUUCAUUUGAUACUGUCUGCGGUCUGUAUUCUCUGUUUUGACCUUGCAAGAUGUAUCUUUCAUUUGAUACUGUCUGCGGUCUGUAAUCACUGUUUUAGACCUUACCAGUUGUACCUUUCAUUUGGUACCUUCUGGGGUCUGUGUCUUCUUUUGUUAGACUGAACCAGGCGUGUCGUUCGUUCGAUACCCUCCUGGAGUCUAUGAUUCCUUUGCCUUAGUCAGCAGUCCUCACUGCUGAGGCAUAUGUUAUUUCCCUGACUUCUCUUGCUUUCUUUAAUAAUCAAAUUCAGUAUUUUGAUAAUGAUAGCGAUUAAUGGAAAACUACUUUUACCACAUAACUCUGUCCAGUCUUGGUAGAAGGUUGCUUUUAUUAAAGAAAAUAUAGGAUUUUCUGGAAAUAACUCUAAUACACUGAAAUCUCUUAAACUACUUCAUUAUAAGGUUAUUUGGAUAAAAAGUCACUAAAUGCUUAUGAACUCACCAGCAUUUGUAAAAAUGCUGAUACUCGCUUUUCAAAUAACUUGUAUUCUUAGGUCAGCAUUAGACAGGUACAUCCCCGGAGCUGUUGAUGAAGAUAGCUUAGUACCAUGUUGUACUUAUUAUAUUUACUUGUAUUACUUUGAUGUAUUGUAAUGUGAACCAUGUAAAACUAUUACUAUUAAUGCAAUGUUUUGUUGUACUUUGAUUACUAUAAUGCAUGUGUUGUGAUACUUGACAUGACGUCAUCCACCCCAGAACGUUUCCGUUGUUCCGGUUUUGGGGUGUGACAUCAAUGCAACAACAUAACAAUAAUAUCAUGAAUAAUAAUUGAUAGGGAGGUAAAAGAUACAUACCUCCUUCACUUGGCGCUGCUCGAAUCCUUGCUGAAAUCAACCGGAAAACUCGGCUCCGAGCCGUGGGCGCCUUUGCCCGGCCUCGGCAACCGCUGGCGGUACUUGAAGUCCCAAGGGCAGGAGUUGGCACCUGCCCUGCUGUAUACAAACUCGGACAGUGGGCCUUCUUGUGGCCCCUCUGACUGCAAUGGAAACAUAUCAGAUCAAACCCAUGGGCGAUGGUAACAAUACAAUCCCAACUAAAAUGGCCAAUUUGGCCGCACUUGAAACAUCCGGCAUCGCCACCACUUCUACUCCUGCACGCACCCAGGUGCGUCCUACCGCACUUCCCGCAUCGACUGCGGCUCUGAUAGUCCCUCGUCCUCAAAUCCGACCCCUUGGGCCUCUUACCCGAACCUGUGGCUACCUGAGUCUCAUCCGUUUUCCUCUUCCUUUCUGAUUCCCUGCCCGUCUCUCGCUCCUGCGUUACCUUGUCGACACCGCCCGUCGACAAAACAACAGCUGUCUGAUCCUGGAGCUUUGCGAUCAACCUAUCAGUGAUCCUCACGACCAUGUCGGUCAGAUCCUCACGAAUGGAUCGCAUAACCUCCUCAAUUAUCCAAUCAUGCAGAGGUCUCUCUUGGAGACAGGAUGCCCCACUCACUCCUAUCCACUGAUGACAAAAACUAGAAACGGGAUCUCCUUCCCCAAUGGAUCCCUGAACUCCAUAAGCAUCGGGCUCUAUACGAGCCCCAAUCUGUCCUGAAACUAUCAUGGCCCUAAAGGCCUCCAGAUGACUGUCCAUAAGCUCCACGAUGGCCUCUCUAACCGAACCAAAAAUCACUGGAGUCUGAUCGAUGAUGUUGCGCAUGAUCUCUGCGGAAAUGAAAUCCCUCAUCUGAUCAUCAAGCUACCCAGCUCUAGAACCUGAGCCAGAUCCCUCCCUGAUACCUAAACUGCUAACUGGUAACUCGCGCAACGUCACCAUGCUGGAAACAUAACACUCUACUGAUCAAUACUCACUGUUGCUGAGGGAUCUCUCACACACACCCUAAAAGUUCCCUGGUCUUGUCUCGGCCCCUCUUGAUUCGAGUACGGAUCCUCUGCUUUCAGUAGUACAGGCCAAUACUACCUUCCACAUAUAUCCGUACUUUCCUCAAGAACUGCCUCGACUCCACCAAGUCACUCUACUGCUACUGAUCUCUGCUACUACCUUCCUAGGCUUGCCCUAGGGAACUUCUGACUCCACCCAAACCAGUCCUCAGCUGCUGAAGGCCUCAUUGUAAUGCCAAUCAGCCACCACCUGAAUACCAUCACAUGUAAUGAGGCUCGGAUAAUCCUUCGAGUAAAAGUCUCGUCCCUACAACGGUUAGACUCAAACGAGAGCUGCGCAGUAGGGCCAAAUCCAGCACUCUGAGAUUAUUCAACCCUGAUCACAUGUGAUGUGACGUAUUCACCUAAUGACUAACUCCCAUCACUCAGAGUCCCACAAAGCACAAAGCAAGCAACAUUCGGAUAGAGGAAACAUACUCAGGCAAAACUAUUCUCAUAACAAGAAACUGUACUAGCAUACAAUGCUAAGCUCAUACUAUCAGGCAUAACCUACACAGGCUAUCCUACUACUAUCUACUCAAUACUAGCAUGAAAGUCUUAUCAAGCUGAAACACAUAAAGCAGGCACAUAAGGCAUCCUCCUAGAUCCUUAGUCCUAUACUAGCAUGCUGUUCUACUGAAACUGAAACUGAACUAAUAACUUGUAUGGGUAAUUUGGGAGUACUUACUUGAGCUCGGCUGAUCGCAUGCACCACACCCUUAUCUUGUUUAAAAAUUUCUUUCUUUCUAAGUGCUUUCAAAAUUCUUUUAGAAAACAUUUUCCUUUUAAAAAUCUUUUUAUUUCCCCUUAGUUUGAGUUCAGAUACACCCGGAAGUGUAUCCGAAUCCCUCAAACCAGGGCUCUGAUACCAACUUGAAACGACCCAAAAAUACGACCCAAAAAUUUCGUUUUUCAACAUAACCAAAAACCAUAAUCUGAGUGUCAUAUCAUAAACCAUACAUGAUGUAUCUCAAAAUAAUAAUAAAAACACUGUGCGGAAAACUGUAUCAUAUCCAUGUCAUAUAAAAAUCAAGAACCAAAUCAACUCCCAGGAUAAAAGCUGAAGCUGUGGUGUGUGCGAUGCCAUCAUCCCGAGCUCUUCCCUCUACAAGCGGAAGUACCUGAAACCAAAACUGAAACUGUAAGCACGAAGCUUAGUGAGCUCCCCCAAACUACCACAUACCAUACAAUAAAUAUAAAUCACAUACUGGGCCUUGCCCACUGCAUCGGACCAAAGUCCGGAAACUGCAUCGGGCCGAAGCCCGGACUAACUGGGACCAUGUCCCCUACAUCAGAUCGAAGUCCGGAAACUGCAUCGAGCCGAAGCCCGGACUAACUGGGACAAUGUCCCCUGCAUCGGACCGAAGUCCGGAAACUACAUCAGGCCGAAGCCCGGACUAACUGGGGCCUUGCCCCCUACAUCAGACCGAAAUCCGGAAACUGACUGGGACCUUGUCCCCUGCAUCGGACCGAAUUCCGGACUAACUGCAUCGGACCGAAGUCCGGAACUAACUGAACAAAGCAUAACAUAAACAUAUCAACUAACAUGGACACACAUAUACUGCAUACUGCAUCGGGCCGUGACCCGAAACACAUAACACAUAAAUCCUGUCUGAGCCACGAAGGCAUCAAACAUACUAACUACUGCAUCGGACCGAAGUCCGGAAACUACUGCUAGCUAAACGGGCCGGCAUUGUGGCCUUAGACCCGUUCCUACUGGAAGGAAACUCACCUCGAAAUGCUGAGUGCUGAAAACUCGAGUAAAAGAUCCCCAUCUACUCUCCCGACUGCUCUCCGGCUAUGAUGACAAGUCAAACACUAAAUCAAAAGGGGAAUCUUUUGAUGGGUAAAAUGACCAUUUUACCCCUGCUAUGGCAUGGGUCACAAUAUAGCCCAAACCCUCAAUUCCUUCCAAAUCCAUCCAUGGCCCCGCUAAAGGCCCACUAAUGGCCCAAUUUGCUCCUUUGGGCCCAAAGCCCUUUAUUGGACCUUACUCAAGCCCAAUGAUAAUCCUUGGUCCUUAACAACUAAAUUCUGAUGGCCCAUUAAAGCCCAAGGACCCUAAGUCUCAACUCAGCCCACACCGAGGCCCGAAAUGCAAUAAGCCCAACUAAUUGCGCUACCUGGGGCGUACUCUAAUGUACGCUUAGCGUACUGGCCUGCUAGAGAGUACGCAGGGCGUACCUGCAAUUACGCUCGGCGUACUCAUUCUGUUAAGACACUUUUCAUUUAAGUGCUUAAUACUCCGACUCAAGAGCCAUAAACUUAGAUCUAGGUCUUAUUCUAUGCAUUAAGCCAUAAAGUCACUGACUUGGUGACUUUAUAUGGCCCAAACCAACCCAAACUCUCAAAACACUCUUCUACUUCCAUAAAGGGGACUAGAUCUCAUGCAUGGACUUAAUAGGACCACAAAGGUCGAAACUUUACUGCUUCUGGGACUCAUAUGACUCUAAGGGAGGCAACCCUGGUCUUAGAAACGAGCUUAAGUCAUAAAGUCCCAAUCUUGGGGCCAAAAGGUCCAAAAACUUGCACUAAGGAGAUCUAAGAGGUUAAUCAUCAAGCUCAAUACUUUUUACCUUGCAAAGGUCUGAAAUGAAGCACUUAUCCCAGAUCUACAAGCUCUAGCCUCAAAGGUUCCUCCUUGCCAACCUUCUUCUCCUUGCUUCCAAGCUUUAAUCCACCAACAUAGGUUCUCCAAGGUCAAGAUCUCAUAAAAUGGAGGUAGGGACAUUGUAGGGCUUCUUCUGAGGUUGGGGAGGCUCAUAUGGGGGCUAGAGUUGGAACCAUAAUGUCCUUUAUAUAGUGCUCAAUCCGAAAUUAGGGUUUCAUGACUUUUAGCGUAUGCUGGGCGUACCUCCUGGUACGUUGGGCGUACGCCUUGGACAUUCAUGACCAAGCUGCCUCAUUACACUGGGCGUACCCACGCGUGCUCCAAACAUGCAUGGAGGGCCUUCCAUGCAAACUUUUCUCUAUAAGGGCCAUUCUCGCCAAAUCUUCAAAGUGUCAUAACUCCUUCGUUCUAGAUCCGUUUCUGAUGAACUUUAUAUCCACAGAAAGGUGGUGAGAAAUCCUACGCUUCUAACAACAUAACCCGACCCGGAAACUUCUCGAGUAAUAACUCCAAAUUAAUAAAGGACUAAAACGCCCUUGGCCUUGGCCUCUGAAAUUCUAUAAACGAAUAUUUUAGAACAGGGCGUUACAAAUUAUCAAAACUUAAAUCACAGCAACAUCAAAACUUAAAUCACAACAACAUCAAAAAACUCAUAUCAAUUACCAAACAUCAGAUUUGAGUUCUUUUUGGUUGUUGAUUUGGAACUGAAUUGAAGGCAGAUCCUCCAAUUGUAUAUUCCAAAAUCAAAGCCCAUCCCAUUAUCCAAGCAAGAUUGAAAAUUAGAAAAUGGUAAUAUCAGCAUUCAAGAAUUUUACAGUAUCAUAGCACAUUAAGAAUUUGAAGAUGAAGAACCUACCCUUCUCCAACACAGAUGAAGGAAUAAUGAUAUGCACUUCCAGCCGAAGGGCAGCGACUUGCAAGCUCAGCAUAACAAAAGGCACAGACAACAGCUGCUAUACCAGCAAUAAGGAAAGAAAAGGCCAAAGCAGGGCCAAAAUGUUCUCUAGCAACUGUACCCACAAGAAUGUAAACCCCAGCUCCGAUCAUCGAACCUUGUUUUCGUCCACUACCGAGAGGCUGAAGAGAGUGGCGACAACAUUCUUCGCCCCCAAUUCGGCGGAUGUUGACUGAUAUGGAGGGUGUCGUAGAGUGUUCCAUUGCACAUGAAUUCCACUACCAGCAACCGAUUUUGAUGUGGGGUGUUUGUGAAUCCGACUAAAUUAACAAGACGAGGGAUGUGGAUUUUUGACAGGAUGUCGAUUUUGUUUUCGACUUCGUUGUCCGGCAAGGUGGAGAUGGCGGAAUGACGGUGGUUGUGAUGAGAGGGUUUUUUUACGGCGACGAGACCUCGCUACACCCACAAAAGCCACAACAACCUCACUGCGAUUCCCGUUUCCUGUCUUUAGCCUUCCACUAAUCGACAACACCCCUAGACGAUUCUUGCACCAGAUUUCUUGGGUCUCUGUUACCUACGCUCGUUUUUUGCCGUCGUCCAUCUUUACCCGAUCAAAAAGAACACGGGUUUAAAAGCCCUAAUCCUUUAAGUGGAUCCACUUGUUGAAAGCAAAGAUAAAACCCUUAUUUAUUUAUUUAAUUAUUUAAUUAUUUAUUUAAUUUUGAUUGGCCCACAAUUAUGCAUACAGUAACACAAUAGAUACAUUAAACACCUGAACCUAUCUCUCUCUCUUUCUUUCUUUCUCUCUCUCUCUCUCUCUCUAUANNNNNNNNNNNNNNNNNNNNNNNNNNNNNNNNNNNNNNNNNNNNNNNNAAAUCAUAACACGCUUAUGAACAGUGCACUUUCAGUCAUUCACAUUUUCACCACAUUAUUUUCUUCUGUUGUCACUUUCGUCUCUUUCUCUUUUACUUUAAGUGGUUCAUACUUCUGGUCUAUGUUGGUUCCUCUGUUUGCCAUGUUUCAUAUCCUUCCCUCCCAUUUGCCACCGCCUUUGUUAGCCAAUAUAAUAUUUUCACUACCAUUUUUUCUAGCAUGUGUCUCCAAAUUGUUUGGGAAUCUUCUUUUCGUCUUCAUUUCUAGGUUUUUAAGAAGAAUAGUAAAGUUAAGCAAUUUCCUAGCAAAGAAAAACAAAAACGGGAAGAGAUUGAAGGUAAAUCGGCAAGGAAAAACAAAAACAGGAAGAGAUCGAAGGUGAAUCAAUUACAUGAAGGUAUUUUACAAUUACCACACUCUCUUAACCCCUCAAAUCAAUUUCAUCCACUACAAUGAUUUGGAAGAUAUCUUCAUGAUAUUUCAGGUGUUGUCAUCUUUUGCUAUUUUAGUAUGUGAUUUCCACUUUCUUCCCCACCGUUCACAUUCUGGUUUUUCUGUUUUGUUUUGAUUCGGGUACCUACAAUUUUUUUUUCAAUCAGUUUCAGAUGCACAUGUUUGAACUUAUGUUUUGUUUUUGCUUUCAUCAUUGAAUUACUUGAUAUCGCGAAGCUUCGAAUUGUGAUUUUUGCUGAAAUUUGCUUAUAGGUGUUUUUUAUUGAAUUGAUCUGAGUAUUUUAUCAAGAAAUUUUUCUCAUUAGAUAAUAUUACUGAUUUACAUGAGAGAUUUUGAUUAUUUGUGAAAUCGAUUUCUUGUGGCAACGUCGACGACCUUAAACAUCUCCGGAAACCCACCAGGUAAACACAGUUUACCGUUUAACAAUUUAAUAAAUAUGACUUUUUAAUUCGCUCACUACUAUCCCAAGGAUGUUUGAUCCUACCACUAAAUAGUUAUGUGAGAUUGUCAGUAAAUUUAUUUAGUUCUUAAGUUGUUUCAUGUCAAUUUGUUUUGUUUUAUUUUGUUUUUUUUGUUUCAUGUUUAUCUGACCUUGCAUUUUAUUUAUUUAUUUUUGCAGAUGAUGUGUCGAUGGGGAGAUCCUCGGUUAAUUUAACAAGUUGAUGUGGUGGACCAGGUAAAAGUACUAGGACAGAAAACGAAUGCGAGAGUGGCUCUUUACUCUGUUACAAGUUGUUGGUUGUUAGAUCCUUGUAUAUAUUAUGUAUUCUGAGGUGAUCAAUAAUCAAUGGAAGAUAUUCAGAAACAUUUCUCUCUCUUAAUUCAUAACAUUUCAUCAUGGUAUCAGAGCAUUGAUCAGUAUUAUUCAUUUCUGCAUUUCAUCUUUUUCAUUUUCUUGUGUUCGUCACUCGAUUCAUCUGUUUCUUCUUCUUCAAAACAAUUUUCUCUUGUUUUCCAUCUGUUACAAUGUCAACAAAUUCUCAAAACAUUACUCAAUUAAGUAAUUUAAUCAAUUCAUCUGAUCCUAUGUAUUUGCAUCCAUUUGAUCAUAUAGGAAUGCUUCUUGUUUCGAAGCAAUUUGAUAGAUCAAAUUUCAAUUCUUGGAAGAAAGAAAUGAUGAUCGAUAUUUCCACUAGGAACAAGCUAGGUUUUGUUAAUGGCAAAAUAUCAAACCUUCAUCUGAAAGCAAAACAUCGAAGAAUUGGCAGAGAUGUAAAGAUAUGGUUACGUCUGGAUUUUGAAUGUUUUAUCGAGUGAUAUUUUUGAAUCAGUCUUGUAUUCAUCAUCCACAAAGAUGACAAAUUUGAACAAUCAAAUGGAGCCAAAAUCUAUCAUCUGCAGAAAUCUAUAUCUGAUUUAUCACAAAUAUCGGAUGAUUUGGCUACAUAUUUCACAAAAUUGAAGAAAUAGUGGGAUGAACUGAAUGCACUUUCUUUGAUUCGUAAUUGCAAAUGUGGAGAUAUGCAGCAAAUUUAAGACGACUUACAAACUCAAAAUCUUAUCAAGUUUCUUAUGGGACUAAACAAUGAAUAUGGAACUGUUCGAGGAAGUAUACUAAUGAUGAAACCUUUUCCCUCUAUUGCAUAAGCAUAUGCCCUUCUCAUUCAAGGUGAAAACCAAAUAGAGGUACAUUCUUCUUCUCAUUUUCUUUCUGAAUCUGCCUCCAUAAAUGUGAAAAGUGGGACAAGUUUUCCAAAACACAAAUCAAAAGGAAGAAACAAUUAUGAAGGAAAGAAGAAUGUUAUAUGUAGUUUAUGUAAGAAAUUUGGUCAUUGUGCUGAUAAAUGCUACAUAAUUGUUGAUUUUCCAAAAGAUUUUAAGUUCACUAAAGGAAAGAGUGUUGCAUCUAAUGUGGUUUCUAUUCAAUCUUCUGAUGGAACAAGCGAUGAAACUAUUAAGUCUCUAGAACUAACCAGUGAUCAAUAUCAGCAUCUCAUCUCAAUGUUGAGCAGUCACUUUGUUUCAAAAGGAGGAUCUAAUUUUGAAGAUCAAGGACAAAAUUCAACCCAAACCACUUCUAAUAUGAACUUUGCUGGUAACUCUUUAUCCUUACCUAAAGAUUGCAAAGAUUCAAAUAAAUGUCAUUUUGUAAUAAUUAGAUCUAUGUCAUGGAUAAUUGAUUCUGGAGCAAGUAAUCAUAUGUGCUACAACAAAUAUUUCUUAUUUGAAAUACACAAGUUGGAUUUUCCUCAUCAUAUUACUCUUUCAAAUGGAGAAUAUACCACAACAUAUGAAAUUGGUAGCACUCUCAUUGCUGAAAAUGUUUUCAUUCAUAAUGUCUUAUAUGUUCCCUUAUUCAAAUAUAAUCUUCUUUCAAUAGGAAGAUUAUGCAGAGAUUUAAAGGCAUUUGUUGUUUUCUCUGAAAGUCAUUGUUUCUUGUUACAUGGCUUUUCUCAGAAGAGAUCUCCGGUUCUUGGUAGACAUCAUGAUGAAUUUUACUUCAUUCAUUCACAACAACAUCACAAGAAUUCCACUGUUUUGGUUGUUUCCACCACAACUCCUUUAUCUUCUUCAGCUAUGGUUACUAUUUCCCUUUGUAAUGUUGUAUCCAAUGAUACACAUGUUUCUUUGUGGCAUAAGAGACUUGGGAAUUUGCCAAUGUACAUGCUUAAAACUUUUGAUUUUGUGAAUAAAGGGAAUGUUGAUAAAGAUUUUGUUUGUGAUGUUUGUCCCAUGGCUAGACAGAAAAAAUUACCCUUUGGUUAUAGUUCAGUUAAUACUACCUCUUCUUUUGAUAUGAUUCAUGUUGACACAUGGGGUCCAUAUCAUGUUCCAACUUAUGAUGGUUAUUCUUACCUUUUAACCAUUCCGGAUGAUUUUACUAGAUAAACCUAUACCCAUUUAUUGAGCACUAAAAUAAAUGUUUUCCAAGUUUUAAAAAGGAUUUAUUUCUAUGGUGGAAACAAAAUUUCAUAAAAAUAUUAAGGUGAUCAGAUCUGAUAAUGCAAUUGAGUUAGGCUCAAGUAAAGAAGCUUCUUCUUAUAUUCAAAAUAAAGGAAUUCUUCAUUAAACAAGUUUCAGAGCCACUCCUCAACAGAAUGGAAUAGUAGAGCGAAAACAUAAACACCUUCUAGAAACAACUAGAGCCUUGAUGUUUUAAUGAAAUUUUCCUCUCAAAUCGUGGGGAGAUUGUAACAUAUCUAAAUAAUAGAUUUCCUACCAAAAUUCUUAAAGGAAAAACUCAUGUUUACAUGCUUCAUGGAACUAAACCAAAUUAUGAACAUCUAAAGGCUUUUUAAUGUCUGGCUUUGCAAGCACUUUGAAGGAAAAUAGGGAUAAAUUUCAACCUAGAACUGCCCCUUAAUUUUUUGUCGGAUACCCUUUUGGAAAGAAAGCUUAUAAGCUUUAUGAUAUUAAAACACACAAAGUCAUUUUUUCAAGAGAUAUUCAUUUUGAUGAAAAAUAUCUUUCCAUUUCACUCAUAAACAUCUGACUAUUUGUAUUUGUUUCAUAUUCAAUACAUUUCUUGUGAUCAUGAUUCAGAUUCCCAAGUUACUCUCUAAAAUUACUCAAAUACCCCUUCUUUCAAUAAUCCAGAAUCGCCCGAUUCACAAGAAACCACUUCUUCACAACAUUCCAAUUCUUCAACUUAAAAUGUUAAUCAACCCAUUUGACAAGGUCUGAAAGGGUUCAUGGCCCUCCUGCUCAUCUUCAAGAUUUUAUCUGUAAUAGUGUUGUUUCAGUUGGAUGUUUUCAUACAGUUACUUCUAUCUUACCAACCAAUCAUAUUUGCUUAAAUGCUCUCUCAAUUCAAAGUAAGACUCUUAUCACAUCUGUUGACAAAUUGAGUGAGCCAUCUAGUUAUGCAUAAGCAAUGAAGUUUCCAGAAUUGAGAGAAGUUAUGGCUAAAGAGUUUGAUGCUCUUGAAGCUAAUAAUACUUGGAUAAUUACAUAUUUACCUCCAAGAAAGAAACCUAUAAGUUUCAAAUGGGUUUACAAGGUUAAAUACAAAGCAAAUGGUCAAGUUGAAAGAUGCAAAGGACGACUCAUUGUCAAAGGAUGUACACAAAAGGCAGGAAUUGAUUUUACAUAAAUUUUUUCACCUGUUGUUAAAAUGACCAUAAUAAAAUCUUUAAUUGCUACUUUUGUAAAAAGGGGGUGGAGUUUACAUCAAUUAGAUGCCAAUAAUACAUUUUUUCCAUGGAGAUCUUAAUGAAGAAAUUUACAUGUCACCACCUCCUGGUCUCAAACUUGACAAACCUAAUCAAGUUUGUAAGUUGCAGAAAUCCUUAUAUGGUUUAAAGCAGGCCUCUAGACCGUGGUAUGCAAAGUUGUCAUCAACUCUUAAAGAAAAAGGUUAUCAACACCCAAAGAAUGAUUAUUUUCUUUUUCAUAGAAUAUUGAUAAAUUAUGUCACAUAUGUUGUUGUGUAUUUGGAUGACAUAGUGGUCAUUGGAAAUAAUCAUGAAGAAGUUGAGCAAUUGAAAAGCUUUCUUGAUAACAAGUUGAUGAUAAAAGAUUUAGGACUUCUGAAUUUCUUUUUAGGAAUUGAAGUUCUUUAUUUUUCUUCAAGGGUAAUUUUGACACAAAGGAAAUUUACUUAUGACAUGUUGAAAUAAUUUCAAUGUCAUGGUAAAGCUAUUUAUCCAUUACCCUCAAAUUCAAAAUUACUUCUUAGUGAUGGAGAAGAUUUGAGAAUCCAGAGAUGUAUAUAAAGCUUGUUGGAAAACUUAAUUUUGUCACUAACACCAGAUCUGAUUUGGCUUUCACUGUUCAGUACCUAAGUCAAUUCACGGCAGAUCCUGGAUUGCCUCAUUUUGAAGCUGCAAUGCAUACUCUAAGACAUGUAAAGGUAUUGUCUUUAAUAAGAAGGAAGAUUUUAACCUCCAAGCUUAUUAUGAUUCGGAUUGGGCAACAUGUCCUCAAUCCAGAAGAAGCAUUAGUGGAUUCUUUGUACUUUUAGGAGGUAGUCCUAUUUCUUGGAAGUAAAAGAAACAAGUAUUUCUUUGUCUUCUACAAAAGUAGAAUAUAAAAGUAUAAGAAGAAUUACUAUAAAAUUAGCUUGGCUUUUAAGGUUAUUAAAUGAGUUAUAUGUUCCUAAAGUAACACUUAUUCUAGUGAAGUGUGACAGCCAAGCAACCAUUUACAUUGUAAAGAACCCGAUCUUCCAUGAAAGAACUAAACACGUGGAAAUCGACUGCCAUUUCGUUUGGGAAAUACUACAGGAAAGAUGAUUUCACUUUCAUAUGUUCCAAUAAAGUUGCAAUUGGCAAAUCUCUUUACAAUGAACUUAUCAAGCAAGGCACAUUAUCGGUUGUUACGCAAAUUGGGUGUUUCUUACCCUCUAAUUUGAGNNNNNNNNNNNNNNNNNNNNNNNNNNNNNNNNNNNNNNNNNNNNAGCUUACGUCAUUUAGUUUGUUAGAUAGUUGAUGUCAUCGAAGUUAGUUACAAGUUGUUAGUUGUUAGAGCCUUGUAUAUAUUAUGCAUUCUACUGUGAUCAAUAAUCAAUGAAAUAUAUUCAGAAACAUUUCUCUCUUUCUUUCUUUCUUUCUCUCUCUCUCUCUCUCUCUCUCAAUUCAUAACAUUUCGUCACAUUAUCAAUUAGAUGGUUUUUUACUUUACUUUUGUAAUUGAUGUCGACAUUCGUUGUUUUGGAUCUUCUGCAGUAAACGUAAAUGCCUUCAACUGGUAUGGGAGGAAAGCUUGCAUAUAUUGAUUUCCUUAGAAAUAACCAGUUGGUAGUUAGGUAGUUAAACCUCCAACAUGUUCCUUCUUUUUGCUGAACCUUAAAGUUUUCAUAAUCAUAUCGGAUUUAAGUUAAGGUUUAUUGAUAUAUAGUGGAAACAAACAAGGUGUGGUGACUUAUGUCGAGCAGGUUCUCUUAUGAUGUUAAUGUCACCUCCUUCCCAAGCAGUAGAUUCCGUUUGAAUAGGGAUAGUUGAAUUUUUGCUCAACCCAAAAGAUAAUCAUAUUUAAGUUAAAAGAUUAUUAAUUUCAUACAUAAAAGUUAAAAUUUGGACAAUUUAUAAAGGCAACACUUGUUUCUUUCUUUGGACUAUAUGAACUGUUUCGACCAAAUGACCAAUUUACCCCUUUUUCAUUUAUGUUUGCUUAACGUUUAAUUGAAUUCAUGUAAUCAUGAUUUAUGUAAUUAUGAAGGACUGGAGAAAAAGAAUGACACUAAAAGGGUAAAAUCCAACUUAUUGACUUAUAUACCCUUUUGUUGAAAAGUUAUAACAAAGCCAAACAAAAGUAUAUUUUGUAAUCUUAUUUAUACAUUAUUAAAUGAAUUGUAAUAUAAAGUGAUACAUGACAUUUUCUUCUUCACUUUUGUUUGUUUUAUACAUACAUGUUUGAAAAAUAUUCCUUUGUUUGCAUGUAUUGUUGUGUUAUUUUUUUUCAAGUAAAGUGGUUAUAACAUCAACACGAGAUUCAGAAUCAUAGUUAGACAUCAUAUAGAAAUUCGGACCAAAAUACCCCUAUAAAUGGAUGAUGUUGUAUCAUUAACAACUCACUUUAUAUUUAGAUAUUUCGUAAAGUAUUAUCAUUUAUAGCAGUGAAAAUAGCUUUGCAUUUGGAUAACAUUGCUACAAUUAGAUAGAGUUUUGAAAGUACACUGCUAUAACCAAAAUAGAAAAAAACUAAAGUAGGAUGCUAUAAUAGAAAACAAAUAAAAGUAGGCUGUUAUUUUGCACCUUUUGUAUGGUAUGAAUCUUACCUUACAUGUUUGGUAUUGAAACAUGCAUUGAAGAAACCCGAAAGGAGAUUCAAAGUCCAAUUGAAGUGGAUGUUGAACUCAAGCGGAGACUCGGCCAGUUGACCGAUCAUUUGAUUAAGAAACAAGCUCAGAUCAGUGCAACGAGCUUUUAGCUGCUUUUUUUUAAUAAGUGAUGUCUGGAUAAGUGGCUCUUAAAAAUAUUCAGGAAAAUGAAGACUUAAUUUGGCAAAAUGGAAAAAUAGUUGAGGACAAAUUCGUAAAACGUUAAGACUUAAUUUAAUUUAUUUAUUUUUCUAGAUAUUUUUCAACAUAUACUUUGUACAUGUCUAUAAAACCAUAUGUGAUAUUGUUUUCUUUAUUUAGGUGAUGGGCCAAGAAGUGUAAUUCCUUCGUCUGUCUUUCCAAUACUGAACCAUCAAGAAUAAAUUGCACAUCAAUACAAACCAUAUAAAAUGGUAGGGACAAAAAAAGUGAAAACGUCCAAAAUAUUGUCUUCAAAUUAAGAAAAAAGUAACCCAUGAUCUACCGAUCACCCACUACUUAAUUAAUAAUAUAACAUAAAUACAAGGUUAUGGUAUUUUGAUAUUUUACAUUUAACAUCCAAUUUUUAAUGGAGUUACUCAUAAAGAGAUAACUAUACUUGAUUUUAUAUAUCAUUAACCAAAGUUAUCCUUAAUAUGCAUUUUUAAAAACAACAUGGACCAAUCUUGGAAUUAUUUCAAAAUUAAAUAUUCAAUCUAAUAUGAAUAGGCCCAACCCGGACAAAAAGGGCACUGAAGAUAUAUAAAUAAAAGCCCAACUCCUUCUUCAACAAGUUUCGCGGUACUAAUUUUGCCCCUUUCUACAUCCUGCAACUUUGAAAUUGAAUUGAAAGCGGACAUGGCGAAAUCCGAACAAUCAUCAUCAUCAUCAUCAUCUUCGAUGGUAGAUUCAGCUCCGCGGCCAUGGGAGUCUUAUAACACUGUUUAUACUAACGCCAAAGCAGGUAUUUCACCUCUCAUCUUUCAAUUAUCCAUAAUUUCUCUUUGUAUUCUAAAUGCUUAAAUCAAUCUCUGCCAAAACCACUGAAAUUACCUCCAAUUAAUUGAAUUUCAUCGCUGAAUAUUGAAGUUUUCAUCAAGCUUCUAAUUUAUUUGUUAUUGCGUAAACGUCUGAGCAGUCAUGACAGUGCAUCUUUCGCUAACUGAACUUUCAUAUUGAUAGGUAUGGAAGGAGUCGAUAAGGAAAAAGUGCAAAGAAUAGUGUAUGAAAUGAGCAAAGGUUCAAAGUAUUUUGAGAAUGAAGAAAGAAAAGAAGCUUAUAUGAAACAGAAGAUCGAGAACAUGCGUAAUCAUCUUGCAAAUCUAAAAGCUACUGAUAUAUCUCAUUAUCAGAGGGUAACUAACUGCAACAAAAACAUUAUCAUACUGUAUGCUCCUCUUUUAUUCAAGAAGAUGCAUCGAACAAAACAUUUUUGUAUGAAUUAAAGUAAUCUCCUCCAUGAUUAUGAUAGGUUGCUGAUAAACGGAUUGCAGAAUUAGAUACUACACGUGAUCUGUCAAGAAUCUGGUUGCAUGUAGACAUGGAUGCUUUUUAUGCAGCUGUUGAGACCUUAAGCAACCCUUCAUUAAAAGGAAAACCAAUGGCUGUUGGCAGCAUGUCCAUGAUCUCUACAGCUAAUUACGAGGUUCCAAAACUCAAAAAUUCCUUUUUCUUUUCAUAAUAAAAUCCCCUCUUUCAAAACCCUAAUUUCCACAUUUUUCAGGCACGAAAGUUUGGUGUUCGAGCUGCAAUGCCUGGUUUCAUUGCAAGUAAAUUAUGUCCAGACUUGAUAUUUGUGCCUACAGAUUUCAAGAAAUACACAUAUUACAGUGACUUAACUAGAAAAGGUAACAAUUCCAUUGAUUCAUUAUUUCAUUUCACUCUAAAUACUUUUCUUUCAUGAAAUAUUUUAUAAAUUCUCCUCUGAAAUCAUCAGUCUAUCAUGAAUAUGAUCCAAAUUUCACUGCUGCAAGUCUUGAUGAAGCAUACUUAGAUAUCACAAAAGUCUGCAAGGAAAGGGAUUUAUCAGGUGGAGAAGUAAGUCAAAUUUUUUUUCUUUCUUUUCAUAUAUAUUGAAAAAAAAUACAAAUUGUAAGUCUUUUUUUAAUUUUCAUAUUUAUAAAAAGGUUGCUGAAGAGCUUAGAGAAAAUGUGUAUAAAGCUACUGGAUUAACAUGUAGUGCUGGAGUUGCUCCAAAUCGGUUACUUGCAAAAGUUUGCUCAGAUAUAAACAAACCAAACGGGCAGUUUGUUUUACCUAAUGAUCGGGUUGCUAUAAUGACAUUUAUAUCCUCACUUCCUAUACGAAAGGUACUGCAUAAUUACUUAUAUACCCUUUUACCCUAAUUUCACUUUUUUUCUUACUUUGAUUGGAUCUUUAAUCUUUUAGAUUGGGGGAAUUGGUAAAGUGACAGAAACUAUCUUAAAAGAUGUAUUUGAGAUCAAGACAUGUGAAGAUUUGUUGCAGAAAAGCUCCUUACUUUUUGCACUAUUCUCUCCUUCAUCUGCAGGUAUUGUGUUUUUGAAGUUUUAAUUUUUGUUGGUAAAAAGACGAUACUACCCCUGAUGGUUUUUGUACAAUGUAGAGUUUUUUGUGUCUGUAGGGUUAGGACUUGGGGGAACAGAAGCACCGAAUGUUAGAUCACGAAAAAGUAUGAGCAAUGAGAGAACAUUUUCUGCAACUAAAGACGAGGCCUUUUUUAAUCAGAAAUUAGGUGAUUUAUCUUUUAUUAUAUUAUCAUUUAUGAGAGUUUAUAUUUUAUAUUUCUUUACAGAAUUUUAUAUUUGUUAAAAUUCAAUUUGCAGUUGAACUUUCGGAGAUGCUUUCUGCUGACAUGGAGAAAGAAGAUCUACAUGGAAAGACACUGACACUCAAACUAAAAACCGCAUCAUUUGAGGUACACAGUUUCUUCCUUUUUUGAUAGAAGGGCAUUUUCGUCUUUUUCAGGAUAAAAAUUUUGAAAAUUUUAGGUGAGAACUCGAGCGAUGACUUUGCAAAGUUAUAUAAGGUCAAGUAAAGAUAUACUGAAACAUGCUUCAAAGCUUCUCAAGGCUGAACUUCCUGUAUCACUUAGAUUAAUCGGUAAUGUUUAUUGUGUGAAAAUUAAAUAAUAAUAUUUAUUAUCGAUAAUAAAGAAAAUGUUUUUUUUUUUUUGUAGGAUUACGUAUGUCUCAUUUCAAUGAAGAUAAAGGUGGUAGUGGUGUAUCUGAUCCUACACAAAGAACUCUUUUGAAUUUUAUAAAAUCUGGAGAAUCUAACAAGGAAACUGUAGUUGAUGAAGAGAAUUCAGAUCCAUGUUUUGAGCAUUUUUCUGAAAUUGAUGAUCAGAAUAUUUGCAGUUUAAAUGAUGAUCAUGAGAAUUUACAAGUUAUAGAAACAUGUUGUUCAGAUAAUAAUAAUGAAACAGGGCCUUCAUCAUCAUCAUCAUUGAUGUGGUUGGAUGAUUAUAAGUGUUUGGUAUGUGGGAUUGAAUUGCCUCCAAGUUUUGUGGAAGAAAGACAAGAGCAUUCUGAUUUUCAUCUUGCUCAAAAACUUCAACAAGAAGAAGAAUCAGAACAAACUUACAAAAAUCUUUCAUUCAAACAUAGGUAUAUUAUAUGUUAUAUUGUUACACAGAACAAAACAGAACAGAACAGGUUGUACUGUGUUUAGCUGUAGUUUGUUUGACUUGUGUUGUGUGUCAGGAUGAUGAGUCAGAAAGAUGGUGGUGUUGAGAAAGGAAAAGGAAAGAAGAAGCAAAAACAUGCUGUUACAAAUGGUGACCAUAUUCCCAUUGAUGCAUUUUUUACAAAAAGGAGUUAGAAUUUAUAGUAUUUUAUUUUAUAUUUAUAUGUAAAAUAAUCCAACAAUUAAUAAUUUAACAUGUGUAUAUCUUGUUCAUAGUUAAUGAUUGUGAUCAUUGUUCCAAAAAGCACAUGAAAAUUUAUGGUUACCAAGAGGAAUAGAUUGUGUAAAAUUUUAACUUAUGUAAGUGUGUUCUUUUUUUGACUUGAUAUUAAAAGAUCGACUAUGAUUUUUUUUUUCUCGUAUUGACUAGUUGUUUCUAUUUCUGUUAUCUUAAUUGGUCUCUAUCAAAGUUUAGAUGUUAAUUUUAUAAAAUGAUAAAAUGAUGUAUAUAUCAUUAAUAAUACUUUCUAAAUUUCUGACAAUAAACUAUCACUUAAAGAAUGAUUUUCUAUUUUGUUGCGAAUAUCAAUCUUUAUCAACUUCAUUGUUGAAAACACAUGUUCCACAUUUGUUGUUGCAACAUGCAAGAAUAAUACAAACUAUAGGAAAGAGUACAAAGCAAAAGACAAUGCAGCCACAACUUAAGUUGUUUUUUUUUUUUUUUAUAAUUAUCUUGUCGCUUGUAGGGAGACCCAAUAAUGUUUCAAAAUCAAGAAACUAUACUUGGAAAAAGUUGAAGCGUCACUAGACGCAGUCAACUGAAACAUUCAAACAAAUACAAUAUUCUUUUUUUGUAAGGCAGUUUGUUUCUUAAAAACAUAUAUGAUUGACUUUGUUUGGUAAUUUGGUUCAUCAAAUUUUAACAUAUUUGGACGACAAUAUUGUGUGGAUUUUCAACUUUGUGAAGAUUUAGUCUUGAUUUCCUAUUCCACACUUUGAAUCCAGAUUUCACCAGAGAAUCCAAUCCACCUUGAUUUUAUAUAUUAGAUUUGAAUAGAUAACAACAUAAGCGGCAUUUUAUUUUAUACUAUAUUCUCAUCAAUAUUUAUUACAUCAAACCAAGAUAGAUUAAAUCUUCGAGUUUUACCUCCAAAAUGACGUGGAAAAUCAUGGUUUUGGGGUUGACAAUAUCUUUUUUGCAAGUAUGCUCUUCUAAUUUCAUUUCUUUGAUUCACAUGAUAAUAUUUCAUACUUGGUCGUUCUAUAAGAUCAACAUGUAGUGAAUUUAAAUCAAAUUUCAUGUACUUAUGUCAAAAAUAUAAAAGUAUCAACUUCUCAUUAAAAAACAAGAUAAAUCUCACUACACAGAUCCUAUUGUUCUAUUAUUCUACCCUAACAAAGAUCAAGAACAAAAAAACCCUAACUAAGAGUUCUAAGAGAUAAAAAAACAGACAGAGCAUCAGAUAGAUAGAGAUGACAAUCUCAACCCGAACCUACCAACCCAAUCUAAACCCAACCCAAUAAAUAACAGGAUGGGUUGAGAUUUUAAACCCGUUUAACUAAAUGGGUCAAUCCAUCUAACCUGUUUAAUUAAAUGGGUUGGAUUAGGGUUGAAAUUCCUAACCCGUUUACAACCCGUUAACCCAUUUAAAACUUUUAAAUAUUUUUUAAUUUUUAUUUAUUUGGUAUUAUUAUUUAGUUGAUCAUUAUAUUUUGAUUAUUUUUAUUUAUCAAAAACCAUGGAUCAAUAACCGUUACUAGAAUUUGAGUUGGUAAAAGUAAUAAUCAAGUUACGUAGAAUUUAAUAAUUAAAUAUUUAUAAUGUUUUAUGAUUAUAAACACUUGAUUUUUAUUUGUGUUAUGGGGUUAUAAACUUAUUGUUGUAUUAUUUUCAAACUUAACAAUUAUUAUAUUUUUUAUAUUGUAUGUAAUUUUAUUUGAUGUACUAUUUUAUUUAUAAGGAGUUUUUUGUGAACAUUGAAACGAGUUAAUCCAGGUUUAAUCUGUGUAAUAAAUAGGUUGGGUUGAGAAAAUAAUAUACAGGUCAACCCGAUUUCAACCUAUUUACUAAAAAUGUUGGGUUGGGUUAAGUUGCGAAUUCUCAACCGGUUUACUUAAACAUGUUGGGUUGAGUAAGGAUUUCAAACUCAUUUAAUUAAACAGGUCAACACGUUUAUGACCCAACCCAUUGCCACCCCUAUAGAUAGAUAGUAUGGAAAGUAUAUUAUGAGAUCAAAAUGAAAACCAAACUCUUUUUACUAUAUAGCAUCUAUGAAUACAUUAUGCCUCACUAUACAUAUGAUUACAAUCGUAUCAUUUAAGCGGGAAUAGAGAUGUCAAAAAGUCGUGUGAGACUCCGAUCUUGUAUGGGAGAUAUUUGUUUAAUAAACCAGGGACGGGGCGAGGUGGGGACAAUGUUAAUCUCCGUUUUAUUUUCGGGGGCGGGGGCGGGGGUGCGCAGUUCCGUCCCANNNNNNNNNNNNNNNNNNNNNNNNNNNNNNNNNNNNNNNNNNNNNNNNNNNNNNNNNNNNNNNNNNNNNNNNNNNNNNNNNNNNNNNNNNNNNNNNNNNNNNGUGAACUUUCAAAUUAAACAAAAUACCAUGUUUGUAAAUUGUUAGUAUAACGUUGUGAGAUGUUACAAUAUUUUUGUUUUUAACAUGGAAAAUUAUGGUUUAUAUAACUAUUUUUUAACAAAAAAAAUAGUUUCUUUUAACCCAAAAAAGACAACAAAACAGAGGGAGAGGGGAGGACAGAAAUUUCAUGGGCGAGGACGGGACAGGGGAAUAGAAAAAUUUUGGGGAUGAGGACGGGGGAUCUAACUUUAGCCUCGUUUGUCUCCGUUAAUCUCUAAGAGGGAUACAAGUUUUUAAAGUUGCAUCUCUACUUUGACAAAAAUACCCAGCAGCCCCUCAACCUUUAGUGCCAAGUUCCAAAAAUGUGCAACAUUAGUCCCCAACAAACUUGCACUAACAAGAUUAAGUAGGUAACAUCCACACUUGUUAGGUGAUUAAGAUUGUAAGGAAAUAGACAUUAUUUCUAACAUGCUCAUCUUUCAUAUAUUGUUUUUUUUUUUCAUUCUUUUCUAAAUCUUGAACAAAAACAUUAUGGAUUCUGAUUUUUGACACAAUCAAUUCUGAUUUUUUUUGUAACAAAGGACAAUUGACAAAUCUACAUUCGAAGUACCAAAGAACUAAAGAAGUAUCAUUGUUUCAUUAGCAAACAAAUGAACAAUCAUUCAAUCAAUAUUUUUGUUAUGAUUUAUAGGCCUCAAGAAUCAAAGACAAAACAACAAUCACAAUUUUCACAAUCAAUCUUAGUUUUUGAUUCUUAAUUCUUAGUGAGGCUCAAGACAAAGUGAUAAUUGACAAUGAAAAACUUAGAGGGUGGAGGCUUGAACCAUAGCAUGUGUGCAAUGUCGAAGUUGGAACAGCCGAAGGGAAGUCAGAGUUUCGAUUGGCAUUUCAAUAGAUUAUAAAAUACUUGGAUUUAAUAACCGCAUAAAAACACAAAAGAUGUAUAAGAAACAUUAAAAAUAUAUUUUUUGUUUACCUAAAAACCUUGGUGUCCAAAAAAGUUUAGGAUAAUCAUAUUGUAACACAGAAAAAAAUUAACUUAACCGGUGAAACCUGUUAAACCCGAUCAUAAAGAUAUAAACAGAACAAAAAAAGUUUGUUCCUUACAUUAAUUAUGUAAUGUAUUUUUUUUUAAAGCGACGAAAAAACAAGGAUUCUAUCACAUGUACAAAAAGUCAACAAUUCGACGUGACCUCUCGUUAGUGGUAUGGAAUUUAUCUAUACUUCCCAUUUGAUCACAUUUAUUCAUGAAAUCAAUAAAUAAAUUAAAAAACACGUAUUUUUUGUUUGGUGAAACUUAUUAUUAUUUGUUAAUACUGACAAAACAGCAUAUGCUUCACGAGGCAAUUAUUUAUCUUUAUUCACCUUGAUUUUGGGGUCCCAAAAAAAAAGUCUCAAAAAGAUUCUAUCACAUUCACAAUCACAUGUGCUUAAUAAGAUAAGAUCUAGAGUAUAGACCCCCAUUCACUUCUGGAUCUUAAAAACCCAACACUCAAUGAAGACACUCAUUAUAAUCUUUCUUCUUCCAUGCAUUUUGCUACUCCUAGGUUACUAUGUGUGUUUUUUACGUGUUUUUGUAGGUGUAUUUGCUCAUUUUAUCGAUCUAUCUUUAAAAUAUUUUUAUUUUAUGCAGUUCAUGCCCAAGUCAAUGAUGAUAGCUUUGACCCGUAUGCAACGUUAUUCAGUCCUUAUACUAAACAAGAAUGGCGAUCUUAUCAAGAAAAGAAGAUCAAUGAGGUAAAUUAGUCGUUUUAAAUAAUCUUAUUGAACUUUGGUUAAUUCAAAAUUUGUUAUUAGGGACGAAAAACAGAGUUAACUUUCGAGGUAAGUUAUGUAAAUGGAACAAAAGUCAGAGGGGCAAAACUGUACAUAAAGCAACUCACCUCCGAUUUCCACUGGGGUUGUGGAAUGACUCAUAGAAUCCUCAACAACACUGCUUACAAAAAAUGGUUUGCUUCAAGAUUCACAGCUGCAGAUUUCCACAAUGAGCUCAAAUGGUAUUGGACUGAAGCAACUCAGGGACAAGAAAACUACGCAGAUCCAGACGCCAUGAUCAAAUUUGCAGAUGAACACGGGAUAAUCGUGAGAGGGCAUACGAUCUUAUGGGACGAUGUGAAAUACAACCAAAAAUGGGUGAGAAAAUUAUCACCUGAACAAUUGUUGGAAGCAGCAAACAGAAGAGUUGAUUCGGUGGUGAAUCGAUAUAAGGGAAGGUUGAUUGGUUGGGAUGUGAUGAACGAGAAUCUGCAUCAUAACUUCUUCGAGAAGAGACUCGGGAAGAACGCGUCGUCGUUGUUUUUCAAUCGAGUUCAUAAAAUUGAUCCGAAUGCGGUUUUGUUCAUGAAUGAAUUUAACACCACUGAACAUGUGAACGAUGAAUACGCUCCUCCUGUGAAAUACUUGAGAAGGAUGAAGAAGAUUCAGUCGUUUCCGGGGAAUAGCGAGGUCAAAAUGGGGAUAGGGUUGGAAUCGCAUUAUGGGGCUGAGCCGAUUGAUUUUCAUUAUGUGAGAAGCUCGCUUGACUCGUUGAGUCAAACGGGUUUACCGAUAUGGUUGACUGAACUGGAUGUUAAAAUGGAUCCAAACCUUAAAAAUUGGAGUGGAUUACAGGUGAUUUAUCUGGAGGAGAUACUUCGGGAGUCGUUUUCACAUGAAGCUGUGAAGGCGAUGAUUAUAUGGACAGGUGCGUCGAUUGAUGGAUGUGAUGUGAUGUGUAUGGCUGAUGAGAAUUUGGUGAAUACGCCAAUUGGGGAUUUGAUUGAUGGGUUAAUGGAAGAAUGGAGAACUGGGGAGAUUGAAGCUAUGGCGGAUUUUAAUGGAAGCUGUCAAGUUUCGGUGUUUAAUGGUGGGUAUGAAGUCAAGGUGGUGGAUCCUGUGAGUAAUGCUUCUAGUCGCGUGAGUUUGAAGGUGGAUAAAGUUAGCAUUCCGGAUAAAAUGGUUCAUGUUCAAAUUAUGGGCUAAUUGAGACUAGAUUUAAUGAUGUUAUUUAAUUUGUUCCUUUGGUUUUCAAUUUUGGAGCAUUUUUUGUGACAAGCAUGUGUCAAAAGUUGUAUUAAGAUUAUCUUGAUUUGAAUGAGAUGAACGAAGGUAUUAUUUGAUAGCAUAAUUACUUUUGAAAAACUCAAAUUAUAUAUUUUUGACAAAACUACAAAUUUGGUCCUUGUGGUUUGUAAAAAUCUUUGGAUAGGGUCCAAAAAGUUUUCGGUUUGCAUAGAAGGUCCAAAAUCAAGAUUUUUCUGAGUUUUUAGUCCCAAACUUAGGAAAUUUUUGUAUUUUUGGUCCAUAGGGCACUUGAAUUGACUGUUUUGCCCUUUAAAUUUCUUUUUUGUAUUUUUUUUAUUUUCCCCUCUCUCUCUCUCUCUCUCUCUCUCUCUCUCUCUCUCUCUCUCUCUCUCUCUCUCUCUAAACAUAAACACGCCUGCAACUCCAAAUACACACACACAAGGAACUCGAACACAUACCAACAUCAAACCCAUCACAAAAUCCAUAAUAAAAAUGAAGCGUAAACAUUGAUUACUAUAAAAAAUAGCUCCAGUCUUUCAAAAUUAGUAUCGAUGCUCCAUCAAAACUUCAUCUCAAAUCAGAAACAAAAUUAUUUAACAUACUAAUUCAAUCAAAAAAUUGUUUAACAUAUUUAACCCACAACAAUCCAACACAAAUAUCAUCCGAACACAUAAUUAACUGAAAUCUGAAAAAACCCAAGAUCACUUCAAUGGAGAAAAUCUUAAAAAUUGGAACAAACCAUAAAAAAUCGCAGAAUCAAGAACUACUUCACUUAAAACACGUCAAAGUUUCAAGAUUUCUAAAAAGUAUUGUCAUAAGUAUCAUUCUGAUUACUUAGAAGAAGAAAACGACGAACCUGUAGGCGAAGAACUCUUGAACCUAUUUGAUUUCAAACUUCAACCCUAAGACAAUAAGAUUAAAGCAAGUUACAAGAGUUCUGAUGCUGGAUUCGAUCGUAUUAUCAUAUAGGGUUUGGGAAAUCAGGUUUGUUCUAUGUACUCUAGCUUAGGGAGAUGGAAUUGAUCAUAAAAUUGGGAAGGUAAGAUGAGCAGGAGAAAGAUGAGUUGAUGCAUGUUAAUUGGGAACUGAGGAUGAACAAGGAGCGAGUCGAUGUGUUUUUUUCAUCAUGUGCGUGAGUGUGUGAGGGGUGGAGGGUUCUACUGACGAUGGGUAUAAAUAGGGGGUUGUAGUGGUGGUGGUGAAAUUAGGAUGUCGAACUAGACUCCGGAGAGGCCGUUGUUUCCUUCGGCGAUGUCGUUGUUUACUCCGACGAGUCUCCGACAGCUCCCGAGCUUACAUGGGAUUUUUCCGAUGAGUUUGAUGGAGAUUAAAAUCAAGUCUUGGAGGUUUUCAAGGUUGCCAAUGGAAAACGAGAUUGGGAUGAGAAGUUCUUGGGGGGAGGGGGUCGUGUGUGUGUGAGAGAGAAAGAGAGGGUGGAGGUAAGUGGGUGGGGGAUAAUUACUUUCUUUUCUUUUUAUUUUUAAAUUAAAAUAGUAUUUUAAUAAUUAUAAAAAUACAAAAACGAAAAUAAAAUGGCAUAACCAUCUUUUUAUGUUUUUUUGGAUCAAAAACCCAAAAAAAACCUUGAUUUUGGAUCUUCUAUGCAAGCUGAAAACUUUUUGGACCCUAUCAAAAGAUUUUUGCAAACCAGAAGAACCAAAUUUGCAGUUUUGUCUAUAUUUUUAUAUAUAUUAUCAUUCCCUAGUAUUUCUAUAUGGAAUUUCUUAUUAAACAAGAAGAUAAUUUUUUUAAGAACUAAAACACAUAGAAUCCUAACAAUCAAACAAAGAUAAUUUCAAACAUGAUAUUCUUAAUGGGUGAUGGAAUAAUAAUAAUACAUGACAAAAUUUAUAUACUUGUACAAGUCUAUUCAACUAACUACAUAAGCAACACGUGACACGUGGCAGUUUAUGUAGUUAAAGAUGAAGAUCUUCAAUGUCGGUUAAUGUAGGAGGUUUCUUGUUGGGCAAAUUAAUGACAAGCUGUCCACAUGCACCACUUAUAUCUUGUCCCAUUUGCUUUCUAACAGUAGUUCGUAUAUUAUAACUACUCCUUAAAAUUGUUUGAAACUUUGUGACUUUUUCAUCUCCACUAGUCCCAAAUUUACUAAGUGUCCCAAUUGGAUUAAAAGGUAUCAAAUUUAUCACCUACAAAAAAAACAAUCUUUAAACUUGAAGUUGUCAAAGAGUAACAACAUAUAGAGUAUAUUACAUUUAUGGUCCCUAAAUAUAGCUGACUUUUUCAAAUUGCGUCCUUAUUUGACUUUUUUUUUAACUUUUUUGGUCCAUGACUAUACUUUGGAACCAAAAUUAGUCAUUUUACUCAAAACAAUAAACCCAAAACGUUACAAGAACCUCGAAUAAUGACAGAGAUAGCAAGAGAAACUUUUUGAGACCAAAAUUACAUUUUUGGUCCCUAAGUAUAUCUGAUUUUUGCAACUUUGGUCCCAAAAAGUUGUGUUGUAACACUUUUCGCCCUUAUUUGAUGUUCUUGUAACAUUUUAGUACAUUUUUCUAGUAAAAUGACUAUUUUUGGGCCUUGAGUACAUCUGAUUUUCACAAUUUUGGUUCUGAAAAUAUAGUUAUUUUGCCUGAAACAGGGACCAAAAACGUUAAAUAAGAACCAAAAUUGCAAGAGAAAAAGUUUUUGGGGCCAAAAUUGAAAAAAUCAGCAACACUCAGGGACCAAAAUUGUAAUUUACUCAAAAAUUAAAUUUGAAUCUCACCACUUCAAAUGUGUCAAGCAAUCUACCAAGCUGGUGGGCAUGCUGCUCCUCAUCAUUCACACCAUCCAGCAUUAUGUACUCAAUGAAAAUCUUUUGCUGACUAUAAAAGUAAAUACCAGAAGGGUAUUUUAGUAAUUUUACACUUUGAGGAAAUUAAAAAAAAAGAGCUACCUUUUCUUUUGAUAUUCUGCUAGAGAAUUCAUUAGUUUUUCUAAAGGAAAAGCCCGAGCUGCAGGCAUUAUCUGGCACCGAAUAUCUUGAACUGGUGCAUGAAGAGACACUGCUAGGUUUAUAUUUUGUAAGUCACCAUGAAGCUUGUUUAUUGCAUGAAUUAUUCCAACCUACAAGAAAUUAUCAGAAUGAUAGAUAUGAAUCAAGAAAUGUUCUUAAAAAGACUAUAUAUUGAAGAUGUAAAAUGGAGCAAACAAAACAAACCGUUGAGACAGUAAUUUUCUUGGGUGAAAGCUGAAAAGGGAAUGCUGUCAUUACUCGAAUAGCUUCAACUAAAGCAUUGUAGUUGUUUAAUGGCUCUCCCAUUCCCUGAAUGAUGAUAAUAUCAGUUGUAGUGACAUAAAUUUCAAGGAAAUCAAGUUUUUUUUUGAGGUAUUUACCAUGAAAACAACAUUGCGAAUGGGUGAUAAUCUAGAAGCAUGUACUAAUUGUUCUACAAUCUCUCCUGUUGAGAGGUUGCUCUUGAAUCCCAUACUUCCAGUUGCACAGAAUGUGCAGCCCAUUUUGCAUCCAACCUGUAGAAGAGAAUGAUUUGUGUUGAAGAAUCAAGAAAUUAAGUUUAUUACAGAUAGAUAUACAGCAAAGUGUCGCUUGAAUCUAUCAACCGAAGAACUCAAAUCAGGAAAGAAUUUCAGUUUGGAAGGAAUGGAUGGGGUAAUGGUUUACCUGUGAGGAUAUGCAUAAGGUAGAUCUUGGACCACCAGGACGAGGCUUGCCUCCAUAUUUCCCUAAACGAGUAUCGUAUCUCAUAAUCACAGCUUCUACCGAUGCUCCAUUCUAGAAAGAACAAAAAGCGGAAAGAAAAUGGUGUGAAACCAAUGAAACGAGAUUAUUUAUCGCAUAUUUACACAGUUUAAGAUGUACAAAUGCAGAAUGAGGGAACAUACCUGCAACUUGAUGAGGAGCUUGGUGGUGACUUGAUCAAUGGAGUCGAGAACGGAGUCGACGACAGAAGUGCAGGGUUUGAACUUGGAAGAAAGUAACGAGUAAGCUGCGGAAGGCAAUGAAGGAAUCUCUCGCCAUUCACAAUUAGGAUUCUGUACGACAUAUCUACAGAAGUAAUUAAUUAACCUAACCAAUAUAUUAACCAAAAAAGAUGAACAAAAUCCAGAAUUCGUAGGGAAGAUGAGAAUUUACUUCCAAAUUGAAGGGAUGAACUGAGUAUUGAUUCCAGCUUGAUCGAAUUCAGUUCUAAUGAAGGCAGCAUCGAACACAGAUCGAAACGUCAUAGCGAACCUCUUUCUGAUUAGAAUCAAUUCAAGUUUGUUUACAAAUUAGGGUUCCUGAAGGACGUAUCAGGACCAGGAAACCUGCCCCUUUAACUUUGGUAUUAAACACUAAACUUUUAUGUUUUCCUAUUGGACAACAACUCUUUGAUUUUAUUUCAAUUCGACAACUAUAGUUACAUCUUGUUGCAUUUAAGAAAAGUGAAAAGGAGAAUUUGAAUUUUUGUGCUUUGUAAUAGAAAGAAGGUGUAAAUAUACAACAAGUUGUAACCAUAUUAUUACGAUUUUUUUUAAGGGUAUGUUCGGCAAAACUAACCGGUAGUUGUUAGCUGUUAGCGUUUUGUUAAACGCUACGUGAAAUAACUUUUAGAUUUAGAGUAUUUUAUUUAAACUAAACACUAAAAACUUAUUGUUUCAAACGAGACACUUAUUCAUAAUGAUCACAAAAUACCUUCCAUCUAAACUCCUAAUGCAUAAAGUCGGCAUCUUUAUGCAUUUACAUGACCUAGUGAGACCCAAUAACCAUUUUAAUCCAUUAAAACUCAACAAGAACAUGCAUGGACCAUAUCUAAGCAUCAAACAAGCAUUUUUAUGAACUUAUAACCUUAAAUCUGCCAAGAGUGGCAACUCAAAUGUAACACCCCAUUUCCAAGACAAACCAAAAAUCUGAAGAUGGGUGUUAAGCAUUAUUUUAUUUCGAUAUAUGUAUAUAUUUAAAUAAGAGUUUAGUAAAAAGUGUGUAAUUGGCAUUAUAAUUUGUUUGGAGGUUUAAAGAGUGCUUCCAGAGUUCGUAGUGGGAAGAAUAUUUGAACAUAUGGCUAAGGGAUAAUCAAUUGGGCUCGUUUUGUACUUAUAUUGGAAAUAUUUCGUAGAGGAAGGGCUAUUUGGUAAAUUUGGAGAUAAUUUGAAAGAAUAAUGAAAUAAGAGGGUCCUUUGAUACAUUUUAGAAACUUAGCUUGAAUGGAAUUUUGGGUAAAGGGGUUAUAUGUGUAAGGUGACCAAACAUCAAGGACUAUUUAUGCCUAUCUGCGAAAAUUAAGCAUUUGGUCCCCCUGUAAGCGACAGAGAGUGAGGGAGGGAGCUGUCUCCUGCUCUUGUUGCUUCACCUGCAUCAUCGAGUUAUAUAAGGAACAAACCCUUAGAUAGAAUGAAGAAUAUGUAUGUUCAUUGGCGGCGAGAGAGGGUGAGAGACAUCGAAGUUGUGAAGGAAUGAGGUGAAAGAAGAAGAACUGUGAGGAAGGAGCUGCCAUCGUUGGGCUUCUUCGCCAGUCAGAACUCUCACUAGAGCAUUAGUUGAGAGAGAGAGAGGUGGGUGAUUGUUUAGCAAGAACGGGAUCAUUCCUUCAGCUCAAAAUUUGCUCGAUACCGUGAAACUGGUGGGGUUGUUGUUUGCGUUAUUCUCCAACAUUGCGUGGACCUCCGAAAAAUCCCGUAUGUUCUCCAAAGCAAUGAAGGUAGGUAAGACUCAAUUCAUCCUUUGAUUUCUUAUCUCCCAUUGGUGAAUUCGAUUAGAGAGAGAUUAAUUGAUGGGUUUAAUCCUGUUUUCUUGGCCUAAUGACUUUCUGGCGACUGUCGUGGGACCUCCAGCAACACAGUAGGGGAGAGGCAAGGUGCUAGUCUUCGAUACUUCGAUGGCCAGAAAGAAGGUGAGGAAUCAAUAACGGUCAGGGUGUGGGUCUGUGCGAUUCUUAACUUGGUUGUGGAGGUUGCGGUUCUGAUGAACGAGGAUUCAACCACAAUUGAGGAACUUCUCUUGUGCGCCGCCUGGAAGCUAGGUAUGCUAAUUGAACUCCUGAUGGGCUUUAAUGGGUUGAUGAGUAUCAUGGGCUAAUGGGUUGAUGCGUAUCAUGGGCUGGUGGCAUGUAAUUGACUAUGCGAAUUGGGCUUAUUGAAGAACAUAAUUAAUCUAAAUGGGAUUAUAAUCUAUGGCUGUGAAAUUUAUUUGUAAUUUAAUGGAAUGAUAAUUUGAAAUAUAUGGAUUGAAUAAAUGAUUAAAUGAAACACGUUUAUAGAUGAGACUUGAAUUAAGCUCUAGCAAAAGUACGUGGGCUCAAAUUAUAUCUAAAUUGGAUCGAUAAAUUAUUUAACUAUUUAUUAGCUAAUGGUCAUAUGAACUAAAUGCACACGAGAAUAUUUGAUGGGAUUUGGAAGGGUAAGUCGAUCAAGGCGUUAUUUAUUAAUAAUGCAAAUAAGUAUGAUACUAAGUAAUAUUAAGGAAUAUUUUUGAAGCAUAAGCUAAGUAUAAAAUAUUGAUGUGGGUUGUAGGUGUUUAGGGAGCUGGACAGUCCAUCUCAAUCAGUUCAGUGGUUAUUCGACAAUUUCUACUUUAGGUGAGUUACCUUCCAGUAGUGGUGGGUCUACGGCCACAAUGUCGGCCCACCAGUAGGAGUUGUAUGUUAGAUGAUUGUCUUUGUGAUAUCAACUAGGCUUGCUUCUAGGCUUGCUACUACCUGAAAUGUUAUAUGCUGGCAUGAUAUGUUAUAUGUGAUAGUAGUAGAGUUCAGUUGUUAGGACCGAAGGGUAGUUCAGGCAUCCCAGAUAUGUCUAACAGUAUGUGAUGAUAUGUUUGUAUGCUGGCAUGAUAUGUUAUAUGUGAUAGUGGUAGUAGGAGGGGAAUAUUCCUCAAGUUCGGUUGCUAGGACCGAAGGGUAGUUCGGACACCCUAGAUAUGUCUGAAAGUAUGUUUAUGUUAUGGUAUAUGUGAUAGUAGCAGUAGGGGUGAAAUNNNNNNNNNNNNNNNNNNNNNNNNNNNNNNNNNNNNNNNNNNNNNNNNNNNNNNNNNNNNNNNNNNNNNNNNNNNNNNNNNNNNNNNNNNNNNNNNNNNNNNNNNNNNNNNNNNNNNNNNNNNNNNNNNNNNNNNNNNNNNNNNNNNNNNNNNNNNNNNNNNNNNNNNNNNNNNNNNNNNNNNNNNNNNNNNNNNNNNNNNNNNNNNNNNNNNNNNNNNNNNNNNNNNNNNNNNNNNNNNNNNNNNNNNNNNNNNNNNNNNNNNNNNNNNNNNNNNNNNNNNNNNNNNNNNNNNNNNNNNNNNNNNNNNNNNNNNNNNNNNNNNNNNNNNNNNNNNNNNNNNNNNNNNNNNNNNNNNNNNNNNNNNNNNNNNNNNNNNNNNNNNNNNNNNNNNNNNNNNNNNNNNNNNNNNNNNNNNNNNNNNNNNNNNNNNNNNNNNNNNNNNNNNNNNNNNNNNNNNNNNNNNNNNNNNNNNNNNNNNNNNNNNNNNNNNNNNNNNNNNNNNNNNNNNNNNNNNNNNNNNNNNNNNNNNNNNNNNNNNNNNNNNNNNNNNNNNNNNNNNNNNNNNNNNNNNNNNNNNNNNNNNNNNNNNNNNNNNNNNNNNNNNNNNNNNNNNNNNNNNNNNNNNNNNNNNNNNNNNNNNNNNNNNNNNNNNNNNNNCCAAGAUACCCAUACAUGUUAUGAUAUGAUAUGAUAUGAUUAUGAGAACUGCAUGCUAGAUUAGGGCUAAGGAUCUAGGAGGAUGCCUUAUAUGCCUAUUGUAUGUGUUUGUAGACUUGCAUGUUAGUACUGAUCAGUCAGUAAUAGGAUAGCCUAUUUAGGUUAUUCCUGAUUGUAUGAUCCUUUGAAUAGCAUGUACAGAUUCCUGAUUAGAGGAUAGAAUGAUUUGAUUGGUAUGAUGGUUAGAUUUUCCAUUGUCGGAAUGUUGCUUGCUUUGUGCUUUGUGGGACUCUUAGUCAUGUGAGUUAGCUAUUAAGUGAAUAUGCUAAGUCACAUGUGGCACAGGCUGGAUAAUCUCAGAGUGAUAGAUUCGACCCUAUUGCGCAGCUCUCGUUUGAGUCUAGCCGUUAUAGGGAUGAGUCUGAUACUUGAAGAAUUAUCUGAUCUCUGUUGCAUAUGACUAUAUUCAUUAGGUAGCUAUUUGACAUUACUGGGGAAUCUUUCAGCAGCUGAGGACUGGGUGAGUUCGGGAACCUAGGGAAGCCUAGGAUAUAUUUCAGUGAGUUAGUAGUGAGGCUCAGUUAGACUUUGGUGUACCAUUUGAGGAAGUGGCUCGGAGGAUCCGGGAGGAUUGCUGAGGAAAGUAUGGAUAGGUGUGGAAGGUAGUAUUGGGCCCGUAUUACUGAAAGCACAUGAUCCAUACUCGAAUUAGUGAGAGUCUUGGAGAAUCUAAGAAGCUUCAGGGAAGAGUUUGUGACCCAGUUUGGGGACAGAGGAUGUUCCAGUUGUUGCAGCUUAGCCAUUGGCAAGCGAGCUAGUGAGCGUGACAGGGUGUCAGACCCUGAAUGAUAUGAUUUCCAAGAGUUGCAGAUGCGGGAUCGAUUUGCGAGCACCCUGGAAAGAAAGGUGCAUGCUAGGUGCGUAUAGUAGAGGGUUCUGGGAAGAGACCCAUAACUUCUGAUCAUCGGGUGAAAGGCCAGCAGGGCCUGAGUCCGUGUAGCAUGUACGAGAAAGUACAUGAGGGAGUUUGUCACUCCAAGGGUUUAGGCUGCUACAGGGUAGCAGGAUUGGUCAUGUCAGCAGAAGGGGGUCAGUAUUCCUCCAGAUGUUGCGGGUAUGUCAUCUUCUAUGAUAUUAGGUGGAUGUUUGGAAUACGUACCGCUUUGGAAUUGUGAGUGAGUUUGGAUAAGUCAGAUCUCGGGUCAGUUUCCUGCUAGUGUUUGGGUUAUCAAGGAUCAUAUAUGCCAUCCUUCAUGCCGAAAAGUCCUUGAUGAACCCAUAGAGGGAUGCAUCUUGCGGAGCAAGUUCCGCGUGUACCGUUAUCAUCCGGAUCUUUGUCGAGAUCUAUGCAGGAGUAUUAUUUAGAGGAUACUCGAUCAGGGUUGGAGUGAUUGUUCUCCAAUGAAGUCAGCGUUCAGAGGUUUUAUCAUUGUUCAGGUAUGGUUGGUAAUUGUUUAUGGAUGAACUUUGGAGUUCAAGGCACUACCGUUGCUAGGACAUAACUGGUGACAGGAAGAGGGUAGUGUCAGUCGCAGGUGUUAGAUGCAUAAGUGGUUGGUCACUGAAUGUUCAAGAGAAUUGUGUUUUCGCAUGGGCUGUGUUCGGUUAGAGUUCGGUAGUACUGCAAGAUUGAAAUGAGAACGAGGAUUCGUCAGCCAGAGUGAAGAUUGAGACCUUCAAUUGACAACAUGUUAGAUGGAUCGAGGUGUCAGACUGGAUCAGAUGUCAAGGGUACUCAUCGAGAUUUCCAAGGAUGUGAGAUCUCAAGGUUUAAUCGGUGAUUAAACGCUAGCAUUGGCAGGCACAUGUUGUCAUCAGUGGGAUAUUAGCAAGCGAGAAGGAUGGGAAAUCCUUCAAUUCUUGCGUGUAGUGAAGACUUAGUCGAAUCUAAGUGGGGGAGAGACUUUUUAUAAAGUCUCCAAAUGUGAGUUCUGGUUGCGCGGGGUGCAAUUUCUUGGGCACCUUGUCAACCAGAAGGGUAUUCUAGUUGAUCCAGCCAAGAUAGAGGUCGUGAUGCAGAGGGAGAUUCCAAGGUCUCCAUCUGAGAUUUGGAGUAUCCUGGGUCUAGCAGGUUACUACCGGAGACUUACAUGGGACUUCUCCGAGAUUGUGGUUCCUUUGACCCGACUGACCAAGAAAUCGGUGGCCUUUCGCUGGGGGCCUGAGCAGCAGGUAGCCUUCGAGACUCUCAGAAAGCGGCUGUGCGGGGCACCGAUUCUCACCCUGCCAGAGCGUGUAGAUGAUUUCAUGGUUUGCUAUGACGCUUUGAUCACGAGCGUGGGUGCGGUACUGAUACAGUGGGGUCACGUGAUAACAGGUUUCGGGAACCAGGUUAGAGUUCCAGUUAGGAUUCAAGUUUAGUUGUGUGUUAGGUCGAGUGCGUGUUCGACCGAUAUGGAAAGUGUUGUAAGACUACGGGGGUAGCCGUAGCAUUCACUAGCAGUCAGAUAGUUGGGAAAGUGUUGUAAGACUACGGGGGUAGCCGUAGCAUUCACUAGCAGUCAGAUAGUAUGGAAAGUGUUGUAAGACUAUGGGGGUAGCCGUAGCAUUCACUAGUGGUCAGUUAGCAUGGGAAGUGUUGUAAGANGCAUGGGAGGUGUUGUAAGACUGGGGGUGUAGCCGUAGCAUUCACUAGCAGUCAGAUAGUGAUAGAGUGUUGUGAGACUGUGGGUGUAGCCGCAUCAUUCGCUAGGUUAGUGAAUAAGUGUGAUCGCGUUGUUAGGACGCAGAAGGAACAGUAGUACCCACCAGUUCGGGUGUGGCAAUAAGGAUAAGGAAAUCCACGGAUUGGAUUUCGGAAUUAGCCAGAUGAAUUAGAUCUGGUUGAGCCAGUGAUAGGACUGUAGGAGCGCCACUACAGUUAUGGGAUCAGGGAUAGCAAUGGACUGCUUAAGGACGUGUGAGAUAUGGCUAUCAUUGGUCAGGUAGCAACAACUUUUAGUCUGGGAUUUGAUGAUGACGGGAUUCGACGCAUGGACCCGAUCGGUUAGAUCAGAAAGUAGUAGAGUCACAGUGGCAUGACAACUAGUGGCAACUAGUUCCAAGAAGGAUUUCGUUCAGGAGUCGUGUGAGGCGACUAAGUAGGGAGUCCGUUGGCUAUGCAGCCGGGUGGAAACCCAGUAUUUCAGAGGAUUGGCAAGCGAAUUAAGACCAGGAGGUCUUGGUAGCUUUUGGUAAGCAGUUAUGUAGAAGCGUAUACUGCUUUCAAGCAGUUUAGUGUUCGGGCAGUUUCAACGUUUGGGCAGUGAUAGUAUGAGUGUUUUAUUUGCAUAUGCGCACGGAAUAGCUGGUUUAUUGGGGAGUGACAAGUUACCCACAACGGGAAUAGCCGAGCCUUAACCGAGAAUAAGUGAUCUGCAGAGGUAAUUGGGUUUGUGACCCAGGUUUAUGGUGGGAACCACAUGUUAUCAGAAGUUAAGUAGUUAGUUGAGGGAUGAACAGACUAGAUUCAUCAAUAAUGAUGCAGUAUGAGUGGUCUAUCGGGGAUCAAGCCAUCUCAAGACAGCAGAUUUCAGAUGGAGUCAAUGUGAAUUUGUUGCGACGAAUACGUUCACCUGUGGAUUUUAGGGCAUUUGUGAAGAUUAGUCACGGUUACCCUGGGAGGGGCUAGGGUGUGCGCGGGAUGGUGACCAUGUUACUAGAAGUGGUUGGGUAUAUAAGGAAUGGUAAGGAAUGAUUUCGAGGACGAAAUCUAAUUUAAGUGGGGGAGAGCUGUAACACCCCAUUUCCAAGACAAACCAAAAAUCUGAAGAUGGGUGUUAAGCAUUAUUUUAUUUCGAUAUAUGUAUAUAUUUAAAUAAGAGUUUAGUAAAAAGUGUGUAAUUGGCAUUAUAAUUUGUUUGGAGGUCUAAAGAGUGCUUCCAGGGUUCGUAGUGGGAAGAAUAUUUAAACAUAUGGCUAAGGGAUAAUCAAUUGGGCUCGUUUUGUACUUAUAUUGGAAAUAUUUCGUAGAGGAAGGGCUAUUUGGUAAAUUUGGAGAUAAUUUGAAAGAAUUAUGAAAUAAGAGGGUCCUUUGAUACAUUUUAGAAACUUAGCAAAGGGGUUAUAUGUGUAAGGUGACCAAACAUCAAGGACUAUUUAUGCCUAUCUUCAAAAAUUAAGCAUUUGGUCCCCCUGUAAGCGACAGAGCGUGAGGGAGGGAGCUGUCUCCUGCUCUUGUUGCUUCACCUGCAUCAUCAAGUUAUAUAAGGAACAAACCCUUAGAUAGAAUGAAGAAUAUGUAUGUUCACUGGCGGCGAGAGAGGGUGAGAGACAUCGAAGUUGUGAAGGAAUGAGGUGAAAGAAGAAGAACUGUGAGGAAGGAGCUGCCAUCGUUGGGCUUCUUCGCCAGUCAGAACUCUCACUAGAGCAUUAGUUGAGAGAGAGAGAGAGAGGUGGGUGAUUGUUUAGCAAGAACGGGAUCAUUCCUUCAGCUCAAAAUCUGCUCGAUACCGUGAACCAGGUGGGGUUGUUGUUUGCGUUAUUCUCCAACAUUGCAUGGACCUCCGACAAAUCCCGUAUGUUCUCCAAAGCAGUGAAGGUAGGUAAGACUCAAUUUAUCAUUUGAUUUCUUAUCUCCCAUUGGUGAAUUCGAUUAGAGAGAGAUUAAUUGAUGGGUUUAAUCCCGUUUUCUUGGCCUAAUGACUUUCUGGCGACUGUCUUGGGACCUCCAGCAACACAGUAGAGGAGAGGCAAGGUGCUAGUCUUCGAUACUUCGAUGGCCAGAAAGAAGGUGAGGAAUCAAUAACGGUCAGGGUGUGGGUCUGUGCGAUUCUUAACUUGGUUGUGGAGGUUGCGGUUCUGAUGAACGAGGAUUCAACCACAAUUGAGGAACUUCUCUUGUACGCCGCCUGGAAGCUAGGUACGCUAAUUGAACUCCUGAUGGGCUUUAAUGGGUUGAUGAGUAUCAUGGGCUAAUGGGUUGAUGCGUAUCAUGGGCUGGUGGCGUGUAAUUGACUAUGCGAAUUAGGCUUAUUGAAGAACAUAAUUAAUCUAAAUGGGAUUAUAAUCUAUGGCUGUGAAAUUUAUUUGUAAUUUAAUGGAAUGAUAAUUUAAAAUAUAUGGAUUGAAUAAAUGAUUAAAUGAAACACGUUUAUAGAUGAGACUUGAAUUAAGCUCUAGCAAAAGUACGUGGGCUCAAAUUAUAUCUAAAUUGGAUCGAUAAAUUAUUUAACUAUUUAUUAGCUAAUGGUCAUAUGAACUAAAUGCACACGAGAAUAUUUGAUGGGAUUUGGAAGGGUAAGUCGAUCAAGGCGUUAUUUAUUAAUAAUGCAAAUAAGUAUGAUACUAAGUAAUACUAAGGAAUAUUUUUGAAGAAUAAGCUAAGUAUAAAAUAUUGAUGUGGGUUGUAGGUGUUUAGGGAGCUGGACAGUCCAUCUCAAUCAGUUCAGUGGUUAUUCGGCAAUUUCUACUUUAGGUGAGUUACCUUCCAGUAGUGGUGGGUCUACGGCCACAAUGUCGGCCCACCAGUAGGAGUCGUAUGUUAGAUGAUUUUCUUUGUGAUAUCAUCUAGGCUUGCUUCUAGGCUUGCUACUACCUGAUAUGUUAUAUGUUGGCAUGAUAUGUUAUAUGUGAUAGUAGUAGAGUUCGGUUGUUAGGACCGAAGGGUAGUUCAGGCACCCCAUAUAUGUCUAACAGUAUGUGAUGAUAUGUUUGUAUGCUGGCAUGAUAUGUUAUAUGUGAUAAUGGUAGUAGGAGGGGAAUAUUCCUCAAGUUCGGUUGCUAGGACCGAAGGGUAGUUCGGACACCCUAGAUAUGUCUGAAAGUAUGUUUAUGUUAUGGUAUAUGUGAUAGUAGCAGUAGGGGUGAAAUUGUUGGAUUAGUGUCUAAGUCCAUAACUAUUUUGGUAUGUACUUGACCCGAUGGAGCAUGGUCCUUUUGGGUUGCCUUCACCAAAGCAACUUGAUUGGAGAAAUAAAUAGAGAGAGAGAGAGAGGUUAUUAUGAUUUAUUAAUAUGUUAUAAGAAUAAUAUAUUAAAGGAGAAAUCAUAUUUGUUUAAUUAAUAUUGGUCAAUAAUUAAUUAAGAAUUAAUUUUGUGAUCAAGUGUAAUUAAUUAAACUAGAGGGGCUGAAUUGUAAUUAUGUGAUAGUUACAAAAUAAGGUAAGGAUUAUCUUAUAUAUAUGGUGAACGAAUUUGAGGUGUAAAUCCCUUAGAAUUCGACUAGGAUAAGGGUUUCUAGGACUUAUCUUAUGGUUGCUUGGUGGACAAGCAACUAGAUAAGGAUAAGGACUAAAACCCUAAUCUUUACACCUAUAUAAACCCCCUAAGGCUCAUGAAUUCGUCUAACCCUUCCCAAGAAGUCCUAAGGACGAAUUCCUACCUCUCUCCUCUCUCUUUAUACCUUCUCCAUUUGCUCUUGGUGUUUGUAAGCCAUUAGAGGAGUGACACUUGUGACUCUAAGCCUUCCAAAGUCAAUUCAAGGAGGAAUUGGGAUUGUUAUUGCUACAUAACAAUCAAGGUAAUAUCAUAAACCUAAUUAUAUGUUAAUAUUGAUUUCCAUAUGCUAGAAUUAGGGUUUAUAGUCUUGGAUUCAAAGCAUGUACAAUAGAGAAACCUAGAUCCAAGCAUUAGGGUUUGUAUGAGCACAUAGGAUGUCUUAUGACCAAAACCCAUCAGAAAUAGUCCCCGAGGGUCGGUUGUUAGGACCGACGGGUAGGUCAGCACCCCAGAAUGGCUUGACACGGGUAGGUCGGCACCCCAGAAUGGCCUCACCGGGUAGGUCGGCACCCCAGAAUGGCCGUACCGGGAGACGGACACCCCAGAACUGUCCGACAGUAUGUAUGUUAUGUGAUUGUAUGGUAUGUGGUAUGAUGGGGGAACUCACUAAGCUUCGUGCUUACGGUUUUCAAUUUUGGUUUUAGGUACUUCGUGUUUAAAGGAAAGGAGUCGGCUUGAUCGCAGCGCAUCACACUAUGGUUUUCCGCACAUGAGAUCUUUGAGAUUACACUCUGAUAUUGUUUUAUGACAACAUGUUUGAUUAUUUCUACUUUGGUUUUGGACAUGACAUGAUAUUACAAAUGUUUUAUUACACUGUUGGUUUUAUAAUGACGUGUUUAAAAAUGAAAUUUUUGGCCUGUAUUUUUUGGAUGUUACAUCAAAGCUUCUGAAGUGGUGUCAAACUACUAGAUCUUGCUCAUGAGGUCAAAAUGGAACCAAAAACCAUAAAAUCAUAGAUCUCAACUUCUAAUGAUCAAGCUAAGAAUGUAACACCCUGUUCGGAAAAGCGUUCAUUUAUGGAUCCAGAAGUCAAGGUUAGGGGCAUUUUGGUCAUAUAUGGGCUUGAGUUGUUAUUUGAGAGGUUUUGGGUCAGGGUGUAUCGCUGGAAGCGUAGGGCUUCUCGCCACCUUUCCAUGGAUAUAAAGUUCGUCGGAAACGGACCUAGAAUGAAGGAGUUAUGACACUUUGAAUAUUUUGACAAUAAUGGCCCUUAUGGAGAAAAGUUCGCAUGGAAGGCCAUGCACGUAUUUUGGAGCACUAGUGGGUACGCCCAACGUAAGCUGGGUUAUGCCCAACGUAGUGGAGCAAAUGAUCGCGGGUGCGGAGAGGCGUACGCCUAGCGUACGGGAGGUACGCCCAACGUACGCUCGGAUCCUCAAACCCCUAUUUUAAGGGAGUGCCACUAUAUAAAGAACAUGAUGGCUCCAACCCUAGCCCCUUAUCAGCCUCCCCAACUCCAGAGAAACCCUAGAAUGCCCCAACCUUUCAUUUUGUGAAUCUUGACCUUGGGAAGCUCAUUUUGGUGGUUUUAAGCUUGGAAUAAAAAAGAAGAAGAUUUACAAGGAGGAACCUUGGAAGCUGGAGCUUAUAUCUGAGAUAGCAUCAUCUUUUGGAACUCUUUGAAGGUAUAAAACUCACAACUUUACUUAAGGGUGUUUAGAUAUAGUAUGGUUUAGUUUUUGGUCCAAGGGUGAAAGCCUUAUGGCUUCAAUCCGAUUUCCAGACCAAGGGUUGCCUCCCUUGGUGCUAAAUGACUCCCUGGAACAGAAAGUUGAUAUCUUGAUGGUCCAAAUGAGUUCAUGCAUGAGUUAAGACCUUUUUCCAUGGAAAUAGAUUAUGGUUUUGGAGUUGGAUCUUAUGUGAGUCAUGGAAGCCAUAAAGUAAGCAAGUUUAUGGUUUAAGACAUGAAAUAAGACUUGGAUCUGAGUUUGUAGCCUCUGAAAAUAUUAAGCACAUAAUAGAGAAAGGAAUUAGCAGGGUGUUACGUUGAGCAGUGGCGGAGCUUUGAAGUUUGGAUUGGGGGGGAGGGCGAAAAUAGAAUUUGUAUAAAAAUUGAAGAACAUGGGGGGCCAAAGUCAAACUUUAUAGUUUUUGGUCAUAAUAUGUAACUCUUUUAAUACUUAUGGACUAAUUAUUAAAAAAAAUAGGGGGGCCACAACCCCUUGGCCAUAUAUAAGCUCCGCCAAUGACGCUGAGCGUACGAGUAGGUACGCCCAGCGUACUCGUCAUCAAGCCUGUACGCUAAGCGUACAUUGGAGUACGCCCCGCGUAACGCUGCCAGUUUGGGUUUCGAGCAUUUGGGCCUCGGUGUGGGCUAUGUUUUGGACUAUAGGUCUUUGGACCUUAGUGGUCCAUCAGGAGUUAGUGAUUAUAGGCCAAGUAUAUGUGUUGGGCUUAGGGUAAGGCCUAAUAAAGGAAUUUCGGCCCAAUGUAGCAAAUUAGGCCAAUAGUGGGCUUAGGAAGCCUAUCUAGUGAUUGGGCCUUUAGAAGUCAGAUUAUGGGUCAAGGACAUUUUUUUGGGCUUAAUUAGGGCCCAUAUGAGAAGUUAGGCCUAAUUUAGAAAAUUGGGCCAUUAGUGGGCCUUUAGUGGGCCAUUAGUGGACUUAGAAAGAAUUAAAGGGUUUGGGCCUUAGUUAUGACCCACACCAUAGCAGGGGUAAAAUAGUCAUUUUACCUAUAGAAGGAUCCUCAUUUUGAUUAAGUGUUUUAUUGGUCAUGAUAGCUGGAGAGCAGCCGGGACAGCAGUCAGGGAUCUUUCACUCAGAUUUUCAGCAGUCAGUUCUUCGAGGUGAGUUUCCUUUCAGUAGGAACGGGUCUACGGCCACAAUGCCGACCCAUUUAGAUAGCAGUAGUUCCGGACUGCAGUCUGAUGCUGGGGUGGUCCCGAGAAGUAGUUCAGUAUGCUUGAUGUCUUUAUGAUCCAAGCAUGUCUAUGUGUUAUGUGUUCUGGACUGCGGUCCGAUGCAAUAUGCAGUAUAUGUGUUGUUGUUAUAUGUUAUGAUUAUGCUAUGCUAUGUUCAGUUAGUUCCGGUCUUCGGUCCGAUGCAGUGGGCAAGACCCUAGUUAGUUCCGGACUUCGGUCCAAUGCAGUGGGCAAGGCCCUAGUUAGUUCCGGACUUCGCUCCGAUGCAGUGGGCAAGGCCCUAGUUAGUUCCAGACUUCGGUCUGAUCAUUGGCGGAGCUUUAUAAGGGCAAGGGGGUUGUGCCCCCCCCCCCCNNNNNNNNNNNNNNNNNNNNNNNNNNNNNNNNNNNNNNNNNNNNNNNNNNNNNNNNNNNNNNNNNNNNNNNNNNNNNNNNNNNNNNNNNNNNNNNNNNNNNNNNNNNNNNNNNNNNNNNNNNNNNNNNNNNUGCCGCCCCCCCCCCCCCCCCCCCCGAAUCAAACAUUGAAGCUCCGCCCCUGGGUCUGAUGCAAUAGGCAAGGCCAUAGUCAGUUCUGGACUUCGGUCUGAUGCAGUGGGCAAGACCCUAGUCAGUUCCGGACUUCGGUCCGAUGCAGUAGGCAAGGCCCAAUAUGUGCUUUAUAUGUUAUUGCAUGGUAUGUGGUAGUUUGGGGGAGCUCACUAAGUUUCGUGCUUACAGUUUCAGUUUUGGUUUCAGGUACUUCAGCUAGCAAGGGGAAGGGCUCGGGAUGAUGGCAUGACACACACCACAGAUUUAGCCUGAGAGUUAGACUCUGAUAUUUUUGGCAUAAUCUUGACAUCAGUUUUGAUAUGAGACAUAUUUUAUGACAUUUGAGAUACAUGACUUAUGGUUUUCUUAUAUGAUAUUCAGAUAUUAUGGUUUUAGGAAUGUUUUCAAAUGAAUUUUUUUGGCUUGUAUUUUUGGGAUGUUACAAAGAACUUUUUACCUUCAAUGAGCUGAAAAUGCAACAAAGAGUCUAGAUCCACAAGCCUUUCCUUGAACCACCACCUUGUACCAAGCUUCCACUUCUUGAGUUAUGCUAGAAUCCACCAAAAAUGCACAUACAAGGCUCACAACACUCUUGGAUGAAGCUAUAGCUCGAGAUUUAGGGUUUAAGACACUGGAGGAUGAAAAAUAGGUGUAUACCCUAGACUUAAGGUGCUUAAAUAGUGAGUCAACCCUUAAAAUUAGGGUUUUGGGGAUCCUGAACGUACGAUGGGCGUACUUCCUGUACGCUGGGCGUACGUCUCCCAAACUCGUGUUUUACUUAUCCAACGCUACGUUAGGCAUACCCCAGCUUAUGGUGGGCACACUCAUGCGCAUGCCACCUUGCAUGCAUGGGACCGCCUCGCCAAUUAUUUCCAUUAUGGACCAAAAUUGCCAAUAACUUCAAAAUACCAUAACUCCCUCAUCAUAGGCCCAUUUCCAACGAACCUUAUAUCCAUGAAAAGGUGGCGAGAAGCCCUACGCUCCUAACAACACACCCAAGCCUUAAAACCUCCCGAACAAAACCCUAAAUUCAUAAAAGAUUGAGAUAUCAAAUUAUGAUUAUACCAUUGGCUUCGGAAGACACAAUCGAAUACUUUGAUCAUUUAUACCAUGGCACCCACAUCCGACAUGGGCCAAAAACAAGUCCUAAGCCUUGAGGCAACUAAUGCCUAUGUCGCAGCCCCAAGCAACGGAGCAAAUCCGAAACCGAGCGUUACAGUUUACUAAAUGGUUGUAAUGACCUCUCAAAAAAGUUUUUCACCUUCAGUGGUAAAAGAAAGAUUGUUAAGAUUAGGAUUUUAUGUAUGAAUGGUUUUGAUUUUGCAAAAUUCGGACCAAGAUUUUAAAAUCAUAUCAAAAUGACAUAAUUAUAAGUAUAAAGCAUAAAAUAAUACAUCUCCGUCAAUGAACUUAUCAUUCAAAAAUUAUAGAAGGUUUAAAACAUUAGUUAUAACACAUAUCGACAAUAUCAUGUACUCAACACAACCACAUUAGGUUACAUAAACAUUUGUAGUAAAAACAUAUUAGUAACGACUUUGUAUGUGCUUUGACAUCACACAUAUUUUGACAACAACUUUAGGCAGUAAAGGAUACCAAUAUAAAAGUCACAAACAAUUGCAGUAAAAACGUACUUUCUAGUGUUACCUUCUUUUCUUUUCCUAUACGUGUUUUGUGUGUUAUUUGAAAACUACAUAUAUUUAGGAAAUGUAUAUAUUUUUCUUGAUGUUAUAUACAUAUUAAUAUGAGUAGCGUUUAGGAAUAGUGUCAGGUAUUAUCAUGUGUGGUUUAAGUUUUCCUUUUGCUGGAUUGGUUUUUUUUUUAUUUUCGGUUGGUUUGGAGCCAACAUCAGUUGCUUUCUCGCAUGUUGGCCAUUUGUUUCAGUUUCCUUCGUCUAUAUUUCCUCCCGUGUACAUACAUGCUUCACAUAUUGAAAGAUUUUUAUCUCCAAGAGUCAUUAUAGAAUGAUAUUUGUUAAUAUCGUAUGAUCUAAUCGGGUCACAUCUUAUAACAAGUUAUUACUAAUUGAUUAUUUAUUAAAGUGAUUUGAUUAUUAAUAAAAAUUAUCAACGCUUAUGUUUUAGUUGGAGAAUUAUUAUUUUAUGAAAAUAAUAUUUUAACAAUUAAUUGAGAUUAUUAAUUCUAGGAUAUAAUAAUAAAAGAGAAUAAAAAAACUAGCAAUAUUCAUAAGUCAUGAAUAUAUAAGUAAUGUACAAUUAAAUGAACACUUUGAGUAACCAUUUAGUUGGACUUGUAACUAGCUAAUUUGUAAGAAAAUGUGCAACAUACUCUUGGUCUUAACUUCUUUUCAAAACCUCCAACCUCCACUAGAGGUUGAGUUUGUGUAUUAUCUUUCUUAUUCCUUUACACCAUGCUUGUCACAAGGUGUCAUACUUUCAUUUAAUGACUAUCUUUGACUUGGUUCAUUAGUGGAAGUAUAUAAGGAGAACAUGAGGCAAAAACUAGUAAGUUUUUCACACUCUUUGAUCUAAUUUAGAGCUGCCACAUUCAUGGUUUUGAAGUCCUUUUUACCUCUCCUUGCAAUUUGAUGCUAGAAUUAAGAGUUUAUAUGUAGCUUCUCUUUAAGAUUUAUUUGGUAUAAACUUUAAUGUCUGAAACCAACAUAUAUAUAUAUAUAUAUAUAUAUAUAUANNNNNNNNNNNNNNNNNNNNNNNNNNNNNUGGUGGUAUUUCAAAGGUCUUUCUGUGGUUUAUUUAAUCUUGCAAUGCUUUACAAAAGAUCAUUGAUUAGUUAAAAAAAAGUUUUAAGUUUAUUCUAAUUUUAAAAGGUAUGUUGCUGUUAUUAAUGUUUUUGAGAAAAAGAUUAUGAAUAAAGGGAAAAUGACUUAAAUAGGUAAUUAAGUUUCAAAUUUAUAUAAAAGGGAUUUUCGAAUAUGUGCCCUAAGGGCACAUAUAAGAAGUAUUAAUUAAUCAUAAUUAUUACCAUAACUAAAUGUGAAAUGCAUUAAUUAUGGAGAUUAUUAAUGAAUUUUAUAUUUAAUUAUGGUAAUAUUUCUUAUAAAUAAUAUGUUUAACAUUUAAUUAUGGUAAUAAUUAUGUUUAAUUAAUACUUCUUAUAUGUACGCUUAGGACACAUAUUAGAAAAUCCCUAUAUAAAAAAUACUAUCAAAGUUUACUCUGUUUAACAAAUACCCUUAAACUUAACAAACCGUUCAAGAAUACCGGAUGAUUAAUUUACUAAAUGAGUUGACUUUUUACUUAACACGCUGACUGCUUAGUUGGCAUAAAACUUGCCAUGUAGGUUUAAAUGAGUUUGCUUUGUUGGCAAAUUUGUUGUUUGAAGUGGCAGCCGAACUUUAUCAAGAAUCAAACAAACUCCUCUUUUCUUUCUUCCUUUUCUUAUUCGACAAACUCCAAAGCAAAAACCAAUUGUCCUUCACUUUUCUUUGAUUUUGUUCCUGAUGUACACCGAAUUUCACACACAAAAAACUUUGGAUGAUUUCUACUUCCUUAUUCUUCCUUGUUCUACCUGAAAAUAAGAUCACGAAAUCAAAUAUCCUUCUUUCUGGUUCUUAUUUAUUCUUUCUGUUGUGUGUUGUGUGUUACACAAGCAUGUGCAUUUAUGAAGUUUAUGUUUUGCACAAUCUACCCAAAGGAUGUGCAUUUGGUUAAAUUUCCAAUAGUCAAAUGCUUAGAAAGCUUAUCAUCAAUAUAUGAAAAUCUAUAUAAGCAUACCCAUUUAUCUUGUAUGUCCCAUUUCUUUCAUUUAACUGUUGGAAUAACUACAGGUAAAUCAUACUGAUUACCCACUAGUCCUUGUGAAAUCUCACCAAUAUUUAAAAAAGUACCUCACUAUUUCAAGAAUUGAGCAUAUACUUUUCAAAAUUAAAACUACCUUAAAGGGCAAAUCAUUCGUGCAACAUGUACUUUAUUAGUGAUUGAAUUGAGUAGCUAACAUCGUUUGGGUAAACAUGUGUGUCAUCCUGUGAAAUUAUGGCCAAACAGUUUAUAUGUAUCACAUUGUCACAAAGAUGACUAAACUAACCUUGAUGCAAUUCUUCAUUCAUCAGAGGUGAAGGAUGAAAAAACGAAUUUUCAUUUACAGACAUCUGUCAUGCUUUUCAAAUGUGAUUUGAUAAUUUUAUUAAAAACUUUAUGCACGCGUUCUAUUUAAACUCGUGAAGGGAUUAUAGUAAGUCAAAGCUCUUGAUUGUGAUGCUGUUGUUACUUUCUUUAUUGAUUUUCUUGAAUUUUGAUGACCUUAUGUGGUUUAUCUCCUUUUCAUUUAACAAAAUAUCUUUUCCUAAAUUGUUUUAUUGAAAAAAUGUAAUUUAUUUUAAUAAUAGUUUUUUUGAAUCAUAUUUAAUUUAUCAAAUGGAAUAGUAAAGCGAGUAAAUGCAUUUUUUUUUAAGAUGACAUACCUUAAAAAACAAUUAAAAAAAAACGUCCUAAGCACGGACAUAUCUCCUAGUUUUUGAUUAAAAAUGGCCAUUUAAAGCCACAACCUUUGUAAAAAAUAUACAAAAACUUUUUGAAAUACUAAAUGUUUUAGAAUAAACUUAUCUUAAAAGGUUAAAUGUAAUAAAUAAAAAUAUAGUGUUAAUUACCAUAUCUCUUUCUAUGAAAAUUUUGUCAUUGUUUUCUUAACUUAUUCCAAGCGAUAUUAAUUAUAUCCUUUUCUUUCACCAUGAUUCGUACAUUUCUAUGCAUUUUGUUUUCCUUCACGUCUUUACGUUCGUCUCUACUCUCUACUCUCUAUGCCAACAAGAAGCACAUCAUGUGUUCAUAACAAACGAUCUUUAAAUCCUCUGCAAAAAACCCUAAUCUGGUCUCGAAGAUGUCAAGCCGCCGGGAAGAAGAUCACACCCACGACCACUUCUUCAAACUCAUUCUAAUCGGCGACUCCCAUGUCGGAAAAUCCAACUUACUCUCCAGAUUCUGCGACAACAAAUUCACCCUCGAGUUCAACUCCACCAUCGGAGUCGAGUUCGCCACCAAAACCCUCCACAUCGACGGAAAGCACAUCAUGGUUCAAAUCUGGGACACUUCCGGCCACAAGAAAGUUCGAGCCAUCACCGACGCCUACUACCGUGGUGCAACCGGUGCACUCCUGGUCUACGAUGUUACUAAACAUAUCACAUUUGUAAACAUACAACGAUGGUUAGCAGAUUUGAGGAACCAUGCAGAUCCGAAUAUGGUUUUGAUGUUGAUCGGAAAUAAAUCCGAUGUUAGACACUCGGUUACUGUUUUGACGGAGGUCGGAAAGUCAUUUGCUGAGAAAGAAUCUUUGUAUUUUAUUGAGACAUCUGCUUUGAGAGAUACGAAUGUGGAGAAAGCGUUUACUGAAAUUGUUGAUCGAAUGUAUCAGACUCAAAUUUGUAGGACGAAAGCUAUGGAAGUUCAAGAAACAACGUCGCUUUCUAGAAGUAAGAACCAUUUUUGUCAUAAUUACUAUUGCAACAAUAGAAUGAUUUGGGAGAGUUUUGUUCCAUUAACGUUGAUCGAUUAUUGCAGGUGUAUCUAUAUCAAGUGGAAACAACGAACCUGCACACUACAAACUGAAGCUCGAAUCAUUCUCUCUUUUGUUUGAAGCUGGAAUAGUAAAGUAUGAAUCCGAUGUUUUUGAAGCUAGCGGAUACAAAUGGUUAGUUUUUCUUUCUCAUUGAAUUAUGAUUGUAUAUAAGUGGAUGGACAAUUUUAUAUGUUGAUAAUAGUCCCUAGAGACUAUAUAUAUAUAAAUACAAUGAUUAUAACCAAACGUCGUACAUAAUGAGAUAUUCGAGGAUCAAAAUUUUUCAGGAAACUAGAACUAUAUCCAAAAGGAAACGAGGAAGAAUACAUAAACGAUCAUAUUUCUCUUUAUCUUGUCAUAUGUGACACACAAAGCCUUGAAAGAGGGUGGGAGGUUUAUGUGUACUUCAAAAUCUUGAUUUACGAUCAUAUACGCCACAACUAUCUAACCAUUCAAGGUACAAGGUUUGUACUUUGAGACCAAACAAUGGGGUUUUAGGGUUUAUGUUGUUGUAUAUGGUUAUAGGUGGGGAUGGGAAACGUACGAGGUUCCAUGAGAAGAAAACGAGAUGGGGCUUCAGGAAACUCAUGUCACUAGAUUCGUUUAAGGAGGCUGAAAACGGUUACCUUUUUGGGGAUUCAUGUGAGUUUGGAGCCGAGGUUUUUGUUGUCCCAAAAUAUGCGCAAAAAGAUCAAUGUUUGUCGAUGAUCAAGCCGCCAAUAACGAUGAAUACACACAUUUGGACAAUUGCUAAUUUUUCGGCUUUAAAAGAUGAAGCGUUGUACUCUGAGGAUUUCAAAGUUGGCCAAGUGAAAUGGUACGUGCGUUUCUUUUCAUAACUCGUUAGUUUUUGCUCUGAUACAUAAUGUCAUUGUUGAUUUGAAUAUGUGUGAAACAGGAAAUUGUCGUUGUAUCCUAAAGGAUCCAAAACAGGGAAAAACACAAAUCUUUCAAUCUUUCUAAGACCACAUGAUGUUGGAUCUGGUUCUGGUUCUGGAUCGGAUGAGUGGAGAGUUUAUGCAAAAUUCAAGAUUCGGGUAAAAACCCAUGAAUUCGGCAGUACCCAUGAAAGUAAAGGUAUAAGAUUAUACAUAAACUUCUCUCAUUUGAAGCUAAAAACUUCAUUUUUCAUCACUAAAUCUUGUUGAUGUUGCUAUCUAUAUGUAUGCUUAUCUUGAUGGAGUCUAUACAUUGCAGAAGCUGACCAUUGGUUUUGCAAAACAUCUGAUGGUUGGGGGUUCCCUUGUUUUAUGCUGUUAAGCGAUCUUCAUGACUCCAAAAAGGGUUUCUUGUGGAACGACACUUUGGUUGUUGAAGCACAAAUCUUAAUUGUGGGCAUCCUAAAAAAUCUCGUCUAAAUUAGGUUAUAUACAAUUAUCUAACAAUUUGAGUUCCAGUCUCGUUUUUCGUUUCUAAGGAUGUAAUAAAAUGGUAAAUAUUUCAUUUGUUGAGUAUGUUUGUUAUUAUUUUCGAACGUAUUUAUAAUUUCAUGAAUAUAUGGACAUUUAUGUGGAUUAUACUCGUACAUUUUUUGUUUGUAACAUUGUUUUGAAUGCCAAAAUAUAGAGGUUAGCAAAAACAAAACCUCAAACUAAAAACUGCAAAAAAAACUAAGGGCAUGUUUGAGUUAGUUUUUUUAGCAUAAAAGUAAUUAUUAAGAAAAGUGUUUAUUAGCUUAUGGCAUUUAGAAAAAGCUGAUUUUAAAAAGUGUUUGGAUAAGAAAAGCUGCUUUUUAACCGUAAUUUUCCGAUGUGUUGCGGUUUUAUGCGGUCUAACUNNNNNNNNNNNNNNNNNNNNNNNNNNNNNNNNNNNNNNNNNNNNNNNNNNNNNNNNNNNNNNNNNNNNNNNNNNNNNUUUUUUUGACAAAACUGCAAAUUUGGUCCUUGUGGUUUUCAAAAACCUUUGGAUGGGGUCCAAAAAGUUUCCAACUUGCAUGGAAGGUCCAAAAUCAAGGUUUUUCUGGGUUUUUGGUCCAAAAAAACUUAAAAAGACGAUUAUGCCCUUUUAUUUUCUUUUUUGUAUUUUUUAUAACUAUUCUAAUGUUGUUUUAAUUAAAAAAUAAAGAAAAAAGAAAAAAAGUAUCCCCCACCCUCUCUGUCUGUCUCUCUCUCUUCGUCUUUUUCUCUCUCUCUCUCUCUCCUGAAUGCCAUCUCUCGAAAGAAAAUUGAUAUUCAAAAUUGAACCACCUGUGGAUUCAUUCUCGCCGCCACCGAAACCAUCGGAGCCGUCAAUAACCCUACUUUCGGAAUUGUAACUCCAUCUUAAUCGAUGCAUUUCAUCUUCGUUAUACCCCUCUUCAACGACCACUGCACAUUUGCAUUUCCGACACCCAAAACUCCAACUCUAAUCUUCUCCACUUUCUUCCUGUCCCUCUCUCAUCUCGUUCUCCAUCUGAAAUGGGUGUUCGUUACAAAACGCGAUCAAAGGUGCUCGUUGAAGGUCGUGGGGAGAAUGUGUGGCAUAGAUCUAUGCCCUCAAACCUGCAUCUGAGUGUAUUGAGAGCUCCGCGACCAGUGGUAUUCAUCUUUUCUCGCAAGGCGUUGCCGCCGGUGGUGCAGAGAGAAUAGAUAUGAGCUCGUUUUAUCUAUAAAUUCGAUCCACUUUAAUUUCAAGCACCUUCUGAAUCUCUCCUCUUUGAUCGACGACCUCUGUAUGAACUUUUGUUUCAGUUCAGAUUGGGACUAUAAAUCAACACCUCAAGGCUUGGAGCAGGUGGGUAAGAACCUCGAGGUGGAGCCAACAAAUUUUUGGUGGUUGUAUUGACCAGUGGGAUGGUGAGGUUUGAUUUUCAUUUGUUGAAGGUUUGAUUUUGAUUUCCACUUAUGAUAUGAUCAAGAAGAAGAAGUGGGUAUCGUAUUUUUUUCUUUUUCCCAAACCUUCUUCAAUGGACCGACAAUUGAUUUUGAUCCAGUUGAAGAACGAAUUACACUUCAGAACAAUCUUAAUUAUAAUUUAUUUCCAUAUUAAUUGUGCAGAAAGAGAAAGUUAGUGAUCCAUAGAAACAAAGACGUGAGAGAGAGAGAGAGACGAAGCGAGAGAGAGAGAGAGAGGGUGGGGUGGGGAUACUUUUUUUCUUUUUUCUUUAUUUUUUAAUUAAAACAACAUUAGAAUAGUUAUAAAAAAUACAAAAAAGAAAAUAAAAGGGCAUAAUCGUCUUUUUAAGUUUUUUUGGACCAAAAACCCAGAAAAACCUUGAUUUUGGACCUUCCAUGCAAGUUGGAAACUUUUUGGACCCCAUCCAAAGGUUUUUGAAAACCACAAGGACCAAAUUUGCAGUUUUGUCAUAUAUAUACACUAGCCGUUUACCCGCACAAAGCGACGGGUGCGGAUCAACAAAAUGACAUAAAAAAUUUGUUAAACAAAAUGACGAACAAAUAGAGAUUUCUUAUACCUGGGCUAGGAUUAAACGUAAAACAUUUUUGGGCUUAUUCGAUUUUAACAUAAAGAAAAACAAAAGAGAAGGUAGCGAGCAUGAGAGAGAACCAAGGUUUUGCGGUCAAUGGCAAGGCAUUCAUGAUAGACGAAUGCUAGAUCAAUGCGUCUCUUCCAGUUUAUAUGAAAUGUUUUAUAACGCGUACAUCAUAUUAGACCGAUUCAAAUGGAUAUGAAGAACACUUGGUCAAACUUUGACCCAUUCAAAAUCUUAUCAUCAUCUUAUUUGACUUUUUCAUUAUUAUUGACAGAUUCAGUAUUUAGCGAUUCAAUUGGAUAUGAGGAACACUUGGUCAAAGUUUGACCCAUUCAAAAUCUUAUCAUCAUCAUCUUAUUUGACUUUUUCAUAAAUGUUGACCGGAUAAGAUUUAGUAUUUACCGAUUCAAUUGGAUAUGAGGAACACUUGGUCAAACUUUGACCCAUUCAAAAUCUUAUCAUCAUCAUCUUAUUUGACUUUUUCAUAAAUAUUGACCGGAUAAGAUUUAGUAUUUACCGAUUCAAUUGGAUAUGAGGAACACUUGGUCAAACUUUGACCCAUUCAAAAUCUUAUCAUCAUCAUCUUAUUUGACUUUUUCAUAUUUAACCCAUUCAAUUUGAAGAUAAGCUUAGAAGACCUAUUCAAAAUCUGUCUUUGACCGGAUANUAUAUAUAUAUAUAUAGUUCGGAUCCUGUAGGAACCCAAAAAUUAGUAGGAACCGCAAACAAUAUUCUCUACCAAUCAUUUCGUCAAUGACACAAACAUCAAACUCAUUUAGUUGGUUGUGACGUGUUCGCACGAGACGCACGUCCAUGAAACAUAAUACAACCUCGAGGGAAUAAUCAUGUGCGACGAACGUCUAUGGAACGUUAUUUAAAUGCAUUUUUCUUUUCUUUUUCGUUUAUUUUGGUCCAUGGAACAUCAUUUAAAUGGAACAUAUACGAACUCGGGCUAAUACCUUGAAAAGAUUAAUAUACAUGGGGCCCAGCUUGCUCCGCUUCCUGAAUUGGAUGACACAUUUCCAAGAUGACACCUUUAGGAGUAUCAUAUCUCCAACCUAAAAUUCCAAGUCUGGUCAGCGUCUAUCUACGUAACUUUUCUAUCGGCUUUGAGUUGUCUGAAGUCUGUUGCAAACCUGCUGAAUCAAUUACAUCGUCUUGAGUACCCCAUGACCCGCUAACCGACCUCUCCCAAACAUAUCGAGGUCCUACACUUACUCCCAUAGAGCAUCUCAAAAGGAGGUCGAUCAAUGUUGGCGUGAUAACUGUUGUUAUACAAAAAUUCCACCAAAGAAAUAUGGGUUAAUAUUAUAAAAGCCCUAAAUUUUUAACGCGUAAUUGGAAAAAGCCUUGAUAUUUUUUUUAUUAUUGUUGUGGUCAUAGCUUUCUCGCAGAAUUAUCACUCUAGCCCACUUAACGAGUUUCAUGGUUAAGUUGGUUAACUUUUUUGCAAAAUUAGUCCUAAAAAGUUCAAAUUUAGUCCCUGAGGUUUGAAAAAAAUUACACCACAUGGUUUUUUAACUUUAUUUUUCGUUUUUUGUAUACUUUAUUUAUUCUCGGUUUUUUUUAUAAAUAUAUGUACAUUUUUUAUUUUCAUUUUACAUAUAUACUUUAUUUAUUUUCAUUUUUUAACUUUAUUUUUCAACAAUUUUUUUUUAACUUUUUUACCUUUUGUUUUCUAUUUUUUAGUGUAUAUAUAGAGUAUAUUAGAGUUUUUUUUAGAUUUUUUCAUAUUUCUUUUCGUAUUAUAUUUUUUUUUUCACCUUUUUAUUUUUUUAUUUUUUUCUAUUUUUUUUACUUGUGGUUUUUCUAAUAUUUUUUCUAAGUUUUUUCAUAUUACAAUUUUUGUUUUCUAUUUUUUUUCCUAUUUUAGUUAUUUAUGGUUUUUCUAAUGUUUUUAUUUACUUUGAUUCAAGUAAACGAACUUGAUUCAAUAUAAUUACUAUAACAAGUUUUUUUUUUAUAAAGAUGACUAUUAUUAUUUUUUUUCUUUUUUUUAGUCUAUUAUCAAAUUGAAAAAUAUUAUCUUGAAUUUAAUCUAUUGAUAUCACAUAUAGAAAUAUGAUUUAAUUUGCAAGUUAUAUAACACAUUGAAACACUAAUUCUUAGUAAACAAACUAUUUUUUUUUUAAUUUUCAUUUUUUCAUAACAUAAAUAUAAUAGCACUAAAGAAAAAAAAGAAAAAAAAAAGAAAAUAAGUUGGACCGAAAUUACAAAUAUAAACAUAACUACUUUAUUUACUUGAAUAAAAAUAAAAAACAAUUACAAAAACUAUAAAUUAUCAAAAUUGUAAUAUACUAAUAUAUUAAUACAUUUUAUAUUUUUUGAAAAAUGUCAAUAAAAAGAUAAAAAUACAAAAAAAAAAACAAAUAAUUGGAAAACAAAUAAGAAAAAAAAAUAAAAAAUUAAAAAGAUGAAAAAAAUAAAAUAUAAUACGAAAAGAAAUAUGCAAAAUCCUAAAAAAACUCUAAUAUACUCUAUACAUACACUAAAAAAUAGAAAACAAAAGGUAAAAAUGUUUUAAAAAAUUGUUGAAAAAUAAAGUUAAAAAAUGAAAAUAAGUAAAAUAUAUAUAUAAAAAAAGAAAAUAAAAAAUGUACAUAUUUUUAUAAAAAAACCAAAAAUAAAUAAAGUAUACAAAAAACGAAAAAUAAAGUUAAAAAACCAUGUGGUAUAAUUGUUUUGAAACCUCAGGGACUAAAUUUGAACUUUUUAGGACUAAUUUUGCAAAAAAGUUAACCAACUUAACCAUGAAACUCGUUAAGUGGGCUAGAGUGAUAAGUUUGCGAAAAAGUUGUGGUCACAACAAUAAUAAAAAAAAAUAUCAGGGCUUUUUCCAAUCACGUGUUAAAAAUUUAGGGCUUUUAUAAUAUUAACCCAAAGAAAUAUACAUAUCCCAACUACCACCAAAAUCCAAAACACAUGUCCCGCAACAUAUCUUCCAAAGUCUGGAUAGUCCGCUCACUCUGACCAUCAGAGUACGGGUGGAAGGUCGUGUUGAAAUACAAACAGGUAACCAACUCCUCAUGGAAUCUCUUCCAGAACCUGGAAAUACCGAACAUCCCUAUCAGAGACCACAUAAACCAGCACCCCAUGACGUGCUACCACCUCCCAAAUGUAGAUAUCGGUUAGUUUUUCCACCGAAAUACUCUCCUAAAUCAGAAUGAAAUGUGUGUUCUUGGCAACCGAUCCACAAUGACCCAUAUCGAAUCCACUAUACACGUCGUCCGGGGUAACUUUGUGAUGAAAUUCAUCAUAAUCUCUUCCCAUUUCCAAACAGGAACUCCCGACAGCUCUACUUUCUUGUGAGGUCGUUGACGCUCAGACUUGACUUUUCUGCAAGUCAAACACCUCUCCACAUAUCAUAAUAUGAUUACUAAAACCAAACAAUGAUCAUUCCAAAAUAAACUUCAGUUAUAGCUAUAUAGAUAACUUUUCUAAUGUAUUAUGAUCAUUGAAUGUUGAUCACUCGAUUGCAACAUUUUCUUCUUGUUCUUGAAUCUUGAUUGAAGCUCUUUUCUUCUUGCUCUUGAGUCUUAAUUGUAGAAUAUCGAUUUCAAAUAUCACAAAGUCGAUUAUAUUGGGAGUCAACUGUAAUUGGUCAUUUGGAUUAGGAGUUGAACUGGGAAGUUGAAGCGGAACGUCUAACAAUCUAACUCCUCGAUUUAUCUACGUGAAGAUUGAUAAAUGUAUUAUAAAUUAUCAAUAAUUAAUUUAUAUUUCAAAAUUUUAGACCGGGUGAGUCAUAAACAGAUCGAAUCGAUAGUGAUCCAUAUCCGACCCUUUUAAUAAAAGGGGUAACGGGUAAUGAGUAAACGAAUCAUAAAAUAUGAUCCAAACUCAUUAAUUUUGCAUGAGUUUGUAACGGAUCGGGGUCAAAACCCGCUUCAUUGUUAGGUUUAGUAAAAAUACAUCCAUUGGAUUUAAUCAACAAAGACAUCAUUAUAAAGCGAAGUUUAGUAGGAACUAAGGACACCAUCAUCUUCGACUCCACUAAAUCAUAUUUCCCUUCGAGUAAGUAUUCUUUCCUUUUUUAUUUAUCUAUCAAGAAAUUAAUCUUAAAUUAUGUUAACUCGAUAUAAACAACACAUACAUUACAACUACUAAUAUUUUAUGGUAUUAUAGUUAUAUUUUGAAUUGCUUUUAAACCACUAAUUCACAUAACUAUCAAUCUUUGCUGAAAAAUCCUCCCUGAUAAAUCAAAAUCUUUUUGCCACAUGUCUUCUUCUCCUUCAUUUGGACACAUGUCAUUUUCUAAAUUUUUUGAAUUUUGUAUUUUCCACUUGUCAUUUUAUUGUAUUUUUCAUUUUAUUAAAUUAAAAUUACAUAUUUAAUAUGUAAGGUAAUAUAUAUGUAAGAUAUUUAUUAGACAAAAUUUAUAUAUGUAAUGUAUUCAAUGUAUUAAAACCUCAUUAAUUUAAUAAUUUAAAUUUUUUCUCAAUUUUCUUAUAAAUUCAAAUUUCUCAAAUUAUUAAAAUUUAAUAUUUAACUUUUUUUUUAAAUAAACUCAUGUAAUACAUUGGUCUCACACCUAGUCAAUGGAAUAUAUCUAGAGAUUUUACAAUUUUCUUUAUAUAUAUCUAAAUCAUAAUCAUAUAUCUAAAUCAUAAUCAUAGCCAUUAGCCAAAUACAUGGGACCUUUGUCAUUUUAAUGGUACCCAACAAUUCACAAUACCAUCUACCUUUCUUUUCUUCUCUCAAACCACCAUUAUCACCCCAAAAUAGUCAUAGAUUUUAGGAGGAAAUAUUGAAACCAAGUAUUUCAUUAAUUCCAACAUAAUUCAAUUCUCUAUAAUUUUGCAACAAAUCAUGAGAAUUUCUCGGAUUUCAAAUCCAAUUCCCAUCAAAUCCUAUCAAAUCCACAAGGGAAAAUGACUUAUUAAGGUAACUAACUAUUUCAAUUGUUCAUAUAUAGGUAAUGUUCUUUUUUUUGUACACAUUAAGGUAACUAACUUGUUGUGUUUGUUCACAUUUAGGUAAUAUGACCGGCUAUCACCUGUUUUUGCUUAUGUGGCAUCCACCUGGCAUUUGACUUGAAUUCAUUGCACCUACGUGGCAUGGUGCAUAUAUGGGAAAAUGACUUAUUAAGGUAACUAACUAUUUCAGUUGUCCAUAUAUAGGUAAUGUUCUUUUUUUUUGUACACAUUAAGGUAACUAACUUGUUCUGUUUGUUCAUAUUUAGGUAAUAUGACCGGCUAUCACCUGUUUUUGCUUAUGUGGCAUCCACCUGGCAUUUGACUUGAAUACGUUGCAUCUACGUGGCAUCCACCUGGCAUAUGACUUGUUUUGUUUCUUCUUCCUCAUCUUAUUCUUCAAAACGACAAGAUAAAUUUCAAGCUGAUCAUCUAUGUGAUUGUGGCUUACCAUCUCGUGUGAAGAUUUCAAGAACUCCUGACAACCCAGGAAUAAAAUUUAGAGUUUGUCAAAACUCGAUGGUAAAUCAAUAUUGUUGAAUAUGUUGCAGGAGUUCUUGAAAUCUUCACACAAGAAGGUAAACCGCAAUCACAUGGAUGAUCAGCUUGAAAUUCAUCUUAUCAUUUUGAAGAAUAAGAUGAGGAAGAAGAAGCCAUCGUCGAUCGAUCUAGGGUUUAGAAUUAGGGGUGGAAUCGUAUGACACAGUUAUAGUGUAAUCGAAUGAAGACAAUAUAUGCACCAUGCCACGUAGGUACAACGUAUUCAAGUCAUAUGCUAGGUGGAUGCCACAUAAGCAAAAACAGUUGAUAACCGGUCAUAUUACCUAAAUAUGAACAAACAGAACAAGUUAGUUACCUUAAUGUGUACAAAAAAAAGAACAUUACCUAUAUAUGGACAACUGAAAUAGUUAGUUACCUUAAUAAGUCAUUUUCCCAUAUAUGCACCAUGCCACGUAGGUGCAACGAAUUCAAGUCAAAUGCCAGGUGGAUGCCACAUAAGCAAAAACAGGUGAUAGCCGGUCAUAUUACCUAAAUGUGAACAAACACAACAAGUUAGUUACCUUAAUGUGUACAAAAAAAAGAACAUUACCUAUAUAUGGACAAUUGAAAUAGUUAAUUACCUUAAUAAGUCAUUUUCCCAAUCCACAAACCAAACAACAAAAAGAAUAUAUAUUUUAUACAUGUUUUAAAAAGGUUUUCUAAAGUAUUUGUCUUUAUCCAUUUUGGUCACGAGAAAAAUUGUACUUUAUGACCGAAGUUGAAUAGUUGGUUCUCCAAUUAAUUUCAAUGGAGCAUAGAAGGAUCAUAGACCUGAUGAAGUGAACAACGUUUCUUCAACCAAAACCCUCCAAUUUAUUUCUCGAAACAAUUUCUACUAUGGCGCAUCGAGAAUCGAUGAUGAUUAAACUCCUUCUAGGGUUUAUGCUACUGAGCUGCAUACAUCAUGAAUCCGCAAUUGGUAGGUUUGUAGUUGAAAAAAACAGCUUAACAGUUACUUCUCCUGAAUCCAUCAAAGGAAAUCACGACAGUGCCAUUGGCAACUUCGGAAUUCCUCAGUACGGCGGUAGUAUGGCCGGAACAGUCGAUUACCCGAAAGAAAACAAAAAAGGUUGUCGAAAGUUCGACGAAUUCGGGAUUUCUUUCAAAGCAAAUCCCGGCGCAUUGCCUAAAUUUGUUCUUCUCGAUCGUGGAGGUUUGUUGAUAAUUUAUUUAAGUUUGAAGAUCUUAGUUUAUGAUUUGUUUUUGGUGAUACGACAAAUACGAAUUUGGGAUUCAGCUAAUUUUAUAAUCAAGUGUCGCAAUCUAAAUCAUUUCAUUGUUUAUUUGAUUGAUUUCGUAAUCUCCUUCAAAUUUUUGUUUGUUAUCCAGAUUGUUUUUUUGCUUUGAAAGUAUGGAACGCCCAAAACGCUGGUGCAUCAGCUGUUCUUGUUGCAGACGACAUUGACGAACCACUAAUCACCAUGGAUAGACCUGAAGAAGAUGGUUCCUCUUCAAAAUACAUAGAAAACAUAACAAUCCCAUCAGCAUUAAUCUCCAAUAACUUCGGUGAAACCCUGAAAAAAGCAAUCAGUAACGGCGACAUGGUAAACCUAAAUCUUGAUUGGAGAGAAUCCGUUCCACAUCCAGAUGAUCGAGUCGAAUAUGAACUAUGGACAAAUAGCAACGAUGAAUGUGGAGUUAAAUGCGACAUGUUAAUGGAGUUUGUGAAGAGUUUCAAAGGGGCAGCACAAAUUCUUGAGAAGGGUGGAUAUUCCCUUUUUACCCCUCAUUAUAUAACAUGGUAUUGUCCUCAAGCGUUUACCAUUAGUAAACAGUGUAAAUCACAGUGUAUCAAUCAUGGAAGGUAUUGUGCACCUGAUCCUGAACAGGAUUUUAGCACAGGGUAUGAAGGAAAAGAUGUGGUUAUUGAAAAUUUGAGACAAUUGUGUGUGUUUAAAGUGGCAAAUGAGAGUAGAAAAGCAUGGAUUUGGUGGGAUUAUGUUACAGAUUUUCAAAUAAGGUGUCCCAUGAAAGAGAAGAAGUAUAAUAAAGAGUGUGCUGAUGAGGUCAUCAAAUCCCUAGGUAAAUCUUUAUUUCAAUAUCUGUUUAGGGUUUAGGGUUUAGGGUUUAUUCAUAGUAAUGUGUUUUUUUUUGUGUGUGAAUGUGUAGGACUUGAUUUGGGAAAGAUUGAGAAAUGUAUGGGAGACCCUAAUGCGGAUUCUGAUAAUAUUGUCCUUAAAGAAGAACAAGAUGCUCAAGUAUGUUUUUUUUAAUAUAUAUUUUUAGACAUUAAUAUAAUGUUCUUUUGAGCAUUGAUUGGUUUUGGGAAUAUAAUUAAUGGAGUACUAUGGAAUUUUCAGAUUGGGAAGGGGUCAAGAGGUGAUGUGACCAUAUUGCCCACACUUGUGGUUAAUAAUAGACAAUACCGAGGUUAGUUUUUACAUUUACUGAUGGAAUGGAAUAGAAUGAAGGAAUGGAAUCAACCAUUCCAUUCCAUUACUUACAUUACUCAAUCUUUGUUCACAGGAAAGUUAGAAAAAGGUGCUGUUUUGAAGGCCAUUUGCUCUGGUUUUGAAGAAACAACCGAGCCUGCUGUUUGUCUUAGUGAUGGUAAAACCCUAAAUCUAUAAUCUUCAUUUUUAUUUUAUUUUAUUUUUUAAAAUAUUCAAGAAUUCUUAUUUACUAAAAAAUAUAUAUAUAAAAAGGUGUGGAAACAAACGAGUGCUUGGAGAAUAAUGGUGGUUGCUGGCAUGAUAAAUCCGCCAAUGUCACUGCAUGCAAGGUACCCUUUUUUUUUUAUAUAUCUCAUAACUCACAAAUUUAUAAAAAAAAAAAAUCUUAUAUAUUUUUAUAAAUUUUAUACAGGAUACAUUUCGUGGGAGAGUUUGUGAGUGUCCUUUGGUUGAUGGAGUACAAUUCAAAGGAGAUGGGUAUACCUCAUGUGUAGGUAUUAUACUAAUACUUUCACUUUUUGAGUCAAGAAUAUAAAAAUUAGUUUUCAAGGGUAUUUUGGUAAUUAAGUGUAUGUUUUUUUGUAGCAAGUGGGCCAGGGCAUUGUAAGAUCAAUAAUGGAGGAUGUUGGCAUGAAAGCCGAAAUGGUGAUUCAUUCUCAGCUUGUCUGGUUUGUGCUCUCUUUUGCUUUAGACUUUUUGGUAUGAAUAUGAUGGAAUGGAAUCACAAAAGUAUGGAAUGGAAUCAUGGAUUCUUGUAACAGGAUAAUGAAAACGGGAAAUGUGCAUGUCCUUCUGGGUUUAAAGGCGAUGGUGUGAAAAGUUGUGAAGGUAAAUAAAUUUUAUAUUUUUGACAUAAUGAAAUGGUGGGAAGGGUUUUAGAAGGGUAAUUUGGUAAAUAAGAUGAAAUUAUGGAACACAGAUGUUGAUGAAUGUAAAGAGAAGAAAGCAUGUCAAUGUCCAGAAUGCAGUUGCAAGAAUACAUGGGGAAGCUAUGAGUGUAGUUGCAGUGGUGAUUUUCUUUAUUAUAAAGACCAUGAUACCUGCAUAAGUAUGUUUUUUUCAUUUUUUUUUAUUUUUUUUUCAGUAUUUAUUAUUAUUAUUAUUAUAAAAUGUAAAUGAUGAUUUGUUGCAGGUAAGACAGCUGGCAAAGGUAAAUCUUCAUGGGCUGCCAUGUGGAUUAUUUUCUUGAGCUUAGCAAUGGCUGCAGGUGGAGCAUAUCUCGUAUACAAGUAUAGAUGGAGGGUAAGUUGGUCUUUUCACCUUUUUCUUUUUCAAAAUGGUAAAAAAAAGUAUAUUGGUUUAAUCACUAAAUGACCAUUUUACCCUUACAUUAAGUCAUUUGUCCAUAUUAAGUAAAAAAGAAAUAAACCCUAAAUCGAUUAAAUGAUAAAUUAUGUUAUGUAUUGCCCUUUUUCUUGAAAUUAAAUGACAUUUAUCUCUCAUUUUUUCAGUCAUACAUGGAUUCAGAGAUCAGAGCUAUCAUGGCACAAUACAUGCCUCUUGACAACCAAAGUGGAGUGGUGAAUCAUGUAAACGAGAAUCAUGCGUGAAAAGACAUAAUUAUCCCUUGAAGAGUUUACACACAUCUUUAUAUAGACUAGUGUAGAACUGUAGAAAACUUGGUCUGUGUCCAAUUUGAAUUAGAUUUAGACACUUAGGGCUAUUUUCAAUGAUAAGGAUGACAAGGGCAUUCAUGUCUUUUGCACAUAUGACAGAGAUCAAAUGUGAGCCCUAGUUGUUUGUUCCUCGUUUAUCAAAAAAUGUUAAAAAUACCAAGUAAAACAACAUGAGAAUUGAGAAGAACAAAUUGACAAUAUUGCCUUUAUCAAGAAAUGUUCAACACUCUGUUUGCAACAAAUUAGCAAACAUUUUUUCAUACAAAAACUAAUUAAAGAAAAAGCUCAUGUCCAUAAACAUUUAAGACACCAUGUUCAUGAAAAAAAAAACCAUGAAGGUUGAACAUAGAAGCAUAUAUCUUGUUAUGGACUCAAAAAAUUGAAUAAAAAAAAAGCAAAAUAUAGAAUCAUGGAAUCAUGUAUUAUCUUGGUGAAGGAAGAGUUAUAUCAAGUCCAAUGUCCAUACCAUUGUACGCAAGAGGAGCAUACAUCCAUAGAUCAUCAGAGCUCAAAAGCUGCAAACAAACAUAACAUCAUUAGCUUCAAUCUUCAAUCUUCAAUCUCAAUUCAUGAUUUGAAAUUCCUUUUAAUAUUGUUGUUUGUGUUUGUUUAAUGUCUACUAACCUUGAUUUGGAGUUGCAAAAAUUUAACAUAUUGAACAGCUUCCUCAAGCAUCGUGCUUAUGUCAACCUUCAUUAACCAAAAAAACGAAAUAUUAAAACCUUUUUUUUUUUUCGUGAAAAUGUAGUAAAAAAAUAUAACUUAAAAAAAGAUAAUUUAAAAAACAAUUACGUACCUUUGUACCAUUAGGAACAAGACUCUGUAAUAUUCUCAACCUUUCAUUGAUUCUCUCUCUUCUUUUCUACAAAAGAUAAAAAGAAAUUACUUUGUCAGCAAAAAGGUAAUUCUUCUGAAUGACAUAAGAGCCCAAAACCCAGUAUCCAGAUAUCUGUAUUGGAACUGAAACUCCUACACUGUAACCAGCAUACCUUUGCGUAGACACUUUGACUAUCGGUUGCUGAGCCAUUACUUGCUCUUUUCUUGCCACUUGAAUUCGCCAUUGGAACCCCUUGUGGUCUUGGGCUUAAAUCUUGCAAUCUAUUCGAGUCAUCAUCUGAGUCAUUCAUGCUUGUAAACUUUGUCUUCUUCCAACCCAUUUGAACCUACAAAUCAUUAAAAAAAAAAAAAAAAAAAAAAAACUUCAUCAAAACCAAUUACAUUUUUAGAUUUAGUAAGUUGUAUAAACAAAAUUUGAUCUAUGUUAAACAUACAUCAUCGAAGCUAUAAGAGCGUUUCCUAGAACUUGGUGUCAUGUUAUCAAACUCAGUUGCUUCCUCUCCUUCCAUUUUUGAGAAAAAAGGAAUGACGGAAAUACCCCUUUUGUUGUUGCCACCUGAAGAGGAGAUUGAGAGGUAGCUUUCCCCGCUUGAAGUGGGAAAAAGAAGACUAUUGGUGUUUGCAUUGUCUGAAAUGGAUAUUGAAGCUUCGUAAUCAUCUUUCAUGGUGGAUUCAUGGUGUGAUUGUGACCAAAAUGCAGAAGAAGAGGAAGAAGAAUCUUCAAAGGUGGAAGUUUUAGGUGAUUUAGUUGAAAAGUUACCAAGUAAUUGUGCCAUGAAAUCAGCUUCUUCACUAACAUAUGUUCCACUAAAGUAGUUCCUUUCUCCUUCCAAAAGAGUAGACACAGAUUCCAUUUUUUUUUUUUUUGUAUAGUUGAAAAUAGAAAUAGAAAUGAAAGAAUAAAUGUUUGGAGUUAUCUGUCAAAUCACAAGUGUCAAGAGAAGCUAUUUAUGGAUGGGUUAUGUGUCAGUUGAUUGGUUUAGUUUGUUUAAUCACCAUAUUAUAUUCAUAUUAAAAUAGAAGAAUUUGAUUAUGUCAUAAACAAUCAUUAGAAUGUUUGUUUAGGUGCUAAUACAGCUAACGUGACCUUUCAUAGGGUUUGAAUCAGAUUAAUCAACAUGCUGACAGGGAUACGUGUCAGAAGGGGCAUCAUUGAGAAUUGAGAAGGGGAUAAUCGUCAAUUGUUUAUCUAAAAACUUCAUUCUUCAUUUCAAGACACAGAAGAGAUAUGAAGACAAAUGUGUAGCUACUAGAUUACACUUAUUGUCAUCUUAAAUUCCUGAAGCAAUGAUCAAAAUCUUCCUACAUUUGGCUAAUUGUUAGAUAAAAACCGAUAAAACUCAGAUUAUCUACCAAAUGAAUUUCUCAUUGCAACAUUUGAUCGAUUUAGUUCUUAAUUUUCCAAAUGAUUUAUAUUCCAAUACUCUGUAUAUGAUUAAAAUGUAGUUACAAAUAUGUGUUAACGAUUUUGAAACUGAAAGAGGUUAACUACAGAUUUCAAUGAUAACAACACAAUCAACUUGCAUAUUGAUGACGUACGACAGUCUUAUACUGAAACUAUAAAUUAAAUUUGACGAAGGCAAAGAGAGAUUUUCAAUGAGCUGUAGAGAUCUCUCAGGUUUUUUGUAUAAAAAAAAUAUCUGAAAAAAGAAGAAACUCGUAAUUGUUGGUGACGAAAGAAGAAAAACACACCAGUCACUGAAGAAGGAGGUGCGAAACCGCGUUCCGAGAUAUUCCCGGCGAUGUUGUCGCAUGUUGAAUAAGGAACAUAAAUAUAUUUCUUCUCCUUCUUCUUCUUCUACGUGUUCGUGUAGUGAUUUAGGUGAAGUCAUGGAGCAAAACCCUGGAUAGAUCUGGCAUUGAUAGUGAUGGAACUUAAUUGUUUAGGAAACAUAUGCCGGCCAUUUGCACGAUCUCCGAUUUUAAACUAAUAUUGCGAAGACGAAAGAGGCAUAAAUUAUAUACGAUAGAUUGAUUCUGAAUAUGAAGAACUCCAUUAAAGGGUUGUGAUUGCACGUUUUCGUGGGUUUUAGAGGAGAAAGCUUCCAUGGGAGUUGUUAGGAACUCUGCCAUUCUUUUUCUUUUGAAUAUUGGGGUGUUCGGGAUUACGUAUGAAUUCAACGCGAAUUUUAUAUUAUAAGGUAUUAAUUUAAUAUUAUAAUUUGUGAAUUUAGUUUUAAUAUGUGAAUUAAUUGAGUUAUUAUAUUGGCAUUAUUCAUACUCUCAUACUGGCAGUUAUUCUUUAAUUUAUAUAUUUCAAUCAUUAAAAUCGUUUACAUAUUGAUUAAUAAUUUUUAUUUAAGAUGUUUUUAGUUAAUGAACUUCUAUUUUUGUUCUUGAUAAUCCAAUCAAUUAUUGGUGUAAAAAUAUGCCCUCAAUCAAUGGUGGCCAUUUGAGGUUUAUUGGUGAUUUGUUAAUCCGUUUUUUUUUUUUUUUUGCAUAUUGUGAGCAAACAGAAAUGGAGAUAAUUUGUACACAACAAUUUUUCUCCAUACACAACAAUUGGUGUUUUAAAAUGUUAUAUUGUAUAAUUCUAUAAUGCAUAAAUUGUUGUGUAUGCUAAAAAACUUUUGUGUACGAAUCACUUCCCAACAGAAAUCUAUGAAUAAUGUUUUGGUUUUGGUUUUGUCCAACUAUGGAUCUCAAAGGGAAUGUAAUUGGAUAGGUUGACCUAAAAUGUCUCAUGAUCGAUCGAUGUUGGCUAUUUGAGUUUAAUUGAAGCAAGUGAAAGAAAUUGGGGUUGAAGCUUGGAAAUCGAAGAUGUUCUUGAUAUUUAGUUAGGUUUUGUAAUGUUUAGAUAUUUCUCUCAAAUACACCUAAAUUGUGUGUACAAAUCAAUUUUAUUAAAGGAUGUGAAAAUCAAGCUAUUUCUAGCCCCAAACAUCUCGCUAUAAAUGUGACUAUCUCCUCUUCUUCAAAAUGUUAACUACUUAUUGUCAAGAUCAUCUUUCGUUAUUACAUCGCUAUCCCAUCAUUUCGGUUAUUUGUCUUUCAAAGUGGGUUAUACUUAUGUUUCAUCUUUCAUUUUUAUUUUAUUUUUAUCUUUUAAUACAAAUAAUAAAAUAAAAAGAAGAGAAAAGAAAGCGAAAAAGAGUCCUGCAAUGAGACCAUUUUAUGGUCACACCGCAUUGGAUGUUGGAUAAGUAUAACACUCAUCCUCAAUGUUGAAUGUCAAAAUAAUAUGUUAGGCUGCAAAACAAAAUGAAGCAUACAUGGGUUAAACAUCUUUCAAAAAUAAUAUAUAAACGUACACAAUAUAGUAUAACACCAUUUCCUCUUUAAAACUUCUUUAAACUUUAUAAAAGGAAAACAUUGCAUAAUAAAUCAUACAUCGUAAUAAACUUAAGUCGAAAACAAACAAUGUAUAUAUAGUGAAUGUAGUGCAUAACAUGGACAUCCAUACCCAAAUCCAUGAGUAUUGUGCAACUCAAAAUAAUUGUAUGUCUCUUAAGAGACUCUAAAUGGUUAGCUCUAUGGCUACCCCAUGUUGGGGAGUUUUAAGUCAGUUGCUCAUCAUUUUCUUAAAUGAAAGAAAAUAUAAAUUAAAUGAUUAAUGGUGAAUUAGACCAACACCACAACCGCUCACACACAUCACACACACUCAAUUUAUUUUCCUUUUCUUUUAUAUGUCAUAUUCUAUGUUUUCAUUGAAUUUUGUAAUUUGGACAUCAAAUAUUAUCUAAAUAAAAUUAAUAAAAAAUAAUAAUUUUUGAAAAAAAAUGUUCUCUUUAAACAGAGCAUAAUAUCCAUAUAAUUCAUAUUUCAUGUUAAUUUUUUAUUUAUAAUAAAUAGUUGGUUUAAAUUGGGUUGUUAAUGGGGGUGAAAAUUUUAUUGGAUUGAGUUAUAUAGGUGAAAGAAAGAGAAAAUAUUUUUUUUAAUAGAAAAUAUGGAUUAACUUGGGUUGCUAAUGGGAAUAGUCUAAGGGAUUCAAGUAUAUGUCUUUUGUCUUUUAAAAGAAGCAGUGGUCCAUCUCCACGAAUUUAGUGGUUAAAUAGAGUUUGUUGUCAUAGCUAACACGACGCAGACCAAGUAAACAACUAAACAAGGCUCAAACAUCAUACACUAGGUAACAUGUGAACAAUCACACAUGUGCCACACGAUGGCUUUGCAAGAUCCAACAUGUGAAGGUCUUCUAGAAUGACACACAACUUUUUAUUGUUAUGUGGAUAUCCAAGUCUAUUUUUAAGUGUCCGGACCACACAAUCUCUUGAUUCAUACCCAACUAUAUCGAUGAAUGCAACAUAAAGCAUCUUAGAUAAUGUUAAAUCAUUUUAAAGAUGUCUCCGUUUUCAAAAUUUAUUCAAUUCUUUAGAAUGUUUACUUUUUAAAUGUACAAAUAGUUUAUAAAAUAACAAGUAAUACAUAUUAUAUCAUAUUACAAACACAAAAGGGAAAUUAAGACAUCAUAGAGGGAAUGUGCUCAAAAUACUUUGUAUUCAUCUAGGUAGCUUGUGCAUCAACUCUCUUUACCGUCUUAGUGUGUUCAUUGAUCACCUAUAAGCCAUAACAAUCAAGCACAAGACUUACUAAACUCUACAAGCAAAGCUACCCAAGAAUUAUGUAUAGGCUUUCAUCUUCUUGCUUCUAAUAAUGCCUCAUUAUACAACUGUUAGCUAGUGCUUUUGUUCUAAUACUAGUCAAUGGCUAAAGGCAUUUUUAAAUUUGUUUCUGAAGUUACAUAUCUUUCUGACUUUCUAUAUUUUUAUAUAAGUUUUAUAAGCACAAAAUGAAAAAGAAAGCUAAAAAAACAGAAAAAGUGGUUGUAAGUUGUAACAAUUAAAUGGAAUAAACAUAAAAGAAAGAGACCCUAACAUAUAAUGUGCAACUUUAACAAAACAGUAUUAUACUUCUAAUAUAUCUGUCCACAAAACAAACAAUGUGCAAGUGCAAUCAAUCCUUUCAUUUUUCAUAAUCAUCCAAAUUAUAAUAUCAUCCAUCAUGAGAUGAAACACAGACAACCAAAACCCUCUAAAAUUAUCCUCACUGUUCCUCCUCCUGGCCCACCACCUCUUCCCCAAACCCUCGUUGUGCAAUUCUGUAAUACAGAAUUCCCAUUGUCGCUAAACACGCCCUGCAUCCAAAUUAUAUUAUUAUAAUGAUUAUAAUUUAUAAAAAUUUAAAUGAAGAGAUCUAAUUAUUAUCUUACAUGAUUGCUAUAACCAGAAGUAUUUUUCUUGGAUCCAUCCUUGAAGGCCUAUGGUGGGGCCUAUGAGUCUGAGUCUCAUCUGUAUUUCCAUCUUUUCUAGGAGGUGCAGUCACUGGUAAAGUUGGCAAUGCACUUGACCAAAAUGGUAUCAAUGACCGAAGAAACUUAUGCCGAAAUGUCCCUACAAAUUACAAAAUUUUAUUUUUUGAUAUAGUGAAAAAGACUAAAAUGCCCUUGGUAUUUAAAAGAUCCAGCUUUCUCACCUCUCCUAGUGUACUUCUUCCGAUUAGCAUCUUCAUCAUCUGCAUAAUAAGAAACCUCAGAGUUUUGCCUUUCUACUUGUUGUGCACUCUUUCUUGUUGUAGCCCCAGGCUGCAUUAGAAUUGGAAUUGGAAUUGGAAUUGGAUUCUUAAAGAUGGAAAUGGAAAGCUUAAGAUAAAGUACUUACAACAACAGAAGUUGGGCUUCUUGAGUGAUUUGCUGAAUUGGGAACAUCAAUCUCCACAAUGUCUAUGCUUGAAGGUUUAGAAGAAGAAGAAGAACCAUUCACAGAGGAGGGAUCUUUUGUCAAAGGCUCUGAGGAUAUAGCAGGAAUUGGGAAUGAAACUGGAUUGUUUCCAAACACAUUCUUCUCCAUUCCAGUCUGCAUAACAUAACAAGAUCAAUACUUAUGUGAAGAAGAAUAUCUUGAAAAAAGAAAAAACCAAACAUAUACUUCUUGUGAAAUUGGAUUACCUGAAUAAUUGCUUCCUUCAACUGUGAAUGUAAACGUGACCCUGAAUCUUUGAUGCUUUUAGGAGGCCAUAUCUGCGAAGAAAGUGUAAUAGUUGGUGAUUAGUAAAAUAUAGACAGGUAAUAGUAAUGGUAAUGCAGUAUACAAGUAUACAAGUAGAGCUUACUGAAGUUGAACAUUGAGGACAAACAUAUCCAGCCGGAGCAGUGUGUGGAGGGUAGCUUUUAAUAUUUGAAACUAAGCAACUAGUGUGUAUGAUAUCUGAGAAAAAGAAAGAAAUUACAUAAGAUGGAGUAAUUUCAACAUUUUAUGAAACUAAAAAAACAAAAUGAUGCAGUUUUCUUGAGUGUAGAAUAGCAUACGCAGGCAUCCCAGACGUGUAGUUUGAGAGCCACCACCUUCUUCAAGCACAGCUUGACAAUGGCAGCACUUUGUGGGCCAGUCAUACUCUCCAUCAAUUACCCAUUCUGAGUAUGUACGAACCUAAGAAAUCAACUAAAUGGUCUCAAAUGAUAUCUAUGAAAAGGUGAUCAUCUUGAUAGAUAGAAACAACUGCUAUGUAGGAGAUAUUACAACGUACCACACAAAUUUGGUGCUCUGGAAAACAGAUGCAUUCUCCACAAACUGGAACCUUGUGCACGAAGCAGUACAAUUUAGUUGCCUGUGAGCAACAAAUCCGGUUUGGUUAGUGCUCGAGUUUAACAAUAAACAUGAUAAAUUACACUCAGCAUACUCCCGUCGUCAACUGAGGUCAACUUUCAUGGUGAAUCGAACAAAGUUACUUGAUCGAGUAUUUAGAUCUAAAAGGAUUACACACUCUUCUAGAAGAAAUAAAUCUAUGCGAAUUGGGAUCUAAGAUCCCAGAUUCGCAGCAAUGGCGACACAAAUUUGUUAGCUCGAUCUGAUCUGAGAGCUCUAAUCAUUAGUGAGCAUGUUCGACGAAUUCAAUUGCCCAAAUUAAAACCUAGCAUUAGGUAUAUAAACCUAUAAAUUACGUUGAGAUAAAAGAGGAAGAAAUUAGCACAUACCUUUCGGCACUUGCAGACCACCAUCGCAUUAACUAUAAGUUGUUUACAGCUGAAAACCUAAAAUUGAAACAUCAAUUUUAGUAUUGAGUAUGAUUUCGAUUUGAAUAGACGCAAACUUUCUUAAUACGGUAUGGUUUUCGGUGGAGUAUUUUAGGGUUUUAAGUAGAUAAAAAUUGAAGAUCCGUGCAAGAGAUCUUUAAAAAAGGAUGAUGAGGAGAUCAAUUAGAGAUGUUGAAUAGUAUAUCUGGUGCUUUGAUUCAAUGUUCUAAGGAUUUGGAUUUCUGAGAUGAUCUUUCAUGAUCAGAAGUAAUUCGGUUCUCAGGGUAGCGUUAAUAUCAGAGAUGGGUUUCGGUUUGCGACACGGAGGAAAUAAUAGUGUGCGACUUGGCGCACCACGCACCUGGAUCUUGGAACACUUUUUAGUUGGGUCAUUGGCUCGGAAUUUUAUAUGUUUUAAAAUAAUUAUUAAUUAUGUAGGUUUCUUUUAAUUUUUUUUAUAAAUAAAAUUAUGAAUUAAGUCUCUCGUUGUCUCACUUUAUAUGACUCGACAGGGCUUUAGAGAAUAAUAGGUUGUAAUUAGAGAUGGCAACCGGGGCGGGUUUUACAGGGGACCCCAAUCCCUAUUCUCAUCCCCGAAUCCUCAUUUCAAUCCUCAUUCCCAUCCCCACCGGGGAAUAUAAAUAAACCCCCAUCUCCACCCCCAACGGGGAAUCGGGGAUUUCUUUUUCUCUUUUAAUAUGAAAAAAUUUAUGUAAAGAAAACAUCUAAAUUUCAAUUUUACCAGCAUAAGUUUAAAGAUUUUACAAAAUAUAAAAAAAUAUAUAGAUUGCAUAAAAAAUAUAAAUAAAUUUUCUACCAUAUUUAAAUAUAUACAUGAGAAAUCAAGUAGAAAAAAUUAUCAGAGUGAUAUUUGAGGUAAAAUAAAUGAACAAAAUACAAAAAAAAAAAAAUCAUACAUGAGUUUAAGUAAGAUAAAAAGAAAAACAAAGUAUAAUUUCAACCAAAAAUUACUAAUGAGUUAGGUUACUUGGAUAAAAUUCUAUGUAUUGUAAAUUGUACUAUAAAUAUAUGUUUUGUAUUACUUUUAUAUAUUAAUAUAUAUCGGGGGCGGGUCCAGGGUCGGGGAUUAGGGGUGUCCCCAUCCCCAUCCCCCUCCCCACUUUUUUUAUUCGGGGAUUCCCCAUCCCCGGUCAACUUGGGGAUUCCCCGGUCAAAACGGGUGCGGGUUUCGGGUUCCCCAUCGGGUAUGGGGCUUUUUGCCAUCCCUAGUUGUAAUUAUAUCAUAUGCUAUUCUAACAUUCAAAUUUUCAAGUCAAAUUUUUUUUAUUUUUAAAUCCACAUAAAAUCAGUUUUCAUUAAAAUCAUCCCAGAAUAGUCAUAAUGUCAAAUAUAAUUUCACAUCAAAAUAUCAGAGUGUCCCAAAAUAUUCAGUAACAAAAUCUCCAAACGAAUGUGUACAAUCAAGUGUUCGUUUUUUCGCGAUCCUUAGAAGUACCUAAAACACAUUAAUCAACAACUGUAAGCACAAAGCUUAGUGAAUUCCUCAAGAUAUCACAUACAACACACCACAUACGACAACUAUGGGUUAUCAGCAACCCUGGAGACUACUCGAAGUUUCAACACAUAUAAACAACACAUACACAAUAAUAGCACUUAAACCCAGNUCUGUGUGUGUAUAUAUAUAUAUAUAUAUAUAUAUAUAUAUAUAUAUAUAUUCAACCCUACAGGUAAGAAUAAGUGAGAAAAUUCACUUGAACUAAUAAUUGAUAGAAUUCACACCUGAACUGCCGAAACUAGACUCCGCCUAAUUAAAUACAUCAAUUAACCCUAAUUAAUAAUUAAAGUAUUUUCACACACACUACUAAGCCCAAGUCAAGUCUAGUCCACACUUAGAGUAAAAGACCAUUUUAUCAUUCACAAAUCCCUCGCCGUCCACCUAAUACUCAAUUGUUCAAAUUCCACAAAAGUCAACAAAGUCAACUUGGGCAGUAUGUUCGGCGUACAUGACUCUAUGUUGGGCGUAGAGUGCAUCACCAAAAAACGGACUCACAUAAGGUUAUGCGGGGCGUCGCCAAGCGUACAUGCAACGUGCGCACGUUGUUCUCAUAUUCUGCAUGCAAACGUCUUAAUCUAUAAAGACAUCCAUUCCAAACACAUAUAUGGCUCCUAAAGAAUGUCUUAAUCCAUAAAGUCUCCAACUUUAUGCCUCUGCAUGGCUACAAGGAGCUAAACCCCAAAACCCAUAACUUUUACUUCAUAAAAAACCCCCACAACUCUUGCAUGGAAGAAAGGAAAUGGCCAAGAUAGCAUUUUUAGGACUCAAGACAUCUUAGAAUGCCUGAAAGGACGACUUAAUAGCUCUGGAGUACUCAAUACUCACAAAGAUCCAAGCUUUGGGAUAAAAAAACCAAAAUGAAGACUAACCAAGAUCUAUUUAAAUAAGAUCCAAGUUUCAAACUUUAUACCUUGAAAAGGUGCACAAGAGAAUGAUCUUCCUAGCACCAAAUACUCAAGAUUCACUUUCCAAGCUUCAAAUCUCUCAUACGCAAGCUAGGGUUUCGUCCUAGGGUUUUGAGGGAGUGGAGGUUGGAUGAGAGAAUGUCCAAAUGAGGGAUAAGAUGAAUAAAUAGGGGUCACACCCUGAAAUUUAGGGUUUGGAAACAACAUGAGUAUGCCCAUGUACGCCCAACGUACUCACACUAUGUAACGCCCGUAGAUCCGGGUUAGUCAAUUUAGAGGCAAUAGGGGUCGAAAACGACUUUUCGACAAAAGAUUAUUUAGAAUAAAUAAUCUUAACCAAGUUGUAGAAUAUGUCACAAGGUUUCCAUACAUAUAAAGAACGCCGAAAUCCGAGUUAUAACGAAGAAGUUAUGACCCGUCGAAGUUUCGCGACCGAACCGACACGAUACCGGGAAGCGUAAAUAGUGAAUUUACGAUAGAGCGGGAUUUAGCCUUAGCGAUCUAAAUGAAAGUCAUAGAAUAUGUUAAACUAAGAACAUCGAUAAAAAGAACACCCAAAUCUGACUUCGUAUGAAGAAGUUAUGAUUUUUCAAAGUUUCGGACUAGCAGUGUACAGCCCGAAAUUCGAAUAUCAGAUCGAGCGGUUUUUAGCCGACACGACCUGAACGAGAAUCGAAGAUCUCGUUAAGAGUAGCGUAACAAGAAAAAGAUGGGCGAAAACGGAUGUCGGAUGAAGAAGUUAUGAGGAUUUAACGGACCAAUCCUGUCCCGGCCCGUUAAUAAUAUAAAAUUUAAAAUCGAGCCAAAAUUAGCCGACAGAGUCUAAACGAAAGUUGUAGAGUACGUUCCCACCUUCGCGUGGAUAUAAAGAACGUCGAAAACGGAGCUCGUAUGCGAAAGUUAUGAUUUUUAGAAGUCGAGAAUGCAAUUUGCGAAGGCUGAUAAGGAGCUGAUGACGUGGCGCAUUGUGGGCCGUCCAUCGCUGAUCAGAUCUCGCUUCGGAUGAAGAACACGUCGCUCUUCGCAUACGCCCCGCGUCCGAGGUCAGUACGCCCCGCGUACCCUCGCCUUAUCUCUUCCGAUGUUGCGAGCCAGCUGGUGCGAAGCUGGCACCCUUAUCCGAGACUACGCCCAGCGUAGCUGCUGGACGCGCCGCGUAGUCCGAGGCUGCUGGGGCUAUAAAUAGCAUGCGAGCCAUUCCGAGUUUUUCACUCCAAAUCCACUUCUUUCUCUCACUAGUUUCUCUCUCUAGCUCAUCUAAACCCCCCUAAACCCUAGUUAAACCCCUUAGCACCCUAGGGAAGCCCCGAGGCUCCCGGAGUCCCGAGAAAAAGGAGUUUUUCGGUUUCGAAACGCUGCUCCAAUUAAGUCCCGGUUUUCGAUAAAAUUCGCUGUAAGUGUGCUACGCUUACGCAAUUUUUAAUAUAGCUUUCAAAUAAUUAUAGGAAUGUUAUUAGGUCCUUAAAAUAAUUAUUUGGGCUAUUAUUAUGAGUUAUAUUGAGCGUUAUUAACGCUUAAUAAUAGUCAGACUAAUUAAUUUGUCGCGGUUAUCGUUAGACUAAACCCUAGUGGUAUUGGUACUAGGUUUUAUCGAAGGAAUAUCGUUUUGAGAGUAUCGAAGCGCUGUCCGAGUGCUGAGUCACCACCUACUCAGGUGAGUGCAUAGUCCCUUUCAUCUUACACAUAGAUAUGAAGUAUUUUAUAUAAACUACGUGCUAUGUGUGCAUAUUAUCUGAAUACUUGCUGUCUAUGCUGGAUGAACGUUUUAUACAUGUUUUAAAGGAUUUAAACUGUAUACGUAUUUUAUAUAUACGAAUAUGUUGGGUAUGAGAUGGGUAGAUGAAUGAUGAGAGAUAGAAGAUGACGUGAGUAUACAUUGGCAGCUAUAGACUUAGUGCCUAUGGGACAAACACCGGUAGCUAUGGACUUAGUACCUGUUAGACGUUGGUAGCUAUGGAUUUAGUACCUGUUAGGAAUUGGUAGCUAUGGACUUAGUACCUAUUAGUUAGACGCUGGUAGCUAUGGAUUUAGUACCUGUUAGGAAUUGGUAGCUAUGGACUUAGUACCUAUUGAACACUGGUAGCUAUGGAUUUAGUACCCGAUGAGUAGGAUAUAACAGCUAUGGAUUUAGUGCUUUACGAACGAACAUCGGCAGCUAUGGAUUUAGUGCCAAUCCUAUAACCCUGGAAGUAAGGGACUUCGGAAUAAAUGAAUGCAGGAUAGAUGACUCUUAGGUUAAAUCCUUAAGAGUAAAGAAGAUAAUGGGGAUGAGUAAUUGGGUUAAUUGUUUGAUGAUUGAACAUAAUAAUUAUAUUAUUGUGGGUUGAAAACCCUAUGUACUCACCAGGUUUCCCAACCUGACCCACUCAGUUUAUUUAUAUCACAGGUGACGAUAUGAAGUGACAUUACACUGAGAGAUUUAAAGAGAUGUAGAUUACUAGUGUAAAUAAUUGUAAGUUCUGUUUAUGCUUAUGUUUCUGUAUUAACGAUGACAUCCCAAACGUUUUAAAAUGAAAUAAAUACGUUUCUUCGAAAAUGUUUUAAUAACGUGUUUACCAUGUUUUUCUGGGAACAAAUUCCGCAAUUUUUUUAUGAAAUGAAGUACUCUGAUUUUUAUAAAGCAUAAACAAAAUCGGUCUUUUCUGGCUGUGAAAAUUGGGGAUGUCACACACUAUGACUUCGUCCCAAAUUGUUUGACUUACGCUUGAUGUUUCCCUAGUACGCCCAGUGUACGGACUUAAUAUGAAAAAUAAAAAAAAAAUACAAGGGCUGAAAUGAAAAAUACUUGUAACGGGUGUUACAAGUAUGCAUGGGGAUUAUUUCAUACCUUGGUGUAUCGCAUGAUGUAACACCCCAAAAUCUCAAUAAAAAAAUUCAUUUUUAAUUAAGAAAUUCAUUUCCAUAAGUUAUAAAAUUCCAAUCACAAUUGUUUUCAAAAUUCAUAACAUCAGAUAAAUUAUUCAUAAAAUCAAAGUGUCCCCAAACAAAACGCCAGAGAUUGCAUGUCGUGCCAUCACGCCGGGCCCUUGCCCUUAGAUCUUGAAGUACCUUAAACAACCAACAAACUGUAAGUUAAUGUUUGGUGAGUUCCCCAGAGCAUACCCCACAUAAACCACAUAAUCAUAAAAUCCAUAUCAAUCAUAUAAGCUACAUAAGUCAUUCCUACAAACAUAUAAGGAUGCCUUGGAAACCCUCCAGGGUCUUACUCCGGGUGUCAUGGGAACCCCCACAUGGUCUUAGCCGAAUGCCUCGGGAACCCCCCGAGGUAUUGACCAAGGAUGUCAUGGAAACCCUCCAAGGUCUUACACCCUAGUGCCUCGGGAACCCCCCGAGGUCUUUUACUUAGGAUGCCAAGGAAACCCUCCAAGGUCUUACACCCAAGUGCCUCAGGACCCCCCCGAGGACUUUCAUGCAAGUAUUAUAAAACNCCGAGGUCUUUCAUGCAAGUAUCACAAAACAACUAACAUACCACAUAGCAUAUAACCAACUAGUAUACCACAUAUCAUUACAUUAACUAGUGUGCCACAUAUCACAAAAUGGGUCGGGCUUGGUGCCUUCAACCCAUUGGUAUGGUGAGGAGACUCACCUCUGUCUCCUGAACUCGAAAGUUGCUCACCUGACAGUCCGAAACCACCCGUGCUUAACAAUAAUGCCAUUAAACCAAAAUUAGGAUUAAGUAAAAUCUAAUUAAAGAGCCCAAUUACCUAAGCCCAAAUCCUUCCAUAAUGGUCCAAGAGUCUUUCAUUUGCUAAUGGGCCCAAAGUCCAUGUCCAAAGCUAUUAAUGGGCCACAUGGCCUAAUAAGGCUCAACCAAAACAAUCAUGGCCCAAAAUAGAUUAAUUGGGCCACUAACCCCAAAAUAUGACCAGACACGAAGCCCAAAACCCAAUGGGGUGCGUACGCCCAGCGUACCACUCCAAUACGCUCAACGUACUAGUGCCUUAGUCAGUACGCGCUGCGUACAUGCCACUACGCGCGGCGUACAAGUUGGACAUGCACAAAUGACCAUUAAGCUCUUAAUGCUUGGAAUAUUGAUGUGAAGAUUUAGAUCUGAGUCCAUUAAUAUGUUCUAAGGCAUAAAGUUGGCAACGUUAUUCCCUUGCAUGCUCCAUAUGUUCUCAACAACCCCUUAUAACCCAUUAAGACCUUUCCACGGGUCUUAACUCUUGCAUGAGAUCAAAACACCCAUCAAUACUGCAUUUUUAUGGUAUGAAUGAACUAAGGGACCUCAGAUCUACUCUUCCUAUGUAACUUCCCAAAAAUCAUGACCAAAUAUUUCUUUUAAAAACAUUAUUGUCCCAUAAAUAUUAAAACAUUUCAAUCAUACUAAAAGGAUUUUAUAACGAAUCAGAGUAUCUUUUCAAAACACUUGUCCAUUUUAUCAGAGUAAACAUCCCAGACUAAAUAAUAAUGGUGUGUGCCAUGCGAUCACCCCGAGCUCUUCCCUCCGCUACCGGAAAUACCUGAAACCAAAGCUGAAAACCGUAAGCACGAAGCUUAGUGAGUUCCCUAAUCUACCACAUACCAUACUCAAUCACAUACUACAAACACUAGGCCUCUCCCGCUACAUCGGGCCCUGCCCGACUCCGAACGAAUCAGGCAUCAAGCCCCGCCUAGCUUCGAGCCCCGCUUGGUAUACAGAUCUGUCUCCCUUAGGCCCCGCCUGUUUUCGGGCCUCGCCCGCUACAUGCAUACAUACAAUCGAAUAGCAUACUAGAAGUCUAUAACAUACAUAAACGUACUCUAACUGUACCCUGAUCUAAGGCCUCGCCUAACUUAGGCCCCGCCCCUGGUUUGCUACUGAAUUAGUGGAACCCCGUCCAUAUUCCUACUAGUAGUGAGAUACGGGCCCCCUCCCAUACCCACAUCCUUCUUAUCACGGGCCUCGCCCCUACUCUGCUAAUAUCGAGACAUGGAACCCCAUCCAUACUCAGCUAGUGAUGAGAUACAGGACCUCCCCCACACUCACCUCCCUACCAGGCACAUACUAGUAUCACAGAGACACAAGUAUAAUCGAACAUACAACAUAAGAAUCUUCCUCGGGAUUUCCCCGACAUCGGACCCUCGGUCCGGAACCUAUCGUACCGACACAUGCAAGAAUCACAAAGACCUAUAGCAUCCUAACCUUCCUCGAGCCUCGCCCGGCAUCGGGUCGUAACCCGGAACAUAUAACCAUAAGUGCCUAGGGCUAACCCCCCAGGUCUUCAUUCUAUACAUAAACAUAAACAUGAACAUAAUCAUAAUGGGCCGGCAUUGUGGCGGUAGACCCAUGCACACAGUGAGGAGCCUCACCUCGCACUGCUGAAAACUCGCUGAACACUUCUGACUGCCAACCGGNUGACCCUUCGGCUUCCCGAACUAUCAAUACCCAAAAUAACAUUUAGACCACAAUACUCCUAAAAGUCAACCUGGUCAAACUUGGUCAAAGUCAACGGUCAAAGUCAACCUCCAGUUGACUUGACUCGUCGAGUUGGUCUACCAACUCAUCGAGUCCAUACUCCUCCAACCCCAUACAACCUCGACUCCACUCGUCGAGUCUAGCAAGAACUCGAUGGGUUCUCCUUCAACCAUACAAUCAGGACCAUCUUCAUCCGACUCGCCGAGUUCGACCUUGAACUCGUCGAGUUCAUCAUCCACGUAAGAAUGUGUCUAGGUUGUGACUCUCCGAGUUGUAUGAAAAACUUGUGGAGUCCAUCUUCAUAGAAUAAGGAAAUUUCCUUAAACUCGUUGAGUACGAUGAACCUCAUGACCAUUAUGGACUUAGACUGGCCGAGUCCCUAACCACUCAACUCAUACCCUUUAACAGAAGGGUUUUGGGGCAAUAACUGGCCUGACUCGCCGAGUCCCACAAGUGACUCGUUGAGUCUCUCUAUUUCCAACUCUAUUCAAAUGAUUUCAAACAAGCUCAAGGCAUCCAAGAUCCAGAUCUAGCCUCCUAGGGUCAAGAUAUCACACAAAGCCAUUACCUUUGCACCCAUACAUGGCCCUUUUUGCUCAAAAGGCCAAAACAACUCCUUAAACUUAAAGAUAGAAAUUGUGAUAUUUGCAUUCUAAAAUUCAAUUCUGAUUACACCAUCCUUUUUCGUAAUUCAAAUUGUGAGCAAAGGCAAAGGUCUAAACAUUUGAUACUAUGAUUACGGUAUCCCUUUUCAUAGUUCUAAAAUUAUUUAGACACACAUGUGAGCUAUCUAAGGAAAGGUGUAUGAUUUUGGGAAGCUUAGAUAAAGUAUUAUCAAAGCAUCUCGUAUCAUAAAUCUGAACUUUGGUAAGAAAUUCAAUAAAAUAUUGAUUUCUAGAAUUCCACCUGAUUUUUGGAUACAUGUCAAAGCUAGUGGGAGCAUAAGUGUUAUGUUAAUAAGGAUAUAAUUAUCAUGUUAGUGGGAGCAUGAUUAUUAUGUUAAGUUUUGCAAGUUAGCAAUGUUAAUUAUAGAAAACAAAAGGGUCAAUUUGCAAAGUUUCAGGGUUUGAAAAGUUGUUUUGCUAUAAUUAAGGGAGAGGAAAUUAUACUUCAUCCCAAUUCUAAAAGCUUGGAUUGAGAUUUUAAUCAAAGUUAGUCAGGUAUAUAUAUGAAUGUUAUGUUGGAAUGGUUCAUGAUAAGGAAAUUAUGUAUAUAGAAAUGUUAAUUGCGUUCUCAAAAUUCGAUUAUGAUUACGACAUCCCUCUCCAUAGUCCGAAUUGUGAGAACAUGGCAAAUAUAAACAUUAUAACAAGUAUCAUGUCUUUAUGUGAGACAUUAUGAAUCGUAUCCCAUAUGCUUCGGGUAUUGGAUCGAUUGCAUAUGCUAUAAUAUUUCUAUGUGUUCUGAAUUUUCCAAAUGCCUAUGGCAUUAAGAGGGAAAAGGGACCAGAACUGUAUAUGACUAAAAUGAUUAAGCAGUUGUCGAGGACAAUCUGAUGUAUACCAAAGAUUGGUUAAUCAUGGAUAGUUGGAAGUAUAGUGUAAUUUUGGAAGGACCAUAUAGACAUAUUUUGAAAAGAGGCAACUCUUGUUCAUAAGUGAUAGUCAAAAUGGGAAUAUGGAAAUGUUUCCAUGGGUGGAAGUUAUACCUUAAAUAUGUGUAAGAUUAGAAAACUUAAUGCAAGAAGGAUGUUCAAAGGAAUGUACUUUGAAUAUGAGACUUCUUUUCCAUGGAAUUUCUCUCCAUUGGAAUACUUUGUAAUGUUUGUUGCCAAGUCAUUGUGACUUUUGUGCAUGGUCAUUACAAGACGAUCAUUGCAUAUAAGUUUAGAAUCUAACAGAUUUCAGUAAAUGGUAAAGAAUCUUGUAUUCUUACAUUUAUCAUAAGGAUUUGGAACUAUGAAAUAAGCAUCAUUGAAAUGUUUUCAAUUGAUCUAUUCCACAAAGAAAGGACCAUAGGUAAACAUAGUGUGCAUGCUUGGAGCAUGGCAUAACUAUUGUUUUAAUUCAAGUAUAAAGUUGAUUAUUCGAAACAUUAUACAAUGAAUAACGAGUAAUCAAUAUGACACUCAAAGUUUUGGGGCCAUAUAUGAUUAGUAUUAUUCUUGUGUUUCACUUUUCAUGUUUUGACUUCCGGAAUAACUAGGUUAUUCAAACCAUCAACAGUCGAUCAUACUUUGGAAGUAGGUAUUGAGGCAAGACUGUCAUGAAUGGGUCUGUAGUUUGUCUAGGUGUUUUAGACAUAGCUGCAGUAUUCAUUAGUGCUCCUGGAAUAAGAUUCGAGUAUUGGACUAAACCCAUGCUCAUUUGAAUCACAUCAUGGAUUUUACCACGAGUGAUCAUGAGAUGAUAAUAUCUUAUAUUCUUGAAAUAGAGAGAUAUGAGUUGCAGUCUACAAGUCGAUUGCACAUUGAUAAUGUGAAAACGCACCAAUAACUUGGUGUUAUAAAACACAUUGUUGUGCAUGAUUUGAUGAGUAGAUAGAGAAAGCAUAUGAGUCGAAUUUUAUCCAUUCCUUUUACCCUUGGAGAGGUAAGAGAGAUAUAUGUUGGCCCCUCGAUGAUUUAGUGAUGACAACCCUAAAUGCUUGGUCGGGCCUGGACUGAUUUGAUUUGUUCAAUUAGUCGGUCAUCAUAAAUCGGAAAUCGGGAAACAACAAAUGGACAAAGAGAAUGAUUAUAAUCCAUGUCUCAGUCCAUAUGAUAUCUAGAAUGAAGAAAUAUAUGAUCCCUUAUCUAAUGGACAUGUCAUUGACUAGAUCAAAGUUCGACAGCGGCUUUAAGAGCUACGAUUGCUAGUCAGGUUUUGGAGUCUUACUUGCAAUAAUAGUUUUAGACUUAUCCAAGUGGGGGACUAUUGGAUUAGAUGUCUAAGCCCAUAACUACUAUUGGUAUGUACUAGACCCGAGAGUAGCAUGGUCCAUUUGGGUUGCAUAACUCCAGGACAAUUUGUUAGGAUGGACACUCUUGAGAAAAUGUUAUAUAUGAUUUAUUAAUAUAUUAUAAGUUCUAAUAUAUUAAUAUGAAAUCAUAUGUUUAAUUAGUAUUGAUCAAGAAUUAAUUUAGUGAUCAAAAGAGACUAGUUAAAUCUAUGGGGACUAAUUAUGGUAAUUAGUUAUAUUUAUAUGUGUUGGGCUUAUGAUUCAUGUUUGACCAAGUUUAUGUAUAGACACAUAAAGAGUUGGCCCACAUGAACCAUGGAUCAUAGAACCCAUGGGCAUGGAUUUGGGUUAUACCCAUGACCCUUGGAAUCCUACAUAUGCUUCAUAACCUAAAAACACCUACUUGUAGUUCUUGGAGUUCUUGGAGGUGUUUUUGGUGCAUAAAGAUUCUCUCUCAAGAGCCACCUUUGUCCUAGGUGAGUUGUGAGCCAUUUGAGGCAUUCAUACUUUUAGUGUUAAGCUCUUAAGGCCAAAUACAACAAUGUUUCAAGCUACAUAAGAGGUAUGUCAUCCUAACUAGUAUUUCAUAUUAUUUAUGUCAAUUGCAUGGUAGUUAUAGGCUUAAUGCUUUAGAAAUAACAUUACAUGUAUAAUUAGAGAAAACAUAGAUCCAAGGCAUUUAGGGUUGUAUGUGCAUCAUAGGAUGUUGUAGUAUACAAAACCCAUCACCAUGAACACAAAUGGGACAAAUAAGCAAACCAUAGCUCAAUCUAAUGAAUAAUAUGGCAAGAUUAAAACUUUAUACCUCCAGAAGCUCCUCAAGGUGAACUAGAUGCAGGAUCUUGAAGCUCAAUUCCACACCAAGCUUGCUCACUAACUUCUUCUUCUUGAAUGAUCUCUAAAAUGGCCACAAAUACACUCUUUAAGCUCAAGAACACUCUCACAAGUAAAAUCUGAGGUAAAAGGGCGAAAUGAGGCUAUGGAGGUUGAUUAGGGUUUCGUCCAAGAGGCUUAAGGAUGUUUAAAUAGGUGUCAAGUCCGAGAAUUAGGGUUUUUCUCUUCUGCCGCGUACACCUCGCGUACGCGACCACCCUCCGCGAUCAUUCAUCCUUAGUACGCUAAACGUACUCCUAGAGUACGCCCCACAUACUAAGGGAAAAUUAUGCUAUAUUUUUCACUUCAAGGGUAUAAAUGGUAGUUACCUGAUUUUGAGUGUUACAACUCUCCCCCACUUGAACUAGACUUCAUCCUCGAAGUUCGCAGACGCAAAGAGAUAUGGGUAAUGCUCUCGCAUCUCAUCUUCCGGAUCCCAUGUCCAUUCGGAGCCUAUUCAGUUCUGCCAUUUCACCUACACUAGCUUCACCUCCCUGUUACGAAGAACCUUAGUUUUUCUAUCCAGAACCGCGGUGGUUUUCUCAAUGUAGUCCAAGCUCUCAUCUACUUGAAUGUUGUCCAGAGAUAUGUUUGCAGCCUUGUUAGUGACACACUUCCGAAGCUGGGUCACAUGGAAUGUGUUAUAAUAUGACUCAGGUCAUCCGGGAGGUCCAGUCGAUAAACAACCCUGUUGACUCAGGCAGAAAUCCUGAAUGGACCAAUAAAUUAGGGUCCCAACUUGCCCCUCUUUUGAAACCCAAUGACACCAUUCCAUGGUGACACUUUCAUCAAAACGAAAUCUCCCACCUGAAACUCGAGAUCUGAUCGGUGCCAGUCAGCAUAACUUUUUCUGACGGCUCUGUGCGACUCGCAAUCUGUCACGCACCUACUGAAUCAACUCGGUAGUCUUGAGCACCACUUCGGUGCUUCCCAUGACUCGAUGCCCUACCUCGCCCCAGCACACAAGAGUCCUAUACCUCCAACCGUACAACAUCUUAAAUGGGGGUCGGUCGAUACUAGCAUGAUAACUAUUGGUUCCUGUUACUUGGUAAGGGCCUUCCCAAUUGGGAUCUAGCUUCUUUUGGCCUUCUUGUUUGCUGGCCUCAUUUUUUAUUAGAACGAAAAUCACCAAUUUUAAAUUGGUUAUGUUUUACUUUGUUGUUAUGGUAUCAUUUUGUCAAUGUUUUAUAUCUAGCGUUCCUUAAAGAAGCCAACUCUCGUUGUUCUUCUAGUCAAUCAAGAUUGAGGCUUAGGUUUACGUCAUUUGUGGUUAGGUCAAAUUUAUUGACGCGAUAAGUUGGUAAGCCAAUCUCGGGUGGAAGAACAGCUUCUAAGCCAUAAACUAGGCUAAAGGGCGUGCAAUCGGUUCCAGUUCGAUAUGCCCAAAGAAAGUUUGACAAUUCUUCGAUCCAUUUUCCUUUAGCCUUAUCGAGUCUUGCUUUCAAGCCUUGUAAUAUGGUCCGAUUUGUUACCUCAGUUUGUCCAUUUGCCUGUGGGUGAGCAACAUACAUGAAAUUUUGCUUGAUUUAAGUUCUUCGCACAAUUAUCUAAAAGGGUUGUUGGAAAACUGCCUCUCGUUGUCGUUGAUGAUUAUUCAUGGAAUUCCGAAGCGACAAACAAUAUUGCGCCAAACGAACUGCAAUACCUUUUGACCGGUGAUUGUUGCUACCGGCUCAACUUCUACCCAUUUUGUAAAAUAGUCUAUGGAGACUAUCACUAUGUCGAUUCCUUAUUGGUAAAAGGGUCAUGGGCUUGAGAUGCUUGUUAGUUCACAUUGAGGUUGUCGUAUCGUUGGUGCAUGUUGCUGACAAUUCUGGCAUGUUUCCACAAUUCUUGUGGUAUUUUGAUACAUCAUAGGCCAAUAGUACCCAAGCCUUGAGACCUUUUGAACGAUGCUUCGAGCUCUUGCAUGUGUACCACAAGACCCGAAGUGUGCUUCACGUAAAACAUAGUUUGCCUGUUUGGGUCCAACGCAUCUUAACCACGGGCUCAAAUAUCCUUUUUCGAUAAAGCACACUCUGUUUGAUUGAAUAUUGGGGGGCUUUGAUCCUUAUUUUCCUUGCUUCCAUUUGGUCGUCUAGAAGGGUCCCAUCCAUCAGGUAGCGUACGAUCGGGUCCAUCCAUGACGGUCCUAUUUCCUCGACUGUAUUGACAAAUUUCACAUCUAUGCUCCUGCAUGGGAAAAUUUCGACCAGGACACUUUUCGUUAAGUGAGAGAAAGAUGAAGAUGAUAACUUACUUAAAGCAUCCGUACGUUUGUUUUUUGAACGCGGGAUCUGUGUUAUCGUGAAGUAUGUAACACUCUAUUUAUUUAUUUAUUAAAUAAAUAAUUUAAUAAGCAAAUAGUAGCCCUAAAAUAGAUAAUUAUAUGUCAAAGGUUGGUCUCGAGGAGUUAAUUGUCACACUCUAGGAGAUUGGGGGUUAAAAGUGUAAAUCCGGACUUAAUUUGUAAGUUUUAUGGAAGGAACGGACUAAAUGGAAAUUAAUAGGACUUCAUGGAAGAGAUUUUGGAGACGUAGGGGUUGUUUGGUAAAUCAGGUAUAAGAUUUGAAGGGGAUUUCCGAAGCUGGGGUAGAAAAGGUAAAAUUUGGGCUUAGUUUGAAAAGAUAUGAGAAGAGAGGGGCUAAUUGUGGCAUCAUGGAAAAAAUGUUUAAGGGUGUCGGGUAUAUAGGGAAUAAACCCUAACCCUAUUGACCAUUUUAUGCAGUCAACCUUAUACCUCCCUCCAGCCGCCAUCCUUACCUCCCCAUCUUUUAUUCCCGGCGUCGCCCACCCUUGCCACCGCUGUUAGCCGCCGUUGUCACCUAUCGGAGUAUUCUCAGUCGUUACUACCGUCUAACCCCCCUGAUGCUCCUCUUGCCGGUGAAGUCGAGGUUGAAUCCGUAGGUGCAACAUCUGUCAGCCAGUUGGGCGGUUGCGGUGUCACUGCCAUGGCAAAACGCUGUCUGCUACCGCCAUCCAUUGUCGCCGUGUUCUUCUUCUUCUACCUUCUUCUUUAUUUCUCCGGUGCUACGACCACCAGUCGUGUGUUACCGCCGCCAAUCUUCGGGCUUGUUUAUAUGGGAGUAUAUUUCUUAGCUGGGAACCAAAAGAACCACCGCCACCACCAGGAGGUGGUGGCUGCUAUGGAAAGAGGUUGAUAUCGUCGUCGUGCGCCAUCAGAAGGGUGACUGGAUGAUUGAAGAACGAAGCAUAGGUGGGUGUUGGGCUCGCCUAGCAAGCAAAACACGUAUGUAUGCAUGUUUUCGGUUAUAGUGUGUGUUGUGUGUUGGCCGGAAAACCGAGAACAACCACCACCACCACCGUGAGGUGGUGGCUGCCGCCAUGUGCCGCUUUUGUGUGUUUAUUUUGUUAUUGUGUGUUUAUUUUGAGCUUAGCAUUAUAAUGUGUAAAUUGCAAAUUGGAAUAAUGAAAGAAAUUGAAAACCACCACCUUAGGGUGGUGGCUGCCGCCACCGGCCGCCGUGUCGGGUGGCGGUGUGCUUUGCCUCAUGGUGUUGAUUCGUUUGGGGGGCUUGAAACCCUAAUGGCCCAAAGAAUCUCAAAUGGGCCCAAUGAAGCUUAAUGGACUCUAAUGGACCUAAUAAAACCCUUAUGGGCUUAAUAAUAUUUUAGUGGGUUUAAUAGGCCCAAUAAAGCCAUAAUUGAUCUAAAAGCCCAACAAAUUAAUAAAUGGGCUAGUAUUUGGGUUGGAAACCCUAAUUAGGGUUUGGAAAACCCUAAUGCCGUCAAAACCCUAAUUUUGGGGAAUUAAUCGAGACACGCGGGACUUAUGAAUAACUAGGAAUAUUAAAUAAUAAUCAUUGGCGGAAAUUAGUCUAAGCAAUAUUGGACUUAAUGGAUUAAGUCCUUAAUGGGUUAAGUAGGAAACUUAACCCUAAUCAUCAUUUUAUGUGAAACCCUAAUUUCACUUGGGUUUAUUGUUGGGCCUUUCUAUUGGGCCUUGAUGAUUAGAUUAUUAAAUGGGCUAUCUAAGAUCAAGGAAAUGGUCCAGAGUAAUUUAAUGGGCCUAGAGUAAGGCCCGUGUAAGGGGCUUGGGCCCAAUUUGGAAAAUUUGGCCAUAGAUGGGCCAUAGUUUGGGCCUUAAUGAUUAUAUGAUGUUGGGCCUUAGAAAGAGACCAUGUAUAGGCCUAGGCCCAAUUUGGAAAAUUGCGCCAUGUGUUGGGCUUUGAUUCCUAAUUGACUUUGGGCCUAUGGAUUGGGCCUUCAGCUUGAAUAAGCCAAGUUAGGGGUAAUGUAGUAAUUACCCAAAGAAUGUACUUAUGGUUAUGUAUUGGGACCCAAUUAUUAAUUGGUGUUAUUUUGGUGUUGACGGUUCGAGAAUCUGUCAGCCAGCAGCUGGGGUCGAGUCUACGGGACUUCAGCAAGUGUGGGAUUGUGUCUUCGGGACUUCAGUAGUGUGAGGUGAGUUACUUUCCAGUAGCGGUGGGUCUACGCCCACAAUGUCGGCCCACCAGUAGGACUUGUAUGUUAGAUGAUUGUCUUUGUGAUAUCAUCUAGGUUUGCUACUACUUGUUAUGUUAUAUUCUGGCAUGAUAUGUUAUAUGUGAUAGUAGUAGAGUUCGGUUGUUAGGACCGAAGGGUAGGUCAGACACCCCAGAUAUGUCUGACAGUAUGUGAUGAUAUGUUUAUAUGUUGGCAUGAUAUGUUAUAUGUGAUAGUGAUAGUAUGAGGGGAAUAGUCCCCAAGUUCGGUUGUUAAGACCGAAGGGUAGUUCGGACACCCUAGAUAUGUCUGAUAGUAUGUUUAUGUUAUGAUAUAUGUGAUAGUAGCAGUAGGGGUGGAAUAGUCCCCGAGGGUCGGUUGUUAGGACCAACGAGUAGGUUAGCACCCCAGAAUGGCUUGACACGGGUAGGUCAGCACCCCAUAAUGGAUUGACAUGGGUUGGUCGGCACCCCAGAAUGGUCGUACCGGGUAGGUCGGCACCCCAGAAUUGCCCGGCGGUAUGUAUGCUUUGUGAUUGUAUGGUAUGUGGUAUGAUGGGGGAACUUAAUAAGCUUCGUGCUUACGGUUUUCAUUUUUGGUUUCAGGUACUUCGUGNAGUAGGUUAGCACCCCAGAAUGGCUUGACACGGGUAGGUCAGCACCCCAUAAUGGAUUGACAUGGGUUGGUCGGCACCCCAGAAUGGUCGUACCGGGUAGGUCGGCACCCCAGAAUUGCCCGGCGGUAUGUAUGCUUUGUGAUUGUAUGGUAUGUGGUAUGAUGGGGGAACUUAAUAAGCUUCGUGCUUACGGUUUUCAUUUUUGGUUUCAGGUACUUCGUGUUUAAAGGAAAGGAGUCGGCUUGAUCGCAGCGCAUCACACUAUGUUUUCCGCACAUGAGAUCUUUGGGAUUACACUCUGAUAUGGUUCUAUGAUAAUAUGUUUUGAUUACUGACACUUUGGUUUGACACGAGAUAUUAUUAUGAAUAUUUUUACACUGAUGGUUUUAUGUAAUAACUUAUUUUAAAAAUGAACUUUUUGGCCUUGAAAAUUGGGAUGUCACAAGUUGGUAUCAAAGCCUUGGUUUGAGGGAUUCGGGCAUGCUCUCGAGUGUGUCUGAACUCAAACUAAGGACUUGGUAUGGAAAUUUUCAAAAGUAAAAUCAUUUUAUAAAAGAAGUUUGAAAAGAAUUUGAAAAGAGAACAGAACUUUGAAAAGAACAAGAUGUGUGAUGCGUGCAAUCGGUCGAGCUCAAGUAAGUUUUCCCCAAGAUACCCAUACAUGUGAUGUUAUGAUAUGAUAUAGUUAUGAGAAUUGCAUGCUAGAUUAGGGUUGAUGAUCUAGGAGGAUGCCUUAUAUGCCUAUUGUAUGUGCUUGUAGACUUGCAUGCUAGUACUGAUCAGUCGGUAAUAGGAUAGCCUGUUUAGGUUAUGCCUGAUUGUAUGAGCCUUUGAAUUGCAUGUACAGAUUCCUGAUUAUGGGAUAAAAUGAUUUGAUUGGAAUAUGAUGGUUAGAUUUUUCCAUUGUCUGAAUGUUGCUUGCUUUGUGCUUUGUGGGACUCUUAGUAAUGUGAGUUAACUAUUAAGUGAAUAUGCUAAGUCACAUGUGGCACCGGCUGGAUAAUCUCAGAGUGAUAGAUUUGACCCUAUUGCGCAGCUCUCGUUUGAGUCUAACCGUUACAGGGAUGAGUCUUAUACUUGAAGGAUUAUUUGAUCUCUGUUGCAUGUGGCUAUAUUAAUGAGGUAGCUAGUUGACAUUACUGGGAAUCUUUCAGCAGCUGAGGACUGGGUGAGUUCGGGAACCUAGGGAAGCCUAGGAUAUAUUUUAGUGAGUUAGUAGUGAGGCUCAGUUAGACUUGGGUGUACCAGUUGAGGAAGUGACUUGGAGGAUCCGGGAGGAUUGCUGAGGAAAGUAUGGAUAGGUUUGGAAGGUAGUAUUGGGCCCGUACUGCUGAAAGCACAGGAUUCAUACUCGAAUCGGUGAGAGUCUUGGAGAAUCUGAGAAGCUUCAGGGAAGAGUUUGUGACCCAUUUUGGGGACAGAGGAUGUUCCAGUUGUUGCAGCUUAGCCAUUGGCAAGUGAGUUAGUGAGCGUGGCAGGGUGUCAGACCCGGAGGGAUAUGAUUUCCAUGAAGUUGCAGAUGCGUGACUGAUUUGGAGCACUUUGAGAAGAGAGGUUCAUGCUAGGUGCGUAUAGUAAGGGUCCCGAGAAAAGACCCAUGAUUUCUGAUCAUCAGGUGAAAGGCCAGCAAGGCCGGAGUCAGUGCAGCACGUACAGGACAGUGCACAAGGGAGUUUGUCGCUCUAAGGGUUUAGGCUACUUCAGGGUAGCAGGGUCGCUCAUGUCAGCAGAAGGUGAUUAGUAUUCCUCCAGAUGUUGCGGGUAUGUCAUCUUCUAUUGCUACUAAAUGGAUGUUGAGGGAUACGUAUCGCGUUGGAGUUAUGAGUAAGUUUGGAUAAGUUAGAUCUCGGGUCGGUUUCCUGCUAGUGUUUGGGUUAUCAAGGAUCAUAUAUGCCAUCCCGCAUGUCGAAAAGUCCUUGAUGAACCCACAGAGGAAUGCAUCUUGCGGAGCGGGUUCAGCGUGUCCCGUCAUCAUUCCGGAUCUUUGCCGAGAUAUGUGCAGGAGUAUUGUUUGGAAGGUCCUCAGUCAAGGUUAGAGGGAUAGUUCUCCAGUGAAGUCAGCAUUCAGGGUUCUAUCAUGGUUCAGAUAUGCUCGGUAAUUGUCUAUGGAUGAAGUUUGGAGUUCAAGGCACUACCGUUGCUAGGAUAGAGCUGGUGACAUGAAAAGGGUAGUGUUAGUCACGGGUGUUAGAUGAACAAGUGGUUGGUCAUCGCAUGUUCAAGAGAAUUGUAUUUUCACAUUAGAUGUGUUCGGUUAGAGUUUAGUGGUACUGCGAGAUUGGAAGUGGGAACGAGGAUUCGUCAGCCAGGGUGAAGCUUGAGACUUUCAAUUGACAGCAUGGGAGAUGGAUUGAAGUGUUAGAUUGGACCAGAUUCCAAGAGUACUCUUCAGGAUUUCAGAGGAUGGGAAAUCUUAAGGUUUAAUCAGUGAUUAAACAUUAGCAUUGGUAGGCAAAGGUUGUCAUAUGUGGGAUACUAGAAAGCGAGAAGGAUUGAGAAUCCUUCAAUUCUCGCAUGCUGUGAAGGCUUAUUCGAAUCUAAGUGGGGGAGAGACUUUUUAUAAAGUCCUCCAAAUGUGAGUUCUGGUUGCACUGGGUGCAAUCUCUUGGGCACCUUGUUAACCAGAAGGGUAUUCUAGUCGAUUCGACCAAGAUAGAGGUCGUGAUGUAGUGGGAGAUUCCAAGGUAUCCAUCUGAGAUUCGGAGUUUCCCGGGUCUAGUAGGUUAUUACCGGAGACUUAUACGGGACUUCUCUGAGAUUGUGGUUCCUUUGACCCGACUGACCAAGAAGUCGGUGGCCUUUCGUUGGGGGCCUGAGUAGCAGGCAGCCUUUGAUACUCUCGGAAAGCGUUUGUGCGAGACACUUAUUCUCAUCAUGCCAGAGGGUAUAGAUGAUUUCGUGGGUUACUGUGACGCUUUGAUCAUGGGCAUGGGUGCGGUACUGAUGUAGUGGGGUCGCAUGAUAGCAGGUUUCAGGAACCAGGUUAGGGAUUCCAGUUAGAACUCAAGCUUAGUUGUGUGUUAGGUCAAGUGUGUGUUCGACCCAGUAUGGAAAGUGUUAUAAGACUACGGGGGUAGCCGUAGCAUUCACUAACAAACAAUUAGCGUGGUAGGUGUUGUAAGUCUACGGGUGCAGCCGUAGCAUUCACCAGGUUGGUAGAUACUGUGAGGAGUGUUGUAAGUCUGCGGGUGUAGCCGUAGCAUUCACUAGCAGUCAGUUAGCAUGGAAAGUGUUGUAAGACUACAGGGGGUAGCCGUAGCAUUCACUAGCGAUCAAAUAGUAUGGAAAGUGUUGUAAGACUACGGGGGUAGCCGUAGCAUUCACUAGCGAUCAGAUAGUAUGGAAAGUGUUGUAAGAAUACGGGGGUAGCCGUAGCAUUCACUAGCAAUCAGAUAGAUGGAAAGUGUUGUAAGACUACGGGGGUAGCUGUAGCAUUCACUAGCGGUCAGGUAGUAUGGAAAGUGGUGUAAGACUGCGGGGGUAGCCAUAGCAUUCACUAGCGGUCAUAUAGUGAUAGAGUGUUGUGAGACUGCGGGUGUAGCCGCAACAUUCACUAGGUUAGUAGAUAAGUGUGAGCGCAUUGUUAGGACGCAGAAGAAACAGUAGUACCCACCAGUUCGGGUGUAGCAGUAAGGAUAAGGAAAUCCACGGAUUGAAUUUCGGAAUUACCCAGAUGGAUUAGAUCUGGUUGAGCUAGUGAUAGGACUAUAGGAGCGCCACUAUAGUUAUGGGAUCAGGAAGGCAAUGGACUGUAUAAUAUUGCGUGUGAGAUAAGGCUACCAUUGGUCAGGUAGCAAUCACUCCCAGCCUUGGAUUUGAUGAUGACAGGAUUCGACGUAUGGACCUGAUCGGUUAGAUCAGAAAGUUGUUAGAGUCACAGUGGCAUGAUAAGUAGUUGAAACUAGUUCCAGAGAAGGAUUUCGUUCAGAAGUCGUGUGAGGCGACUAAGUGGGAGUCCUUUGGCUCUGUAGCCGGGCCGGAACCCGAUAUUUCAGAUGAUUGGUGAACGAAUAGAGACUAGGGAGGUCUUGUUAGAUUUUGGAAAGUAUCCAUGUGGCAACAUACUACCUCAGGCAGUUCAGUGUUCGAGCAACUUUUGCAUGUGGGCAGUGUUAGUAUUCGUGUUUUAGGUUGCAAGUACACACUGAUAGCUGGUUUAUUAGGGAGUGACAAGUCACUCACGGCGGGAUUAGCCGAGCCUUGGCCAAGUGUAAGUGAUUUGCAUGAAUAAUUAGGUUUGUGAACCUGUUUUAUAGUGGGAACCUCGAGCUAUCAGAAGUUGAGUAGCAUGUUCAGGGAUAAACGGACUGGAUUCAAUGAUAACGAUUCAGUAUGAAUGGUUUGUUAGGGGUUCAAACCAUCUCGAGAAAACAUAUUGCAAACCAAGUAGAUGUUAUCUUGUUGCGAGGAGCUCGUUCGCCUGCGUUUUUAGGGCUUUGCGAAGACUGGUCACGGCUACCCUGGGAAGGCUAGGGUGUGCCCAGGAUGGUGACCAUGUUGCUAGAAGUGGUUGGGUGUGUAAGGAAUGGUGAGGAAUGAUUUCGAGGACGAAAUCUAAUUUAAGUAGGGGAGAGUUGUAACACUUUAUUUAUUUAUUUAUUAAAUAAAUAAUUUAAUAAGCAAAUAGUAGCCCUAAAAUAGAUAAUUAUAUGUCAAAGGUUGGUCUCGAGGAGUUAAUUGUCACACUCUAGUAGACUGGGGGUUAAAAGUGUAAAUUCGGACUUAAUUUGUAAGUUUUAUGGAAGGAACGGACUAAAUGGAAAUUAUUAGGACUUCAUGGAAGAGAUUUUGGAGACGUAGGGGUUGUUUGGUAAAUCAGGUAUAAGAUUUGAAGGGGAUUUCCGAAGCUGGGGUAGAAAAGGUAAAAUUUGGGCUUAGUUUGAAAAGAUAUGAGAAGAGAGGGGCUAAUUGUGGCAUUAUGGAAAAAAUGUUUAAGGGGGUCGGGUAUAUAGGGAAUAAACCCUAACCCUAUUGGCCAUUUUAUGCAGCCGACCUUAUACCUCCCUCCAGCCGCCGUCCUCACCUCCCCAUCUUUUAUUCCCGGCACCACCCACCCUUGCCACCACUGUUAGCCGCCGCUGUCACCUGUCGGAGUAUUCUCAGUCGUUACUACCGUCUAACCCCCCUGAUGCUCCUCUCGCCGGUGAAGUCGAGGUUGAAUCCGUAGGUGCAACGUCUGUCAGCCGGUUGGGCGGUUGCGGUGUCACUGCCAUGGCGAAACGUCGUCUGUUGCCGCCAUCCAUUGUCGUCAUUUUAUGUGAAACCCUAAUUUCAAUUGAGUUUAUUGUUGGGCCUUUCUAUUGGGCCUUGAUGUUUGGGUUAUUAAAUGGGCUAUCCAAGAUCAAGGAAAUGGUAUAGAGUAAUUUAAUGGGCCUAUGGUAAGGCCCAUGUAAGGGGCUUGGGCCCAAUUUGGAAAAUUGGGCCAUAGAUGGGCCAUGGUUUGGGCCUUAAUGAUUAUAUGAUGUUGGGCCUUAGAAUGAGAUGUAUAGGCCUAGGCCCAAUUUGGAAAAUUGGGCCAUAUGUUGGGCUUUGAUUCCUAAUUGACUUUGGGCCUAUGGAUUGGGCCUUGGGCUUGAAUAAGCCAAGCUAGGGGUAAUGUAGUAAUUACCCAAAGAAUGUACUUAUGGUUAUGUAUUGGGACCCAAUUAUUAAUUGGGUGUUAUUUUGGUGUUGACAGUUUAGGAAUCUGUCAGCCAACAGCUAGGGUCGAGUCUGCGGGACUUCAGCAAGUGUGGGAUUGUGUCUUCGGGACUUCAGCAGUGUGAGGUGAGUUACCUUCCAGUAGCNUCCCUUCCAGAGGGGUGGGUCUCCAGCCACAAUGCCGGCCCACCAGUAGGACUUGUAUGUUAGAUGAUUGUCUUUGUGAUAUCAUAUAGGUUUGCUAUUACCUGUUAUGUUAUAUGCUGGCAUGAUAUGUUAUAUGUGAUAGUGGUAGAGUUCGGUUGUUAGGACCAAAGGGUAGGUCAGACACCCCAGAUAUGUCUGACAGUAUGUGAUGACAUGUUUAUAUGCUGGCAUGAUAUGUUAUAUGUGAUAGUGAUAGCAUGAGGGGAAUAGUCCCCAAGUUCGGUUGUUAGGACCGAAGGGUAGUUCGGACACCCCAAAUAUGUCUGAUAGCAUGUUUAUGUUAUGAUAUAUGUGAUAGUAGCAGUAGGGGGUGGAAUAUAGUCCCCGAGGGUCGGUUGUUAGGAUCGAUGGGUAGGUUAGCACCCCAGAAUGGCUUGACACGGGUAGGUCAGCACCCCAGAAUGGUUUGACAUGGGUAGGUCGACACCCUAGAAUGGCCGUACCGGGUAGGUCGGGCACCCCAAAAUUGCCCGGCUGUAUGUAUGCUUUGUGAUUGUAUGGUAUGUGGUAUGAUGGGGGAACUCAAUAAGCUUCGUGCUUACGGUUUUCAGUUUUGGUUUCAGGUACUUCGUGUUUAAAGGAAAGGAGUCUGCUUGAUCGCAGCGCAUCACACUAUGUUUUCCGCACAUGAGAUCUUUGGGAUUACACUCUGAUAUGGUUCUACGAUAAUAUAUUUUGAUUACUGACACUUUGGUUUGACACGAGAUAUUAUUAUGAAUGUUUUUACACUGAUGGUUUUAUGUAAUAACUUAUUUUAAAAAUGAAAUUUUUAGCCUUGAAAAUUGGGAUGUUACAAAGUAGCUAAAAUGUUUUUGUAAGCCCUGAACUUUGGAUAAAUAUCUUUUCAUCAAUUCUUCCCUGGCUUCAUAUAAUCCUUUCUCUUGAUUUGUAAUCAACAGAGAGUCGGUGUAUACAUGAAGUUGUUGUGCUUCCAUUUGACUAGCGAGUUCUAGUCCUGCCACCAGGGCUUCGUAUUCAGCUUCGUUGUUGGAGGCCUUGAAGUUGAAUCAGAGGGCGUAGGAUAUUUCUCGUCCUGCGGGAUCAGUUAGAAUUAAUCCCGCACCAGAUCCCACUUGGCUGGAUGCGUCGUCAGUGAAUAGGGUCCAUGUCGUAGCGUUGCUUUUAUUAGAUAUUUUGGCAGCUUCCUUUAUGGAAAAAGUUGUUGGUCAUAGGAGAUUCUACCAAAAAGUAUUCGAGGACUUGUCCUUUAACUGCUGAGCGAGGUUUAUAUAUUAUCUCAUGUUCUCCUAGUUCGAUGGCCCAUUUGCAGACGCCCCGAGUUUUUCCAGUUUUAAGAGGACUUGUCUGAUUGGUUGGUCAGUUAUGACACAUAUUGUGUGUGCUUAAAAAUAACGAUGCGACCGUCGAGCUGUGUGCACUAGGGAGAGGGCAACUUUUUCAAGGCUUGGGUAGUUGAUUUCAGUUCCUUGCAAUUCUCGGCUCACGAAGUAUAUUGGCUUUUUCAUGUUCCCCCUUUCUACUAGGAGUACUGCGCUUAUAGCUUUAGUGGCGGCCGACAGAUAAAAGAUUAAUGUCUCUCCUGGCUUUGGUAUUGUUAAUGGUGGUAAGGAUUGAAGAUGGUUUUUUAAUUCUUGGAAAGCCGCCUCCACUUCAGCGCCCCAUUGAAAUUCUUUUUUGUUGAGACAACCUUUUAGCGUCUUGAAGAAUGGUAAUGAUCUUUCCGCCGAUUUUGCUAAGAAACGCCCAAGUGUUGCGAGUUUGCCAUUUAGUGCUCUAACUUCACGUAAGGUUUUUGGCGAAGACAUGUUUAUUAUGGCUUGGAUCUUUUCUGGAUUCGCCUAGAUUCCUUUGUUGGUGAUCACGUACCCUAAAAACUGUCCGGUUUCCACCCAAAACGUGUAUUUUUUAGGGUUGAGCUUCAUGUUCGCUUUAUUGAGUGUGUUGAAUGUUUCGGCGAUAUCCGAUAUCAAGUAGUUCUCAUUCUUGCUUUUUAUCACCAUAUCAUCAACAUAAACUUCAAUGUUUCUGCCGGGUUGAUCUGAGAACACGUUAUCCAUUAACCGUUGGUAAGUGGCUCCAACAUUUUUUAAUCCGAAUGACAUCUUUACAUAGCAGAAGGUCCCUUGUUCUGUGUGGAAUGAAGUUUUUUUCUUCAUCCUCCUUGGCCAUACGUAUUUGAUGGUAACCUUUGUAUGCAUCUAGGAAACAUUUGAGCUUAAAGCCUUCUAAGGAUUCUAUCUUCCUCUCUAUUUCGGGCAACGGGUAGCUAUCUUUGGGGCAAGCUUUGUUGAGGUUUGUAAAGUCAAUGCACAUGCGCCAUGUUCCGUAUGAUUUUUUCACCAUUAUGGGAUUUGAGACCCACCAGAAAAGAAAACCGCUCUAAGAAUUUGUGCCUCCACUAACUUGGUCACCUCUGUCGUGAUGGCCUCACUCCGCUCUUUUGCUAUGACUCGUUUCUUAUGACAUACUGGGAACGUACGUGGAUGGAUGUUAAGUUUGUGUUCUGCCAGUUCUCGUGGGAUGCCUAUCAUAUCCGCGGGUGUCCAUGCAAAUAUAUAUUUCUUGAAUUGUAGAAGUUCUUGGAGCUUACUUUUAAGCACUUUUGGCAAAUUUGCUGCAAUUGCCAGUGUUUGUUCUGGUUGUUCAUCGUUUAGAAUUAUGUGCUCUACAACUUCGGCUAUGCUGGUUUCUUCUUGAUGCUCUCUUUUUUGAGAAAUCUGGUUGCAGAUGUUCGAGUGGAGUUGUUCGCCUCUUACAAUGGCAAUACCUUUCUAUGUUUGGAACUUCAUUAAGGAAUGUAAGGUAGAAGGAAUUGCACCGAGUUUCUGCAAUCCUAGUCGUCUUAGGAUAAUAUUAUAAGUUGAAGGAGCCCGCACGACCAUAAAGUCGACUUCUAUUGUUUGGUUGAAGCGACCACCGUAAUCGUAUAUGGUGAUUGGUAAUGUUAUCAGUCCUAGCGGCCAUGAUAAUUGUCCGACAAAUCCGCUGAGAGGGGUCGUCGGUGGUAACAUUGUAUUCUUUUCUUCUUGUGUGAGUUAUUCUAAGCAGUGUUUGUACAUGACUUCGGCGAAUCUCCAUCCAUCUAUGUAGACUUUAUGUAUACGCAUGGCUCUUACGUCUGUCGUGAUAAUAACAGGUUGUCACCACUGUAAUUUUCUGGUAUGAGGUCGUAUUCAAAGAAUGUAAUAUUAAGGAGUGACAUACUUGAGGAUUUUGCUUUUGCGUUCAUGGUUUGGACCAUCUGUAUUUCAUUUCUUGGUUUCGAAUCGUUGCCCAUUUUUCUGCUCCAAUCUUCUUGGGUAUCUUUGGAUCCUAAUGGUCGGGUGUGUUGGUUGUGGUUGUCAGUUUUCACCCCUUUCGCCAAAUGGGCCAUGCGUCCCUUCCAAAUGCAGGCUUCGAUUUCUUGUCUAAGAUCUAUGCAAUCGUUGGUAUCAUGGCCGUGAUCUUCAUGGAACUCACAAUACUUUGUUCAGUCCCUUUUAUUAGCAGGGGCGGACAUCCUUUAGGAUGGGCGAAGCAUAGCUUUUCCUUUAGAAGUGGCUAGUAUUUCAGAGGGAGAUUUUAUUAGCGCAGUGAAGGUGUCAUGUAAACCUUUGUGGCUCUCCGUGUGUCUUGUAGCACCUCUAGGAAAAUGUUUGUCCUUAUAAGUCGGGUGUUGUCUCGUUUCCCGUGGCGACUCUUGAAGGCGGUUCUCUUUGUUUGCUUCCUCAGCUCGUAUGAAGUUGUAGGUUUGCGUGAACAAAUCUUCUAGUGACGUUGGCGGUUUUGCAAUCAAGUCUUUAAACAGGCGUCCGGGUCGUAGUCCGCUAAUGAAGGCCCCUAAUACCAUGAUAUCAGAUCGGUCGACCAUAUGUAGAGUUUCUCUGCAAAAUCGUGCUACGUAGUCUCUAAGAGGCUCGUCGGGCUUUUUUUGUAUACCGAGGAUCUCCGUCCGGGUCUUCUAGAAUCUGCGUUGUUGCAGAAAAUUUUGCUCUGAACUUGUCUCUUAGUUGAUGGAACCCAUCUAUACUUCCUGGUGCGAGGUUGUCGUACCAGAAUCUUGCUGCACUGCAUAGUGUAAUAGGAAAGAAUCUACACCAUGACGAGUUUCAGUAAUUUGUGUACGUCCAUCAUUCCCAUGAAUACUGUCAGGUGGUCAUCCGGGUCCGUCGUUCCAUCAUACGUACGUAGAUUUGUCGGGACUCUGAUGCCAUCCGACAUGUCGUAGUCUUGGAUCCGUUUAGUGAACAUGGAAGUUACUAGACCACACACGUCUCUGUUUGACUCCUUGAAUACGAAUGGUUCGUAAUAGAAGUCAUUAUUUGUUUCUGAUCUCUUUUUAAUUGUGUCGGUGAGAGGUGUUGCUUUGAUGACAACUUGAUUGUUAGAGGGGUCGUUGUUGUGACUUCUGACGAAAGCGGGUUCCUUGGCUUUCCCUGGUCGCACAUCAUCUGAGUCUGAGAUUAGUGGUUCUACAACCGAAGGAUCUGCGCUUAUGAGCGUAGGCUGAGGUGGUAACUCUUUAAGCUUUCGGGUGAAGGCUUCGUACAUGGCAUUCAUCCGAUCAAAAUUGUGGACCACGAACUACAUGAUCGGGUCUUCUAGAUCUGGUCCUGAGAUCAGGUUGUUGGGUCCGCCUGCGGUUUGGGGGAUGGGUGCGGGUUCGAUGCUCGGUUCGCCUAAGAUACAUGUCAUAUCUUGAGUUGUUACUUGAGGUGGUUCGUCUCCAUUCAUGACCAUGCUUUCGUCCUUGCUAGCCGGGUAGUGUUCGCGGGUUGUUUAAUUUUUUUUAAAAAAAAAGGUAUGUCGUUUCGGUCCCACGGAUGGCGCCAAUUUGAUGAUACGUAAAUAAACAUAUUCCUCUUAUGGGUAUAAAUCGUUUCAACCCGGACCUGUAAGAAGGCUUUUGGAUAUCGUCAUCAUUUUGGAGGGGCUAUGAGCUGUAAAAACACAAGAAACAAUCAACAGAUGAGAGAUUAGGAAGUCAAUAAUAAUUCAUCAGAUGACAAUUCUCUGUAAGUAACUUCAUAUUUUAUAUGAAGUUUUAUGUCACUUUCCCGAGUAGGAUUAGAACGACUUUAUCAAAGAAAGGUUAUAAUUUGCGUAAGAUGCUUUUCCCUAGCAAUCGUUAUUUUGCAUUUUUUUUCCCGAUAUCUAAUGCAAUUAUCUUUAUCUCUCUCUCUUUUUAUUUAUUUAUUUAUUUUUUCCUUAAUGUAACCUAUCCGAAGUCCCCGACAUCCUCUCUUUGUUCUUGUAUUUAUAACAUUCAAGAACAAUAAAUGGGUAAACAAGUUGUGUAGAAUCUUAAUCAUUUUGUCUCCACCACCAUUUAUAUCAUUCAUGUACCUAUUGAUUCAUGUAUAUGCCUCAUUCUAGAUGAUCAUUAGGUAUACAUAUUGUUUAGGAAAUAAUAUGUUAUUAUUGAAUACACAUAUUAUUAUAAAAUAAAUAUGUUAGUUAUUUUAAAUAUAUAUGUCAUCAUAAUAGUUAUACCAAACAUUAAAUAAAUAAUAUGUUUUAGUCUUGUCAAGUUAAGUUUAAUUCAGUCUUAACUAGUCUAUAAAUAAAACGCUACCUCAAUGAUGUUUUUUGAAUAAAUAAAUUGACUAGCCUUGAUAGCUGAUCAAAAUUGUAUUUUUCAAACAAUAAUUAUAUGUUUUAAAUUGUAUAAAUAACAUAGAAAAAUAUAUAAUAUAUACAAUAAUGAUAGUUGAUUGUCCUCAUUUCUCUAUAUAUUUUUUUAAUAAAAAACAACUAAUUUUUCACAUAUAUUUCGUUAUUUUUAAAAGAAACACCUUAUUUUAUCUUAUUUUAGUUUCUUCAGUACAUUGCAACUUGCAAGUCGUGAACAACCCGAAUUUGGGGUAAAAUUUGAAUUCGAUUCUCUUGAAACGUGAAAUCUCCCAACAAUUUGAAACCUCAUUUUCAAAAUCCAUUCCCUCUCUCUUUCUACAACCCCACUCUAUCACUCUCUGAACCCUAGCUACGAUCAACUUCAAUUUCAAAUGGCGGCGGUGCCACCAGUCACCGGCAUGGAGCUAAACACUCCUCCCUCCGACGGCAUAUCCAACCUCCGCUUCUCUCACCACUCUGAUCAUCUCCUCGUGUCUUCUUGGGACAAAGUAUGUGCUGAUCCUUCUCACUGUAUCUGUAUGCACACAAGUCUUAGCUCACGUAUCAUCUUUUCUAAACUAGUGAUGCUUUGAUUUGUUAAUGUCUAUCCUCUUACUUUUUAAAUUAAUGUGAAAUUUGUUGCAGAUCUGAUACUAUCGGUAUCUGAUUUGUAGUAUUAGCUGUAAUGUGAACUAAUGAUCAUUUUUUUACCUAAAAAUGGAAAAACAUAUCAUUAUCGUAGUGAAACACUUGUUUAUCUCUGAAAGGCGAAGUAUGCGUUGGUGUCUCUCUUUAGAAACUGUUGAAAUGCUAUGUUUAUUCUUUCUGGCAAAAAGAUAUGCAAACAUGUCCUUGAGUAUUUUGGAAUUCAUCUAAUCUGGAAAGGAUUGAGGUCGGAUACAAAACAAGUGGUCAACUUAGAAAGCUAAAAUAUCACAAUUCAAAUUGGUAGAUCACAGUUGACAAAUGAUCUAACCAAAACUGCUACAUUAAACUAUCACAGCCUGAACAAUCCAACGCACUUUAGAAAACAAAACUGAAAUGAAACAUGCUUAGAUGUAUACAAGUAAGGAUGGAAUGAAGAUUAAGCAGUAGUUAAGACAUGAAGAGAAGCUUAAUUCAUAUCAAACUCAUAACAAUAAAGAUCAUAACCUUUUAUUUGUUUGUAACAGCGUGUUCGUUUAUAUGAUGCAAGUGCCAAUGUGUUAAGAGGAGAGUUCCUUCAUGGAGGUGCAGUUCUUGAUUGCUGCUUUCAUGAUGACACCUCUGGUUUUAGUGCUAGUGCAGAUAACACUGUCACAAGGUAUGACUAAAUGAUACAUAUACUUUCUUGGAUUAUUGACUUAUCUUUUUCUUGACUAAGUUUCAAGCUACAUUCCUUUUACAUCUCUCAGGCUUGUUUUUGACCAUGAAAGAGAGGAUCUUUUGGGACGCCAUGAUGCCCCUGUUCGCUGUAUUGAGUACUCUUAUGCAACAGGUUAGUGUCAUUCAUUUCAUCAUUUGUUUUCAUUUUGUUAAUAUCAUCAUACAUUCAUACUUUCAUUUCCUUCUAUUACAUCAUUGUGUUUUCAAUUCUUUUUCUUGUUGGUGGUUUUUAGGGCAAGUGAUUACAGGGAGUUGGGACAAAACAUUGAAGUGUUGGGACCCACGUGGUGGAGGUGCACAGGAGCGUGCUCUUGUGGGGACAUAUGGUCAACCGGAGAGAGUUUAUUCUAUAUCACUUGUUGGAAACCGUGUAGUGGUGGCAACUGCUGGAAGACAUGUUAAUGUGUAUGAUUUGAGGAAUAUGUCUCAACCUGAACAAAGAAGAGAGUCUUCAUUGAAGUAUCAAACUAGAUGUGUACAAUGUUAUCCUAAUGGCACAGGUACUUUGACCUAAUUUUAAACCCUAAAUCUUACAAAAACCCUAAACCCUAAUUGAUGAAGGAUGAUGUUUUGCAGGGUAUGCACUUAGCUCUGUGGAAGGUCGUGUUGCAAUGGAGUUUUUUGAGCUUACUGAGACUGGUCAAGCCAAAAAGUAUGUAUUUUUUUGUUACACAUUUCAUAAACAAAAAAUAUANAUAUAUAUAUAUAUAUAUAUUUAUUACAAUGAAUUUCAUGAACAAAAAAAGAUUUCUUUCAGCUACUUUUAGUUUCUAGUGUUGGAAAUUGAUGCUUUCAAGAUUUCUUCAGAUAUGCAUUCAAGUGUCAUAGGAAAUCAGAAGCUGGAAGAGACAUUGUCUACCCUGUAAACGCCAUUGCAUUUCACCCUGUGUAAGUUAUUUCUUUUUUUACCUUUUAUAUUAAAUAAAUAUAUAUAUUUAUGCAAACACUUCAAAUAUAAUAAAGAGUAAAUUACAUUUUGGUCCUUGAGUAUAAAUGGUUUUUGCAAAUUUGCUCAAGUUUUUUUGUAACGGUUUUGGUCCCCGUUCCAAGAAAAUGUCUAUACUCUAUCGAGUAAAUUACAUUUUGGUCCCUGAGUUUGUUCAAAGUUUACAUUUUUGAUCCUUACACAAUUUUGGUGUCUAUUUUGUUGUGGAAACGAUUUUGGUCCCUGGGUUUGCUAAAAAGUUAUGUUUUUACUAGUUCCCUCUUGCACAUUGAUGGUUAGAAGAAUUUAAAAUAGGCACCAAAAUUGCAAGAGGAAACUGUUUGGGACCAAAGAUGAAAUUUUUGAACAAACUCAAGGACCAAAAAUUUAAUUCACUUUUUGGGACCGAAAUUGCAAAAAUCUAGUGUACCUAGGGACAAAAUCAAGUCAUUUCAUUUGAAAUAGGGACUAAAAAUGUUAACAGAAACCUCAAUUGGAAUGAGGACCACAGUUGCAAGAGAGAACAUUUUGGGACCAAAACUGAAUUUUUUUGCUAAACUGAGAGACUAAAAAUGUAAAUUACUCUCUAAUAAACAUUUUUGGUUUGGUCCUUAUUUGAGGUUUUUGUAGCAUUUCCAAGUAAAAUGACUAUUUUUGGUACUCAGGGAUCAAAAAUGUUACAAGAAGUUGAAAUAAGGACCAGAAUUGCAAGAGAAAACUUUUAGGGACCAAAAGUGUAAUAAAAUAUAUAAUUGCAGGUAUGGGACAUUUGCGACAGGUGGGUGUGAUGGUUUUGUAAAUGUAUGGGAUGGAAACAACAAGAAGAGACUGUAUCAGUACUCAAAGUACCCCACAAGUGUUGCUGCCUUGUCAUUCAACAGAGAUGGCCGCUUACUCGCUGUUGCUUCCAGUUACACAUAUGAAGAGGGGGACAAACCGUAAAAUUAUUAUUUCUUUCAACAUUUAUUUUUUAUUUUUUAUUUUUUAUUUUUCUGGAUAAUAAGGUUUGUGUUUGUUUUGCAGACAUGAACCGGAUGCUAUAUUUGUGAGGAAUGUGAAUGAGGUGGAAGUGAAACCAAAGCCUAAAGUUUACCCAAAUCCUCCUGCUUCAUGACGAAGACUGUAACUGUAACUCUAAACUGGACUGUGAAUUGAGAUUUAGCUUUGCUUUAUAUAUUCAAUUCUAUUCUAGUAAAACACCAUUGUCAACAAGUUAAUUCCAGUCUGUUGUAUUUGUAUACGAUCAUGCAAGAGGUUUAUAAUGCUUUUUCUUUUUCGGUUUUUUAUUACUUGUUAUACUUUACUUUAGGGGUGGCAUUUCAUGGGUUUUGGUUGACGGUAAAUGGGUUCGGGUCAUUUUCGGGUUGACUGUGUAACUAGUAUACUAAAUGGGUUUCGUAUGCGUAAAUACUACUAUUCAUGUUUGCAGAUUGACUCACCAACCCUAUUAUUUUGGUACAUAUUAUUUUAAGUUUUAAUACUAUUCAUCAUUUUAUCGUUUUGUGUUCAUGGUUACUGGAGGGAUCAAACUUGUUGAUAUAUGAAAGUCUAAAGACCAAACCUACAAAACAAUUUAUAAAAGUUGAAAGGGGUGAAAAUUGUCUUUGUUCAAAUUUGAGGGGGGGUGAAACUGAUGUUUACAAAAUAAAAUGACGGAAACUGCUAUAUAAAAUAUACUAAAAUAUAUAAACCAACGAAAACCAACGUAAAAAAGUUAAAGUUUUGUGGCUAAAAUAUGAAAUAAAAAGGCCAAAAUUUGGCGCCAAAGUAUGAAAUACGUAGUAAUAAACUUUUAUGGCCGAUAUUCAUAAGGAAGUUGCUUUGACUACUAUUUAACAUAAGAUCUACUAAUAACUUCUCUUAUGAAUGUAAGUUUUAUCAAUUAAAGAUAAAGGCUAACAAUAACUUUAUGGAAAAUGACCGUGUAGCGUACUAACCGUUGAGUUUGUUUUCAUUUGGUCUAUUUUUUUCUUGUACUCAAUAUACCAUCAAACUUGUUGUUUGUGUUUACUAUAACUCUUUUGACCGACUUUUGACAUGUGAUAACUUGUCAAAUGGUUAUGGUGAACACAAACAAGUUCGAUAGUAUAUUGGGUACAAAAAAAAGGAAAGUGACCAAAUGAGAACAAACUCAACAAUUGGUUACCCUCCUAAGUCGUUUUCCCUUACUCAUUUACAGAAAAUCACACGUCAUCUCCUACUCAUAUCAAUGACUUUUUGAGAUUCAUUCUUGUUUCUUUUUAAAACAUAACACACAAAAGAAUAUUAUUCAUAUAUGUACAACUUUAUAUUUCCAAUCAAACGAUUUAUCGUAUCAUGAAUUCUGGACAAGUCUACAAACGAGUGGAAUCACAAAUGCUGUGAUUUUUGAGUUUAGUUGACUUUAAGAUCGAAUUCAGGGGAUAAGAUACAACAUCAAUUGUAUAAGAUCAUGCAGCUUUUGCAGACACAUCACCAUAAUAUACCUUAAGAUAAACGUUUAUGCUGAUAAAGAUACCUCUCAUAUAUAGUCAUAUCAUUUUCAGAGAGUUGUUGACAGCUAACCAUAGUAAGCAUAGCAUAGACAAUGUUUUAAUGAAAGUACCCCUCCAAAACAUUCUUCAUUUACGUUAUGGCCUAAGAACGUUACAAUCUUUGAUACUUUUGCAGCUUUAAUUUCAUUUAAUUUUUUAAGGAAAAUGACUCGGAAGGCUAACCAACUUUUGAGUUUGUUCUCAUUUGAUCGUUUUUUUUUUCAAUAUACCAUCGAACUUAUUAUUUGUGUUCACCAUAACCCUUUGACCGACUAUCAAAGGUUAAAGAGUAAAUUACAUGAAUGGUCCCUAUGGUUUGGGGUAAUUUGCGUGCUUGGUCCCUAACUUAUUUUUUUAACUCGGAAUGUCCCUAUAGUUUGUUUUUGUUACGCGUUUGGUCCCUACUAUUUAUUUUUGUUACGCGUUUGGUCCCUGUCUUAUCUAAAAAGAUUAUUAUUUAAAGAGGAAAAAAUGAUGGGGUAGGUGAGGUAAGAUGAGGGAGUGAGAUUAGGGGUGUGUUUAUUUAAAUAAAUUAAAAAAAUCAAGGGCAGAAUAGUCUUUUUAGGUAAGAUAGGGACCAAGCACAUAACAAAAACAAACAAACGCGCAAAUUGCCCUAAACCAUAGGGACCAUUCGUGUAACUUACUCAAGGUUAAAAGCCAGUCAAAAGGGAAAGGGUUAUGGUGAACAUAAACAAAUUCGAUGAUAUAUUGAGUACAAAAAAAAGAGACCAAAUAAAAACAAACUCAAUAGUUAAUUACCCUUAAGAGUCAUUUUCCAAUAACUUUAUAACCCAUGAACUUGAAUGCGACGAUUGACUUGUAGACCUGUGAACCCGUAUAAUAAAACUAGUUAGAAAGGUCGGUUUUUUGGUGUCAUCAUGAAAGCUUGAAUCAAGCAAAGCAACAACCUCCUAUAGGGCAUGUGGUUCUAUAGUCGAAACAAAAACCAUAAUAAUCUAUGUAUAUUCUCCGUGAUAAAAUUUGCAGUAAAGUUAAAAAGUGCACAUAUUGUAUAGGUCCAAAAGGUAAAAAAAGUACACAUUACUAUUUUUUUUUCUGAGCUUCAAGCUAUCACAUUGUUCUACAGAAGGUCAUAAAUUCUUCCAUUCAUGACCAUAUACAAUAAUACCAUCCUUUAAAAGUAGACCAAUAUGAUACACAAAUCAGCAACCAAACCUCCAUCAUUUCAAAUCUACCUAAAUCCAGAAGGCGCCGCCUGUGCACCACCACCCGCACCUCUCCUUGCCGCCUUCGAUUGCGCAAGAAUCUCAUCAUAAUUCUAACCACCAAAAAAAAUAAAUCAAAACGAGUAAUUAAAAAUAUGUCAAAAAAUCAAAAUACAAUGCAAACAUAUUUCAUAUUACAUAUUACAUACCCGCUUCUCAAAAGCAUUAUCUCUUGAGCUAAUAAUCUUGUCAGCAAUCCCAUAAUCAAUGGCUUCUUGAGCUUGUAAAUACUUAGGCCUCUGAAUAUCUUUCCUGAUUUCAUCUUUCGGUUUUCCAAUUCCCUUUUCAAGUAGCUCUAGAAAGUAAUCCGUGUUUGUAUCCAAUUCCUUUGCCUUAAUCCACAUGUCAAUUGCUGCCCCACUUGACCGGUUGACUUUUGGUAGAUAUAAUUUUGCUACAUGAAAAAAAAUAUAUAUAUAUAUAUAAUAUAUAAUAAUCAUUUUGAUUUUUUUAAGGAAAAUGAGAAACAUACUUGAACAAUUCGGCUGCAAUGCACGAAACCCUUUGGUUCCAAGAGACAAUAGCAUUGCUGCUUGACCAAAUGCCAUCCCACAGUUGACCGUAUACACCUCUGACUUACAGUACUUGAGGGCAAUUUCGGAAUUAAAUAAAUCAUAUCAGUAAAUAACCUAAAAAAGAUAAAAUAAAUGAUUUUAAUUUCUUACAGCCAUGAUGUCAGCAAUCGCGUAUGCUUCUGUUUCAGACCCCACUGUCUCCAUUUUGUCAUUCUACAAAAGAAAAUUGUUAUUUCUUGUAUUUAGUAACUUAACCUUAAAAGAAACAAAAAAAAAAAAAAAAAAAUCACCUGUGUUCCAGAUGAAUUGAUGUAAAGAUAAAUAGGCUUAGCUGGAUUAUCAUAAUCCAACCACAUAAAUUGAGCAACAAGAAGCUCAGUCACUGCAGGAACAAUCUACAACAACCAAAAUUUUACUUAAAUUCAUUAAAAAAAUAAAUAAAUAUAUAUAUUUUUUUUUGUAAAAAAAAGUACAUUGCUAUUUCUUACAGGCAUUCCUAGGUAACAAAUACGAGCAUCUAGAAGCAGUGAUGGAAGAUCAGGAGGUGCACUUCUAGGUCUUCCGGAAGCUCUGCCGCCACCUCCGCGAUACAUGCUGACACUCAUACUGUAUUUUGCGGGCCCCCUGUUGUUCGUUCCUGAUAGGGUCCACAUUCCUCCGUGGUUUAAGUAAUUAUGAGAUGAUGAAAUUGUUUCCUGUUUAAAAAAAAGAAAAAAUAUAAAAAUAUAAAACAUUGUGUUUUGUGUAGAUGUUAUAAACUAUAAAGAAAAAUAUGAAAAGAGUUAUAACGAGACCUCUGUGACGGAUUCUGCUUGCUUUCUUACGGGAUUAUCUUCUGUCAUGAACAUGUCCAUUUGUGUAGGACUCAGACCAUAAAGGUAUUGAGGGACAUUUUUGUAAUUUUCCAUCACUGCAAAAUAUUUAGGGUUUCAUUCAAUCCACUUUAGAACACUGAAGAAUUACACUAAGGGACAUGUUUCAAUUUCAAUUUAGGGUUUCAUUAAUCUCAGAUCAGAAGGUCGGAAUAUAAGUAGAGGCAAAGCUAGACAUAAUCAUAAUACAAGAAAAGAUAUGGAGAAUUGAAUUUAAGGUUCAUAGACAUGAAAACAGAAUAAAAACUUGGGGGAAAAGUAAAUUUAAAGGUGGAUGAGUGAAAGGGAGGAGACUCACAUCCGUCUUUAAGGUUUCCUUCCCUAAACUGCUUCGGUAUGUAAUCCAGAGAUUUAUCGGCGGCGGUGACCGGAGAUCUAAAACAUCUUCUCCUAAUUGCGGCAUCUUUCGUUGAAGGAGCAUGGAGGAAAUGAGUGGUGUUGUGGAGAAAAGACGAUUUCAAGAACAGGGCGGAGGAACUGCUUGACUCCCGAUUAUUGUCGACUGUCGGAGCAGAUAGAGGUGAAAGGAGUAGCGACGUCGCCAUGAAACUCUCUGCAGUCUGCAACAAAACAAAGGGUUUGAAAUGGAAUCUGGAUUUAUCUCUAUUUGUUUAAUCUUUCUAUAAAUUUGAUUUAUGUGACCAAGAACGACGAUGAGGCCGCUAGUUACCUUACGUCUCUUGCUAACGGCGUUGAUGGUUCUACUGUUACCAUCAUGGAGGUCGAUCGGGUUUGAUUACCGGGUCCGAAUCGGAUUCACGAGGCCCGAAUUAAAAUCGGUUUCAACUUUUGUAAAUUGUGAACCAAAUGAGCUUGAAAUGGGCUCAGCUCAUUUGGGCUCUCCCAUACCAUUAAAAUCGAAUGGGUUUGGAUUAGAAACCGGUUUAAAUGAAACCAAUUCGGUUUGAAGUCGAUACUAUAGUUUGGUGUUGGUUAACUUGGUUUGGCAUAUUGAAGGUUAGCACUUCGUUUCAGUGAAAUCACAGUUUAAAAAACUGGUUUUCAAAUCUACAAAACAAUCGAUUUUCAUAUAAUAUAAAAUGUCGUUUUCAUGAUUUUUUAAAAAAAAAAUUGUUGAUGAUACAAGGUUUUGGAGGUUUUUUAAGGCCAUACAUUCCCAAAUCCAAUUAUUAAUAUCCUAACGAUCUUUUUUGAAACAAUCUUUAAUUGUUUCCAGUAAAAACAAUCUAGGAAAUUAGACCUUAAGAGGUUAGGUGUUUUGACAUUAACAAGAAUACAACGUUCAAUUAAAUGUUAAAAUUAAUUAUUUUAAAGUAAUUAAAUCCCUUAUUUAUGACAAAUAACAAUAUAAGAAUGUAUUAUAAGGGUUUUGUUGAUAUUUAAAUUAACUAACGGGUGUUAAAAAUCAUACAGAAAAUUUAAGAUAUAAAUUGAAUUAAUUAAAAUAUUAUAAUGGCAUAUUAUAACACUUGUGGGGGAAAAAUUAGAAUACCCUGAAAGUAUCACUAGACGUGGGGAAAACGGGAAUUGAGAAAAUAUAGACUUAAGUGGCAAGAUGAAGGACUAAAAAUGUAAAUGUACAUUCUUCGUCAAACCACUAUAUAAACCCAUGAGAUUUAGCACCUUUACCUUGUAAAAUAGAACACGAACCUUGCUUAAGGUGUAUCAUGUAUGUAGGCCUCACAAUGGAGCGGGUUUUGACUCUGAUCCGAUCAAAACCCUUAAUAAUUAUACGGGUUUGGGGCACAGUUUUUGAUCCGUUUACCCGUUAACGACCCGUACCCGCUAACCUUUUUAUUAAAAGGGUUGGGUAUGGAUCAUCACUGAUCCGCUCCGUUUAUAACCCGCCCCAUAUAAAUUUCAGAAUUAUACAUUUAUAUUUUAUACUUCCUAAAGUUUACUUUAAAAUCCAAUUGAAAGUCCAAAGAGAAAAAACCAAAGACUAAACUGUUUUUACAUAGGACUCGAGGACUAAACUGUAUUUACAUAGGACUCAACUUCUAGACUUCCGGUCUUCUUCCAAUAAUCAUGAUGUCAUUUCAUUUAUAUUUCAUCAUGUAAUCACCAAUUUCAUUUACAAAUCAAUAAAAUCAUUUAUCAACCGGAAGAAAAUUUGUAAUUGUUAUUCUCUAUCAAUGCAAACGAUGGUCAAAAACUAAUCGGAAGUAUCUACAAUAAUGAUUUUAAUUCCAAUCGAACGUCCACGAGUACGUAAUGUGUAUACUAAAUCAACUUUUUCUUUACAUGUAAUAAAUGUGAUUUUAUGAUUUAAGUAAAAUGUGUUUGAUUAUUCAAAAAACCUACGGGUUACGGGGCGGGUUUUGAUAUCUGCUGAUUCGGUGGAUAAGGGUAUGAGUUUGAUUAUUCAAAACCCUACGGGUUACGGAGCAGGUUCGGAUCGGAUUUUGAAAUUUGUUAAAAGGGUUUGGAUCAAGGUCGAUUUGCUCCAAACCCGACCCAUUGCCAGGUCUACAUGUAUGGACUCAAAAACAUGUUAGAGAAAGAAAGAGAUGAUUGAGAAUAGGACAAAAAAGAGAGGCAAACCACGAUCAUCAGUUGUUAUGAAUUGGUUAUAAAAAUUUUCUUGGAUAGUCCCACAUGUAUUAUAAUACGUACAAACAAUCGUUACAACCUAUGCAGUUAUCGCGGUAAAAAAUUUAAUAGCGGUUAUCGACCGCUAUUUGAAAUCAUUGUUCUCACAUUGGUAUAGCGGUUUUUUUUAUUUUUAUUUUUUUAUUAGANAUAUUAAUUAAUAAAUCAUAUCUCAAAGUUCAAUCUAAUCCAAUCCAAUUAAUUAGUUAAUCAAUAAAUCAUACUUCACAUAUCAUAAUUAAUUAAUCAUACUUCACUUGUUGUUACCAAUGUUACAUUUAAUCACACUUUAAAACAAUCAACAAGAAAUAAUAAACAAUACUUAACAUUUUAUUAUAUCUCGACACAAUCACAAUUAACAAAUAAAAUGAUGAGUAAAUUACACGAAUGGUCCCUGUGGUUUGGGGUAAUCUGCACGUUUGGUCCCUAAUUUUUUUUAACUCGUAAGGUUCCUUAAACGUUAUUUUGUUGCCUCUUUGGUCCAUAUCAGACAUAAAAAGACUAUUUUGCGCUUAAUAUAUUUCUUUUUGGUUUUCUAUUAUUUAUUUAUUAUUUUUAAAUUAAAAAGAAAAAAAAUAAAAAAACCAUACCCCCAGGUCGUUUCUCUCUCUUCUCUCUUUUAUCUGAGAAUCCCUCGUCUCCUUCUCAUUGCUCCCUCUGUUAUCUUCCCCGACCACUGGUCGCCACUCCCCCGUGGAUAAGUUCCCUUGCCAUCAACACCGAUAUCACACCAUUAAAGACUUCAUUUUCUCUGAGAGCUUUCAUUCUCUUUUUUUCUACCGCCUGCCAACCUUAAUCAUUGUUGGGAUCCUUCAUUAUGGCAUAUCAUCAAUGCUUCUUCGAUUUGCAUCGACUGGUAUCAGAGCUGUACCGGAGGGGAGUCAAUAUGCCCUAGCCGUCGACCACUAUUGGACCACCGACAUCCAUAGAUCUUUUCUCUUCCAUACUUCCUGUUACUAGACCAUCUUCCAUAUUUCUUGCUGCAUCAUUGAUCUUUUUGUCUUAUGGGUUUCAAAAAUUAAGAUUGUGAAGGUUUUGGAUCUAUUGUCUUUACCAGAUGUUGAUAUUGGUUUUGGUUUUGAGGUUUAUAAAUCCAUAUUUCCUGCUGCUUCAUCGAUUAUAUGAAUCCAGAUUUUGAUAUUGAUUUUGGUUUUGAGGUUUAAGAUUGUAAAGGGUUUUGGAUCUAUCGUGCCCUUUCAUUUCUUCCGAAGUAUGGUUUAAUGAUUGUGCUUUGUCAUUCUUGUACCAAACUCCCAUCGUUAGAGGCACGAAAGAAAAGAAAUAAAAAAUAGUUUUUUUUUAUUUCCUAUUUUGAUUUUAGGUUUCAUUUUGAAGUUUCGAUUUCAAUGUUCAUACUAAUUUGACUUUGAGUUUCAACUGAUAUGAUUUUGACAUUUGUAUUGGUGGUGGUUGUCGGAGAUGAACCGGAUGUCCGGUUGUGAAUGUUGAAAUUAAAUUUGUUACCUGAUUUUUGAAAGGGGUGCUAAAUCUUUAAAGGGGGUGUUGACCGGGUGGGGUGAGAAUAAUGAUCCAACAAAAUAAGUAAAUAAAUUAAUAAUUCAAAUAAUAAUAAAAACAAAAAAAUAUUUGUAAGGGAAAAAUAGCCUUUUUAUGUGUUAUAUGGACCAAGACGCAAUAAAAUAAUGUUUGAGGGACCUUCCGAGUUAAAAAAAUAAGUUAGGGACUAAGCGUGCAGGUCACCCUAAACCACAAUAACCAUUCAUAUGAUUUACUCUAAAAUGAUUAAGCAAUUUGACAGUUAAUCAUAUUGUAGUACUUCAAAUCUUCAACACAAUUAGCAAGACAACACAUACAUGGUUUCAAUGGAAGUCAUCACAAUUACAUAAUCACAAUUUUAUUCAAUGGAAUUGCACAAAAGUUUAGGUUAAGUUUAAAAAAAACAAUUUUAUUCAAUGGAAUGAUAUAAAAAAAUGUUUUUUUUAAUGUAAAAUAGCCAAAAAAAAUGAAAUUGAUUCAAAUAACGGUUAUAGCGCCACUAUAGCGGUGACCACAAUCGUGGUAAAUCAUGGCGCUAGUAACAUCUUCGCUAUUCCAAACCACUACUUUGAAAAUGGCGGUUCUUUUAUCUCCGCUAAACGUUAUAACGCCGCGAUUGACUGCAUAGCCUACAACCACCCUUUGCCACAGGGAAACAACCAAACACACAACUGUGGUUGGAGUAUGCUCUACCCUUCUUGACACGUUCUUGACCUUUUUUCUACUGCUUAUAAUGAAAACCUGAUGACUUUUUUCCUUCUAAGUUUCGUAUAGAUGCCUAACUCAAAAUGUGACUUUAAAGACUAAAAAUCCAUGCAUGGUCCAAAAAGAGUGCAUGAACACUCAUUUUUCUUCCACCAAAAUGUCCAGAAGGCAUAAUAGUCCAAGCAUAUUGUUCUGGCGUCCCCUAAUCUCCAAGAACAACAGAGAUCAAAAUCAUAUACACAAUCUAUAUCUAAGGGAAAGAAACAUAAAGGUUGAGACUUUGAGCUUAUAAAGGUCUGUAAAUGUAAUGAAAUGGCUGGAUCUACUUUGAAUCUAAGCUUCCUUACACCAAAAUGGACUUCACCUCUAAUAAAUUCAUAACCAAUACACAAAAGCUUAAGAACACAAGUAUGGAUGUUAGGGUUUCAGAAAGAGACGUUUUUUAGGGAAUGGGGGUUGCCAAAUUAGGCAACCCUAAGAGUUAGUGCUAUAAAAUAGUUCCCAACGCCUGACAAAUUUGGGUUUCAUUUAUCGGCUUGGCGUGUCACUCCCUAAAUGAGGUGCUCCGUGUAUUGCCAUGUGUCCAACACGCCGUGACCAACCAUUGUCACACUGCGCUUCAGUCUUAAACUCAAAACUUAAUGAAUAAAUACAUACCGGAAAAUUGGGUGUCACAGUUGUCAUUUGUGUAUUGUACCAAUCAAGAUACACUUUCAAACCUUAUUUUUAUCCGUCUCCUCCAUACAUAACUGUUUGGAUCGAAACUUUAUUUUUAUAUUUUUGUGGUCCACUUUGCUAAUGAAUUAUCCACUGUAAUGCGCAGGGUGAUUAAAAUACUAGUUAUCUUAAAAAGUCAAAUUAUUAACUGAGGAAAAUAGCACAAAAGUCACUAAAUUUACAUGAAAAUUCUAAUUUGACACUGUGUUUUUUUUUUUUGUCUCAAAUUUGACAUUGUGUUUUCCAUUUUGUUACAAUUCUGACAAUUUGAUCGGUCAAACCGGUUGUCUGCUGACGUGACAUGAUGACUUGUCAAUUUUGAUGACACGACAUGUCAAAAUUGAAAAAAAUGUUACAAAAGAUACUAAAUUUUUAAUUUUUUCAAUUUUGAAAGACACUCAAUCUUUUUGUUCCAAAUUGAUCGUCAUUUUUCAAUUUUGUUCAAUUUUGAUGACGUGACACUCUAUUUUUUUGUUUCCAAAUCAAGCAUUAUUUUUUUUGUUGCAUUUGAAACCGUGUGUGUGUGUGUGUGUAUAUAUAUAUUUCAUUUAAAAACCAUAUCUUAUAUAAUGAAUAAAAAGUACAUCUGCAUGAACCAAAAAUCACGAAUAUAUACAACGAACGGUCACUUGGUAAUUAAAGCGAACAUUGAACCCUCGUGUUUCCGAUAUCAAAUUAGUUUAUUUGAUCGUGCACUCCACAUUUCCAAACUCAGUUUAAAGUUGUGUAAUUAAUGUAAAAUACGGUUAUAAUUUAAUUAAUACAUAUUUAUACAUAACAUUAUGAUUUGAAUGUAAAAAACUUUGUAUUUAUAAAAAAUGUGGUUUUUAAAUGAAAAAAAAUAUUUAUACGGUUUCAAAUGAAAAAUGGUAAAUAUUGACACGCCAACAUCUCAUCUCAUCAAAAAAACCGACACGUCAUCAUGCCACGUCAGUGGACGGCUAGUUUGAUCAGUUAAGCGGUCAUAAUUAUAACAAAAUGGAAAAUACAGUGUCAAAUUUGUGAUUAAAAAAAAAGAAACCUGUCAAACUAAAAUUUUUGUAUAAACUUAAUGACUUUUGUGUUAUUUUCCUUAUUAAGUUUUGUUUUAUGGGUAUAAUAUCAUACAUGGUAAAGAACAUAUUUAAAUUUGAGUUUCUAUUGAAAUCUUAUUAAAUUAAGAAAUUGUAUAAGAACACAUUUAAAGUUAAGUUUUUUAGUAGAAGUUAGGCGAUAAUAAUAAUAAUAAUAAUAAUAAUAAUAAUAAUAAUAAUAAUAAUAAUAAUAAUAGAGAAAGGAAUACUCUUAACUACUGUUUUCUUUUUUGUAUUUGAUAACAAAGAAACAAUAAAUGGUUAGAGAGUGCUAAGAAUGUGCUAAGAAGUAAUAACGUAAUGCGUGACCUCAAAUUACUUGUACCUCAAACCAUACAUUUGCUAAGGAAUUGGUGUUACAUAAAGUGUUACAUUACCAAACUUUGACCCACAAUAUCUUAUUUUUUGACUUUUUUUUAGACUGCAUGCAUAUCAUUUACUGUUUUUACGCAUACAUGUCAAAGAAAAAGAAUAGUAUUAUCGUAGAGGGAUAAUGACUUGAUAAGGUAAUAUAUUUUUUGAAAUAUACAUCCUUAUUUUAUUUUUUUUUUUGUAAAAUAAAUCCUUAUACUUUAUUUUUUGUAACAAUGCAAUCCUUAUGACCGGCUAUAUACCCGAUAUACCGGUCAUAUACGAAUUUUCUUAUAGGGAAAAUGACUUGAUAGGGUAAGAUACUUUUUGAAUUGUACACAUUUAGUUCUUAUUCUUAUUUUUUUUGUAAAAUAAACCCUUAUACUUUAUUAAUAUGUACACAUUAAGUCAUUUUCACCGGAUUUUACAGGUUUUGCUGAUGUGGAAGCACAAGUGACACUAAAUAGCAAUUAAUUAGCUUAGUCACCAGAGGUGAGUGAUCCUCCAGCAACAAGAAAAGGGCGGCGACCCUUCUUUUUCUCGUCUCUCUUCCUUCCGGUCGAACAACAACAUCCAAACACCCUUUACCUGUUGUGUUUCUCCGAUCUGUCUCUCUUUGCCUCCAUCUUUGAGAUAUGUUGCUAGAAAAAGAAGAAAGAAUCAACGAGGAGGCUACCNAAUAACACACAAAGGAGUCGCCGGUGAUCGGGGUUCUCCCUCUUUUCAUGAUGAAUAAAAGUUGGAAAAAUCUCGUUGUGGAUAUGUGGAUGCCACCUGGGUAUUUUAUUUCAACAAAAUAAAAGAAAUGGAAAAUGACUUGAUAGGGUAAGAUACUUUUUGAAAUGUACACAUUUAGUCCUUAUUCUUUUUUUUGUAAAAUAAACCCUUCCACGUCAGCAAAACACGUAGAAUCCGGUGAAAAGGACCUAAUGUGUACAUAUUAAUAAAGUAUAAGGGUUUAUUUAAAAAAAAAGAAUAAGGACUAAAUGUAUAUAUUUCAAAAAGUAUUUUACCAUAUAUGUCAUUAUCCCAAUUAUAGAUCACACUAGUAGUUUUUAUUCACAAAACUAUAUACCAAACACACACUCACAGGAAAAAAAAGAAAAAAAAAACAAAAUUUGAGUGUAAGAAAAGUAAAAAUCGCAAAUAAACGAUGUCAGCAAGUGAUGGAGUGGCAACUGUGGCGUGUAUAGCAACCAAUAACUUGCCACCAAACAGUUAAGCGCCCCCACACGCGACGGAACGUAAAUGACGUGGCAAUUUCUACCGAAUUAACCUCCACGUGACCUUACACAACUCCACUCCUUUUCCCCUUUUCAUAUUCCUUUUUGCAUCCCAAUUUAACAAAACCACAAAAUACAUGAAUAUCUUAAAAGUGAAAAAGUUCAAUUACUAAAUACUAAUUAAAUAUAAAUAUUUUUAAUGUUGCUUCAAACAAAGAUUUUGGUCCAAUUCAUAGCAACAUUCAAUUUGAAAAAACACUCAACCUCUUAUGUUCAUCCAAGGAAUAAUUUACCUUGUUAUAAUACAUGAUUAAAUACAAUUUAUUAUUAUUAUUAUAUUAUUAUUGUUAUUAUUAAUUUGGAAUAUUCAUAAAAAUAAACAUUAGAAAUAAAGUUUUAUUUAAAAUGAGAAACUUUUAAUCGAUUUAUAGAAAUAACUUCUAAUUACGAAACAAGUAUUUAAAUUAAUCAAUUUUGUAUCAUAUUGACAAUAAACCGUUAAGAUAACACAUAAAGUGAGAUGAAUUCUGAAGCUACAUUCUAUGCUAAUGUUUUAUGCAUUAACGACAAUUCUUAAUUUCAAAAUGAAUUGUCAUAUUGGUUUCUUAAAGGUUAUUUUUUCUUUAUAUGACCUUAGGAUUGUAGUCUCUUAAUACACAAUUCCGUUAUCCAAAAUGAGUUCGUAUAACUAUAACUUUAGAGUCCUUUUUAUAGUGGAAAGUUAUGAGAGUCAAUCAACAACGUUAUGUGAUAUAUAGCGUCAGCCGCCAGAUACAUGUUAUGGUGUAGAUUUGAAUUAUGAUAUCAAGUUUUGUGGGUUGGAUAGCUUAUUAGCUUCCAAGUUAAGGUUACAGACAAAUCACAUUCAUUUUUAUUUCUAAUGUCGUGGAUCUAAUAUUUUGUUGCAGAUAAACAUUUUGUAAGUUUUAUUAUUAUAUGCCUCUAAAUAUGAUGUCAUUGUUUGUUGUCAAUAAUAUUGUCCAAAGUGUUGUUAAUCAAGUAGUUACAUAUCGAUCUCUUACUCCCAUUGCAAAUUGAUUUCCUUGAGAAAACAAAUAUGGAGGAAAUUGGCCGUCCAGUGCCAAAAGUAACCCUUUAUGUAAUGCAUUGCUUGCUACAGUGAAUUAUCCAAACACAAGGUACUAAACAAAAGUUUCUUAACAUGGGCAUGUAUAUGACGUUGAUGUGCAACAUUAAGGUAAGCAAGUUGCAUAUGAUUUACUUGUAUAUAAUGCUAGUGAAUCAAUAGAAAAAUAUCAAAAUUUGUUGAUGUUGAUUAAUGAUUCAAACCUAUAUCCAUAUAGACACUUGGUGAAAAAUUAUGGAUAAAAUAUCGAAUUAUGACGAACUUAAUAUGAUAACGAUAAUCGUGAUCCCCAUCUAUCUAAUAAGGAUAAUUUUGGGUUUCAAUUUUCUGGUUUUGAGGAAACUAAGACUUCAUUUUGGGGAAUGCCUCUUCUAUUACUAUUUCCUAAAAGUACCUACAAACAGAAUCAUCACUUACCUAAAACUCCUCAUCAUAUAUAAAAGGUUUUCAAGUGUUCAAACGCAAAGCAUACUUGAAGCUAUCAUUUUGAAUUAAAUGUGUUGAAGAUGGCUUUUAGAUUAGAACCACCCAAUCCGAAAAAAAAAACAUGCUAAAGAUUGAAAUGAUGGAUUUGGGGUACAAUAGAUGAGAGUAUGUAUGUUUUCAACUUUACAAAUCAGUGGAUGAGAACACUUAUGCAAGAAACACAUUUACAUCUCCAUUAUUGCCAAGCCAGAACAAAAGGGUUGUAUCAUUUUAUAAACAUAUAUUCGCCGAUAGUACAUGAAGAAUGGUGUAGGGAAAGUAGAUUGUCCGAAUUCUGAAUAACAUGCUAGGUGUUAAUAUUUUCUAUUCACAAGCAUUACAGGCAAAUUACUAUGAUAUACAACUAUUGAGGGGAUUCCCAAGUUUUUUUUUCGAAAUCCAUGUAUAUUAAUGUUUUAUAAGGGAUGAAUGUAUAUGACCAUUUACCUACAUUAAGAUAGAUGGCAACAAUCAAGUUGAGUACUACUUCAUUGUUACUGGUUACAUGGUAAGAUUAUUUUCCAAAUAAUAUUUUCAGUUUCAUUUUAAUAAAGUGUUUCAUAAUUGAUACAUUAUUUUGUAUAUUCAGACAUUUAAAAAAUGCGUGCCUUCACUUAUUGUAAUUAACAAUGCUCACUCUAAAGGAAAAUACUUGGGAACUAUCUUCCUAGUGGUCAUCAUGGAUGACAACAAUCAAAUACUUCCCCUUGCCUUCGGAGUAAGAAAACAUAGAGUGGGGAAUCAUGAGGUUUGCUUUUUAUCGUGGCUGAAAGAAUGUAUUGGAAUAUGGAGAAUUUUGUCAUCAUAUCCGAUAGAACAAAUCCCAUUGACAUGGAUAUCAUAAAUGUGAUCUCGAAUAAAUAUAACAACCUUUGUUGUCAACAUAUUGUCAUGAAUUUGUGAACACCGAUUGGGAAAAACAGAUAAUGGAAAUGGUAUUCUGAGAGACUCGUAAGGCGUACCUUUUGUGUAAUUUCUAAGAAUGGUUAGCUAGUCUGUGUCAUGCAAUUGUUUCUUAAUGUACAUGGAUAGACAAUAUUGGUCACAAAAAAUAAACAAGGGCAAGCUCCCCUGGGAUUCAUUAUAAUAUGAUGACCUCUAAUAGUAUGGAAUCCAUCAAUAUGUUAUCCAUAUAUGAGUGGAAAGUACCAUUUAUAAUGCUCAUCGAGUCUUUUUGUAGUACAAGUGCAAACAAAAAAUAGCAACAGAAGCAUAAGAUAAACAAAUUAUCAAGAACAAACCAUAGAUCAAAAGUUUUAGAAACUACAUACAUAUUUACCUCUUAAAUCCUAGAAAAUGGAACGUAUCCAAAAAAGAGUUCCUCUAUCAGAAUCACACCCCAACGUAGCAAUCAAGCAAGCUAUUCUUCUAUUGGAUACCAAAUAAAACUUGAAAAUCUUAAAGGGGUUUUCUUUGUGCUUUGCGCGGUCAAAAGGGGAAGGGAGGGGAGAUCAUGUGGAGAACGAAUUAAGGCUAGUAUUUUCUUACUCUCUCAAAGCUUUCCAUGCCUUAUAUAGUGUGUAAACCAUAGAUGUAAUCUUCCUCUCCAAGUUUUGUCUAAUUAUGAUAUUAAUACCACAAUGUAAACUAUAUACCUUUAUUGUAUAAAUGACCAUUAUUCUUUAAUUUCUAGUUAUCUAGUUAUUUAUUAAUGAAUAAAAAAAUUAGUCCCUUAUUAUUCUUUGUUUUUAAGAUUGAAAUAUGUGUAUCCCAAAAAAAUGCAACCAAUCAUUAAAAAAUUCACUAUAAAUGAGAGAAUGCUAUGGACAUGGCCCACGGUGGGAAAUAGGGGCGACCACCUAGGACCACUGCUCCAAGUAAGGAUAAACGUUUGGAUCAAAAAAACCAGACAUAACUGGAUCCACACUAGAACCAUGAUCGGAACCGGUUAGGACCGAAAAAGAUAUUCUAGUUCGGUUCCUAGUUCUGUAAAUUUGGCUUAAUCGUUUGUUAGGUUUUUCGGUUUGAUUCCAAUAAUUAUGGGAUUAUUCGACUCUAAAACUUGGAACCAGGUAAUGAAAAAUUAUUUUUUUUCCCUUGUCUUAGUGCUAUGUACGUCCCUAGUAGGCCAAUGUCUGAUUUUCCACAACAAACCUUUAGUAAAUUAAAAAAAAAACUUUAACAUCCAUCCAAAAUUUUAUACGUAUCUUUGGCUUUAAGAAGUCUAUAUAACAUCCAUAAAAUCAUGUCAAAUUUAAACUUUUUUAAAACAUUAAACAUUACAACCUUUUUUUCAAAAUAGUAUAAUACUAGAGUAUCCCAGAAACAACAUCAUAAAUGUGAGGAACUGUACGAUCAUGCCUUUGCCUUCCUGCGAUCGUCAGAGGUACCUGAAACAAAAACAAAAACUGUAAGCCUAAAGCUUAGUGAGUUCCCCCAAAAUACCCAUAUACACGUCAAUACACAUAUAAUCACAAACAUCAUACUAUGGGUCUAGUUAACCAUCGAGUUGGAAUACCCUAGACCCUUAACCAUCCGGUUGGAAUGCCAACAUAUUAUGGGUCCAAUCAUCCUCGGGAUGGAAUACCCCAGGCCCACAACCAACAGGUUGGAAUGCCCACAUACUAUGAGUCCAAUCAUCCUCGGGAUGGAAUACUCACGACCCACAACCAUUGGGUUGGAAUGCCCAGGUCUAUUGGCUUUUGCACAAAUUAGAUAAGCCUCAACCACCAAUCAAACAAGUGCACAUAUAACAGAUAGUCACAUAACAAUCUAUAGACAGACAAACCGAUCUAACGAAUUAUAACAUCAUAAUGAUAUCCUAUCUACCAGGAUACUGAUUUAACCGAUCAUAAUAGCACAACAUAUCAGGAUCACAAUCCAAAAGGGCCGGCCCUGGUGCCUUAGACCCUUGAGUAUAGUGAGGAUAACUCACCUCACAACUGUCGAACCAAAGUGAUAAGCUCAAAUCUCGAACCACAACCACGGACUCCACCACCUAUAUUUACCAUAAGACCAUUUCCAUAAAUUUCCAAUUUACCGAAAUACCCCCGAAAAUCAACUAGUCAAUCCUUAAUCAAAGUCCAGGUCAACGGUCAAGGUCAACAGUCCAUGUUGACCCAACUCGUCGAGUGCAACUCAUUGACUUGUCGAGUCCUUCCAGAACUUGAGAAGUCGUAAAAACCCCCAGUUGACUCGUCGAGUUUCCCUAUAACUCGCCGAGUUCAUGCAUGUCUAAAUGUCGGGAAAACCCUAGCUGACUCGCCGAGUCGCCCUACUAACUCGCCGAGUCCAUGCAUAAAUCCUUGCAGAAAAUCUUCAUCGUACUUGCCGAGUUGGCCAUGCAACUCGUCAAGUCCCUUCAGUCCUUUCUACAUUCAGAUGCUUUUAAGCCACCCUAAAGCUCGAUAUUGCAGAUCAGGCUUCCCAAGGCAUGUUUAUCACGUAAAGUUGCAAACUUUACGUGCAUGCAAGGUUCUAAAGGCUUAGAAUAUCAAAUCCAAACUUAUAAUGGGGUUUAAAUCAAAAGGGAAGGCUCAUACUUGCUAAAGCUGGAGACUUUAUAGCUAUAGAGACCAAGAUAAGUUCAAAUCUGAAGUUGCAACUUCAAAUCCCAGCCCAUACCCGAAAAUGGUUAACAUACAUGCUAUAAAAGCCCUAAUCUUAAACAUGAAGAUAUCUAGAAGGAGGAAAGUCAAGGUAACAACUUUUUACCUUCAAAAUGAUGCCAAUAAGCAGAAGAGUCAGGUCCACCAGCUCGUCUAUGCUCCUACCCUCUUAUACUUCAAUUCUUCUUCUUCUAAAUCACCUUCUAAGCUUGAAAAUCACACAAAAUGGAGAGCACACGUGAAUUAGGGUUUCAGAGCUCAAAGGGACGGUGAGGGGAGGCCAUGGGAGCCUAAUGACCCUUUAAAUAGGGCAUAAAACCCCAGAAAUUAGGGUUUCAUCCUCCAGCUCCAACUCGUCGAGUCAUGUCCUCCGGCUCGUCGAGUUGGCCACUUAAGUUACGAGGUCAAUUUAGUUCCUACUCGACGAGUCGACCUUUCAAGAUGAAAAAAUAAAGCUGAAAAGUUAAUACCUGAGAGUCGGGGUGUUACAAUCUAUUUGUAAGCCUAUUUAUUAUUUUUCUUCUAUAUCGAUCCACUACGCUACAGUUAAAAAUAUUUGAAGAAUUGAUUCUAGUAAGGUUACUGUUACUGUAGCUCAAUGUAACAACCCAAAAAUCCAUUUAUAAACAAUGUUAGCCUUUGUUUACGGAGGAUUAAGUUUUAUGUGUGUUUUCGUGUAUGACUAUAUGCUUAAUAUAUAAUACCAUGAACAAAAAGAUGAUUAACUAGGAUUUUAAAGAUUCGAUUGAAAUUGAAAUGAUUUAAAAGAUUUAGUUAAUGAUAAAUUAAUGUUUAAUAAUGACUAUAAGUUAAGUAAUUAAAUUGUGGUACAAGAGGGAAAGUACAAUGACCAAAGAUGUAUUUGUGGGUGUAAACAUGAUAAUUCAAACGUGGUGUUAGGUAGAAUAAGGAAAAGGAAAUUGUGAAGAAAGUAGCAAAGAUUAAGGACUAGUAAUGUGAAGUUUUUUUCUUUGAAUCCCAUUCGACGAAAACACUCAAUGUAGCUUUCGGUUAUGUCCUUUUCUUUGUAUACGAUUACUUUUGCGCCUCUUCCCAUACAUACGCACACAUAUAUCCUAACCUAAUGUACCUAUGCCACCAAGAGAGAGCAAGUGGAUACGAGAGAGACUGGGGAGACAGGGAGAUGUUUUAGGUGUGGCGUGUUCCUAUCGAGCUUUUUGACAAACUCAAAACCUAGUGGUCUUGCUUUCUUACUUUCGACGACUAUGUUGGAAUGGAUCCUAAAGAGCUCCGAUCACGAUAAACUUCAACCAUGGUCUCCGGUAAGUUGAGCAACAAAACACUGUUUAAUACUCAGGGCCGGUCUAGACGGUGAGCGACUAAGGCGACUGUCUAGGGCCUACGACUCGAGGGGUCCUAAAAACUCUAGAAUAUAUAUAUAUAUAUUUAUAUAUAUAUAUAUAUAUAUAUAUAUAUAUAUAACAUUUAUUUAUCUAUAUAUUUCUUUAGGGGCCCAAAGUUAGUCCAAUGUCCAGUCCAAAAUCACAUUAACCCAAACCAAUUAAUAAAAUGGGCCGCUUGAAUCUUGAUGUCGCUGAACGUGAUUCCGAUUUUCGUGAAUAUCAAAUAGGAACGAGACUAUGGAAGGUAGCGAGGAAUAUAGGAAAUCGAGAUUAGGGUGCCAUAUGAAUCGGUAAUUGAAUCGACGCCUCACGCCUUGAUACUGAAUCGUCAAUUUUCUCUCACAAUCUUUAAUAUCUAAUGACUAAUAUCUUAUGUAGUUCGAUUCUCAAAUAUAAGACAUCUCGUUUCCGGUUUCUCAAAUCUCAAUUGCAAUUUGUCUCUCACGCAACUCACUCGGAUAAUCAUAAAUUGAUAUUGAUAAUCGGUUGAAUUUCUUAUGUUCGGCUUGUAACAUCCCGACUUCUAGGUAUAUGAUUUAUUUCUUGAAAGGCAAAAUCCCCUUGGAACUCAUCGAGUUGAUGGCCUCAACUCGAUGUGUAGAAAUCUCUUGGGUCGUAGACUUUUUUUGGACCAACUCGACGAGUUGGUAAGGAAGAACUCGAUGAGUUGGCGAUUGGAUGGUAAAUCCUAAAUUUUAGGGUUUGCACUCUAUAUAACCUCCUUAUGUAUGUGAGUCUGAUCUCUUAUCAGCUUCCCAAACCCUAAUAUCAAGCCUGUGAGCCCUAAUCUUCAUUUCUUCUCAUAUUAUGAGUUAGUGUUGCACAACAAAUAAGGAGAAGAUUGUGUGAAAGAAGCAAGGAUCUAGCAAGCAAAGCCUUUAGUUUCCAACCUGGCACUCUUGUGAGUAUUCAAGAUCCGAUUUUUAUCUAUAUGUGUAGCUAGAUCUUAAUUUUUUUCCCUUUUCCCUCUUUAUUCUUGGUUGUUGCAUGCAUGGGCUUCAUAAAGGUUGCAACUUUGUGAAUCUACAGGGCAAGAUGGCCUCAUAGUGGCUUUGUCAAGCUUCGAUGCCAUGCAUGGAUUUUAGGGCAUAUUUUCCCUUUUUGGACCCUUUUGGCUUUGAGACAUGCAUUGGACAUGCAUGUCUAUAAAGCAUCAAUCUUUGGGAUGUUUUUGAGGUGAGCACCUCUUCUGGAAAGGAUGGGUCCCGGAUCUCUAAGGGUUUGGGCUUAAUGGUUAAGCCUUUGAGUUUCAAGCCUUGGAUAAGAGAUUUUGAGCAUUUGGGGUAGCCCCAAAGGAUAAAGUUGAAAACUUUAUCCUUUAAGACACAUUUGGAGUUCGGAUUUGAGCCUUAGAGUCCCUAGAAUUGUAGGAUCAUCCAAAUGUGUUUAACAGGGGGAAAACUCGUCGAGUUGUCCAGAGUUGGCUACAUUUUUCCCGAUUUUCCGAGAUUUGAGGGAACUCGACGAGUUGCUAGGUGCACUCGACGAGUUGUGUCAACAUGGACUGUUGACCUUGACUGUUGGCUUUGACUUUGACCAUGGUUGACCAAGUUUGACUUUGAGGGCAUUUUGGGUAUUUUGGGGUUUUGAUAGAAAUGGUCACAUGUUGGAUGUAGGCAUUCGAGUCAGGAGCUGAGAUUUGAGAGUUGGAUCUUAUCAGUCAAUGCUAUUUGUGAAGUGAGUUUCCUCACUAUACUUAUGGGUUGAAGGCACCAAUGCCGACCCUUUUGGAUUGUUAUCCUGGUUAUCUUAUGAUGCUAAUAUGAUGUUACGCUCUGUUAGAUUGGUAUCGUGGUAGAUAGGAUGAUGCUAUGCUUAUUGAUCUUUAUGAUCUGUGCUUGCCUGUUGAUUGAUUAUGCGUUUAUGAGUUAUGUAUAUGUCGACAUAUGUGUGUGUGGUUGGGUUGAGGCGGUCCUGCUUUACGCUAAAGGCCAACAUACCUAGGGAGGCCCAGAUAGAUUGAAGGCCUGUGAGGCGGUCCAGUUAGGCCGAAGGCCUAACGAGCAGUCCGUAUAGGCUGUAGGCCCUACGAGGUGGUCCAGUCAUACCAAAGGUUCGGGAGCGGUCCAGAUAGGUUGAAGGCCCGUGAGGCGGUCCAGUCAGGCUGAAGGCCCAUAUGUGUAUGUUGUUGUUGGUUAUGUUUAUGUGUUGAUAUUUUGGGGAAGACUCACUAAGCUCUAGGCUUACAGUUUUUGAUUGUGUUUUAGGUACUUCGGAUGAUCGUGGAAAGGCAAAGGCUUGAUCGUGCACCUCCUCAUAUUUCAUGUUAUGAUUUCUGGGAAAAACUCUGAUGUGAAACCUAUUUUGAAAACAAUAUGUAAUAAAUGAUGGUUUUUGGAUUUAUGUAAAAGUUUUAAAAUUUUCAAAAUUUUACGGAUGUUACACGGCUGCUACAGUGCUACUUGCGAGUUCAGUUGCGACACGCCGACACAGGGACAAGGACACCAGAUAAUCGUCUAAUCGAUUUUAGUUUCUCAUUCAAUUCGUUUCAUUAGAUUCAAUUAAAGAGGAAUAUGAAGAAUUAGGGAAGAAGAAGGUUGAUUUUUGUUUCACUAAUUUAGGAAAAUUUUGUUUCUAUAUCAAAUUGAUUCAAUUCAAUUGAAUAUCUAGUUUCUCAUUCUAAUUUCCCGUUUUAAUUUCUAGCCUUCUGCUUAGUAAUUAUUCUUAGUUUCUGAUUAUUGUUUAUGAAAUCUUAUAUCUAUUCUUUUACUAUAUCAGAUUUCUGAAUCAGUGAAAAUAAAUGUUUCUGCCUUCAAAAUUACUAAUGUUUUGCUUAUGACUUGAUUCUUUUAGAAUUUCAGCUUCAAAGUUCAAACCUUCAAAGUAUUCCUCCACUAUUAGAUAUCUGACUUGAGUAUUUGACUUGGUAACAUUGUAAUAUGAUGUAUUGGUUAUUCGAUUUUUGAUAUUAUUUUAGUUAUCAUAUUAAUGUUUUUUGUUAUCAAUUUUACAACUUGCUUUGAUAUUAGGCUUCAACAGUUCAACAUAUUUCACAAAGAAAUCAAAGAAAUCAGGUGUAUUCUUUUCUUAAAGUAGUUUUUACUUUAUUUUCAAUCAUAAAAUGCUUUCUAAAAAACACUUAUCAGGUAGUGAAAAACAAAACAAAAAAAAAACAAAAAAUUGUUGAGGCUUCUUUACAAAAAGAGAAAGGGUCUAUGGUUAAAUUCUUAAAAACACUAAGUUCUAAUGAAGAAAAUAUUAAUUUGAAUGAACAUGAUACUAACUUAAAUGAAAAUGUUGCUAGUGUUAAUGAAGAAAACAUUAAUUUAAAUGAACAUGAUAAUAAUUUGAAUGAUGAAAAUGUUAAUUUGAAUGGACAAGAUACAAACAUAAAUGAAAAUGUUAAUAGUUUGAAGAAAAAAUAUUAAUUUAAAUGAACAUGAUACUAAUAUAAAUGAAAAAACAACAAUUUAAAUGAAUCUAUUGAUAUUUUUGACCCUAGAAAUUGUGUUUCCUAAAGAUAAAUUUUCUAGACAUUUUUCUUAUGCAUUUUAUACUAGAAAGUUAAAUAAUGGUGAAACAUCCCAAAAAUACAAGCCAAAAUUUUUUGUUUUAACACAUUACUAAAACCAUAAUAUCAAAAUAUCAUAUAAUAAAACCAUAAGUCAUGUAUCUCAAAAUAACAUAAAAUAUGUCUCAUAUCGCAACUGAUGUCAAAUCAUAACAAAAUAUAAGAGUCUAACUCCCAGGCUAAUCUGUGGUGGUGCCAUGUCAUCAUCCCAAGCCCUUCCCCUUGCUAGCUGAAGUACCUGAAACCAAAACUGAAAUUGUAAGCACGAAGCUUAGUAAGCUCCCCCAAACUACCACAUACCAUACAAUAACAUAUAAAGCACAUACUGGGCAUUGCCCACUACAUCAGACCGAAAUCCGGAAACUACAUCGGACCGAAGUCCGGAAACUAACCAGGGCCUUGCCCUCUGCAUCAAACCGAAGUCCGGAAACUGCAUCAGACCGAAGUCCAGAACUAAACAGGGCCUUGCCCUCUACAUCGGACCGAAGUCCGGAAACUGCAUCGGACCGAAGUCCGGAAACUGCAUCGGACCGAAGUCCGGAAACUAACCAUGGCCUUGCCCUCUGCAUCGGACCGAAGUCCGAAAAAUGCAUUGGACCGAAGUCCGGAAACUGACUGAAAAUAGCAUAGCAAAAUCACAUCUACUAACAUAACACAUAAACUGCAUACUGCAUCGGACCGAAGCCCGGAACACAUAACACAAAGACAUGAUUGAAUCACAAAGACAUCAAGCACACUGAACUACUGCAUCGGACCGAAGUCCGGAACUACUGCUGAUUAAACGGGACGACAUUGUGGCCGUAGACCCGUUCCUACUGGAAGGAAAACUCACCUCGUAACGCUGGCUGCUGAGAUGCUAGAUUUGAAACUGUCUGACUGCUGCUCCGGAACUCCCCGGCUACAAAUCCCAUAAACACUAAAUCAAAUACUGAUAACUAAUCUCAGGGUAAAAUGACUAUUUACCCCUGGUCAAGUCAACUUCCUGGUCAAAGUCAACUUUCAGUUGACUGGACUCGCCGAGUUGGGCCGCCAACUCGCCGAGUCCCUAUCAUCCAUUCUAAUCCUCUACCCGCUUCUACUCGUUGAGUUUGGCAAAGACUCGAUGAGUUCUUCUUCGAUAUUAACAUCGAGUCUAACUUCAUCCGACUCGCCGAGUUGUAUGAACAACUUUUUGAGUUCCCCUUAAAUAGAAGAACACACCCCGUCUAUGACUCACCGAGUCGUAUGAACAACUCGUCGAGUCCGUCUGCUUCUAGAUCCAAGUCUUAACUCACUGAGUCCUUACUCUACUCACUACACAAGCUCGCUACUACUGAACCGGGAAUCUAAGACUCGCGACCUGACUCGUCGAGUCAAAAGAACGACUCGACGAGUCCUUUUCAUGCAAAUUCCAUACAGUCGAUUCUAAUCAACUUUAGUGCAUCCAAUUCGUAGAUCUAAGCUUCUGGGACUAUCUGAACACAUAAAGUUGCUAACUUUUCGUGUAUCUAAGAUGCAAUGAAGCAAUAACACUCAUACUUUGCUAUUAUGGAACGUUUCUUGACUAAAACAAAGCCAUGGCUGCAAAAAGUUGGUCUCCUUGAGCUUCUAGAGCUCAAGANGCUAGAUCUGAGAUAUGACUCGAUCACAAGGCUUUAUCACAAAAGAUUUGGGGUUUUUGAGCUUAAAACCAACAAUUUGGGGACAAACUAGAUCUAUUAGCACAAUAAUCAAGAUGGAAACUUCAUAACCAGAAGGGAUGGCCAAAGAGGAGUGUAUUUUGGAUCUACUUCUUCUUCCUUGAUUUCUUCUACCUUCUCCUUCUUCUCCUUGCUCCAAAAUGCACCAAAAGUUCCUUCACAAGGCAAAGAUCACUCACACACACUUCAAGGAGGCUAGGGUUUCGGGAAUAAGUCUCUGGGAAGUGAAGGAGGCUGGUUUGGGGCUAUAAUGACGUUUAAAUAGGGUGCAAACCCUUGAAAUUAGGGUUUCAUCCAGACUGGCAGACUCGCCGAGUCCGAGAAUAUGGACUCGUCGAGUCGCCAACAUACACCGCGUGCAAAACCCGUCUCUACUUGACGAGUCGGGCUACUGACUCGUCGAGUACCCCUUAAGAAAUGAAAAUUACUUUAUUUAAAUCACAUACCAUAAAUGGGGCGUUACAAAUGGUUUGUCAUGAGAUUGAAAAUGGUUAGUAUGCUAUAAAAAUUUAGAUAAAGUUUUAUGUUUUUGUUGUAAAAUAUUUAAAUCUACUAAUCAAAAAAGUUUUUUUUUUUUUAACAAAUGAAGGAUAUAAUGAUCGGAAACAUCUUAGUGAGAGAUUAAAAGAACAUGAAAAUAGUAAUGAACAUUUUGUUUUUAUGAGUAUUUGGAAUGAAACAAAACUAAGAUUAGAUAAAAACCUUACAAUUGAUAACGAAUUACAACAAAAAAUAAUAAAAGAAAAAGAACGUUGGAGACAAGUAUUAAGAGGAAUAUUAGUGGCUGUGAAAUUCUUAUCUAAAUAUAAUUUCGCUUUUCGAGGGUCUAAUGAAAAACUUUUCAAGAUAACAAUGAUAACUUUUUAGGAGUAAUCCAAAUGAUGUUUGAAUAUGAUGGUAUAAUGCAAGAUCAUAUAAGAAGAAUUGAAAAUAAUGAAACUUGUCAUCAUUCUCUUGGCUAUAACAUUCAAAAUGAACUAAUUUCUCUUUUAGAUGACACGGUUAGAAAUUCUGGCAUUAAAAUAGUUAAAGAGGCAAAAUAUUUUUCUAUAAUUCUUGAUUGUACUCCCGGUGUGAGUCAUAAAAAGCAAAUGACUCUGAUUGUACGAUGUGUUGGAUAUUUCUUCUAAAAAAAUACAAGUUGAAUAUUUUUUAGAAUUUUUAAAAAUAGAUGAUACUUAUGGUUUGAGACUUUUUAACAGGGGCGGAGGCAAUAGGGGGAUGUAGGAUGCUUUGCCCCCUAAUCCUUUUCCAAACUUUAGCUAUAUUAUAGAUCAAAUGAAAUAAUGACUAAACUUUUAUCCCACGUCUCUUACGUUAUAAUGUUUAGCCCCUGCCAAUUAUUUUCAAAGAAAACGAUUAUUAAAAAUGAUAAACAACGAGGAUAUAAAAGAAUUAUCAAUAAAAUUGAGGCCCACAUCUAAAUACCACCGCCUCCACCCCUAUCAUUUUUUUUAAUUGUCCAUUGAUUUAUAUGCCCAGUUAUCUCAAUUCGUUUAGUAGUUGUUUGAUUAUAAUCCCGUUUGUUCAUAAAUAGUGUUUGUUUUGACGAUUCAACAAGGCAAUCCUUUAUUGAUACGUUGGAAGAGGUUAAUUGGCAACACGGCUACAUAGACAUGAUUUCAGAACUAUGGUAAAUUUUAAUUCUUUUGCAAACAUUAUUUACUAUUACUUGUCAUUAAUAAUUUAAUUAGGCUUUGAUAAUGUAGUUAGUUAAUUUAUUAUAAUCAUAGGGUAAAUUAUGAGCAAGAAAAGAACCAUUGAUUCUUUUUUCAAACGAAUUGAAGAUGUGUGUGAUCCAAAUUGCAUCCGAUUAAUAAUAAUACUAAAGAAGAUGUUCAUAAUAAAUAUCCACAACCUAAAAAGAAUGGUAACAUGGAAGAGCUAAAUAACAUCAAAACUGAAAAAUAUAUUAUGUUAGAUUUAGGAGAGGUAAACUUAAGAGUCGAUGCUUAUAGUUAUUUGAAAACUAUUGAACAAUGAGGUUAAUGGAAACAAAAUUUUCUUUGUGAAGCUUUCUUUUCUUUUAAAUUUUUAGACAUAUUACUUUAUUCAAGUAUAAAAUUAUAAUGUAUAUAAUAUUGGAUUUGAGACUGUCAGCCCCCCUUAAUCUUAAAUCCUAACCCCAUCCCUGCUUUUUAAUGAAUUAUUAGAUGCAUUGAAAUUGUUAGAUCUUAAUGUGGAUGAUAUAAGAGGCCAAGGUUAUGAUAAUGAGUCUAAUAUGAAAGGAAAGCACCAAGGGGUUCAAAAAAGAAUGCUUGAAAUUAAUCCUAGAGCUUUAUAUAUACCUUGUGCUUGCCAUAGUCUUAACCUUACAGUUAGUGAUAUGACACUUUCUUGUGAAAAAAAUUGUUUCAUUUUUUGGAAUUGUGCAACGUCUUUAUAUAUUAUUUUCUAGUUCUACUAAAAAAUGAAAAAUAUUAUUAGAUAAUGUUCCAACUUUAACCUUAAAAUCAUUAUCUAAUACUCAUUGGGAAAAUAGGAUUAAAAGUAUAAAAACAAUUAGAUUUCAAGCUUCUCAAAUAAAAGUUGCUUUGCUAAAAUUAAGUAAAACACAUAAUGACCCAAAGUUAAAAAGUGAAACUAAAAACUUACUUAAAUCUUUUGGGAAAUUUGAAUUUUUAGUUGGUAUGGUUAUUUGGUAUGAAGUUUUAUUUGUUAUUAGUAUUGUAAGUAAAAAGUUGCAAGCUAAAUCUAUUUAUAUUGAUACUACUAUUAACCAAAUAGAAAAUAUUAUGAAGUUUUUUGAAAAAUAUAGAAAUGAAAGUUUUACACCAAGUAUGAAUAUUGUUAAAACUAUUACACUUGAUAUGAGUGUAGAGCCUACAUUUCCAUCAAAACGUCGUAUUGUUAGAAAAAAACAAUUUGGUGAAAGUGAUUAUGAAGAAGAAACACAAUCGGUUGAGAGUAUUUAAAAGUUCAUUAUUUUCUGGUUGUUGUGGAUAUGACAAUUGUUUUAUUAAAAAAAUAGAUCUGAACAAUUAAAAAACUUUGAAAGUAAUUUUGGGUUUUUAAAUGAUUCAAAAUAAUUAAAGUCAUUAAAUGAAAGUGAACUUAAAGAAAACUGUAUAAAGUUUGCUGCUAUUUUUUCUAAAGAUAAUGUUUAUGAUGUGGAUUCAAGUGAAUUUGUUGAAAAUGAUUUUAUCUAAGGAUAUAGUUUCUGCUGUUGAAAAUUUGGACUUUGUUAAAGCCGUUGAUUGUUACCCAAAUACUUUUAUUGCAUAUAAUAAUACUUUAGAGCUUCUUUCCGACGAUGUAGUAUUCUUUUGGUGCUCCUUUAAGCGGGCUCGGAAAAGGAAAAAGGAUUGGAAUCAACCUCCUAUUUAUUGAGCACUUUCCGAAAAUGAUAGUUAAAUGGCAACGAAGAGGAUCUAUGGGCACCAAGUUCAUGAGAAUGUGCUGCAUAAUUAUGGUGUUCCUGAUGUUAGUCGACAAGGGAAAACCAAACUGAGGUACAUAUUUUUGUCAAUUAUGUUAUCAGAAGCAUGUAUGCAUUUUGCAUGUGGGUUCACAUAUUCAUAUGUCAGGAUUUAGACAAGGAAAAACAAAAUAAAUAAAUAAAUGUUAUAUAUGGGUGUUGUAUCACAAGAGAUAUUUAUGAGGGAAAAUAGAAAAAUUAUCGACAUAUGAUUUCUUUUUAGUUGUAAUUAACGAAAUAAGAGGGUAUAUAUAUGUAUAUAUUAUAUACAUAAUACGAUAAGUUAUAUAUUUAAUUGUACUAAGGAUUAAUAUAAUUAAAUAUCGAUAAGUGUUUAAUUAUCUAGUGUUAUAUACAUAUAUAUUAUACAGUAUUUAAUAUACAUAUAGUAAGGGGUAAGUAUAUCGGCGAACGAGCUAGACGUAAUCCGGAUAUAACCUUAAAAUACAUUCAUAUAGGUUUAAUGGAAUAGGUGUGUAAAGAAACCAACAAACCUCCAUUAAGACUUCUAAAUACGUAUAAGUGUGUGUAUGUACAAAAACACUUAAAUUUAUGUGCAAUUGAGUGUCGAAAGAUGAAACAAAAUGUAUAGAAAGGUGUAAAUCGGAAAGACAACAACCUCAUAUGAUUUUUGCAUGCAACUUAGCGUAAAUUGAGUGAAGAAUUAGCCAAUGCAUCAAAUUAACAAAUUUGUGGGAAAUCGAGUCUAAUUCAGAAAGCCUAGAAUCAACUCAAUUGCAGUUACAGAUUCUGUUUUAUGCUUAAAUCACUGAACAGUGGUCGGGCUAGGAAAUUAUAAAAAGCAUAUAAAGUUAGUAUUAAAGUUUUACUUUUGAAAAAUGUACUUGAUCUGUUGCUUGGUUGUUAUGUGUGAUUUUUAGGUGAGGCAUUGAGAACUUUAAUUAAGUUCAAGACUUGGAGUAGAAUGAGAGUUUCAUCAAGGCUAAAUGUGAGUUCAUAGUCUUAACUCAUUAAGGUGUAUAAUUGAAACGUAUAAUCCAUAGAUUGUGAUUUGAUUCACAUUAGGAUGACCUUGUCAUUUGUUAUGCUCUAUGAUGACAUGAUAUUUGUGAUACCACCGUAUGGUUUGUGUUAUUUCCAUAUUAUGAGUUAUUUGCUAAGAUGCUUUCACUCUAAUGUAUUUGACAUGGCAUGCUAGUUUUUGGUAUGAGUCGAUAAUUUUCUUAACUUUAGUGCAUAACCGAAAACUAUAUCUCAUAAGUGGGUUAUUAAUGCAAAUUGGGAUCAUGCUAGAAUUGUUAAUUAUUGUUUGCACAUUGUACAUGGUUAUGCCUUAGUAUUUGUUGAUAUGAUGUUAUGGUUGAUAUGUGCUAGUUGAAGUUACUUGCGAUGAUUAUGCCUAAUGAAAUCAAUAGUCAUAUGUUAUGAUUAAUUGAUGGUAUUUCAAUUUUUGCAUGCUAUAUUUCUUAAAUUGGUUGAUCAUCUGGCAUGUUCAUUUUGAAUUAAAGUUGUAAUGAAUUGGUAGACAUAUGCUAUAAUAUGUUAACAAUAUGAUGAAUUUUAUUACAUGCUUCAUUGCUUGUUAAGUUUGUAUGAGUAACAUUUAUACGUUGAUGUAUGGUUGUUUUUGUGGGGUAUAAUGGUGUCAUAGGUAGAACCUUGCAAGUUAAGUUGGUUGAAAGAGCUUAAUCCAUAUCGGUUGUGAGUUGCAUGGUCCUUCUAGAUAGCAGUGUGACAUGUGGUUCGUGUGCAACCCUGUACAUGAGAACUGGAAUGGUGUUGGCUUUAUGGUGUUGCCAAAUCAAGCAUCAUGUGGGAAUCAGGAGGUGUAUUGGUAGAAUUGACACCAUUUAUACCGAUCCUGAACGACACCACGAAGUACUUGUACUUUGCAAAGUCGGAAUAGUGAAAAUGGAAGUCUUGGGGUUGGUGAAUCCGGGUUGAGGUGAGCCACUUAAAGCACUAAAUUGGUUGAGCACACGAGUAGUGAACAAGGUUAAGUUAUUGGGUAGGCGGUCACUAAGAAAUCCCAAAGUAAUAAUCGGUUAAAAGGUGAUUAUAAACAAUAAUAAGUUGAAUUGAACUUGUACAUGAUAAUCGGUUGAAAGGUGAUUACAAUAAUCAGUUGAAUUGAACAUGUAUAUGAUAGUCAUUUGAAAGGAAUUACGUAUAAUAAGAGGUGGAUUGAAUUAUAUGUAAUAUCCGGUUGAAUUAAGUUGAUAACUAUAUUUAGUUGAAUUAAAAUUCAAAUGAUAUGGUCAAAUGUUGUAUUAUAAAUGGUUGAAAUGAAUUAUGAUAUAUAUGUUUGAAUUGCUACUUGGUUGGUUAUAUAUAUUAAAAGGUUGAAAAAUAUAAUAAAAUGUUUGACUAAAUGUUUGAUGUAUAAUAAAGGUUGUAUAAAUAAUGAAAUGUUGUUUAUAUGAAAUUUGAUUGAAUGAUUAUGAUAUGUGGUAGUUUGCUAAGUGGCAUUUGUUUCUUAUUUUUAAGCUUCAUCGUAGAAUGUAUUGUAGACUCAUUUGAGGUUUGUAUGUUUUUAUUCAACCUUUAUGAACUCACUCAACAUGGGAUGACACUUGUGUAUUUUCUCUUUUGUACCUUAAUAAUAGAGAUCCGGUCUUUCGUUCGUAAGGGGUUAUUAUGGGGUAGUUAUUCUAAUUAGAUGAUACCAUUUUAGACACGUUAUAUGUUUUAUCAAAUUACAUAUUUACUUUUGCUAUGUUUUUAAAUGGAUUGAAAUCAUGAAUUGAUUUUGAGGUAACACGGUGAUUUGAAAAUGUUUUGAAAUAACUAAGUCUCCCGCUAACGUAUUCUGUUAAAGAUCCUUUUAAAAAGAAAAAAAAUUAUGGUAAAAAUCAUAGGGUUACACCCAACAAACUUUAUUAUAUUGGUUUAAACAGUCCGUCGUGACAAUUUUUUGCAUUUGAAGCAGGGUUGUUCCAAACAUAUUUUGGGCCCUAGGCGAAAAGGAAUAAAAGGCCCUUAAAAUACACAAAUUUCAUUAACUUUUUUUUUAAUAAUAACUCAAUAGUUGAAAAAAACUACUUGUACUAGCAUCUAAAUAUUACAUUUUCGAUUACAAAAAAUUAUACAUUCAUGACUCCUAAAUAAUAUAUACAUAUAUAAUAAAAUCUAUAUAAAUUUUGGGCCGCUUUAAAAGAUGGGCCCUGGAUGAUCGCCCUAUCUGGGAUGGACCUGAUUUGAAUGACACGAAUUAUAGUUUUACCGUUUUAAAAUGUCAUUUUACCCAUUUUAGUAGAUAUCUAUGCCUAUUCACCUACCAACUAAGCUAGUAAGUGAAUAGAAAUAACCCGGUGAGUCAACACAGAGUCACUACCUAGUCGACUUGUUGCCAUGCAUGCAUGGAUUUAUUACCGCCAUUAAAUACCAACAACACCCCAAAAACCUUUAGACUAAAGGCAAUCAGUGGUUUAGGUGGGCAUAUUAAACAUGGACAAACCAUGUGGGGUUUUAUGCAUAACAAACUUGAAACUUCUUUACCAUUUUCGGCCAAAACACCCUCUGACAAGAACCCUAAAAUAACAUCAAUGUCGUCUCCACCACCUUCACCCGAAUCCUUAAAUUCUCAUGAAGAUGUCAACUACAAUGUGCUCCACUCCAUCUUCUGUGAAUGUGAUCAGAAGACAACCUAAGAAAAAUGUAACGGUUGAAGGACUAGCUUAGAUAAUACUACAUCAUUUUCAGGAUCGACCACAUCAGUCUCCAGCAUAAGCUGGAUGACCAUGACAAGAAGUUUUUUUGAAUCAUAAAAGUAACCCUCUUGAACUUGAGCUACCGCAAUUCUCAAGGAUCCGCAGUCAAACCUUCAUCAGCGACCUCAUCCGAAGUCAUCAUCAACCGCAACUUCACUUACUACUUUACUUAGUUUAACUUUAUAUACUUUAUUGUAGUACUCUCUAUUGUCCAGUAUGCCUUCCAUGACUACUCUUAGAGAAUUGAUCCAAUGUAAUUCUUGAGUCUCUCUAUAUAGAGCUCAAUCUUUCUCAUUUAAUACAACUUCGAGUCUAUCAAUUACAUCUCUCAAUUACGCAUCUUAAAUCUCUCCUUACUCUCAAAGUUCACUAGAACAUAACUGAAUAUUAUUUCUCUUCGGAGCAAGUCAUUCUUGACUUAAUCACUAAGUUUGAUCUCGCUUACUAACUUGGUCUGAAUGCAUUCCAUGUUAUGAAUCAACUUAUGUGUAUACUUGAUAUAUCACCUGCUGUCAUUUAUAUUUCCUUACAUUUCCGCACCUAACUUUCGAAUUAUCUAACUCUAACUUAUUAUUAUUGUUGAGCUUUCAUGAUCCUUUGAGAUUAACUAUUCCGCAACUAUACGUGUUCUAACGUUUGUUCAAGUGUGUCCCAUGUUUUUCUCUCAACAAGUUUCAAGUUUUUGGUGUUGCAAUGGGUGGCAUGAUAGUGGGGAGGCUCAUGUUAUUGGUUGUUUCAAUCCAUUUUAUUGUCAAUCUUGGGUGAAGGGUGGUUAUGAAGCAUAUAGGUAUUUGGAUUUUGUGUUUUUUUUUUUUUUUGUUUUUUUGGCAAUGUAUGUCGAUGAUUGUAAAAGACAUGUCUUCAUGACAGACAUUUUGUAACCUUACUCCAAUGAUGAAUGAAAGACCUGAUCAAAUCAGGCGUUUUGUAUGUAAAAUUUUCAUUGUUCUUAUUUUCUUAUUUUUUGACAUCCAAAAAAAUCUGUUACCAGUGCAUGUUAAGUGGGAAGAAGGAAAGAGUAUUGUGUUAUUGAACCCCAUGUGCCUUGCAUGGUGGGGGUAUUUUAUUCUUUUCCACAUACUCGGAAUCUGUCAAAAGCUUCUUCUCUACCUACUUGUUUCAUUCUCUCACAUUGUUUUCUCCUUCAUAUACUUCCCACUGUUAAGCAAGAUAACAAAGAACAUGGAAUGUGGACGUGGAAGUACUGCAAUAAUAUGAACAUCAUGGACUAGCAAUAACCCGAAAGACCAUUUUACGCAUGUCCAAACAAGGUAAUUUGUAUUUUGUUCAUGUUCUUAUUUAUUCAUAUUAAUUUGCUUAUUAUAUUACCCUUAAAGUUAUUGUCUUAAACGAUCUAAUCAUUGUUCACCAUUGCAUUACAUUAAGUAAGUUCUAUACAAGGACCAUAAACAUUAUCAACACUUAUUGGACAUGUGUCCACUGAAUGUACAAGAACCACAUGUUCCCUUGUAACCUAACCAAAUUACCAUUGUUUCCUUAAACUAUUGACCUUAUGUCCAUUGCGUAACAUGCAACAUGCACGUUCAUUACAUAACAACCAAACAAGUAUAAAUGUGUUUGAACAAAACAAACAAGUACAAAUGUUUCUCAAACAUACAAACCUAACAUAACAAGUACAUGAAAAUAGAUAUCCUAACAUAACAACCACAUGAAAGACAUAUCCUACUCAUUAAGAUCCAAUGGGUUUGCACUUAUCUCCUUUCCCAUCCUUACCCUUAGCCCUCUUAGAAAGUUUUAUCUUGGUAAUUCUCUCAAAUUUUGUUCUUUUACAUUUUCCCACUUAUUUUGCUCCAUUUUGUCCUUCAACCACUCAUUUUGAUCCACAGUGUCCUGCACCACCUGCUUCUGCUCCUUCACCAUUUGGUUUGGCUCCUUUAUUUCCUUCACCAACCUCACCCUUAUCAUUGCCUGUUAUUUUCCUUUCCUUAACAUUUAGUUUUGUGGGUCUUUCAACUUGAGGCCUUUGACCUUAAGGACAUGUUACCUUGUUAUGCCCUAGUUGGUUACACACACUGCAUGAAUUUUUCCCUGCCUUAGACACAGUGUGUAUUGGAAGCUGUUCAGAUGCAUCUCUUCUUUUGUUUACCUUUGUCCAACCUUGAAUUCUUCUAUUCAUUGGUGGAAAAGGUGAUAUGAAGUCAGUAGGUUGUCACAUAUUGCUACCAUUCAUCCUAUCUAUUUGGUACUUGUAAGUGUUCAUGUACAAGGAACCAUAGUACAUUGGAUCCACAAAAGCGCCAGCAUCUCUAUACAGAUAUGAGAUAGUAGCAAUUGAAUGCACACAUCCAUACCAUUAAGUUGCCACACUGUACAACUACAAGUCUUCUUAUCCAAGUCAACAACAUAAAACUCUACCAGGUUUCUUGUUUUAAAUUGGUUUAGAUCACUUGGUAAAACCAGCCAAAACCUAUUUGAGACAGAACAUAAGUUAACAUCUAAUUACAAUUAGGAGUGUAAAGAUUAGAAAGUACCUUUGAGCUUUUUUCAAUUUAUUAAGUAGGAGUGUAAUUGUUGGGCAAGGUUUGUAAUCAGACCAUGAACUACCUUUGAUCUUCAAAUUGUAUAGCUUCCAUAAACAUAUAAUCUAAUCUCCUCUAACAUGGUGAUGAUUGGCUUUUUCCUUGUAUCGCUAAUGACAUUGUUAAAGCUUUCAGAAAAUCCAUUCUCCACUACAUCACACAUCUUUCCAUAUUGAAAGAAUGUUCUACUACAAGAUUUGGGGUUUGUUUCCAUAAGGUAUGCAAAGGUUGUAGGGUUAAUCAAUUCAAUCUCCUUGAAUAAAGGCUCAGUGAAUGCCUUGCUUGCCUUCCAAAACAUGGUCUUAUAGUGUACACCGGUGUAUCUUUUCCUAAAGUUGGCAACAAUAUGCCUUGCACACUACCUAUGUUAAAUGGUAAGCAAUACUUAUUUGACGACCUCUAAUAGCCCCUACAAAAUAAUGGUAAUAUGUUAGAGAAAAUGAAACCUAAAGGUACAAUAAUUUAAAAGGUAGCAAGUAAUGGAAAUACCUUAUGCUGAUCCGACAUCAAUGUUAUACCAAAACCAUUAUCUAGUUGAAGGCCAUCUAUAAGAUUUUCCAAGAACCAUUUCCAAUUUUCUUUGUUUUCUACACAGACAAUUGCCCAUGCAAUUGAGAAUAUGUGAUUAUUAGCAUCCCUUCCUACAACACAUAUUAGCUCUCGAGUACAUGGACCCUUUAAGAAACACCCAUCCAAAUUUAUUACUCUUCUGCAGCUCCCUCUCCACCCUUGCUUUAGUCUAUCAAAAAAAUGUAAAACUUGCUAAAAUAUUUAUUACCAUCUAGCAUACAAUUGACACCCAUUUUGACUGUUGAUCCUAGAUUUGAUCUUCUUAUCUACUCACCAUAUGACUAAAGCUUUGCAUAGUGUUCCAUUAGUGUUCCUUCAAUCAGUUCAAUUGCAUACUUCUUUGCUCUUCUACACUGUCUCAUACUCACAUCUAUACCUAGUUUCUCUCUAACCUCAUCCUUAAGCAUCAUGGCACUAACUUUUUGUUUUUGUAAAAUUAUGUGGUGUAAUGGCUACCUAUUUAGGAAUAGUUUACAGUUGAACCUAAUUUGAAGUUUCUUUCAUAGUUAUGCUUAUCUAUGAGACUCUUAAUCUAGAAAGACUUUUCCUCACUCAUCCAAGAAGCCCACAUUCUAAACUUGCACUGCCCAAAACAAUAUUUCACUAAAAGUCUCAUACUAUCAUUUUUUUGUAGCAUAACCGAUAACCAAUUGCAACAACAUAGUUACACAUCAUAUGUUUUAGUUGUUUAGGACUCACAAAUCUCAUACCUAAUAUAGGCUUCUGCUUUUUCCAACAAACAUUCUCAUUGUAAAUAGCUUGGUCAUUAGAUAUUACCUUAUCCUCAUGUAAAUGAUCAUAUGGCUCUUCACGCGGUGGACCGUGUGGGGUGACUUGCUCAUUUGGGCACAACUUACUAUAAAACUCAUCCUUUUUUUGUCUUUUUCAUAGGAAUGCACUCAUCAGGUUCAGUUUCAUCUUCCAUGACAAUGCCAUCAUCUUUCCCACCUUGCAAAUCAUCCCUAGCACUUUGCAAAUCAUCCAUAUCUUCUUGCAAAUCAUCCCUAUCACCUUGCAAAUCCUCCAUAUCACCUUGCAAAUCAUCCAUGUCAAUGCCAACAUCCAUACCACCUUGCACCUUUUCAGAAACUUAAUUUACACUAGACAAUUCAUUUAAAGCAAUGUAUACUUCAUCUUGCUUCUCAACAAUCCAUUGAUGUACGUUAACACCAAGAUGAUCCAAGUGUACAGGAACAACACAACCACAAGCAUACCCUACUUUUAUGAAUUCCAUGUAGUCUAUGUUGGUAACUGUUAUCCUCAACCCAUCAGGGAACUCAACAUCGGGCAUGCAAAAAUAAACAUUCACGUAUCUCUCAUUCGUAAAUCUUUGAAGGAAGUCCAGAAAUACGUUCUUGUCCAUUCCAACAAAAUCGACAUCAUCAAACCUUUUCUCCACUCCAUCUGAGUAAGAAAUAAUAGGGUACCUCGUAAAAAUUCCGGCAAAAUGAAGAUCAAUCUUCAUGUAAACGACCAUAGCAACGAUACACUUUCCCGAUUUGAGCGAAGAACAAUUGAAGAAAAGGAUUUUUGCCAAGAAUGGUUGCACAAAGGAUCAAGAGAAUAAAGUAGCAGAAGAAAACGACGAAAGAGACAGUUGAUGAAAUAGUUGAAAUGUUUAUUAGGUCUUUAACUCACAUCAAUGUGGUAAAUGAGUUGACAUUGUUUUAUCUACGUGGCAAUUAUGUGACAUUGGCAAACAGCUGAUUAUGAUGAGUGUCACCGGGUGACCCCUUUAUAUAUUAUAAAAGGACCUUUUAAAAUAGUAAAACUAUAAUUCGUGCCCUUCAAAUGCAAAAAAUAGUCACGAGAUACCAUUUAAACCACUAUACUAAAGUUUGUUGGGCUAUAGUGACAAUAACCAUUUCUAAUAUAUGUUUUCUUUAAAGGUUAAGAUUGCAUCAAUUUAUCUAUAAUUUUAAACAGUUUGAAAUAUUAUUUCUAAUAUAUGUUUUCUCAUAUAGCUUUGAAACAUCCCAUGAGGUUAAAAAAAGUAUCAAACAACCCUGAAAACAUUUUUUCUAUGAAAUGGGUUCUUUUCUGUUUCAAAGAAAUGUGUCUAUGUUUUCCGGUCCUUCCCGAUUAAUAUCCAAACGAGAAUUGGUCACAUAUUGGUAUAACCGGUCCGAUUUUCAGUUUUUUUUUUCCGUCAAAUUCAAUUUUUGAUUCUUCCAAUUCCGAUCUGGUUUAAAUCCCUAGUUCCAAGGGGCCCAAAAUUUUUAUGAUCUAUUUAAUAUUAAUAUAAUCGUUACUCUAUUUAAAAAAAAGAAAUGCUAUAGAAAUCAAAAGCUACCAAAUUCAAAUGCCAAAAUUGGAUACAUUACUAGAAGCAGAAAGAACAUAUCAUACAUAUAAUAAUCGUUUUUCAUAAAGGUGGUAGGUGCAACCAAAAUGGGGGAAACAGAAUUGACGAAUUGUAAAUUGAUGACCUAUGAAGCCAUCAAAAACGAUAGAAGGGAUUAGUCGAUUUAUGUCGUCUUAGUUCCUAAGUAUUAACAGUAAGAAUCUCAUUGCAUAUAAAAUCAUUUUAAUCAAUCUUGUGAAUGUAGCAUCCGUAAGAAAGUUGCAUCAAAUUGAGAGGGUAUGUAUCAUGACUAAGUGUGGAGGACUCUUUACGGACCACGAAUUCGAAGAAAAAGGCUCUUGAUUUAAUUAUUAGUAUGACUUGGUGGGUUCUUUGGAAUUUCAGAAAUUCUAGAAUUUUUGGAGACAAUAAAUUCAUAAAAGAUAUGAUCUUUGAUACGAUCCAAAACUAGUUUACUUGGUAUAGUGGUAGAAAUCGUAAAAGUGCUAUUACUUAGACAUGCUGGAUUCAUUUAAAUAUUGUAAUUAUAUAACAUGUUUUUUUUUUCUAUAAAAUUGCUAGCUUUUGUUUAGUAAAACCUUUCAGUCAUUCAAAAAAAAAUGUACAUUAUUAGUAACAUAGACAUUUAUCAAAUUCAUUCGAGUGAUAAUCUGAAAGCCUAGUAUGAUCUCCUGCUUAGCUGGUAGUGAUGUACCAGGUUUAUAACCCACAGUGGGGUGAGGUUGGAUGUUCGAAUCUUUGGGACUCCAUAAAUCCUUUUUAAUUGCUCCUUGUGGGGGAAUUUUCCCUGGAAAUCCCGUCAGGGGCUGGGUUUGCCUGCUUUGCGGAGCUCGAACCAGGGGUGCACGUUUAAAAGUACGUGUAGGCUUCGUUAUUUCAUUUUCCGUUUCCAAAAAAAAAAGUUUUGCUUAUGUCAACAUUCUAAAAGCUAGUGGAAAUAGAAGAAUGGGAUGCAUCAACCAAAAGUGAACGUGUAUAUAUAAACUUUAAUGUAUAACUAGAUGGGGAACCCCUGCGUUCCGGGGUCAGAUGCGACAAUUUUUUCCGUUGUUUGUUCUUUGAAAAUGUUUAUAGUUUGAGUUGCUAAUUCCUUCCCUCUUUAACUGAUCUAUAAAUAAAUAAAUAAAUAAGAAAUAAAAAAGCAUCAAUGAAUUUGUAAGCAAAACUAAUCAAGUGACAAUUAAACGAAAACAUAGGAACCUAUAAUGUCACAAAUAACCAACAGAAGUAGAGGGACCAAAAAGGACAAAAAGGAAGCAAGUUUAAAAUGACCUAAAUAUAGUUGAGGGACCAUUUCUGCAAAAAAAUAUUAAUAUGACUAAAUACUAAUAAUAUGUAAUAAAAUACGAGGGUUAUGAAAAAUUCAAACGAAAGUGAAAGAGUUGUUUGUGAACAAAAGCAUAAAGGUGAAGGGUGAAUGUUGUAACAUUAAUUGAAAAAAGAAAUUCCAGCCAAUCAAAACAAAAUAUUGUUACAAAUUUUCAUAACUUUAAUAUAUAUAUAUANAUAUAUAUAGAGAGAGAGAGAGAGAGAGAGAGUUAGGUUCAUAUAUAAACCUUAAUUAUUGUGUGAAUGUGUGAACCAAUGAGAAUUUAAAAAUAAAAUAAAUGAUUAAUUAAACAAAUAUAGGUAUAAUGGACACUUUCCUUUUAUCUACCCAAAUUAAAAUAGUAAUAUAUAUGGAAACAAUUUAACAGACGUUUCAAAUGCUAAUAUAUUUUUCAGUCAUUACAAUAUCGGAUAAUAUGACUGCAAGAAUUUAACUAUCAUAAGAAAAUAAUACUAAUUGUUAAUUUUUUCAGAAUAUUUUAUACUAGGAAAAUGCGAUAUUACUUAAUUCUUUAAGAUUUAAGUAAUAUUAUUAAUCAUUACAACCUUAUAUACCUCAUAACAUAUCAACAUUCUUUAGGAAUCUUAAUCUAUAAACAUCUCCUUCUUAAAGAAUGUCUAUUACAAAAUUCCAAAGUUGAUUAUCAUGUCUGCAUUCUAACCUCACUACCAAUAAAUAGAAAUUUAUGUAAUAAUUCUUUACGAAUCAAUUUAGAAAGAAAAAUUAACAGUAUAUAAUGUUUUAUCUCCUCCUCUGCAAACUCUCUUUCAACCAUUUCCAACUCCCUAUCUGUUUGUCACUACUUUCAUCUUCAUGCUCAUCAUCUUCUCUUCUUAUAAACUGCUUCAUCCCAAGAGCGUUUGCAUUCACUUAAAGUCCUUGAUCUGUUUCAACUUAUCUCUACUAACAUGUGUUAUAAAAGGAGUGUUUUUCAAUUUAAUUCUUAUACUAAUGCAGAUAUUAAACAGAUAAACCAAUUGCAUAAAAAAUUGUAAUUUGAUUGCGAAAUUUAAUACACAAUAUAAACUAAUAGUCAAUUGUAUUUAAAACAGUUAUAAUGAAAUUCAUACCAACAAUUCAGUAAUAGGUCCUGAGUAAUAGCAAAGCUAGUCCUCCUGAUUCCACAAUUGCGUCCUUGUCAUCGAGCUUUCAACAAUGUAUUGACACAGAUAGAUACUUGAAUAGUCUUUUAACAUGGUUAAACUCUCAAUAACUUCUAUUUGACAUGUCCCCAUUUUCUUUGAAUCAAUAAAAAUGUUGAUAAACAUUAUUAUAGAACUAAGUCUAAAUAGAAGGUUAUCAACUUUCGACUCCUUUAUUUUUCAUAAUAUGAUGUACUUGAAUACUUUUAUGGGGAUAUUGAUCUCCCCAUAGAUAUAUCCAUAAUCUCAUAUAUCCUUUUCUUAAUUAUGGUCUAUUGACAAAUAGACUGUUGUUGCUACAUCACACUUCAUUUUCAAUCUAAUUUCACCAACAUUUCCACCAUCAUCUUUUCUUUUUUACAUUUUUACCCUUUUUGUCGAUUCUACAUUGUGUUUCUUCCUUCUUUCUUUCUAACUUACCUUCCCCUUUCUAUCACAACUCCAUCAUUUUCUACAAUGAUUUCUACCUUGGGUAAUUCUUCUCAAGCUUCCGGUUCUUCUUGGAGAGGUUGUGCUACUACAACACCAUCUGUUAAUGAAAACAAGUUAAAAAUUGAAUAUGAACUUACUUGAACCACAUGAAUUCUUUUAGAAUUCUAUAAACUAAACCAAUAUACGACCCUACUUUACUUAUUUAUUCUAGAAGAAUACCAAAGUAAAUAAUCAGUGCACAUCAAAAAACCAAUAUAAUGACCCAUCAAUCAAUACACAAGCAUAAAACAUGCUUUUACACAAAUAAUACGUGUAUAUUCUUUUAGAAUUUAUUAUGUUAUCAGAAAUUAUGAUGUUAUACCUUAUUCUAGAAGAAUAAAUCAUAAACAGUACAAACACCUCCAAGAAUCAUAACUACACUCAAACCCUAAAUUGUUAUAAAAUAAAAUACACACUAUAUAUUCAACAAUUACAUGUGCAUUCUGACAGAAUGUUUGAUUAUUAUAAUUAUUCUUGAUGAAUACAUUGAUGAUUAUACUUAUUCUUACAGAAUACAUCACAAACAAUCAAAAACCUGGAAGAAUCGUAACUACACUCCAACCCUAACUUGUUAUUAACUGAAAUUCAAUCUACGUUCUCAACAAUUACAUGUGACUUCUCACAAAAUGUGUGUUUCUUAUCUGAAUUCUAGAAGAAUAAACGUGAAUAAUAAAAGAUACCUGGUGUUGGUGGAUUGACAAAAUCAUCGUCUUCAUCAUCGAGCCAUAGUGGCGAAGAUGUUGUGUUUGUGAGCUUCGUUUUGAUGUUUUGUCCCAAUCUUGAGCUUGAUCGCCUUCUCAUUCUUUGAAUUUUUAGUUACUAGUCGAUUCCUUUCUUUGAUUGUAAAUUCUGUGGCGAUGGUUCUUAUACGUCUAGAAUAUUGUCAGUAGUUGGAAUAAGAAAUCUUUUAAAAAUGAUAAUUGAUUUGGUUUGAGGGAAAGCAUAUAAUCAUACGAUAAUAUCCGCAAUCUUUCCCCCCUAAAAACAUGGAAUGUUAUUAACCGGUGGCACAAAAGAAUCUGGUUCUACGCUUGUAAUAUGUAGAAUUCCAUUUUUAAAACAGUAAUAAUGCUUUUAUCACCAAUUUAAUUAAAACAAAAAAUCAUUAACUAAUUAAAUCAGGAUCCAUUCUUAACCACAACAUUCUUUAAAUCCAAUGGUCCACAUUGAGUCCUACACUCACACUAUAAUUACCAUUCACAUUUAAUCCUAACCCUAUAAUAUAUAUAUANAUAUAUAAAAAAUUACAUGGGUGUCACCGUGUCAGUUAGGAGAGUAAUCCUAACUGGAGGUAUAAAUCGUAUAAUAAUGCUAUUAAGACUUUGUUUGGUGUACUAGUUGAAAAGCUAGCUGAUAGCUGAAAAGCUAGCUGUUAAAUAAAAAGCUAGCUGAUAGUUAAAAAACUAGCUAAUAAAAAAUAACGUUUGGUAAAAUAACUAAAAAGUUAACUGAAAUAUAUAAAAUUACAUAAAAUGACAUGUAUGAGUAUGUGUUUCUAUAAUUAAUUAACAGGUGUAUUUGGAAAAUUAUAAAAAAGCUCAUAAAAAACUAGUCUAAGUAGCUUUUCAAAAAGCUAGCUUAUAAGCUACUUUUUGGCUUACCAAACACGAUAACAUAAAAUAACUCGAAAAAUAAGCUAGCUUAUCAGCUAGUUGUGGCGCGCCAAACACAACCUAAGUCUUUUCAUUUUGGUCUUAAAUAGAGAUAUGUAGAUUCGUUGUGAAUCAUAAUGGUUGUAAAAUACAAUCAUUAAUAAAUUUUCCUAGAACAAAAUACUUUUGAUGACACGUAAACAAUAAGGAUAUAUAGAAUAGUCAUGUAUUUUAGCUCAUUCAUUGUAUCAACUAUCAAAACUAAAGUUCAAUUUUGUUGAUAUUCCAAAAAAUCCAAACUAAAUUUUGUAUCAUCUACUUGUUAACAUAUUCUAAGGCUCCAGGCAGUGGAGCUCGCUAUGGAAAUUGCUAGGCUGUGCCAUCCUUACUGAACACCGCCAUGUGGCUUACGUCAAGGGGCUCGCCAACUAUGACUUGCCAACACCAUAAUGAGAUGAGAGAGGAGAGAGAAGGUGGUGUCAAAGGGUUGUGAUUGGCCAAUUAUUAUUAUUUUUAAAUUAAAGCUAUUAAAAAUAACACACCAUUUGAAUGUUACCAUUCUUUAUUUUUUUACAACUUGGAUGCUAUCAUUCUCAUUAUCAUAUGCGGCUUAAAAAAAUCCUAUGCGGCUUCAAACAAUCUGAUGUUGCAACAUUUAUAACUUCUUCAUCAAACUUCAGGCUUACGGGUAUUCAUUUUGUGGAUGAAAAAUAACAUUAAUCUCUUUCACUUUUAUUUACAUAUCUUUCCAUUUUGAAAAAGAUUGAUGUGUUCCAAAGCUGCCAUUUAAAUGAUCUAGAACCGAUCCCCAGAAAUAUGAUGAUCUAUGUUGACUCAUGUCCCUAUUUUCGAAAGUGUCAAUGUGUGUUUGAGCCAACAUCACUUAUUCGAUUUCGACCAAUUACGCAGAAAUAAAUGGCCUAGGAAUAACAUCAAUAUUCAAAUUUUCGGAAUAUAGAGAGAAUAUAGUAAAAUAAAAUGAAAUUACAAACAAAAGGUAAAGAAAGUAGAGGAGAAUGUAAUGGAAUUGAAAGAAAGAUGUUGUUUUAAAUUGGUAGGUAAAUGUAUAUUUAAUAGAAAAAUUAAAUUAAAAAAAUAAUAAAAAAAGAGUCGUUGAGAGGAAUCACAGGUUCCUCAACCCGUGUUACAAGCCAAAUCUCCAACCCGCCAAACGACAUAACAACUCCCCCAAUGGUAGCACAGGUACCGCCACCCAUUUUUUUUCUUCCCAAGCGACUCUGACCUCCCUAAGGAAGAGAGAGUCAUUCCCUCCCAACCCACUCAGCUCACUACUACAUUAGUUUUUUUUUUCUCUUUUUUUCUUCAUCUUUCCCAGCACACAACACACAGAAACUCUAUCUUUUUCAAUCCAUUCAAUUAAAAAAAUACAAAAAAACUAACACCCCGCUCCCGAUUUGAAGCAAAGAAAAGAAGAGAAGAGAAAAGAAAGUAAGGAGAGAAAAGAAGAGAAAAGAAAAGAAAACAAAUUUGUCUUUUGUGCUUCCGAGUUGAAGAGAAAUGGAAGGAAAGUUAAACAUUUUAUUUUUUCUUUUCAAAUCCUCCCAACUCGGAAGGGAAGUUAGGAGGGAAAGUGAUCAUUCCAUUUCAUUCCACUUUCUUCCUUUAAUGAAACUCGGGAGCAUCAAUCAAUCAAUCAAUCUCUCUCUCUCUCUCUCUCUCUCUUACUUUCCUCUCAUUUCCACUCAUUUCCUUUCUUUUCUCUCCUUAAGUUGAACUCGGGAGCGGGGUGUAAGGUAUAAGUCUUAAUUAGCAAUAGAAUUACCGCUAGUACUUUCAAGAUAUCACUCCCUCUUCAGUGGGUUGGAAGGGUUGGAAGUGGUGAAUUGUUUAAUUGGUUUCACUAACAUGCUCAUCAUCUCUCUCUACUUUCUUUCUCUCAUUUUUUCUUGUUUGUGUUUUAAGACUUGUACCUUAGUUGUUUUGUAUUUUUUUUAAUUGAAUGGUUGAGUGGGUUGAAAAAGAUAGGAUUUGCUGAGAAAGAUGAAGAAAUAAGAGAGAAAAAAAACUGAUGUGGAAGUGGAUUGAGUGAGUUGGGAGGAAAUGACUCCCUCCACCGUAAGUGUAGACGAUGUUCAUAAUUUUCGGAUAGCACCGGAAGGACCGGGGUACCUCCAAGAUGAUGGCUCCUCAGAAAUUCGUAAUGCUGAUAUGCAAAAUAUUCAACGCGUUAUGUAAUCCGUUUUUCCACAUACUUGUACAUUUUGCUUGUUACUUGUACCGUAUGUCGUUUUGUAUGUUUUUAAUUGAGUGAGUUGAAAAUAUAAGUAUAUAUUUCAUGUGUUGAUAGAGAUGAAAAAAAAAAAAACUGGUAUAAAACUCAAGUGACUUGAGUAGUUGAGAGGAAUGAAACAUUUUAAACAAUGUAUAGGUACUUUAUUUAUUUUAAUAACCACGAAGGUUAACUGGUUAAGGAAUAUCAAUAUAUAUCGUUAACUAUUGACAACUACACAUUUUUCUUAUAUUAAGUAUUUUUUUUAAACUAUCUCAACAAGUUGCGACGAGUUGACACUUGACGAAUUAUUAGCAUAAUGAACGGGUCUCAAUUCAUUGAACGAAUUAAUUCAUAAACAAUUUAAUUAUGGUCAGACGCUGCAGAUAAAAUUGUUAAAAUUAUUCAAAGUAAUAUAUUAACAUUAAGCUUAGGCAAACAUCAUUGUAUAUCAAUUUCAGUAAGUUAUUAAGCAUGUAUCAUGACAUACGAAAACUUUUUGUUAACUAAAAUCAUUAUCUUAUAUCAAGAACAUUGAUUAGCACAUCGAGCUCCACUUCAGCCCAUAAUGGAUAAAUUUUUGCUAUGGUUAGAGAAGUGAGGAAGAAAAAAGAAAAACGAAAAAGAGAGUGGCUGGUGGAAGAAAAAUAUGUUUUCUCACGUCUUCAAGCAAUUGCCGAGUUAGAACACUGAGUUUGGCAUGUCGAGACAACACUCACUGUCAACUCACUACCGAGUCCCAUUCCACAUAGGCUAAUAAUCAAGUAUCUAACAUACACACCAAAUACUUACUUUUGGAAAAAUUAUAAGCUCUAUAAAUCUCACUAAAUUUUGUAGAGACAACGAUAAUCAUAUAAAUAAUUAAACAAUAAUUUAUAAGACUUUGAUAUACUAAUUUAAAAUAAAGAUACACGUGGCUAGCUGGAGAUGCUUUCGUUGGAAAUACAUGACAAGAGAUUGCCUACUCCGGAAGAAAUACAACAAAAUCACUUACUAAAGUUGUAAAAGUUUCAUCACCUUUGUAGAAUCCCCGUUCUUAAUUGUAAUAUAUAUCUAUUUUUUAUUUUUAUAUUAAUUAACGAAAUGGUUUUGUGUGAAUAUUAAUAUAAAAGAUAUAUUUUUGAAGAUAAUCAUCAGUCAGUUAAUAUUUUGGUUUUAUAUAAAAAUAAAAAUAUCGAGAUAUAUAAUUUGUACUUACAAUAUAUAGAUUAUAGAGACAAAGGACAUGCUUGUAAGUUGCAACAAAGAGCUAUUUUCGAUGAGAACAACAUUCAUUCAUUAGUUAAUUAGGUGAUAAGGACGAGGUUAAUUUAUAUUAUUAUAAGGUUAUAUAUUAUAUCAUUUACUUUAUAUAUAAUUUUUGGUUGUAAACAAUAUAAAAAGGUUGUUUGAUAUAUCUUUGUUAGGUAUGGUAAAAUGUUAAGUUCGACUCAGUUAUAUUCAAAUUAUUUGAUAUCAUACUUAUAAACCGUUGACUCGAUCUUGGCUCAUGUGAUAUGUCUUUUAUUCGGUAAAAUUUAUGGUUGUGUGACAACCUUGGCUCAAUCAGUCUCACACAAUCAACAACGAAUUAAACAACCCUAAUUUCAAUUAAUAUAUCUGUUUAAUGGCUUUAAUAGUUACAUAAAGAUAACAAAUGAUUGAUAUUCUAUUAUGUAAGAUUCUAAUCUUAGUUAAAGAAGUAAAAUUGCUAAAUAUAAUGCGAAAAGAAUAAAAUGAAGCAUAAUUCUCAAGAAACACAUGUAGUGUGUUAUCUAAAGAGUAAGUAUGUUAUCAUUUGUAUUACCAAUCAAUUACCUCAAGAAACACAUGUGGUUGGUUAUCCAAAAUUUAAUUGCUAUAGAUUUUAUAAAACAAAAUGACAUAUAUAUCCAUGUUUUUUAGCACAAUAACGUGUUGAAUCACUUUAACUUUUCUUUGUUACGUAAACACAUUACUUAGACGAAACACUCUUUUAAAUGAUUAUCAAAAUUAUAUUAAGUAAAUUCGUUGGGAUAUCUUUUCAAAAAAGUAUUUAAUGAAAAAAGUCUACAAAACUAUUUAAACACCUUCUAAUUAAGCAUAAUACAUAAAACAAUAUUGUUUGAUAUUUUUGUUUUCAAGAUUAUGAUUCUUUACAUAUUGUAAGAUUAUGCUUACUUUUUCUUAUAUCAUCAUUUUUAUUUUUAUUUACCAACAUAAAGACAUAACUUAACAACUAGUAAAUCAUGAAUAAGAUAUGGUAACUUAUCCAUUAAGGUCAUAGAAGGCCAAAGCUUAUGGCUAUAGUCUCACUUUGUCUAUUUUUUAUGAUUCCUUAGACAAUAAUAUAAGACCUAAUUUCAUAUACGUAAGAAUAAUUGUUUAAUUUUAACAAUAUGGAACUUAAUUUAAUACUCUACAUUAUUUUAUCAAAUAUUGAAGAUCAAAAGAAAAGUGGAUAAGUGCUACAACUUCGAGUAUUCUUUAACGACAUAUGUUAAAAAGAAGAGUCAGAAAUACUAGAGUUUUGUAAAAGGCAACAGGAAAAGAAAGACACGUUUGUUUUCAUUUGACUUUUCAUAAGUCAUAACUCUCCUUCUCUUUCUUAUUUAUAAAAUUUUAAUUGCAACUAAAUGAUUAAAUAUUUAAAUAAAUACAUAAAAAUAAAAAAAAAGGCUCUUUUAUGCCCCUACUCCACUCCCACUCAUCACCCAACUACUCAACGUGUAGCCACCCUUCUCCCCACAAAUCACAUUUGUUAUUAUAUCAUUUGUUAUUUUAUUAUUUUAUUAUUUAUUAUUUAUUAAUUUAUAUUAUAAUAAUUCCACCAAUAUUCUAUCCAACUAAGAUUAAGAUUAACCUCUACAACACUCCCACCGCUACCCCUCACGCAACUUCCCAUAUAUAUAAACAUCUUUUGGCCUCAUUAAUCAUUAUACUCUUCACUCUUAUAUCACUCAACACCACCUCAUUCUUUCUUUAAUGGCACUCGAAGCUCUUGGAUCACCGUCGCCGCCACUCCGCCACCGCGACAUGGAUGUUCAAGAUUCUUGGAACAAAGGCAAGCGAUCUAAGCGCCCAAGAACCACCACCGAUCACGAUGUUGCUCUUCCGCAACAACCACCCACAGAAGAAGAGUACUUAGCCCUCUGCUUGAUGCUCCUAGCCAACGGCAGCCCCACCUCCACCUCCACCUCCACAGCCACCGUCACACUGCCGGAAAAUGAGUCUGACUCCCGGGUGGCUUACAAAUGUAGCGUAUGCAACAAGGGGUUCUCUUCUUACCAAGCACUCGGAGGACAUAAAGCUAGUCACCGGAAGAACGUUCCCGACGACCAUAUUCCGUCCACCUCCGCCGCCGCCACCGCCACCGCCACCUUGUCCAGUUCUUCUGUUUUGAAACCUAGUGGAAAAGUACACGAGUGUUCCAUCUGUCAUAGAACGUUUCCCACCGGCCAGGCACUUGGUGGUCACAAACGACGGCACUACGACGGCAACAACCCUGGUAGCACCGUCACAACGACAUCAGACGGAGGUGCUUCCUCCACCCCUAGUCAACCGCGCGACUUUGACUUAAACUUGCCGGCGUUCCCCGACUUAUUCCAAAUGGGUUUGAGCGUUGACUGUGGGAAGAAAAGCCAAAUGUUGAUUAACGAACAAGAAGUUGAAAGUCCACUUCCGAUGAAGAAACCGUGUUUCUCGAUCAAAACGGAAUAAUUCAAGAUUAUGACGUAAACCCAAUAAAACAUACAAUCAUCAAAUUCAAUUUGUUCUUUCGUUUUAGAAUCUUGUAUAGACUUGUUGUGUAUUAAUCAUGUCGAUAGUGUUAUACAAUUGAUUACAUUCAUUAAUUCUUGAAACUGAUGAUCAUAAACAGCCGCCCAUGUGGGUUCAUGCAGCACAUGUAAAAGCCCAUAUUCAUGGCUUCCUUUUUGCUGUUAAUCAUCAUUGUAUACCAUAAAUUUCCUUCUUUUAUUAUUUUCUUAGUAAUUUUAUAUAAAUAUUAUAGAAACAAGGUGUUAAACAAUAAUAUAAAAAGAUGGGCGGAAUUGGAAGGUGGUUUGUGUUGUGUUGGAAUGGAAUCGAAAUCUGUCAUUUGGACAGAUAAGAAAGGAGUAAUCUGUUAACUGUUGACGUGCUGGAUACAGUUUCCACUAACUUACAAAUCAAGAAAGAAAAUAUAUUCUCAAAGAUGCUACUUGCUACAAGAUUACAGCUUAACAUUACGUCACACAUGACUCCAUUAUAUGUUGUAAAAUUCCUAAUUAAUUCGUGCUCAUCAUAAAUAAUAAAAGGACAGAACAAAAAUCGAGUUUAAAUUAAAGGGUAGACGAUGAAUUUUGUGUAGUCACUACGACUAAAUUAGAAUAUGUCGAUCUUUCUUUUGAGUUCUCAAAGCUUCCAUACUCAUCGACCAAUGCACCGACAUCAUUUGUUCAAAGUUUCAACAUUGUGUCCUUCACUAUUUAUUUUUUUGUUGUUUAUUUGUAAUCUUCUUUUUAUAGGUUCAUAGUGAAAUUAAUAUUUUGGACAAUAUAUAUUAAUUAUACAAAGUUUUUUUAAUUAGAACAAUACAUAUACAGUCAAUUCAUUUGGUAAUUAAUUGGUAUAUAGAGUUAAACCUAAAUGAGCCAAGCGUCUAGAAAUUGGAAAUAAUGCUAAUAUAAUUUUAGGUUUAGGUUCGACAUUUUGACUAAACCAUAUUUAAAGGACGUUCAAGUUUUUCUUUUUAGAAAUUUAAUGUUAACCAAACCAUAAAUACUCUUAAUAAUAAGGGUACACGAAGAGGAGGGGGUUGGGAUCUUGCCACGAUUGUUAUGUCACGACCAUGAUAACAAUAGCAGGUGAUGAGCAUUUUUAGAGGUUUGAAUGAUUAAUUAAAUAUAUUUAGCUAUGAAUAUAGAUUCUAUAUGUUGUUUCUUUCACCGAAAAUGUCGAGUUAACGAAUCAAAUUUAGAAUGAGGUUGUAUAUUUUCCAUCUGUGUUAUAUCUCUUUUUGUCACUGAUAAUUAUAAAAAUGUGAAAUUGUUUAACGAUAGUAUUUGGAAUAAGGUUUUCAGAUUAACAUAUAUAGAGGAGACAUCGAAAUAUAUGGGUGAGCAUAAAAUCGAAAAACCAAACCAAAAUCAAAUUAAAUGAUACAACUUAACCAUUUUUGAAACUGAUGGUGCGGUUUUUUUGCUAACUAAUAAAGUGGUGGUUUGAUUUUUGUUUCAUAGAAUAACCGAAUCAUUAUUAACCAAACAGUCGUCCAAUCACUCACACCAACACAUCCCUAAUCAGUCUUAUCUCUUGAUGCGAUGAAAAUCAUUUGCUAUAAUGCUAUAAUGCGACUAAAUGGUUAAAACAUAUAUAUGGUUGGUGUGUUUUUGUCUCACGUUUUUAUUAUAAAUAUGCAUACAAACGGUUCAAUUGUAAUGUUUAUAUAAAUUACUAAAAAAUGGUUAUAUCUCAGAUUGUUUUUUUUUUCUUUGCCAUUUGUUUUUCUUCGCGUUUUCACUUCAUUAUACCAUUACACAAGCAAUAUAAUGAGAUUUAUCAAUAGAAUUGAAAGGACGACGAGGGUAACCAUUUGUUAUUUUCACUUUUAUAGCAAUGUACUUCUUUUUUUUAAAUCGUUUUAUUUCAAUGCAAUUUCAAAUUUUAAAUCAUUUUUAUCAUUAUGGAUAAUCGAUAUUAACCAUUAACCGACAAAAACAAUUAACCAUAACCAAUACUAAUCACUGCCUAAUGGCUACCAAAAUACAUUUUAUUAAUGAUUGUCACGGAGGAUGCUAUAUGACCAAAACCUAAAGAAAACCGGUCAUAAGGAUUAAAUGUGUGUAAAAACAACAAGGAUUUAAUUUGCAAUAAAAAAUAUUAAUGACUAAAUGUGUACAAAGUGAGAACUUAAUCUAAGAAAUUAAUGUGUACAAAACAAGUUAAAGAAUUUAUUUUACAAAAAAAAUAAAACAAUAAAUUCUAAACGUGUACAUAUCAAAAACUAUGUUAUCAUAUUAAAUCAUUUUUCCAAAAACAAAACCAUUUUUUCUUGUUCUCAGAUUGGGACCUAUUAGGGAGGUGCCGAGGUGGGAGCGGUUCCUCCCAACCCACAACAAGAAAACAUAGUAUUAGGGACGCCUCUUUUAGCGACGACUAGCCCUUUAGCCAUGGCAUUAGACGAGACAUGCAUAGGGUUGCUGCUAAAAGUGCAUGUUGUUGAUUUUAUUUCUUAUUUUUCUUCCAUCUUUUCCAACUCCAUACAUACGAAAAUAACAUCUUACCCAGCCACUCAACUCAUUUGCCACACCACUAUUUUUAAUUUUAUUUAUGUAUAAAAUUCAAGAUAUAAUAAAGCGUAAUGUUUUUAUAAAUUUUUUAAUCUUUAAAAUAAACUUAUACUAAUUUUAAACCAAAAAAAGUAUUCAAUAAUAUUCAAAAUAACAUUUAAUUAAAAAAUCACACUACAAUAACAUAAACCAUGCUACAAUAACAUAAAUUAAACCCUAAAAUGACUAACGAAAUUACAAAAAAAACCAUACUACAAACAACAAAUGAAAACUAAAAUACAUACUUAAAUUCUAAAAAAAGAAUGAUGAUUUUUUUAAAAUAUUCCAAACCGCCCCUUAACGAAAAUCUUUCAUGUUAUGGUAUUCACGAUACUCGUUUUGUGUUGCAUUUAAAACUUCUUGGUCGGAAACUUCGGGCUCAUGGGUAUUUGAUAUUGCUAUAUUUAUGCAUAUAUUUAGUACACUAUUUAAGUGCAUUUAGCUUCAUUGUGGUUAAUUAUUAAGAUAUUUGGUGCUUAUAAAGUGUAAAAUCUAUUUUGUAGCCAAAGAAUGACAUUCUCAAAGGAAAAUGACAAAUGGAUAAAGAUGGAAACUUGGAGGUUAGAAGAGUUCAUUAAUAGGAGAAGAGAGAAAAAUAAUUGAAAAAGAAGAUCCCACGACAUGGCGUUCAUUGGUCCACGAUAUAGAAGUAGGGCUGAUCGCGAUUCGGUUUGAAACCGUGAAACCGACAAAACUAGUCAUCGGUUUGGUUUUAUGGUUUGUAUUUUUCUUUACGGUUUGGCUUGCGGUUUCGAAUUUGUGUACAUACCCAUCUUUAUUGUAUGUACACAAAAAUGGAUUCGGAUGUGUUUAACAAAACUGCAAAAGUUGGUUAUGAAGAAGUGUUUAAAGAAAUUAAAGACCUUGAAGAAAUUGAAAAUGCUAAGUUUUCAAAUUUACAAAAGUUAUAUAUUUCUCUUAGUUAUUAAUUCUAACAAAAUAACUUACAUUUCAGAUUUUGCAAGCAAACUUAAUAUUUGCACCGAAAAUAUUGAUUAAAAGAUACAAUUUUUCUCAUGGUUUUAUUUUGAAUUUUUGGUGUGAUGUUUUAAUAUUAAUUUUUUUGACAGCAAAAACUUAUGAAUUGGAUAACAUUUUGGCAGUGGAUAACAUUGUGGAAAUGAGCUUGGUGAUAAUAUUUUUUGGACAACAAUUUGGUUGUUUUGGACAACUUAAUAGGUUGCGUUUAUUAGUUUAAUGUUUGAUAAACUAUAUUUGAUGUUUUCAUUUACUGCUUUUUCUUUGUUGUUAUGGCAAAAAAAAAUUCUGUUUUGACAGCUUUAUUAUUGUAGUUUUUUAACAAUAUUAGGCAUAAUUUUUGUUGUUUUGACAGCUUUAAUAUUGCAAUUUUUUUUAAAUAAAUAUUUGGCAUAAUUUUAGCUGUUUUAAUAGCUUUAAUAAUGCAAUUUUUUUUUUACUAAAUUAGGCUAAUGGACUCGACUAUAAUGGGCCUCAAAAGUCCAAACUGUGAAACCAAACCGUUAGUCACGGUUUGGUUUGGUUUGGUGUUAAAUUUUCAACGGUUAGGUUUCGGUUUUUGCAUGACAAAAACCGUUACUAACGGUUUGACUUUGAUUUGACCUAAAAACUGGGAAAAAAAUCGUAUUGUGAACACCCCUAUGUGGAAGCAUAGAACCUUCCCGAUGGUAUGCGAUGAGACUUAAAGAAUACAUGUUUAAAGUGCCUCCCAUGGCGUGGAUGUCUGUUCUCCACGACGUGACGACUUAUNNNNNNNNNNNNNNNNNNNNNNNUCAUCGGAGAACAAGUAUUUGAGAGAUUGUAACGACAAGAAUUUCAAGGCACUUUUUCAUUUUUAAAACAUAAUAUAAUUCAUAAAAUAAUCUCAAAACUCAAUGUAUCACAUGUUAUCUCGAUAAACAAAUCCCAGAAUCUCAAAAUACAUAAAUCUCCAUCAGUGUGUACAGAUCAUGCCGGCACCUUCACGUGAUCCUCGCUGGUACCUGAAACACAUAUCAGAUAACACAGUAAGCAUAAAUGCUUAGUGAGUUCCCCAAAAUACCACAUACAACACAUACGUCACUCGAGGCUAUAACUCGGUAUGACCCUCCGGUCGAUCACUACUAGAAAAAAGGCCUUUUACGACGCGCAAACGAUGACACUCAUUGAUUUAUGUUACGGAAAAGAGAGUGACAUUAAAAAAGUGUCAUCUCUUCAAAAAAUUUAAGGAUUUAGGUCGCGCAUUAUUGCGUGCCCUUAAAUUAGUGUCCAAUAAAAAAACACGGAGGGCACCUAUAGUAAGAUGCGUGUCGUCUAAGGAUGUCGCUUUAUAAAUUUAAUUGGAAGGACGCGUUCCAUCCUUUAAUAACCAGGGGGAAAUGAAAUCUUAAAAAAUUAAAAACCCCGCCUUCCUUUUUUUUCUCUUUCCCUCUUUCCCUAAUUAUCGACUCCUCAUUUUUCUCUCAGAUUUGAGUCUCCUCUUUCAUCAGAAAUAAGAGGUAGCAAGGUAAAUUUUCUGAGAUUCGAAAAUAUAUGACUCGAAUUAGAGGUUGAAGAUCAGAAAUCGAAGGUUACAAGUCAGAUUUGGGAUCGAAAGUUAAAGGUUCAAGGUACGAUCGGAAACAUCAAGAUGCGGAAAACAAAAGCUGAGGAGGCAUCAGGUUCGAAGAAUGUUCUCUUCUUCUUCAUGUAUAUGCCCUAGAUUUCUUUCUCUUACAUUCAAUCUCUAAAGAUUCUUUUAUUCCCUAAAUCAGGUACGAAGAUUUUUCUAUUCUUCUCCAUCUACUUUUGGAAUGACGACCUUUCCUCUUAACCUAAUUUGUAUUUUCGACUUUUUUGUUUUUGUGUUUGCUAACGAAUAUUUGUUGUUGAGGAUGAGGAACUUGGGGAAAAGGGAGUAUCCAAAGAUGAAAAAAAUCCAAACGGGUCGCUAAUCAGUUUGUGGAAAGCAUGGAUUGGGUUUGAAACACAAUCUCAUCUGGUAAACAAAUGGUAAUCUUGAUAAAAUUUAAUCAAUGUAGUUCUUGAUUAUAGUUUUGAAUCUUAAACAUCCUUUUUAUUAUGUGUUGAUUUGAAGAGCCCAUAAGUUGAGAUAUCAAUCCAUUUUGUUCCUCCUACUUCACGCUCAACAAACCAUAUCGCUUUCAUAUUUUCCAAUUUCAGUUCAGAUCAUAUGGUUUGGGUUUUGUCACACUUUUUCAUUCUAGAACUAUGUGUUACAAAGUCUAAUUUAGAAAAGGUUUUUACUGCAGGACAUUGAUGUUGAAGAAAACCCUAGCUCCCAUAGUUGUGAGAAAUUUGGAGAACAAAAAAUAGAUGCAAUGAGGGAUAAUGCUGGUUCUCAAAUUCACGUGCCACCUCCUAGCAUCCCAAAAAUCUUGACCCAUCUCACCACAAUAGUGACCUACUUGAUAGCCAGUCUGAUCAUGGAUAACUUAUGCUUGUUGCACAUGUAAAUUCAUAUCAUAGAAUCUUCAUAUUCAUGUUUCACAACAGGGGCAUAUAAGUCAAAAGACAAAACACUUUCUGGUACCUGAUAAACAAGUGGCACCUUUUGAACCAAAAACACAGCCAACAUCUUCUUUCCUUGGCUAUGAAAAUCAUUACACACGCUUUUUAUAAGGAGGACAACAAUGAGGGUCUUUCCUGCCCCUGUCUCUAAAAAGGAUAUGGUGUUUUGGUUUUUAGCUUGUUCAAGAACAUCCAGCUGAUACUUGUGAGCAUGCUCUUUUGGUACUUUUUUCUUGGAAUUAUCAUUAUCGUUGUCUUUUUUUUAACUCUCCUUGAAGGUUUUUUAACAUCUGUCAAGUGCACCAGGACAAGAAGAAGAAAGCAUUCCAUAUUCCUAGUAAACAAUACAAUGUAGGUGAAGAUUUAAUGGUUUAAUUACCUUAUUUCCCUUUAGGUUUCUUUUCAUUUUAUCAUAUUUACACAAUGUUGUACAUAUCAGUAAAAGCCCUAACUCGUGCAGCGAAGGUGAGAUAUUCCGUUUUUACCCUUUUUAUUUUUCAGGUAAUUAUUCUUUCAUGAUUCACAGUUUGAUAUUUUUGUGUUGUAUUUUAUAGUCUCUUCAUUCAAAACUAAGCAAAAAUUCAAGUGUUCCAAUCCAAAGUAGCUGUAUUAAAUCUGUUUUUCUUCUAGAUGGUUCCAUUACAACUUUUGAUUCUCGAUUAUAUGGAUGUGAUAUUGGAACAUGCCUUGAGAUAAAUGAAAUCCUCAUGUUACAAAAGUUUUAUUUAAUUAUUGAAAUAAAUAUUUGAGAAAAUGAUUUUAGUUCGUGAGCUCCUUUUCUCUAUUCUUAAAAAGGGUAUUUUAGACAUUCUUGAUUUAUCUUGUAGGUGAUUGACAGAAGUUCAAUCAACUUUGUUUGAACAGCAACGGAAGCCUCAAGAACAACAGCACCAACAAAAGAAAUAACAAGCAUGCUGCCAGAUCAUAUGAAAGGAUAUGUAAGACCUCAUUUCGAGUAAGACCUCAUUCCGAGUAAGACCUCAUUCACUUGGCAUGUAAGACCUCAUUUCACUUCAAAAUUUUGUUAUAGCUAAUUGUAUUUUACAUAUUAUUUAUAUAAGUGAUUGAUCUUUGCAGGUGUUUGGCUGAUGAAACUGCUGUUUUACUACUGUAUGCUUUGGCUCAUGGGAAUUUAGACUUUUUGGAUAUGUGUUGGUGCGGACUGAUAUCGGUACAUUGGUAUGAAUCUAUUAUUACAAAAAUCAAAAUACAUUUAUUCUUGUUUGUUGUCUAUCUUGUCUGAGACUCUUUCUUCAAUUAAAAUGGCCAGUUAAUGCCUCUGUUGGAGACACUCUAUGAUGCUUCAAGGAGAACAUCAAAUCAAAUUUACGUGGUGCUAAUUAUUUUACUUAUACUUAGCCACGAUGCUUCUUUUAAUGCUACCAUCAACAAGCUGGUAAUUUUGUUUUACUUUUAUCAGAUAUAACAUGGUUUUUUAUUUACUUUACUCAUAAUCUUGUUAAUUGAAGCAAUUAUCCUAAUAUUAUAUCCAAAAAUGAACAUUCAAAAGUUGAAACGGACCCCACUUUUGAAAAGGAUACACAAUGUUUUGAAAACCCGACCGGACACCGAACCGGCCGUCUUACCGGGUUGAUGGUUCGAUUGGUUCGACCGGUUGAACCGGUCCUAAAAACCGGACGAANNNNNNNNNNNNNNNNNNNNNNNNNNNNNNNNNNNNNNNNNNNNNNNNNNNNNNNNNNNNNNNNNNNNNNNNNNNNNNNNNNNNNNNNNNNNNNNNNNNNNNNNNNNNNNNNNNNNNNNNNNNNNNNNNNNNNNNNNNNNNNNNNNNNNNNNNNNNNNNNNNNNNNNNNNNNNNNNNNNNNNNNNNNNNNNNNNNNNNNNNNNNNNNNNNNNNNNNNNNNNNNNNNNNNNNNNNNNNNNGUUGCAUAAUUAUUGUAUUCAUCAUUUUAACUGAGAUCUUAUUUUACUUUGUCAGGAUAUGGACAUCCAAGAUAGAGAACUAGUAAAUGACUGGCUCAUGAUCAUAGUUUACAAAGAACGUGGUUUUGGCUGAAAAACAUAUUACCAUGUGGUAUGCAUCUUCCUUGAAACUUCAUGAUCUUAGGCCUCUGUGUUUGUUUAUUUAAGGUGUUAGCAUAAAUGGGAAAGCAUACUUUUGAAUGUCACAUUGUUGCCUUCACUUAUAAUUUGCAUAAUGUCGAUUGUGCUUUAGAAUAUUAUUAAUUUAUUUUUAUUUCUCCUUAGUAACUGUGGGCAUAGCACCACCUGUUUUUGUGUUUCUUUUAUUGUGAGGGCAAUCCUUAACUGUACCAGUGGUUCCGAUUAUUUUGGUCUCUUAAUGGGGUAUUUAACCCUUGGCUGGGAAUUAAAUAGUUAAGCAGAUUUUUGUGAUGCUUAUCUGAACUUGAAGAGUUUUUUCACCUCUUGAACGUGAGAAUAGAGUUUCUACCUGAUCCUUUAUAGGGGAUACUUUUGACUGGUGCAGGGAAACUCUAAUGUUACUAUGGAUUGUCUUAAUUGCCUUAGUUUCGACUGAUGCAGAGUGUUUGACCAACACUGAUGCUAAUGCCUAAUGCCUAAUGCUAUACUGCUUUGUCUUUCUUUGUUGGUAAGACAUUUGUAUGCUAAACCAGAUGCUAAUGCCUAAUGCCUAAUGCUAUCACUUGUGGUUUAAUUCAGAUUCUGGGACAAAAAGAGUCAUAGCUGGGCUGUUAAUGUUCCUGUUUGUUUUCAUUUAUGCAGGUAACAAUCUUGUAGAAAGGACUUAUGAAUCAGAUGUUAAUGGUAACAAGUUUAACACUCGAGUCCAUACGAUUAGAUGUUAAUGGUAACAAGUUUAACACAUGUGUCUUUGUUAUACAAACAGAUUAAAUGCAAUGGAUUGUAUUUUUUGUAUAUGGUAUUUUAUUUAAUAUUAUGCAAUGGAUUGUAUUUUUUGUAUAUGGUAUUUUAUUUCUAUUAUGAGAGAUUAAAUGCAAAUUUAAUUUAUAAAUUAAUAAAUAUAUAAAUAUAUUUUUUUUAAAAAAAAUUAAAAUUACGAUACGCAAAAAUGUGUGUCGUCUUCAUUUAUGACAUGGCCUUUCUUGACUGGUGCUUCCUUGAUACGCAUUGUGUGUCAUAAACACGCGCGUCGUAAGGUUACGACACGCAAAUGCGUGUUGUCUUCCUUUAUGACAGGGCCUUCCUUGAUACGCAAUGCGUGUCAUAACCGCGCGUCGUAAAUGCGCGUCAUAAAUGCGCGUCGUAAAUGCGCGUCGUCUAUAGACGACGCGCAAAAGCGCGUCGUCUCUCUUUAUGACAGGGCCUUCCUUGACGUGAAUUUGCGUGUCGUCUGAGCGUUUUACGACGCGCAGGCCUUUUUUCUAGUAGUGGAUGUGUCUUAGCGGGACCCUCCAGUCCCAUAACUCGUUGGACCCUCCAGUCCGAUCUAUAUAUCACAUAACAUACAUAUAUCACAAUGCACAUAAUCUCAAACAUACACAUACACAUAAGACCCUCCAGUCUGCACAUAGAUACUACUCUAGGUAAUGUAUAGUGAGAAGACUCACCUCGUAUGAUGUCGGAUAAACUCUCGUAUUCGAUAUCCCGACCUAGCCUCCUCCUAUCAAAAUAAUUACAUCUCUAAUCAAUACCCUCUUAUGUUCUCAUUUUUAAAGAAUGGGUAGAAAACCAUUCUACCCCUCCCUAACCUAUCUUGAAUCAGUCUGACCAAGACCCUAAGGUCAACUGAAGUCAACUCCCGUCAAUGGUCCAACUUUGACUAGACUCGCCGAGUGCACUUGGGUGACUCAACGAGUCCAUGCGUGUCCUCUGAAUCCUCCUAAAGCCUCACUCGAAUCGUCGAUUCAACCUUUCACUCGACGGGUUACCACUAGUCACGAAUCGUGGGGCAACCCGACUCGACUCGUCGAGUCCUCUUAUGGACUCGGCGAGUUUCCUCCAUGGCAACACUCAAAUGACCUUCUGAGGUCAGAUCUGUUUCUCUAACUUAUAGAUCGGACCUUCCAACACCCAGUAGUCACAUAAAGGUCUAGUCUUUAUGCUCAUGCAACACUCAUAUGGCUCUAUUUGAUGAAAUAGCUCCUAAAAUGGCAACCUAGGUUCACAACUCCAAUGGAACAAUAUAAAACUGGAAGAUUGGGACUCUAUGGACCUCUUAAGGUCCAGAUCUAAAUCCUAUUCCACAUUGGGAAUUCAUAUGCUCCAUAUUCCAAUAAAGAAAAAGGGUCAAGAAACCCUAGAUUCAUGUUAUCUACACUAUAUAGAAGGAAAGGGUCGAUUUGUUACCUCAAAGUGAAGCUUUAUAAUUCAAUGCCCCAGAAUAUCAACCUCCUCUGUCCCCUCUUGCUGGAACUCCCUUCUUCUUUGCAAAAUCACACCAAUAAGGAUCAAGAUGGCUUAUCCUCUCAUACUAUACGCACAAGCUCACUAGGGUUCUUUUCUCUGGAAUGGUGGCCGCAACUGAGAGCUAUAAGGACCCUUAAAUAGGUCACAGGCCCAAAGAUUUAGGGUUUCUGUCCACAUCUCGGACUCGUCGAGUCGACUCGCCUACUGGUCGAGUCCAUUCAUUAAAUCCAGUCAGCAGUCGCGAUCCUACUCGACGAGUUUAAGCAUCAAAUCGUCGAGUCCCUCUCCUAAAAUCAAAAUAAAUAAUUGAAAUAUGAUACCUGGAAAUAUGGAUGUUAUAAUUCUCCCCCACUAUAAUCAAACUUUGCCAUUGAAGUCUCGCUCUGCAAACAACUCGGGGUUCUGCUCCCGUAUCUCUACUUCCGGCUCCCAAGUCAGCUGUGACCCUCUCCGAUGUUGCCACUUGACCUGAACCAGGGGCACCUCCUUGUUCCUCAAAACCUUGAUCUUUCGAUCUAGGAUCGUGAUCGGUCUCUCAACGUAGUUCAGGCUCGCAUCCACUUGAAUAUCCUCUAGCGGCACUACUGCCGUCUCAUCGGCUAUACACUUCCUUAACUGGGAUACGUGGAAGGUAUCAUGUAUCUGGCUCAACUCCGCAGGUAGCUCCAAACGUUAUGCUACCUUGCUCACCCUUGUGGUCACCCUGAAAGGACCAAUGUACCGGGGCCCCAACUUGACCCUUUUCCUGAAUCGACUCACUCCUUUCCAAGGAGAUACCUUCAGGAGUACGAAGUCUCCAACCUGGAACUUGAGCUCGGAUCGUCGCCUAUCUGCAUAAUUCUUCUGGCGACUCUGGGCUGUUAGUAACCUCUGUCUAACUUGCUGAAUCUGCUCAGUCGUCUUAAGCACUAUCUCAGUGCUACCUAUCACUAGCUGUCUUACCUCUCCCCAACAGAUGAGGGUCCUACACCUCCUCCUAUAUAACAGCUCAAAGGGAGGCAUACUGAUACUCGAUUGGUGGCUGUUGUUGUAGGAAAACUCAGCCAGGGGUAGGUAGGUGUCCUAACUUCCACCGAAGUCCAAAACACAUGCCCGAAGCAUGUCCUCGAGCAUCUGAAUCGUCCGCUCACUCUGUCCAUCCGUCUGUGGGUGGUAAGCGGUGCUCAAGUGCAAUCUCGUACCUAACUCCUCAUGGAACUUCUUCCAGAACCUGGAAGUGAAACGUACAUCUCGAUCUGACACAAUCGAUAUCGGCACCCCAUGCCGCGACACCACCUCUCUCACAUAUAUCUCGGCUAGCAUCUCUGCGGAAGAGCUCUCACUGAUAGCGAGGAAGUAAGCGCUCUUUGUCAGCCGGUCUACAAUCACCCAAAUUGAAUCGACACUCCUCGCGGUCCUCGGCAAUUUGGUGAUGAAAUCGACUGGGGAACCUCUAGUGGCUGCAACUUGCCAUGCGGACGCUGGUGUUCGGCCUCAACCCGACGACAGGUCAAGCACCUCUCUACUACCCACGCAACAUCCCUCUUCAUAUAGUGCCACCAGUAAUCUCUUCUCAGGUCCAAAUACAUCUUAGUGGCCCUGGGAUGGAUCGAGAAAUCUCGAUCUGUGCGCCUCCUCCAUCAAUAUACUACGUGCCCCGCCCAUAAACGACACCCAAAUCCGACCCUGAAAGGUCAAAAGCCCUCGAUUAUCGAUAACAAACUCGGAUACCUGCGCGAUCACUCGCUCUCUCUUGCGGUUCUCCGGUCUCACAGCUUCUGCCUGGGCUUCUCGAAUGGUAUCCAACACUGGAGUCAUCACCAUCAUCCUCAUGCAUAUAUCUCGAAUAGGGGCACUCUCCGCCCUGCGACUUAGAGCAUCAGCUACCACAUUAGCCUUGCCCGGGUGGUACAGAAUUUCAAAGUCAUAAUCCUUUACCACAUCCAACCAUCUCCUCUGGCGCAUGUUUAGGUUGGGCUGAUCCAUCAGAUACUUCAAGCUCUUGUGGUCCGUGUAUAUGGUACACCGAACCCUGUACAAGUAAUGGCGCCAUAUCUUGAGGGCAAACACCACUGCCCCCAACUCCAGAUCGUGGGUGGGAUACCUCAUCUCAUGAGGGUUUAGUUGCCUCGAUGCGUAUGCUAUCACGUGCCCUUUCUACAUAAGCACCACACCCAACCCCGAUAUAGACGCGUCACAGUACACCACAAAAUCCUCCAUUCCCUCCGAAAGGGCUAACACCGGGGCUUCGCACAAUCUCUGGCGAAGAGUCUCAAACGAGAUCUGCUGCUUUGGACCCCAAGUAAAAUCCAUGCCCUUCCUGGUCAAUCUGGUGAGAGGGACGACAAUCUUGGAGAAAUCCCUGAUAAAUCUCCGGUAGUAGCCAGCCAACCCUAGAAAACUCCUAAUCACGGUGGGGGAUCUCGGCACCUCCUAGCUCAUCACACCCUCAAUCUUGGCCGGGUCGACCAAUAUACCAUUCUGAUUAACGAGGCGUCCCAAGAACUGGACCUCGCAUAACCAGAAAUCACACUUGGAGAAUUUGGCGUAAAGCCUCUUCGAUCUCAAUACUCCAAGGAUCUCUCUCAGACACUCCUCAUGCUGCUCUCUGGAUCUUGAAUACACUAGAAUAUCAUCGAUGAAUACAAUCACCGAUCGAUCCAACAUCAGCCUGCAAACUCGGUUCAUGAGAUCCAUGAACGCUGCUGGUGCAUUGGUGAGCCCAAAAGGCAUCACCACGAACUCGUAAUGCCCGUAACGCAUCCGAAACGCAGUCUUCUGGAUAUCCUCAUCACACACCCUCAUCUGAUGAUAUCUAGACCUCAAGUCUAUCUUGGAGAACCAAGACGCUCCCCACAACCGAUUGAACAGAUCGUCGAUCCUCGGUAAUGGAUAAUGGUUCUUGACCGUCAGCUUGUUCAACUCCCGGUAAUCACUGCACAUCCGGUGUGAACCAUCCUUCUUAACAAAAAGGAUCUGCGCUCCCCACGGCGAGCUACUCGGUCAUAUGAACCCCUUCCCCAGCAGCUCCUGAAGCUGCGAGGAUAACUCCUGCAUCUCUAGUGGCGCAAGGCGAUAGGGUGCCUUGGCAAUAGGUGCCGCUCCCAAAACCAAAUCAAUAUGAAACUCCACCUACCUUUCGGGAGGCACACCCGACAAAUCUUCGGGGAAAACAUCCAGAAACUCUCGUACUAUUGGUACCUCACCGACCGAACUCGGCCUCUCUAAGGCAACUCGUGUAUCCAUCACAUAGGCUACAAACCCGCUACAACCCUGUUGUAGACUCUAUCUCGCUCUGGCAGCCGAACAGAAUGCUGACCCAGAUCGGGUACCUUCACCGUACACUGUAAGUACUCCCACACUAGGGUCUCGUAUGGUCACCAACUGUCGCUCGUAGUCAAUAACCGCUCCAAAUCAGCUCAACCAGUCCAUGCCCACGAUGACAUAGACAUCCCCCAUCUCUAUUGGUACCAGAUCUAUCGAAAACUCAACACCGAAUAUCUCGAGUACACACCCUCGAAUCAAAUUGGUAGCAUAAUGUAACGCCCGUAGAUCAGGGCUAGUCAAUUAGAGACGAUAAGCAUCAAAAAUUACUUUUUGAUGGAAGAUUAUUUAGAAGGAUUAAUCUUAACUAAGUUGUAGUAAUGUCACAAGGUUUCCGUGCAUAUAAAGAACGCUGAAAUCCGAGUUAUAACGAAGAAGUUAUGACUUGUCGAAGUUUCGCGACAGAACCGGCACGACACAACGCGACGUAAAUAGUGAAUUUACAUUAGAGCGAUAUUUGGACUUAGCGAUCUAAAUAAAAGUUGUAGAAUACGUUAAACCGAGAGUGUGCAUAAAAAGAACGCCCAAAUCUGACUUCGUAUGAGGAAGUUAUGAUUUUUCGAAGUUUCGACUUAGCAGUAGACAACCCGAAUACUCGAUUUGAGAUCGAGCGGUUUUUAGCCGAAAUAAUCUAAACGAGAAUCGAAGAUCUCGUCAAUGGUAGUGCAACGAUAAAAAUACAGACGAAAACGGAGUUCAGAUGAAGGAGUUAUGAAUUUCGAAUGGAGUUUUCUUGUCCCGACCUACUAAAAAUAAUAUAUUUAUAAUAUAAUAAAAAUAAAGUCAAAAUUAACCAUCGGAGUCUAAACGAGAGUUGUAGAGCAUAAUCUCACCUACGCGUGGAUAUAAAGAACGUCGAAAACGGAGCUCGUAUGCAAAAGAUAUGAAUUUCUGAAGUUCGGGGCACGAACUUCCACCCCUGUCAGAGCUCACUAGGUGAGCAUUAAGUGGCUCACGAGGUGAGCAGAUGAUGGAUGUCUUCUAGGGCAAGUGGCCAUGAUGAACGCAAUGACGUAUCGAGCUCACGAGGUGAAUAUUAGAAACUCACGAGGUGAGAAUUAAAAACUCACGAGGUGAGUUUAGCAUUUUUUCCCUAUAAAUAGAAAUCAAGGGUCAGCCGAUUUAGGUUGCUCCUCUCGUAGUCUCCCACUCCCGAUACUCUCUCUAAGCCCUAUUUUAACCCCCUGAAGCCCCGGUAUCAUUCCCGAGACCCGAAGCUAGUUCUGAAGCCGGAAGAUNNNNNNNNNNNNNNNNNNNNNNNNNNNNNNNNNNNNNNNNNNNNNNNNNNNNNNNNNNNNNNNNNNNNNNNNNNNNNNNNNNNNNNNNNNNNNNNNNNNNNNNNNNNNNNNNNNNNNNNNNNNNNNNNNUAUAUAUAUAUAUAUAUAUUGUUGUUUAUAUGUGUGAGUGUAUAGUCCCUUUCAUAAACACGAUAAUAAUAUAAGUAUUGUUUGAAUGUAUUAAGUAUAUUGUUGUUUAUAUGUGUGAGUGUAUAGUUACUUUCUUCUACCGCAUAGAUAUGAAGUAUUUGCUAUGAAAUACGUGUUAUGUGUUUAUACAUUUUUGCUUAUUGAGAUGAGUGUGGAAUGGACGUUUUAUAUAGUUUUUAAAUGAGUUAAACUAUAUAUGUAUUUUAUAUCUACAAAUAUGUUGGGUAGAACAUGGGUAGAUGAGAUAGUUGGUAUGUGAUAAAAUGAGGAGGUAUGAAAGAUGAUUAAGAAUGAUAUUGGCAGAUGCACCAAUUAGAGAUUGUCAUAAAACUAGCAGAUGCGCUUAAGAAUAAUAUCGGUAGAUGCACCAAGUAGUGAAUGUCGUAAUCUUGGCAGAUGUGCUUACAGGAUAAUGUCAGCAGAUGCGCCAAAUAGAGAUUGUCAUAAUACUAGCAGAUGCGCUUGUAGGAUAAUCCUGGCAGAUGCGCUUAUAGGAUAAUGUCGACAGAUGCGCUUAUAGGAUAAUGUCGACAGAUGCGCCUAAAAGAGAAUGUCAUAAACCUGGCAGUCGCGCCUCAUAGUGUAUGACGUAAUCCUGGCAGAGGCGCUUAAAGGAUGAUGUUGGUAGAUGUGCCUUAUGUAGCAAUAGAUUUUAUGCUAACUCCUUAGGUCAAUCCUUAGGAAUGAAUGAAUGACGGGUAGUUGAAUUCUUAGGGUAAAAUCCUAAGAAAUAAAGAAGAUAAUGGGGAUGGGUAAUUGGGUUGAUUGUUUGAUGGUUGAAUAUAAUAAUUAUAUUAUUGUGGGUUGAAAACCCUAUAUGCUCACCAGACUCCCAAGCCUUAUCCACUCAGUUUUCUUUGUAUCACAGGUAUCGAUAUGAAGUUAUAUUUCACGGAGAGAUUAAAGGAGAUGUAAAAUCUUUAGAGUAAAUAAUGGAAGUUCUGUUUAUGCUUAUGUGUCUGUAUCGGAACAUGACAUCCCGAGAUUUUGUUAUAUAAUGAAAAUACAUUUCUUUAAAGAAAUGCUUUGAUAAAUCUUUAUCAUAUUUUGGGAACAAAUUCCGCAACUGUUUUCUUUAAAAGAUUACUCUGAUUUUAAAAACAAGCAUAAACAAAUCGGUCUUUUCUGGCCGAGAAAUUGGGGAUGUCACACAUAAACCGCUCGAACGUCAGCUAUAGAAACUCGUAAAGGUCGAAUCAACGCCUCUCGUCGGAUACAGAUGUGCUGACUAAAUGCUAAAGACACGAAAGAUCGACUCGUACCCGAGUCAAAUAACACCAAAGAAGACAUAAAGCUCACAAGAAGAGUACAUACACAUACCACAAUAUAAGCACAAUACUUCAAACUCAAUAUAAGUAAAUGAAGAAUACAUACCAGCCACGACAUCGGGCGCUGCGCGGACCUCCUCUGCUGUCAACUGAAAUGCUCUACCACGAACCCCAGGUGUCUCGGCCUUCACUGGCCGGCUAUCAGUAGCAUGCACAGAAGUAGGUGUGGAUCCCUGAGAUAAUCUCUGUACGAGCUAAGGGCACUCCGCCUUCCUGUGGCCCGUCUGGUUGCAAUGAAAGCAGACUGAGAAUCCCUUGGGGCAAUCCUUCGCCAUGUGCCCCUCCUUGCCGCAUUUGAAACAAAUCCCUGAUCGGCAAGAACCCUCGUGAAUCUUACCGCACUUGCCACAAGUGCGGCCUUUCUGGCCCCCCAUCUCUGGAAUCAGUAGGUUUAGCCCGCUUUGCCGUCGGCUGCGACUACACUGGUCUCCGGUCCCUCCCCCGGGACUCCUCCGCCUCCUCCCUAGCCUGUUGCUCCAGCUCAAUCUCCCUCUUCCUGACAUUGGCCUGAAGCUCGACCAAUGUCUUAUACGACGAGUUCGCCACGAACUCCCGUAUAUCCCUCUUCAGUAUGCUCAAAUAUCUGUUCGUGCGUACCUGUUUAGUGGACACGUGUUUGGGGCAAAACAUCGCCCGCUCAUGGAACAUCCUCGAAAUCUCCGUCACUGAUUCUGUCUUUUGCUUGAGAGACAGAAACUCCUGUGCCAAUCAUCCCCUCUCCACUGGGGGAACAUACUCGUCUCGGAACAUCUGAAAAAAUCUCUCCCAUGUUACCGCUGCAUGAUUUACAGGGGUAAAGCUAGCUGUCGUAAACUUCCACCAGUCCUUCGCUCCCAAGCGAAGCUGGUUCAGUGCAUACCGAACUCUCAAGUGGUCGGGGCAUGAACACGUAUAAAGCACCCCUCAAUAUCGGAAAUCCAUCUCAUCGCAGCAAUCAGGUCAUGCGUCCCAUCGAACUCUGGUGGCUUCGUGUUAUUGAACUCCCGUAACAGCAACGCGUCACUCCCCUGAGGUCUAGCAGCAGCAACAGCUGCAGCCUCAGUAACAACAACGUAUCUCUCAUCGAAUGUCUCAAUCAGGGUGGUCUUGAUAGACCUGAACAUUUCUGGAAUCUCUACGCGGAUAGCCGCAGCCACCUCCUCGUGGAUCAUCCUCCAUAUCUCCUCAUCACUACUCCCACUGCCCUCCGGGUUGUGGCCUGUCCUCACCAUGAUGCCUCUGAAACACAACAAAAAACUAUCAGAGACCUGCUAGAAUGUACUCGCACUCUGAAACUAUCAGAGACCUGCUAGAAUGUCCUCACCAUGAUGCCUCUGAAACACAACAAAAAACUAUCAGAGACCUGCUAGAAUGUACUCAACCCUACUUGUCCCUUAGUACCCUAAGGAUUCUUACUUGGACUGCUCACCGAUCCGGUGUUUCCAGUAGUACGAGCCCUAUACUACCUUCCACCACGCAUCGGUAUUCACCCCAAGUCCUCCUCCUAGGAUCCCAGAUCACAAAUACUCUAUAUCCUGCUAGACACAUGCUAACCUCUAAAAGGCCACUCAUAAGCUCCUCACUGCUACCUAUUCACUCUCGAAAUAUCUCAUAGUGGCAGUAAUCUCCUAGACUAAGGCAUCACAAAUCAGGCUACUCUAGUCCUAAGUAUGAAUACCUAGCCUACUCUAGCAUGCAUAACAUAUCACAUAACAUCUUAUAACACAUAAUAUAAGGGUAUUUUUGGGAAAUCACCGUUCGGGCACUGGCUGAUCGUACACACUGCUGCACUCUACUUGUCUCAAACUCUUUUACUCUUAUAGAAAAAUUGUUUAAUUAUGAAAUUUUUUUCUCAAAUCCUCAGCUUGAGUUCAGGUACACCCGAAGGUGUAUCCGAAUCCCUCAAACCAAGGCUCUGAUACCAACUUGUAACGACGAGAAUUUCAAGGCAAUUUUUCAUUUUUAAAACAUAAUAUAGUUCAUAAAAUAAUCUCAAAACUCAAUGUAUCACAUGUUAUCUCGAUAAACAAAUCCCAGAAUCUCAAAAUACAUAAAUCUCCAUCAGUGUGUACAGAUCAUGCCGGCGCCUUCCCACAAUCCUCGCUGGUACCUGAAACAUAUAUCACAUAACACGGUAAGCAUAAAUGUUUAGUGAGUUCUCCAAAAUACCACAUACAACACAUACGCCACUCAAGGUUGUAACUCGGUAUGACUCUCCGGUCGAUGUGUCUCAGCGGGACCCUCCAGUCCUAUAACUCGUUGGACCCUCCAGUCCGAUCUAUAUAUCACAUAACAUANGAUACCACUCUAGGUAAUGUAUAGUAAGAAGACUCACCUCGUAUGAUGUCAGAUAAACUCUCGUGCUCGAUAUCCCGACCUAGCCUCCUCCUAUCAAAAUAAUAAUAUCUCUAAUCAAUACCCUCUUAUGUUCUCAUUUCUAAAGAAUGGGUAGAAGACCAUUCUACCCCUCCCUAACCUAUCUUGAAUCAGUCUGACCAAGACCCUAAGGUCAACUGAAGUCAACUCCCGUCAACGGUCCAACUUUGACCAGAGUCGCCGAGUGCACUUGGGUGACUCGACGAGUCCAUGCGUGUCCUCUGAAUCCUCCUAAAUCUUCACUCGACUCGUCGAGUCAACCUUUCACUCGACGGGUUACCACUGGUCACGAAUCGCGGGGCAACCCGACUCGACUCGUCGAGUCCUUUUAAGGACUCGAUGGGUUUCCUCCAUAGCAACACUCAAAUGACCUUUUGAGGUCAGAUCUGUUUCUCUAACUUAUAGAUCUGACCUUCCAACACCCAGUAGUCACGUAAAGGUCUAGUCUUUAUGCUCAUGUAACACUCAUAUGGCUCUAUUUGAUGAAAUAGCUCCUAAAAUGGCAACCUAGGUUCACAACUUCAAUGGAACAGUUUAAAGCUGGAAGAUUGGGACUCUAUGGACCUCUUAAGGUCCAGAUCUAAAUCCUAUUCCACAUUGGGACUUCAUAUGCUCCAUAUUCCACUAAAGAAAAAGGGUCAAGAAACCCUAGAUUCAUGUAAUCUACACCAUACAGAAGGAAAGGGUCGAUUUGUUACCUCAAAGUGAAGCUUUAUGAUUCAAUUCCCCAGAAUAUCAACCUCCUAUGUCCGCUCUUGCUGGAACUCCCUUCUUCUUUGCAAAAUCACACCAACAAGGCUCAAUAUGGAUCCUCCUCUCACACUAUACGCUCAAGCUUACUAGGGUUCUUUUCUCUGGAAUGGUAGCCGCAACUGAGAGCUAUAAGGACCCUUAAAUAGGUCACAGGCCCAAAGAUUUAGGGUUUCUAUCCACAGCACGGACUCGUCGAGUCCAUUCAUUAAAUCCAGUCAGCAGUCGCGAUCCUACUCGACGAGUUUAAGCAUCAAAUCGGCGAGUCCCUCUCCUUAAAUCAAAAUAUAUAAUUGAAAUAUGAUACCUGGAAAUCCAGAUGUUACAGAGAUCUACGCGAAAAGCAUCAUUAAUCUUUCGGUUUCGUUAGUUUUCACUGUGUCUAACUUAGUUUACUCUUUGAUUAUGUGUGUUCCUGCCAUGAUUAUGGGCUAAUACCCUUUACUUUUGUUUGUUGAUCAUGAACCCUACUACUUUGAGUUGAUUUCAUUAUUUAUGGAUUUAAUUAUGUUGGUUUAACUUGUGUUUGGUAGAUUGAUAAUCCUAGGUUGUUAAAGGUCUAAUCUUUAUUGCUUUUCCUGUAAGUUUGGUGUAGUUAGAUGACAAUUCUUAUUGCAUAAACUUGAUAUCUAGUUGUUUAUGAACACUGAAUUGCUAGAUCUAGUGAUUGAAUAAAUCCUAGACUUAGGUAGUAAAGUUAGUAUCUUUGAUUGUGUUAGAGAGCAUUAUCGAUUCAUAAUAUGUGCUAGAUUGGCUUGUCUUGAUCUUAGAUAGGUAAUCAUUAGAUUUAUCAUUCAUAUUCCAAAUAAUCUUUAAAAUCAAUUUGGUGUCCACUUGUGCUAGAUCAUUGCAUAAUAGUUGAUGAAUUGGUAAUUACUAGGAAUUUAAACAUGAUAACUAGUAAGUUAAUAAUUUGGUAACCAAUAUAUUUAAUCCAUUAGAAAUCAACCAUAGGAAAAUAGGGGAUUCAAAGCCAAAUGGAAGUGUCUUUUAUCCUUGAUUAAAAAGAGUUUUCUAGUUACUUGUUUUAGUUUAAAGUAUUUUUAGUUGAUUGCUUAAUUGAAAUUUUUCUAAACUUGCAAAAUCAGAUAAAACCCCCACUUAAAGUUGUUUCUUCUAGUUUAAUUAAUAGCAAUUAUUUCUAUUUUCAAAUUCUGAUCCCUGUGUUCGACUCCUUACUUACUUUACUGUACUACUACACAACUAGGUACACUGCCUAAUUGUGUUUUAGCUGGUAGAAUUAGAUAUGAUUAUAAAUUUAAAGCAUUUAGUGAAUUUAAAACACAUCAAAGUUUAUGGAACAGUUACUGGGAAAUGGUUUGUUUUUGUUGAAAAUUAGUCACCAUUAGUUGAACGAUCCUUUUUGUGGGCUAAAAUCUGCAAAAAGUAAAAUUUAUAUUUUUCUAUUAUCACAGGAUCCACGACGUGGUGAUCUCCUUUCUAUGGUGUGGGAACUGAUGUUUUUUUUUGUUUUUUGUUUAUUAUGUAUUUUCCGAUUCUCGAUGCUUUUGAUGCCUCUUUUAAGGAAGUGGUCAAGGAACUAGAGCGAGAAGACGUGGGAUAUGACACAAAAGACAAUUUGGAGGAGCUAGAAGGAUGGCUAGUAGAAAACUUGUAUGAAGAACAAGAACAAGCUGAAUUACAUGAAUCAUGUCAUGAUUUGAUCAUUAUCACGACACGGUAAUACAUAAUUUAUAUACCAGUUUUUAAUUUAUAAACCAAACUAUCUAAACUAGCUAAAUGCGAUAGGUAGUGUACCUAAUCAAAUAGUAAUAUAGUAAGAAAGCAGUGUGUCAAACACAAGGGGAACGAGAAUGAUUAAAAGCUAAUUUUUCUACUAAAGUUAACUAAUUUUAAAAGCAAUUAAAUAGGGGGUUUUCUCUGGUUUUACAAGUCCAACUUACUUAAAAAUAGUUAUCACCAAAAACGAUUAAACUAACAAAAAGCAAUCCAAAUUAAGGUUUAAAGCAAGAUAUUAAAGCGACUUCCAUUUAGAUACGAUUCACACUACUACUAUGGUUGAUUUCUUGGAAAGUGCAAUGGAUUAAGUUGUUGUUGCUUACUGAUUCCUAAGGUUGAUUUAACUUUAUGAUCAAAAGAAUAAUCCUUUAGUAAAACUAAUUAAUUCAUUUAUUGCUCAGGUGGACAAAUAAAUAAGAAUACUAGUAUUAAGUUUGAGUUAUGCUAGAGUUGAACUAAUGAUUGAAUUAAUGGAUAAUAACAUCAAUUCAAUACAUGAAUGAUAAUCACAUAUUAGCUUCCACAUUAAUUUACCCACUUUCUAUUUAACCCUAGGUUUUUGAUAAAAAAACUAGUCUUAUAACUUUAAUGAUCACAAAUUCAUAAGAUUCAAGUUUACCAAAUAAGAAUGAUCGUCUAAUUCAGAAAAAUCAACAAUAAACAGAAAAAGUAGUUAUCAUUAACACAAAAGGGUCUUUAAAAAACUAUCAUAACAAAUAAGCAACUAGGAAGAAUCCAAGAUCCAAUAAAUCAACACAUAGUCAUAAUGAUCCUCUACUCUAAACAGAAGUUCGGAUUUUUAGCCCAUAAUUACUGAAAACAAACACUCAAAAUUGAAGUUUACUCUAGAACACAUAAUGAAGAACAAAGUAAACUUAGGUUUAGAAGUAUUAUUUCCUUAAUUCGCUUCAAAAACUAAACUUCACUCGAAAUCUCAUCUCCUUCUGUCUUCCAACACAUCUCUAGCCUCCAAAAGUCGAAAAUAACUUGAAGCAUAAGGUAUGGUUGGGAGAUUAGACGUAAUAUUUAUAGUUUCCUAGAUCCGAUCCCCACGCCGUGGCCAAAGCCUCCAUGGAAUGGCGGGUAGUUUCCAUGCGUGUUCCUCAAGUCUAUUAGAUGAUCACGAAAAUUAUUCUCCCCACGGCAUGGCUAAGCUCUCCACGCUGUGGACUUCAAAUUCCUUAAGCACUUCGACUUUGGUUGACCUGGUCUACUUUUUCCCGCUUCCAACUCUGCAUUUUGCUUCCUUUUAAUCCCGAGCAUGUCUUUGCUGCUACAAAACAAAAUUUAAACAUAUUAAGUACCCUUUGUCCUAAAAUAAGCACAUUUGUAGCUAAAAAUAUUAAGAUAAUGCAUGAAAUAUAUGACUAAUUAUGCACAUAUCAAAAUACCCACACUUGACUUUUGCUUGACCCAAGCAAAACCGAUCAUAAGCCACCAACAUCGCACAAGACAAUCCAUUUUGAGCCCAUCCAUUACAUCAAGACCGCCAUGCAUAUAUUUGUGUAUAAUUUUCCUAAGAAUUUCUCGGAUCCUAAAUACUAACAAUCAUCAUAAGCACUUCCCAGUCAAUGUAAACAAUGUUCAUUUUGGACAUUUUUACCUCGUAUGCUUUUUUAUUUACCUCCUUUCGUCUCAAAAGUAAUUUUCAAAUGCCAAGUGACUCAACAAAAAUGAAAAAUACUAUAUACUAUAAUUAUCCUAAAAAUAUAACUAUACUUUAUAAUGUCGCAACUUUAUAUUUUUUUGGAAAAUUUUCUCUUUUUUCAUUUUUUUCUACUUUUUUUUUUAUUUUUAUUUAUUUUUUUUUUAUCUUUUCUCAAUAUUUCAAUAUUUCAACUUUCCAUUAUCACAUAUAAGAAAAUAAUUAACUUAAACUUUAACUUAGUUGCAACUUUACUAAUACUUUUGUAACAUCCCAAAAUUUAAGACGAAGAGUUUCAUUUUUAUAAUAAUAAAACCAUCAUUCAAAAUGUUUUCAUAAAACCAAAAGGAAAUCAAAGUAUGCCAAUAAUUAGCCAAAUACAUCAGAGUUAAAUAAAAUAUGGAACAAUAUGGUGUGUGCGAUGCGAUCAUCUCAAGCUCUUCCCUUUCGAUCCGAAAGUACCUGAAACAUAAACAGAAAACCAUAAACACAAAGCUUAGUGAGUUCCCUAAGAUACCUUAUAGCAUACAUAUCAAACAUACAAUGGGCCAUGCCCAACAACCAUCAGGCCCCACCCGACAUCAAGCCCCGCUCGGAACAUAUCUGUCAAUAAUGUAAGAUGGACCCUACCUCAUGACAUUCAUUAGACCCCUCCCGACAUUCAUACAGACACAUAAAACACAUUCUAAAAUCACUAAGAUAAAUAGCAUACAAUACACUCAUCAGACCCCGCCUGGCAUCGGACCCCGCCCGGUAUACAUAUAACAUAACAUAUAUGCAAGAGUCACACAGAAAACUAGCAUCCUAAUCAUAAUAAACCAUGGGUCGUCAUUAGUGCCUCCGACCUGCCAAGCACAGUGAGGAAACUCACCUCAAACAAUGACUAUCUCAUAUAAAAGCUCAGACUGCUGAUCCGGGAAAAUCUUCGCACUAAUCAUCAUCAAAUAAUACCCAAUUAAUAAUUGGUUCACAACCCAUAACUGGAAUCCUAGUCCAAUUAUCUAACACCGAGUGUAAAAUACUAUUUCACCCUUUCCUUACUUGGUCCAAAAUUCGAGGCCCAAUACAAUAGCACCAAAAAGCCCAAUGUGGCCUAAAGCUCUAAAAGAUACCCAAAACCCCUUAUGGGCCCAAAUCCAAGAAGGCCCAAAGACCAGCAAUGGCCCAAAGUUAGAAAGGCUAAUGGUCAAACAAGUCCCAAACUCUACUAGUCUUAAAAUGGCCCAAAAUAGGAAAAUCCUAAUACAAGCCUGGUAUGCAACGUAUACCAAACAUAUGACCACCGUACUAGGUUACAUGCAUGGUCACGGAAACGGGCGCGUACGUUGCACGUACGUGCAAUGUACUCUUGAGUACGCCCAACAUACGCGCCUAUUAAGCACUUUUUCCUUAAGUGCUUAAUACUUGCAUUCCAACAUCUAAAUUUCAGAUCCAAGUUUAAUUGAACGUCUUAAUCCAUAAAGUCAAAGUCUUUAAGCCUUUGCAUGGCUAAAGACACCCCAAAGACCAAGUCUAACAUUUUAACUCCAUUAAGAAGGACACCAACCUAGCAUGGUUGAUCUAAACCCGUCAAGCUAUCAUUUUUAUGUACAAGGGACCUCAGAAAAGCCAAAAUUUAUCAUCCCAUAGUUCUGGAGUAGCCCAUACUCCCAAACAUGGCUUAAAGGACCCAAAAAAUGAACAAAUAAAGUUGUAAAGUAGAUCUAUCAUUAGGAACCAUCAAGUAGGAGCUUUAUACCUCAAAUAGCUUGCAAAGUUGAUGAAGAUUCUGGAUCUUCAAGCUCCAAGUCCACCAAAGAUUCACCACUAAGCUUCAACUCCUUCAAAAGUUCCAAAAACACCACAAGAUCACAACAAUGGCUCACAAACACUCAAAUGAAGGGUAGGGUUUCGUUCUUAGGGUUUGGAGAAGUGGAGGCUGAUCAUAAGAAGCACCAAAAGCAACAUAAGUUAUUUUAAUAUAGCACAAAACCUAAAAAUUAGGGUUUGCCCAUCAUACUCGGAUAGGGACCAAAUGAAAAGAAUUCACAACUAAGGGCUUAAACAGAAAAAACUGAAAUACAGUGUUACAAUUCUCCCCCACUUGAAUCAGACUACAUCCUCAAAGUCCGCUGCCAUAAAUAACUCCAGGUAAUGAUCCCUCAUCUCAACCUUGGGCUCCUACGUCCAUUCUGAACCCUUGCAGUGCUGCCACUGCACUUUCACUAGCUCAACAACCUUGUUCCUUAAUGUUUUCGUCUUCCAGUCAAGGAUCGCCACCAGUCUCUCGAUAUAAUUCAGACAAUCAUCUACCUGAAUAAUCUCCAAUGGAACCACAUAAUCAUCAACCAAACAUUUCUGCAGCUAAGAAACAUGAAAUGUGCUAUGGAUCUGACUAAGCUCAUCGGGUAGAUCCAAGAGAUAAGCAACCCAGCCCACCCGGGCCAAAACCCUGAAAGGAACGAUGUACAUGGGGUCCAACUUGCCCCUUUUCCUGAAGCGGAUGAUACCUUUCCAAAGUGACACCUUCAGGAUAACGAUUUCCCCAACCUGGAACUCUAGAUCUGAAUGGCGCUUGCCGACAUAGCUCUUAUGCUGACUCUGAGCUGUCCGAAGUCUACCCCAAACCAGCUAAAUCAACUCGGUAGUCUUAAUUACCAGUUCAUUACUUCCCAUGAUUCACUAAACGACCUCAGCCUAACAUAUUAGGGUCCUACACUUCCUCCCAUAGAGCAUCUCAAAAGGAGGUCAAUCAAUGUUUGCAUGAUAGCUGUUGUUUUACGAAAACUCACGCUAAAGGGAGAUACGUAUCCUAAAUCCCGCUGAAAUCCUAUACACAUGCCUAAAUCAUAUCCUCCAAGAUUUGGAUACUCCGCUCACUCUGUCCGUCAGUCUGCAGGUGGAAAACCAUGCUAAAAUGCAGACGAGUACCCAACUCCUCAUGAAACCUCUUCCAAAACCUGGAAGUAAAUCGUAAAUCCCUGUCUGAAACCACUGAAACCAGAACCCCAUGUCGUGACACAAUCUCCCUGAUAUAAAUGUCAGUAAACUUCUCGGAAGAGAUACUCUCCUGAAUCAGAAUGAAAUGUACGCUCUUGGUUAAUCGAUCCAUUAUGACCUAUAUCGAAUCCACUCUCCGAUGUCAGUGGCAAUUUCAUGAUGAAAGCCAUGGUAAUCUCUUCCCAUUUCAAAAUGAGAAUGUCUAACAACUGCAUCUUGUCAUGAGGUCGUUGAUGUUCGGUCUUGACUUUCCUGCAAGUCAAGCACCUCUCAACAUAACAAGCGACAUCCCACUUCAUACAUAGCCACCAAUAAUCGGGACGAAGAUCUCUAUACAUCUUUGCCGCUCCGGGAUGAAUAGAGAAUCUGGACUUGUGCACCUCUUCCAUCAAAACAUGCCGCGAACCACCCCAGUAAGGAACCCACACCCUCUGAUGGAGAGUCAGUAACCCUCGGUUAUCAUAAUCAAAGGAAGCCACCUGACCCACAAUGUGUUAUAUCUUUUGCUGCUCCUCCUUCAUAGCCUCAACCUGAGCCUAACGAAUCUGAUCCAAUAAUGGAGUAAUAACUGUCAUCCUAAAACACAUAUCCCUGAUCGGAGCCGCGACUACCUUGCAGCUGAGAGCAUCAGACACCACAUUGACCUUUUCAGGAUGGCAAAGGAUCUCACAAUUAUAAUCCUUCACCACAUCCAACCACCUAUGCUGCCUCAUGUUCAGAUUCGGCUGAUCCAUCAACUACCUCAGGCUCUUGUGAUCCAUGUAGAUAGUGCAACAUACCCCAUAGAGGUAAUAUAGCCAAAUAUUGAGGGUGAACACCAGAGCCCCAACUCCAAAUCAUGCGUAGGAUAGUCAGGUCAUGAGGAUUCAUCCGCCUUGAAGCGUAAGCAAUAACGCAACCCUUCUGCAUCAAAACUGCACCCAAACCCGUGAUCGAUGCGUCACAAUAAACCACAAAAUCCUCGACAUCCUCGGGCAGGGUCAGAAUUGGCGCCUCACACAAUCUCUGUCGUAAGGUAUCAAAAGUUGCCUGCUACUCAGGCCCCCAACAAAAAGUGAUAGUCUUCUUCGUCAAACGAGUAAGAGAAAACACUAUCUUGGAAAAAUCCUAAAUAAAUCUCUAAUAGUAACCUGUCAAACCAAGGAAAAUCUGAAUCUCAGAUGGAGACCUUAGAACCUCCCAUCUCAUCACUACCUCGACCUUGGCCGGAUCGACUAGAAUACCAUUUUGGUUGACAAGGUACCCUAGAAACUACACCUCACGUAACCAUAAAUCACACUUGGAGAACUUCACAUACGAUAUAUCCCUCCUCAGAGUCUCCAAUACCUCCCUCAAAUGCUCCUCAUGCAGCUCCUGGGUCUCAGAAUAGACCAUGAUAUCAUCAAUAAAUAAAAUCACAAACCAAUCCAACAUAGGCAUGCAUACGUAGUUCAUGAGGUCCAUGAAUGCGGUUGGAUCAUUGGUGAGCCCAAAGGGCAUUACCACAAACUCUUAAUGACCAUAACGAGUCUGGAAGGCUGUCUUCUGCACAUCGUCCUCUCUGAACUUCAUCAGAGGAUAACCCAAACAUAGAUCGAUCUUGGAAAACCAAUAUGCACCCUAGAGCUGGUCAAACAAAUCAUCAAUCCUCGGGAGUGGAUAACGGUUCUUCACCGUUAGCUUAUUCAGCUCCCGGUAGUCGAUCCACAUCCGAUGUGACCCAUCCUUCUUCUUCACAAAAAAGAUCAGUGCUCCCCAAGGCGAACUCCUCGGCCGAAUUAACCCUUUGUCUAACAGCUCCUGUAGCUAUGUAGACAAUUUCUGCAUCUCUGGAGGUGCUAACCGAUAAGGUGCUUUGGCUAUCGGAGCUGCAUUGGGAACCAGGUCAAUGCAAAACUCCACUUGCCUCUUCGGAGGCACUCCAGGAAAGUCAUCUGGGAACACAUCCAGAUAUUCCUGAACAACUGGCACAUUAUCCAUAGUCGCCUUACCAUUCUCUCGGGUAUCCAUAACAUAGGCAACAAAUCGAAAACAGCCCUUCUGAAGAUAGCGCCUGGCCCUAACUAUUGAAAAUAAAACCAGCACACAUUGAAUACCCACUCAUUGAAUUACCAACUCUCCCUCAUUUGGGGUUUGGAUAAGCACGAACUGCUACUCACAAUCAUUCAUUUCCCCAUUGGGGAUCAUCCAAUCCAUCCCCACAAUAACCUUGCUCUCAUACAGGGGAAUAUGAACAAAAUCAAUCAGAUACCGCUCAUUGAACGACUCCAGGACACAACCCUGAUGAACCCUAGAUACUUGCACAUGUCGAUCAUCAACAAUCUCAACCUCUAAUGGACAAUCCAGCUCCCUCAGAGCAUCGACAAACCUAUUGUUGAGCGUAAAAGAUACAAAAGAUCGGGUAUCCCCUGAAUCAAACAAUACCAAGGCAGAGAUACCGUUCAUAAGGAACGAUCCUAAAAUAGCACACACAAAUAUAAGCAGAAAGGCAACAUAAUUAAAGAGAUAAGGAGAAGAUACAUACUCGUCACCACAUCUGGUGCUGCACAAGCCUUCUUAAUUGCAAGCUGAAAAGCCAUGAUCCUCAUAACAGGCAAAUCCGCCUUGCCCUGGCGGGCAUCAGUAAUCCGUAAAGUCAAUAGAGAAAGUGCUACCACUAGUUCCCCCGCAGUUAAACUUGGGUAGUUGGCCUUCUUAUGGCCCCUCUAAUUACAAUGGAAGCAAAUCAGGUCAGAUACAUGGGUGGUGGCGACAGCAGUGCAAUCCCUGCUAAAAUGACCUGUCUUGCCGCACUUGAAGCAGCCAAAACCACCCACCAUGCACACUCCAUUGUGCGUCUUGCCGCACUUGCUUCAUCGAACCUGACCCUACCGGCCUCUCGAUCUCGAAUAAAUAACCUUUGGCCUCUUGCCCGAACCCUUUGGACCCUGAACCUGAUCCGGUUUUCUCUUCCUAUCCAUCUCCAAGUCAAUCUCCCUCUCCCUGGCUCUCGAUAUCAUAUACUCUAGUGUCCUACAACUGGAUCAGCUCAAAAACUACAUAAUAUCGUUCCUCAACAUCUCAUGGUACCUCAACUUCUUCAUCUCCUCGUUUGCCACAUACUGCGGAACUGAUAACGCGCUCUCACAGAACAUAGCAAUGCUCUUCGCUACCAUCUCAGUAGUGUGGCGAAGGUCUUGGAACUCACUCGCCAACUGUUGGACCUCAAUCAUAGGUGCAAACUCAGCCCAAAAUCCCGUCACAAAAUCCUCCCAAGUCAUGGACUCAAUCACCUCGCGCCCCAAGGCGUUUCCAACAUCCUUCUACAAGUCUCAACCUAUGUCUUUCAAAAGACAGGAUGCAAGUCAGACCUUCCCCUCCUCGGGACAAAGACUAGAUCGGAUGGCGUUCCCAAUGUCCGUCAACCAACGCCAACUUGCAAUUGGGUCCUUCUUCCCGAAGAACUCCGGGGCUCCACAUGCCUGGAACUCACGAAAAGUCAAAGUUAGAGCUCUCAUCAUCGCCACCAUCGCAGAAUGAAAAGCACCCAAGUGCUUAUCCAGAAUCUCCAUGAUACCCUCCUUGACCGUACCGAAAAUCACAUGAGUCUACUUAAGAAUACUACUGGUAAUCUCUGAAGAAAUGAACUUCCGCAUACGAUCAUCUAAAUGUCUCGCUCUAGAGCCCAAACCUGAACCCUCACUAGCACCAAAAUCACUACCAGAUCCUCCUUGAGUGACCAUCAUACUGAAAAUAGACCAUUCAAACCAUCAUAACACAUAGAUAUAUAAUCAUUGAGGAAUCCCAUAUGAGACGGGCCCCGCCUUAUCACAUUUAUCAGGCUCCACCCGACAUUCAUAUAGACACAUAAAACACAUGCAAGAAUCACUAAGAUAAAUAACAUACAAUAUACUCAUCAGGCCCUACCUGGCAUCGGACCCCGUCCGGUAUACAUAUCACAUAGCGUACAUGCAAGAGUCACACACAUAACUAGCAUCCUAAUCAUAAUAAACCAUGGGUCGGCAUUGGUUCCUUCGACCCACCAAGCAUAGUGAGGAAAACUCACCUCAAAUUGCUGAAUAUCUCAGAUAAAAGCUCGGGCUUCUGAUUCGUGAAAAUACCCGCACUAAUCAUCAUCAAAUAAUACCCAAUUAAUAAUUGGUCCACAAGCUAUAACUAGAAUCCUAGUCCAAUUAUCUAACACCUAGGGUAAAAGACCAUUUGAUCCUUUCCUUACUUGGCCCAAAAUUCGAGGCCCAAUCCAAUAGCACCAAAAAGCUCAAUAUGUCCUAAAGCUCUAAAAGAUACCCAAAACCCCUUAUGGGCCAAAAUCCAAGAAAGCCCAAAGCCUAGCAAUGGCCCAAAUUCAGAAAGGCUAAUGACCCAACAAGGACCAAAAUCCACUAGUCUGAAAAUGACCCAAAAUCGCAAAAGCACCAUCCAAGCCUGGUACACUGCGCAUCCCAGACGUACGCCCGUUGUACUAGAUUGCAUGCAUGGUCACAUACACAUGCACGUACACGUAGCGUAAUCUUGUGCGCGUACACGCCUAUUAAGCACUUUUUCCUUAAGUGCUUAACCUUACAUUCCAACAUCCAAGUUUUAGAUCCAAGUUUAAAUGAACGUCUUAAUCCAUAAAGUUGAAGACUUUAAGCUUUUUCAUGGCUAAAGACACCCCAAUGUCCAAAUGUAGUAUUUUAACUCCAUUAAGAAGGACAUCAACCUAGCAUGGUUGAGCUAAAACCAUCAAUAUAUCAUUUUUAUGUACAAGGGACCUCAAAAAAGCCAAGAUCUAUCAUCCCAAGCUUUUGGAGUAGCCCAUACUCCCAAACAUAGCUUAAAGGACCCAAGAAUGCACAAAUGAAGCCCUAAACUAGAUCUGUCAUAAGGAACCAUCAAGUUAGGAGCUUUAUACCUCAAAUAGCUUACAAAGUUGAUGAAUAUUCUGCAUCUUCAUAAAGUUAGGAGUCUUACUACCAAAGCUUCACCACCAAGCUUCAACUCCUUUAAAGAUCCAAAAACACCACAAGAUCACAACAAUGGAUCACAAAUACUUAAAUGAAGGGUAAGGUUUCGUUCGUAGGGUUUGGAGAAGUGGACGCUAAUCAUAAGAAGAUCCUAAAGCAACAUAAGUUGUUUAAAGAGGGCACAAACCCUAAAAAUUAGGAUUUUCCCCUGAUAAGAGUACACCCAGCAUACUACCACAUACGCCCAAUGUACGUGGGUGCUUUCGUGUCCAACCUCUCAAGCCAGUACGCCCAACGUACUCAGCUAGGGACCAAAAUGAAAAGAAUUCACAACUAAGGGCUUAAAGGGGGAAAACCUGAAAUGUAGUGUUACAAGUUUAGUUCAUGACUUUUUAAAAGAUUCAUUGGAGUACUUGGAAUCCCUUAGGUCACUAAUGGAAACCACGAAUUUUGAUGAAACCCGUGUAGUGGCAUUUUUCCCCUUCCGAUCCAUGUUAAUGUACUUUAGGUGGGUAGAUAUAAAAUAUCCAAUGGGGAAUACUGGCCAAGUCCCAAAGGUCACAGAUUGAAUCCAUUUUUGAAUUGUUACUUUAUUUUUUAUAUAUAUAACUAGAAUCAACAAUACAGAAAAGUAAACAAAUAAACUUGGUAAAUUGACUCGCUUUGUUUUGACAGAAAGGACCCAGUAGAUAAAUCAGUCACUGUUAGCUUUUUAUUAGGUCUAGCUUUUCCCAAAGCAAAAUUUUUUACAUCCCUCAAACUAGGCAAGGUCAUGACUUCACUAGGGCAGGGAAGCCACAAAUAUACUAGAACAUAUGUUGGCUCAAAUAAACAUUGAAGCUCGCAUCAAAUCGUCCCACACAACACUAGCAACCUAGCUCCCAACACAACAAUAUAACAAAAAUAUUUUAACUAGAUUCAAUAUUUAGACCAUUAUUUCAAGUGUUUCUAACAAAUUUUAGUCCUAGUCAUUUUUUCAUUUUUUUAUUUUUCAGUAUGCUUGUUAUUCCUAUAUUCAACCCCUACCCCACACUUAAUUCAUGCAAUGUCCUCAAUGCAUGCUAAACACAAUUAAAGGACAUAAAAGUAAAGAGAGAAUUUGGAAUAGAAUCCCUUGGGAUAGAAGUGGCGAGGUCGAAUGUGAAAGUUGUGUGGUUGACAUCUCAUCAAACUGCUGAAAAAGAGUACUUCUGGACUUUAGUAGGAAUAAUCUUGAAAUACACCGUGAAAACAAACUUUAAAUCACGGUAAAACAAACAAUCAAAUUGUGUAAUUGAGAUUCCCCACACCAUGGCGGAGCAUAGCCACGUCGCGGACAUCAAAGAAUGCAGUUGAUGAAAACCGUGUGGCCACACCAUGGUCACGUCGUGACUGCUGGGCGUUCAAAGCAUAAAUGCUUCUGUCCACUACGAAUUUAGGUGAUGUAAGGCAAUGUCAGGAUGACAUAUCUUUCUUUUUUGAUGUUAGAUCACAUUCUUCAGUUAUUCAUCAAUAAGACUCGAAAAUUCUCUAAAAAACUCUUCUUGAUCACACGUCGUACCCCUCACUUAAGAUAUUGUCACGUUUAUCGGGAAACAAAAUCGUACAAUCCAAUCUAACCGCUAAACUUAAUGCCAACAUUACUUCUGAUAAGAAAAAAUAAAAACAUGUAAUAAAAAGUAAAACAUUAAACAAAUAUCACCAUAAUCCUAAAUUACGCAAAUCCUAACACACAAAAAAAUAGUCUAAAUCACACCAAACAUAAAACAAUCAUCAAAUAAAAAUAGAGCAAGGACAAUCAUUUCUUCUUGUUCAUCAUCUCCAUCUCCAACCCCACUAGUACUCGCGCCCACCGCAUGCUCAGCCCAAUGCUCUUCCCACAAAGGUAUGUAAAUGUAGUUGGGAGGUGCUCCACUCGAGGUUAUUAAUUGUAGGCGAUGCAUCAUCGUCUCGAUCGAAUACCCAAUAAAUUUCAUGCCCUGGCCAAGGUCAUCAUCAUACUGUCUCGACAUAACAUGAUACGGAUCCAUAGGAAUCUCUUCACCCACACGUGCAUCUUAAGGUGCCCGACCCUCAACUCUCGAUCUCACAUUACUCCAUCUUGCGGGAGCCACGACCUCAUCAUUCACCGACGUCAUAUAGGUGUUGUUCCCCAUAUCCUUCACUAUCCUAGUUGUCUUGAAUAAUCAUGUCUGAACUGGGUGACCAUCCUUCCUAGUAAGAAACCCAACUUGAGGCGCAUCAAACACUCCAAAAGAUCUGGCUAAUAUGGUAAUUAACAUACCAUGAUAAAUGGGAGCCCCUGGUGUAACAUCCCGAUUUCCAGGUAUGAGAAUUUUUAUGAAAAAGGCAAAUUUUCGUUAGAACUCGUCGAGUUGAUGGCCUCAACUCGACGUGUUGAAAUUUUUUGGGCCGCAGAUAUUUUUCGACCAAAUUGACGAGUUGGUGAGGGAAAACUCGAUGAGUUGGUGGCUGAUUAAGAAACCCUAAUUUUUAGGGUGUUGCAACCUAUUUAAAUGCCUUAUACCAUUUGGUUGGCCUCCUUAUCAGUCACAUCUGUCUAGAAAACCCGAGUUUGUGCAUCCUCUCCCAUAUUUGUGUGUGUGUGAGAGCUUGAAGAGUGAUUUCUUGGUGUUCUUUUGAAGGAGCUUUAAGUUUGAAGUGGCUUGAUUGAAAAGAAGGCUUUAGAUAGAGAACCUACUCUUUUGUUGUAGUCAUUUCAAGAUAUAAAGUAGACACCUUGCUUAUCUAUUGCUUAGAUCUCUUUCUUGGAAGUUUAUUGUCAUAUUUGGCUCGUUUUUGGGAUUGUUCAUGGGUUGGGUAUCUCAUGAAGUUAUCACUUCAGAUCUGGACAUUUAUGGCCUCAUUGGACUUAAAGUUGCAGGCUUUAUCAAGUUCUAGGCCUCAUUCAUGCUUUAAGUCCCUUAUUAAGCCUUCUUUGAGUUUAGAGCCUUUUUGUGACAUGUGUGGACGUAAAGUUAGCAACAUUACGUGGUUUUCUAGCUCUUGGGUGCUAGAUCUACAUCUUGAAAAGUUGAACUUGAUGAAAAAGAACUGAAUGUGGAAGAGGGUAAAACUCACUGAGUUUUCCAGCCAGCUCGGAGAGUUCGCUGGGGUUUUUCCUGACUUUCUGAAUUCUGAAGGAACUCAACGAGUUGAUAAGUGCACUCGACUAGUUGGGUCAACAUGGGUUGUUGACCUUGACUGUUGACUUUGUUUUUUACCAUAGUUGACCAAAUUUGACUUUUGAGGCCAUUUUGGGUAUUUUAGAGUUUUGAUGGAAACGAUCACGUAGUGGUUGUAGGCAUUUGAUUCGAGAGCUGAGAUUUGAGAGCUGGACCUUGUCAGUCAGUGCUUGUGAGGUGAGUUUUCUUCACUAUACUUAUGGGUUGAAGGCACCAAGCUGUCCCUUUGGAUUAUUAUCCUUGUUUAUCGUAUACUUGUAUGCUAUAGUGAUAUGUGAGAUCAGUAUCUUGGUAGAUAAGAUGUAGCCAUGCUGUAGUGAUCUGUUAGAUCAGUAUCCUGGUAGAUAGGAUGAUGUUAUGCUUAGUGAUCUAUUAGAUCCGCCUGUUAUCUGUUCUAGCUAUAUGUUUUCCAGUAGCAUGUGUUGAUGUAGUGUGGUUGGGGUGAGAUUGUACUGCUUUGUUCUGCCACUCAAAAAUCCCUGUAAUAUUUAUAUUGCUAUGUUAUAUGCCUAUUUAUCUGUUAUGUGUAUAUCGACAUGGUUAUGUGGUUGGAUUGAGGCGGACCUGCUUAGUACUGAAGACCAACAGACCCAGAGCGUCCCGGAUAAACUGAAGGCCAGUAGGACAUACUAGUUAGAUCGAAGGCUCGGUGAGGCGGACCAGACAUGUUGAAGGUUCUGUGAGCGGUCCAGACAGGCUGAAGGCCUGGUGAGGCGGUCCAGACAUGUUGAAGGCUCUGUAUGUAUGCUGUUAUUUGUAUAUGUUAUUUGUUUGGGUGCUGGUACUUUGUGGGAAACUCACUAAGCUUCAUGCUUAUAGUUUUGGUUUAUGGUUUAGGUACUUCAGUGGAUCGUGGCAAGGUGAAGGCAUGGCCGUACACAUCCUCACAUUUUGGACUUAUAAUUUCUGGGAAACUCUGAUAAUGUGAAUGUUUUGAAAACUAUGUUGAAAGAGCUUCGGAUUUUUAAAUAAUGUCUUGGGAACAACGGUUUUUGUAAACACUUUUAUAGAAAAAGGGUUGUUUUGAAAAGUUCAAAUUUUAUGAAAUUUUUAUGGAUGUUAAACCUGGUCUAUUCUUCCCAGCCCUCUCAGUCAAGAAAUCUGCUACAUAGUAUGUGAGGUGACAGACGAUAAUUGGUGUAAUGAUACACCACAGAAAAAGGAAUGUGCCCCCCUCUUUCUUCGGGUUGAUAGAGAAUGUAAUCAACAAAUGGAUGAAUCGAUACACAACCUUCCUGAUUUUUCCUUAGCUUGUUGUUCCUCCCGUGUACGACCCAUUUUCUAUUUCAGUCUAAUACCUAAAUUCAUUAACUUCUGGUGGAAAUCUCUUGUGACAAUGCUCAAAAAAGACAACAAAGUCAGGAGAUGUUGCCACUGAUAUGUUGUAUAAGUCCAAAUGCCAAGCUAACCUCAACAAGAAUAAAUUUCCGUCUUUUCCCCCGAUAUAAAAUGUGAAAUUCUCAGGAUCAUUCAUAUCAUCCUUCCUCCUAAUUAACCUUGGAGAAAAAUUCCAUGCAAAGAUCCACGUAAACCGGCCUUGGAUCCUAAACGAAUGCCUCCAUCCUAUGCAAGUAAGUCGGAUUAUGUAUUGUGAAAAUAGUUAGUUAAAUAUGUUUUGACUUAUCCCAAGUGCCCCACAGCUUCAAUCCAUUUCUAAUCCAAAACAGGUGGAAUUUCAACGUCUUUAGUAUGUAGCCAAGUUAACUUGUUCUUCCAUUCUUGAUACACCCCAGGGGCCACAACAUUUGGAAAAUUGUAUCAUGGUAAUUCCCUAUGUGAUGGUUGCCUCCUGGAUCCCAUUUCUUUGGUGAUGAAUCAAGUUAAAAUCGAAGUAAAAUGAAAAAGAUUGUGAAAACUGCUCUUAGAGGGAAGAUGACGAUGUNNNNNNNNNNNNNNNNNNNNNNNNNNNNNNNNNNNNNNNGGGGGUCGUGUGGUAAAAAAAUGAGAUAAAUGACCGCUUAGGGUUUAAAAGUAACUUACUGCGUAAAAAUUAGACCUAAGUUGUGGCUAUUAGGGCCACACCAUGGAGUUUCAAAUUUUUUCGAUUUAUAGGAUUUUCUUGUAGCCUACGUCGUGGGAACAACUCAUCCACGCUGUGGCUACUGCAAGUUAGAUUUUUUUUUAAUUUUCAAACAAAAAUCUACCACACCCCACAUUUGUUCGUUACUUGCCCUUACAGAAACAAUCAAUUACAAUUACUAAAGAGUGAAAAUCCUUGGUAAAAAAAAAGUAAAAAGGAAGAAAAACAAAGCAAAACGCAAAAGUAAAAUGAAAAGAAAAUGAAAACCACAGGUUGCCUCCCGUAAGUGCUUAUUUUUUGAGGAUUCAUGAGCUGGACUCCUUCCUGCUCUACGUUGCGGCGGUUUCUUCCAGGAUUAAGUCCUCUCCUUCUGUGUCUUCCCUUGGCAUUCCUUCUUCUUAAUGCUUUACUUGAUGUCCAUUCACCUUAAAUGUUGUCCCAUCUCCGUUGUAUAAUUCGAUUGGUCCAUUUGGAAAUGCUUCCUUGACCACGAAUAGUCCUUACCAACGUGUCUUCAAUUUUCCCGAAAAGAGCUUCAUCCUUGAGUUGAAGAGUAGAACCUUUGACCGGGCUCAAAAUUCUUAUUUCUGCUUAACCUAACAUCAUUCCAUUUCUUUGUUUUGUCCUUAUAAAUCAAAGAUUUAGUGUAUUCUUCAUUUCUUAACUCCUCUAAGGCGUUCAUCUGCAUGAAACGAUUGAUAUGCAAUUCAGAUAAUUCAAAGUUACAAGUAUUUAAAGCCUAAAAUGUCAUUUGUUCGAUUUUGACCGGUAAGUGACAAUUUUUACCAAAAACUAGCCUAUAAGGUGUAGUGCCAAUUGGAGUUUAAAAAGCGGUUCAAAAUGCCCAUAAUGCAUCAUCAAGCUUUUCGAUCCAUAUUUUUUUUUAUUACAUUCUACCGACCUUUUUAAAUUUCUUUUUAGUAUUCGUGUAACAUCCCGACUCCCAAGUAUGAAUUUUAAGAAUUUUCGUACAUCACAUCAGACCUACUCGACGAGUUGGAGGUCCCAACUCAUCGUGUAGAAACUAAUAAGGCUGCAUGGAUUAUGGAACCUACUCGAUGAGUUGGAGGAUCCCGAAUCGAUGAGUUGAGGUUGUGCAUGAAAACCCUAAUUUUUUUGGUUUGCACCCUGUUUAAAGGACCUUAAGUCCCCUCACCAGCCUCCCUCACCACCUUAUUGUCCAGAGAGAAACCCUAGCCGUGCUUUAUUACUUUCUUGAGUGCGUGUGAGCUUUGGAUAGUAAAUCUUGUGUUCUUUUGGAGGAAACUAGAAGCUUGAAGAGGUUGGAUUGCGUAGAAGGCCUUAGAUCCGGGAGCUUCACUAUUUUUUUGCAACCAUUUGGAGGUAAAAAGUCGCCAUCUUGAUCACUCCUUUGUUAGAUAUCCCCAUUAGAGAGUGUAUGGUCAUUUCCAGCUUAUUCUUGAGUCAUUCUUAGUCUUGAGCAAGCCUUGAAGCUAGGACUUCAGAUAUGAGCAUCUUAGGGCCUCCUUGGACUUAAAGUUGCCAACUUUAUUAAGUCUUGGCCCUCCUUAAUGCUCUAAAACCCAUAAUAAGCUUCAUAUGAGUGUUUCAAUCUCUUUGAUGCCUUGCAUGCAUGUAAAGUUAGCAACUUUACUUGGUAUCUCAGUCCUAUGGGGCUAGCUCUGUAGUUUAGGGCUGUGGUUUCGAUUGGAAAGGGUUGAAUACGUUAAGAUAGGAAAACUCGAUGAGUUGGAUAAGGUUUCCCGCUUCCUGGAUACUGAGUGAACUCAGCGAGUUGAUGAGAUGACUCGAUGAGUUGGUUGAGUUUUCCCUGUUUUCUGGACACUGAAGAACUCGACGAGUUGCUCUAGCAACUCGGCGUGUUGUCUUGAGCUUUUCACGAUCUUCUGAGAUAUGAAGGAUCUCGACAAGUAAGUAGAUACAGUCGAUGAGUUGGGUCAACAUAGUCUGUUGACCUUGAUUGUUGACUUUGACUUUGACCAUGGUUGACCAAGUUUGACUUCUGAGGGUAUUUUGGUAAUUUGGGAUAUAUUUUAAUUGAAUUAGUCAUAUGGUGGUUACAGGCAGUUGAGUUCGGAGAUGUGAGUUGGGAUUCGAUUUUAUCGGUUAGCACUACUUGUGAAGUGAGUUUUCCUCACUAUACUUAGGGGUCUAAGGCACCAAGGUCGGACCAUUCGAUUGAUAUCCUGGUAAUUGUUGAUAUGAUGAGUGUGAGUUAGAUAUUCAUGCUAGUUUGAUAUGCUAGUCUGGUAGAUCUGUAGGACUACCUAUGAUAUUGUCUGAUUAUGUGUAUGUGUAUUUAGCUGUUACAUGUUGACAUGUUGUGUGGGUAGGGUUAAGGUUGUACUGCUCCGUGUGGUAACCAACAAACCCUGGAGUAUGCCAGAUAUGAGUUGAGGGCCAGGGAGAGCAAGCUAGACUCAUACUGAGGACUCUUAAGCAUUCCAGAUGUGAGUUGAGGGCCAAGGGAGCAUGCCAGACUCGCAUUGAGGGCUGAUCAUUUAUAUUCCAGUCUUAGGACUGAAGGGGCAAGCCAAUCAUAAGCUGUAGGCUCGAGAGUACACCAGACUUAUGCUGUGGGCUCGGGAGCAAGCCAGAUGUGAGCUGUGGGCGUUUAAGGAAAGCCAGUCUCAUAUUGUGGGCUUGGGGGUAAUCCAGUCUAUGAAGCUGUGGACCCAUUACAUGUUGUUAUUAUGUGUGCUAUUUGUUAUGUAUCGAUAUUUUGGGGGAACUCACUAAGCUUCGGGAUUACAGUUUUGGAUUUUGUUUCAGGUACUUUGGAUGAUCACGGAAAGGCGAAAGCUUGAUCGUACACCUCCUCACAUUUUAUGAUUUUGAUUUCUGGGAUUCUCUGAUAUGAAACUAUUUGAAAAACAUUUUGUAAUAAAUAAUGGUUUUUGGAUGCUUGAAAAUGUUUUAAAUUUUUAUGAAUUUUAUGGAUGUUACAGUCCGAUUUGUUAUUUCGGUUUGCCGACUUGUUUAAGGAUGAUAAGGUGUUGCAAACCUAUGGUGGACACCAUAUUUUUGUAACACCUAUGCAAGUUUUUCAUUGAAAAAUUAGGUUCCGUGAUCGCUAAUUAAUGCUCAAGGCAUGCCAAAACGAUAGAAUUACAUUUUAAGAAAUUUAACAACAACACAUGUGUCAUUAGUGGGUAAAGCUUGCGCUUCCGCCCACUUCGACACAUAAUCAACUGCUACUAAUAUAUACUUGUUACCUCAUGAAGCUAGAAUGGUCUCAAAAAGUCAAUCCCCCAAAUGUCAAACACCUUACAAAAUUGAAUGAUGUUUUAAGGUAUUUCGUUGCAUGAAGAGAUGUUCCCGAUCUUUGACAUGAGUCGCAUUCCUUGACAAAAGUUGUUGCCUCCUUGAAUAUGGUAGGCCAAAAGAAUCCCGAAUGAAACACUUUCUUUCCCGUAUAGUGAGCUCCAUGAUGUCCUCCAAUUGGUUCACUAUGGCAUUGAUAUAAGAUGUCUCUAUCUUUUUUCCCCAAAAUACAUCUUCUAAUGAUCCCAUCGGCACAACUUUUGAAGAGAUAUGGCUCGUGCAAAAAUAGUACUAGAGUUCAGAAAACAACUUCUUCUUUUGUUCGUAGGAGAGACCUUUAAUAGGAUAAUUACGUAUAAGGUAGUUCAGGAUGUCCACGAACCAAGGCUCUUCUCCCUCAAUGACCAUCAAGCACUCAUCCGGAAAGUUGUCAUCAAUUACUUCUUCUUUUAGCUCCUCUAGUUCCGGGUUCUCUAGUCUCUAGAGAUGAUCGACCACCACAUUUUCCAAUCCUUUCUUGUCUUUUAUUUUAAUAUAAAACUCUUGAAGAAGUAAAACCAUCUUAUCAACCAUGGCUUUGCAUCCUAUUUGAUAAACAAAAAAUUCAAGACAGAAUGGUCAGUAAACACAAUUAUUUUAGACAAAACUAAGUAAGGAAAAAUUUUAUCAAAGGCAUAAACUACGACUAAUAAUUCUUUUUCAUGGUGGUGUAGUUUUAUUGAGCCGGAUUGAGUGUUUAACUUGCAUAACAAAUUGGUAGAAAACGGUUUUCAACCUUUUGUCCAAAACCGCUCCUAAUGCAAAGUCACUAGCAUCACACAUCAACUCAAAUGGAAGAUUCCAAUUCGGGGCUUUCAUAAUGGGGGUGUUCAUUAAUUUUUCCUUAAGAAGUUCAAAAGCCUUCAAAAAAUCAUUAUAAAAUCAAAAGUAGCAUCUUUUAAAAGCAAUUGAGUUAAGGGUCUCGUGAUUUUUGAAAAAUCCUUUUUAAACCGACGGUAAAAUCCCGCAUGACCCAAAAAACGUUGCACCCCUUUGACGUUAUUUGGAGGUGGCAAUGUUGCAAUUGUGUCAAUCUUAGCUCAAUCCACAUCUAUCCCUGAUUUGGAAAGCUUAUGUACUAGCACUAUUCCUUCUCUAACCGUGAAAUGACAUUUUUCCCAAUUCAAGACCAAGUUUGUCUCUUCACACCUAUCAAGCAUUAAAUCAAGUUUCGAAAGACAAUUAUUGAAUGAAUGACCAAAAGCAGAAAAAUCGUCCAUGAAGACUUCCAUGAGCUUAUCCACCAUGUCAUGAAAGAUAACGUUCAUGCAUCUUUGAUAGGUGGCCGACGCAUUACAUAACCCGAAGGACAUUCUUCGAUAAGCGAACGUCCCACUAGGACAUGUGAAUCUGGUCUUUUCUUGGUCUCUUGGAUCAAUUGGAAUUUGGAAAUAACCUGAAAAGCCAUAUAAAAAGCAAUAGAUGAUGUAACUGGAUAAUUGUGUGAGCAUUUCAUUAAUAAAGGGUAAAGGGAAAUGGUCCUUACAAGUGGCAUCGUUUAAGUUGUGAUAAUCGAUGCACACUCGCCAACAAGUUACCGUUCUAGUUGGAAUGAACUCGUUCUUCUCGUUUUGUUACCACUGUCAUCCCUUCUUUCUUUGAACCACAUAAACCGGACUCACCCAUUAGCUAUCCGAAAUUGAGUAAAUAAUCCCGGAAUCCAAUAACUUCAUCACCUCCUUUUUUACCACUUCUUGCAUAUUUGGAUUGAGCCUACUUUGUGGCUGAACUAAAGGCUUAGAACCUUCUUCUAUAAUGAUCUUAUGUGAGCAAUACGAAGGGAUUAUUCCCUUGAUGUCGGAAAUUGUCCAUGCUAUGGAAUUUUUUUUUGCUUUUUCAACACUUUUACCAAGCUCUCCUUCUCCCUGGGCUUCAAAUCCGAGGUUAUAAUCACAAGAUUAUGUUCAUUAUCUUCUAGGAAAGCCUACUCCAAAUGACCGGGUAAGGGUUUGAGAACUAAAUUUUGGCUCUGUUCAGUGGCCACGACGUGGGCUUCUGAUGGCCAUGCCAUGGGGCUUCUUUUUUCCCCGUCAGGUCGCAAAUUUGCUGAACGCCACACUAUGGCUACUAUUUGGCCACACCGUGGGGGUUCUUCAGAGAGUCUUUUCUCUUCUUCAAAAUCACUUUCUUCCAGGAUCCUUUCCAGUUCUUCAAGGUCAUGUUCGACAUCAAAAUUAUCUUCCUUCAGAGUCAUUUAACCUUCUAACUCAUUCUCCUUUCAUUCUUGCAUCUCUCUCUCUAUGAACGAGUAAAAAUUGUAUACCAAAAAUACCAUGUCAUCACUUAUCUUUGAGUGCUUCAUUUCUCUAUCUACACCAAAUGUUAUUGCAUGUUCUCUAACUCGAAGUAUCAACUUUGAUUCUCUAAUUUCCACAAGAGCUUACGUCGUGCUAAGGAAUGGUCUUCCAAGAAUAAUAGGGACAUGAGUGUCCUCCUCCAUGUUAAGCACUACGAAAUUUGUGGGAAACACAAACUUAUAAAUUUUAACCAAUAGAUCUUUACAAAUACCUCUCGGGAAUGUCACCGUCUUAUUGGCUAGAUAAAUUGCCAUGCGUAUUGGCCUUGGCUCCGGGAGAUUCAAAUUUUUCUAAAAUGAGUAUGGCUUUAAAUUUACACUUACUCCUGAAUCUGUAGGAGCAUAACUAGUUCAAGAUUCCCGAAUUGACAAGGAAGUGUCAUGCUUCCGGGAUCUCCCAUCUUCUCUGGCAACAUGUUGAUCAUAACCGCUGAGUGUGACAUCCCCAAAUUCACGGCCAUUUUAAAAAUUUUAUUUAUGCUUAUUUUAAAAUCAGGGUAUCCUUUUUAAAGAAUAAUAUUGCAGAAUUUGUUCCCAGAAAACAUGAUAAUGAUAUUUAUCAAAGCAUUUCCGAAGAAAUGUAUUUUAUUUAUUUUAAACAUUGGGAUGUCAUCACCAAUACAGAAACAUAAGCAUAACGAAAUAUUACAAGCCUUACAGUAAUUAAACUAGUGGCUUAAUAUUCCUUGAAUCUCUCAGCAGAAUGUAUCUUUCAUAUCGCUACCUGUGAUACAAUAAACUGAGAGGGUCAGGAUGGAAAACCUGGUGAGUACAUAGGGUUUUCAACCCAUAAUAAUAUAGUUAAUUUGUUUCUUCACAUACUUCAUAUCCAACAAUAAACCUGAUUACCCAUCCCCAUUAUAUUCUUCAUUCUUAAGGAUCUACCCAAAGAAUCAUCCAUUCAUCAAUAUUUAUUCCUAUGGAUUUUCCUAAGGAAUAGGCACGAAGUCCAUCGCUAUCAGGGUUUACCUAAUACGCACUAACUCCAUAACUGCCGAUGUUAUCUGUUAGGAACAGCUGCUAAUGCUAUCUAUUAAGCACCAAGUCCAUAGAUGCAAUGUUCAUUCAUAAGGAACUAAGUCCAUAGCUGCCAGGGUUUUUAGAGUAGAUUUGGUGAACACGUCGUUCACAAACACCUAUAGGUUGCGAGCCUACUAGUGUCCUGCUGGACUGUCUAGAAUAGUCUGUGGUCAUCAUCUAUACUCUGCUAGAUGAUUGGAUCAACUUCAAAGUCAAGGUUUUCUAUCAUCUUUCACCUUUCAAAAUCUAUAUCAUCUUUUAUCUCUCAGCGUCCAUAUCAUCUUUCAUUUACCCAUCUUUACCCAAUAUAUUUAUAGGUAUAAAAAUACAUAUAUACAGUUUAAAUCAAGUAAAACAUGUAUAAAUCGUUCAUCUAGCAUAGAUAUCAGGAACACAGAUAAUAAGCACAUAUAUCAUGUAUUAAUAUUAAAUACUUCAUAUUUAUGUGUAAAAUGAAAGUAACUAUGCACUCACUUGUUAAAGUGACGAUUCGAAAUUCUUGCAGUGCUUCACUUCUAACAACUGUCUUUUUCUUUGAUGAAACCUAGUAUUAUUAUCACUAUUUUUUAGUCUAAUAUUUAUUGCGACUAAUUAUUAGUCUAGAUUUAUUAUUAACUCAAAGUAUACUUUCAUGAUCUAUCAAGUAAGGAACAACCAGGUAGGAUCAUAUUGGAGGUAGGGUCCGUUUGGUAUACGAAGUAUACUGUUUGGAAAUACCACUUUAAACACCUCACUAAAUCACAGCCUAGACAUCAUCCCCGUAAGUAGAAAAAUCAGUAUAACGACUUUGAAUCAAUGAUAAAUCUUCUUUAUAGGUUCAUUAUAACGAUAAUGAACUUAAAUAUAAGUUAUACUUAAAGUAUGGUAAACAUAACUCACUUAUUGGGGUUUAGCGAGGAACCGGGCUCUGCGCGGGCAAAACUUCUGAGCCGAAAGCUCUUUUUCUCAGGGCCUUCUGGCGCUCCGAGGCUCGCUACUAACACCAAGGAGGUGCUAGGGAAAGGCUUAGAGGGUUUGGGGGUGUUUGUGAGAGAAAUGGUUGAGAAGGUGUGAGUUUUUGAGUGAGAAACACAUCCUAUUUAUAGGCUGGAGCAUCCCACGAACGCGGGGUGUUGAAGAGCUAAACACGGUCAUUUGCUGCCGCUUGUUGCCAUCUCGUUCGAAGACGUGGGGAAGAAGGUGCGGCUCAGAUUGUGCCAUGUGUCACUCGCAGGUUUAACCCAAAAUUAAUUAUCUUCUAAAAUCCGUAACUUUUGCAUACAAGCUCCGUUUUUGACGUUCUUUAUAUCCAUGCGUAGGUAGCGACAUGAUCUACAACUUUUAUUUAGAACCCGUCAGCUAAUUUUGAAUUUAUUUUUAAAUUUAUAUUUUAACAGACUUAGACAGUUAAAGUCCGUUAAAAAUUCAUAACUUUGUCAUCCGACAUCCGUUUUCGACUGUCUUUAUGUCGUUGAGCUGCUAUUAAUGAGAUCUUCAAUUCUCAUUUCGGUUGUGUCGGCUAAAAAUUGGUUGAUCUAAAAUUCGAUAUCUGGGCUGUAUAUUGCUAUGCAAAAUCUUAGAAAAAUCAUAACUUCCUCAAACGAAGUCAGAUUUGAAUGUUCUCUAUAUGCACAGUCUCGGUUUAACAUAUAAUAAAACUUUCAUUUAAAUCGCUAAGGCUAAAAAGUAGCUUAUCAAAAAUUCACUUUUUACAAUACGCGGUGUCGUGUCGGUUUGAUUACAAAACUUCGACCGCUCAUAACUUUUUCGUUAUAAGUCUGAUUUCAACGUUCUUUAUAUGUACGAAAUCCUUGUGACAUAUACUAUUACUCUGGUUAAGAUUAUUUAUGCUGAAUAAUCUUCUAUCAAAAAUUCAUUUUUAACGCUUACUAUCUCUAAAUUAACUAGCUCGAAUCUACGGGCGUUACACUGAGCGAUUCUUGUUUAAUAUCACUUUUGAUGCUUCCUCCAUAUUCUUUUGGUUCGUGAGAAGGUCUUUUAGGAACUUGGCAUAUUUUUGCAUUUGUGCAAUGCUUCAUGAACAAAAUAUUUAUUUGUAAAGCGUUGAUGUGUUCCAUAAACUUUUUGUACUCCUCAACUUGUUUGUCUUGCUUAGCACAAGUCGAAUACGGAAGAGGUGGCUGAUACAUUUUGAUUGAAGAUUAUUUCUUGUCUUCCUCUAAUGGCCACACUGUGGUCUCGUGGUCCCCCAACCGUGGUUGCUGGGCAGUGGCCUUUUCUUGAACGAUUUCUUCUUCCGGCUGCUGCACAUUUGAUGAAUCGAUGUCAGUUAAAGGAAUUAAGGGGUUGAUAAUUUUACCACUCCUUGUUGUUAUGAACUUGACGUAAGCUUUUGGAUUGGUCUCUGUGUUGCUCGAUAUUACGGAUCAAGGCUUGCUAAUUUCGGAGAACAACAUCAGUUUCAUCAUGUCGCUUUUCGGAUGUGGCUGCAAAUCGAGCAAGCAUUACUUUAAAUUCAUUCUUCUUUUCGGGAGCUGGUUGCUCCUUUUGAUAAUCCCCGCAAACUUGUUUCUUGUACUUCUCCUUUUUUCCUUCUUGUACCCAUCAUAGGGCAGCCACUCUUUCUUCGGUUUCCUCCAAUCUUCAUCGUACAUGUCACCACUAGAGUAACAACCUUGAUCCUUCCAAUUUCCAUUUUCAUCGAGGUCGCAAUUCUUAGUUAAAUGAGGUCUGCUACAAUUAUGACAUCCAACGUGAAUUACAUUGAUGGAUUGAUCCAUCUUCAUCAUCCUUCAGUCCAUCACCUAUAGUUAUGCCAUAAGUACUGCUAAGCUCUCAUCGCCUCCAUCCAAACUUCCCCGGCCUCUUGACACAUCUUAUCGUGGGUUAUGAUAUUCGCAUGAAUGUUUAGUGAAUUCUUCAAUCAACUCCUUAAUUGUAGACGGUUCCUUCUUUUUCAUUGGUCCUUGAGAGUCAAGGAGUUGUGUUGUUGUAACAUUCACCCAUCAUAAAAGAUAGACACUUCUUGUUGUACAUUGAGAUUGUGUUGGGGGCAAUUUCAAAGAAUACCCUUAUAUCUCUCCCACGCUUCAAACAAAUACUCGCCAUCAUUUUUUGGAAGUUUUCUAUCUUCUUCUUGAUCUUGUAUAUCUUCGAAGGUGGGCUAAAUUGCUUAAUGAAAGAAUCACGUAGAUUUGUCCAAGUUGUGAUUGUGCCAGGUGGAAGUGACUUUAGCCAAAUUUUAGCCGCUCUUGUAAAUGUUACUGGUAUCAUUCUAAGUAACACUGCUUAUUUUGUGACAUUUGGAGCAUUGAAGUAAUUUUUAAAUUCCUUGACUUCGUCGAUGGUUAGAGUUGGUGCUCGUUCCAGCUCCACUGGCACCACCAGAAUUUACUUGAGUCAUGGCUGCGGCCCCAGCUGCGGUCACAACAUCCUGAAACAUCACUGCAUCGAACUGUAGAGGGGGUGGUGGUGUUGGAGUUUGAUUUACAGGCGUGCCUCUGUCCGGAUGCUUGCGAGGCGGCAUCUUUUACUGAAAUUUUUAAGAGAUGAUGAAUAAAUGGUAACAAUCAAUUAGAAGUAUGGUGAGAGUGAUCCGUGGGAUAAAUUGCCAUAGACCAAUAGUUGAAUGAGUGUAUGUUUUGAAAUAGAGGCGCAAUAGAAGAGUAAAAGAGUAUAGGUUUUCCAACCGAUUGGAUAACUGUCAAUGUUACUGGUUUUACAUAAACUAAGUUAUAUCCAAAAGAGAGAGUUGAGUAGGCUCUAUCUACGACGAGAACCACUAGGAUGGGUCCUUGAAUCUGACAGACGGUGCUCCAUGUCUCAUGCGCCUUUCUGACAUUUCUUGACGAGCUCGAAGUUCCCUGACUUCAGCUUGGGAGACAGGUAGCUGUUGCUGUAGAGCUUCAUUGGUUCUCCUAGACCUUUCCAUAGCUGUUUUGAGAUGGCGAAUGCGGACUAUGUUAACGCCCGAAGUGGCAUCAAUUUCCAUGACUCGGUCGAUGGCUGCCCGACCUUGCUCGACAUUCCGAGCAAUCCUACGGACUAUGAUGGGCAGGACUCGGUCUACUGAGCCACCCUCGCUUAGUUUGUAAAAGCUUCGGUCCCCAUUAUAGGGUAAAGGUUGACCCUAUUCAUCACUCCAACAGUUCAAGUUUGUCGCCCACAAGGGUGUGGGACCCUGAAAUGCUGGUCGGGGGUUUAGGUUUGGGACUUGUCCCUCUUGGGGUAGGUUGUUGACUUCUGGCUCGGAGUCGGAACCAUCAGAAAAGCCUUAUGUGAGGUGAUAAUCCAAAGGGAUUGGAUGGUCAUCUUCCGGCUCCUCUUCAAGCCAUCCAACAUUGCCUUGAUUAGGGAAGUACGGGUCGCCAGGAGGAUGGAAUCCAACCAUGAUAUCUACGCGAGAAAAGGGAGAUAAGAAAUCUUAUAUUAAUAGACGUACCAUUUCAGAUAAUUAUAAUAUGACCUUUAUUAGUUACUUCAAUACUUGCAUAAUGCAUACUAGUUAUAUGUAAUUGAAAUAGGAUAGACCUUCGAAUAAGUGACCCUAACUCUAAACCCACAACCAAACAAGGAGCAGGGAGUAAAGCAAAGACCACGGAUUCUCAGUCUAUGACAUCUUAGUUACAUAUAACCUUAGCAUAUCCACUUAGCAACUAUUGACCUACUAAUAAAGACCUUUUUAGUUCUCAAAUAAGAAUUUUAGUAACACAAAAUACUCCUAUAGUAUUUUAGCUUUUAUGUUUUGUUCUAUCGUUUUCAUUGUAGUAGUAUUGGUAAAUUUUUAGACUUGUUGCCGCAUCACAACCAUUCAUGGGCAUAUGCUAAUCAGUUCUCGUACCAGCAUAGUUGAUCAGGCUAUGCCACUCCCAGAACUGACCAUACAUCCCCAAGCCUACUUGUGAUAUUCAACAAUCGUAAUACUUUUGUUCUGUCUUAGUGACACUAAUUUUAGUAUGAAUGCAGGUAUGUAUACAUAGUUAAAUAUUUUAUUAUUUAAGAGUAUAAACUCUUGGUCAAAGUAUUUUAAUCCCAUUGUGUUUAUAGUUAGUAUAUCUUUUAUGGGUUGAUAUACUCAAUUCACAAUAAACAAUGCUCUGAUACCAAUCUGUCACACCCCAAAACCGGAACGACGGAAACGUUCUGGGGCGGAGGACGUCAUGUUCAGUAUCACAACAUAGAAUAAUAGUAAACGAGCAAACAACAUCGAUUGCAUUAAUAUAAUAGUUAAAUACAUGUGUGUUCCUUUAUAAAGUUUAAAUGACACCAAAAAUGUACUAUCAAAAUAUAGACGAGUCUUGGAUCCACUCCGUCCUUCAAAAGCUGCAUGGGUGUACCUGUCUUACUGGUUCCCUGAGAAUACAAGUUAUUUUGAAAGAGAGUAUCAGCAUAAAAUGCUGGUGAGUUCAUAAGUAAUUAGUGUCAUUGUUGUUGUAAAUUGUAUAUUGAAAAUGUUCACAGUAUAAGUUUAUAGUGAAAGUUUGUAAGUGUUUACUUGAAGUAAAAUGCUCGUUGUAAAUGUUUGUAAACUGGUUGCAUAAUGUUAGUAUCUUCCUAGAAAAUCCCAUAUUUUCUACUAAAUUGUAGUCUUCUACCAAGACCCAAAUGUUCGGUUUGUUUGUUAGUUUGUAAUAGUAUGUAUUUUCCCCAAUCUAACUAUUGUUAUCAAAAUAUAGGUUGUACGUUAUCGUUUAAUGAGAAAAUGUUUCAAAGCAAAUGUAUUAGGGAAAACAUUAUAGAACUGUAGUUUUUUUAUAUGGAAACUACCGUAGUACUACUUACUUAAAGCCUAUGGAUUAUAAGGUAAGGUGAGAUUUGUAACCAUACUGAUUGACGGUUGUAGAACACGACGAUGAAAUGCGUCGAAAUAAAAGUGACAUUUGUCACCCCUUGGCUUGGUCAGCCGGGGACUGUAGCUAACAGUCGGGGUGCGGGAUAGUCUGUCCCAUAUAGAUCUAUACACACAAUGUCCGCUCUCGCUCCAGGAGAUUCUGGUUACCAACAUGACAACGGUGGAAUCCGCGUCAUGUAGAAGUAAAUCUCAUAUUGUAAUCGUUAUGUUGGUGUAUGUUCUUUCUGCUUACUUGUAAAUGUAUAUGUAUAUUUUCUUGUUUGUUGCUUGUAAUAGUAAGUUAUGUUUGUUUCUCGUCAUAGUAGGUAUUGGCUCAUGUAUGAACUGACUCUUUGUAUGUUUUCUUGUAGUAGAAAUAGUAAGUAGUAUACCUAUAAACUAUAUCUAUUAUAGUUUACUAGGAAGGUUAUUUAACUGACUUAGUAAGUUUAUACACCUUUGCUACUGAAAGGUGAUGGAGGUGGGGUAAAAGCUUUAUAUCUAUACAUAUAUACAUAUUAUAUAACUAAGGAUCGAACACUCGAACAAACAACAGGGUACUUUAAGUCCACAACCAAACAAGGAACAUGAAUUAAAGUGAGUUAUCAGUCCUAAGUCCUUUAAACCUUACUUAUAUAACUAUAUAUGUAUUGGACAUGAUUUUGACAAUAUAUAAGUUUAAAGAAUUUAAAAGUAAAGCUUUGGCAAUUAAGACUAAGUUUUAUAAAGAGUUUAACAUGUAAAAGAAUUUGAUAAUCAUUUUGAAGUAGUUUUGUUGACAAAACAGUUAAAAGUACAGUAAAUCCAUUUGUUUAAUAGUUAUAAAUCACAUGUGAUUGAUAUUAUAACUAUAAUGAUUUAACUUGUAUACCCCCCAUAAAAGCAUUUAAAAUCAUUUAAAAGGUUGAUUAAGGGGGUAUGAACUCACUUGUAGUGAGUGGUUUGGAUGAAAGUGUUGGAUAAGGUGCUAGGUGUCAAGUGAAGACUUGAACACACACAUUGAUCCUAUUUAACAUAUAAAGGCACAUAUAUGUAUCUAAUUAGUGAUUAUACCACUAAUUAUGCAAGUAAAGACACUAUAGAACAUGGAAAACACUUUGAUUCAAGUGUUAGAAGAUCAUAUAGUUGCAUCUAAGGGUUGUAGGGUCUUUCUUUGGAGUUUACGGUCCAAGAGUAAACUCCCCAUGAGUUUACGGCCUAGGGUUUGCGGCCCUAAUGGGUUUACGGCCGUAAACCCAUGGUGAGUUCUACCAUUUGAUGUGUAAGGUCAUAUAUGUGUAUUGGGAGUGUUCUAGACUUGGUUCCAAGGCUUAGGAAAGAGUUUAUGGCCACAUUGCACCCAUUAUUAGGGUUUACGGCCAAGGGAGAUUGCCUUGGCCGUAAACUCCCUUUGUUCAUGGAUUCUUGAUGUUUUUAAGUCCUUAACUCAAUAUCCUAAACAAUAAACAUGUAAAGGAGGUAAGGACUUACGAUUUGAAGGCCAGAGAGGGGUGUUUUCGGCCCAAAACACUUUUGUGUUCUUGGUGUUCUUGAAGAUCUAGUUGAAAAGAUGGAAGUUGUGGAUGGAUUCAAGGAUGAAUCAAGAAGAAGUGAUGUAACAACACAUAAAUGGAAGGAUUUACUUACAUUUGGGAAGAUUUGAAGAAAAAUCUUGAAGAUCCUUGGGAUAGAAUCCAAUUUCUCUAGCUUGGAACGUGAAGAAUGAAUGAAAAAUGACUAAGUGUCAUGUAUAUACAAGGGGUUUACGGCCUUUAUGUGUUUACGGCCGUAAACCCACAUGGUGUGGCCAUAAACUUCACAUGAUGAUGGCUAGGUCUUUUUUAAUCGUUUACAACUUCAAUUUGACACUUCCUUUCACUUAUUCUUUUGAUGAAUUAAGCUCAGAAUGCUUAAAUAGACUCUAAACUGUGAUAAAAGUUAGCAGAAGUAAGUUUGACUAGAUUGAAAUGUAGGGUUUGUACAAGGUGGAAAUUUCGGGUUGUCACAUCAUCCCCCUGUUAGAGGGAAUUUCAUCCCGAAAUUAGAGUUUAAGCAAUAAAUAGUUAGAAAUAACUAAGCGAAAAGAUGAGGAUAUUUCAGUUUCAUUUGAUCCUCACGAUCCCAAGUGAAUUCGGGUCCUCGCUUGGCGUUCCAACGAAUCUUCACUAUUGGGAUGCGGCUUUGCUUCGUCUUCUUGACCUCACGGUCCAUGAUCUCUACAAGUUCUUCCACAAAGUUGAGGCUCUCGUUGAUCUCGAUUUUGUCGAGUGGGAUUACAAGAGUCUCGUCGGAUAGGCACUUUUUCCAAGUUCGAGAUGUGGAAAGUAGAAUGUAUGUUGCUAAGUUCGCGGGGUAGGUUGAGUUUGUAAGCUACAGGGAUGAUUCUAGCAAGAACCUUGAAAGGCCCUAUGUAUCUUGGAUUUAGCUUUCCAUGCUUUCUGAAGCGUAUCAAGCCCUUCCAGGGUGAGACUUUCAAAAGAACGCGGUCUCCCACCUGGAAUUCCAAAGGUUUCAUUCGUUUGUCUGCGUAGCUUUUCUGUCGGUCUCUAGAGGCUUUCAAUCGUUCAUGAAUCUGAAUGAUCUUCUCUGUCAUUUCCCGAAUGAUCUCCGGACCUGUGAGAGUGCUGUCAGGAACUCGUCCUUUAGCUAAUUGUGUGUCACCCACUUCAUCCCAGCAUAGAGGGGAUCUGCACUUGCGGCCAUAGAGGGCUUCAAAUAGAGCAGCCUUUAUGCUCGUGUGAUAACUGUUGUUGUAGGAAAAUUCGACAAUGGGUAAAUGAGUAUCCCAUGCCUUCCCAAAGUCAAUCACACAGGCUCUCAGCAUAUCUUCCAGUGUUUGUAUCGUUCUCUCACUUUGUCCGUCGGUCUGUGGAUGGUAUGCUGUACUCAUGUCUAGCCUCUUUCCCAGGGAAUUUUGUAGCGACUGCCAGAACCUCGAAGUGAACCUACUAUCUCUAUCAGAGAUAAUGGAUAUGGGAACACCAUGCAAUCGUACGAUUCCCCUAAUGUAAGUUCUUGUAAGCUUCUCCAUCUUGUCGGUCUCUUUUAUGGGUAAGAAAUGCGCGGAUUUGGUCAAUCUAUCGACGAUGACCCAAAUGGUAUCAAGUCCGCCCGUUGUCAUAGGCAACUUGGUUAUGAAGUCCAUAGUAAUUCGCUCCCAUUUCCACUCCAGUAUUUCUGGUUGUUUAAGUAAACCUAAUUGUUUCUGGUAUUCGACCUUAACCUUUGCGCAAGCAAGGCAUUUACUCACGAAGGUAGCAAUCUUUGCUUUCAUGUUAGGCCACCAGUAUUACUUUUUAAGAUCCAGAUACAUCUUAUCUGAACCUGGGUGGAUGGAAUAUCGAGUGUUGUGCGCCUCAGUCAUGACCAAGUCUCUGAAACCACCGUGUUUUGGUGUCCAGAUUCGGUCCAUGAGAUAAUAAACUCCGUCACCCUUGACUUCCCAGUUCUUCUCCAUCCCUCGAAGGGAUUCAUCUGCCACACUUUCGGGUUUCAAGGCUUCAAGUUGAGCCUCUUUGAUUUGUGUGGACAUAUGCGAAUGGAUAGUUAUAGUCAAUGAUUUGACUUUUCGACCAGAAUAUUCAUUCUGACUUAGGGCGUCUGCUACUAUGUUGUCUUUACCCGGAUGAUAACGAAUUUCACAUUCAUAGUCAUUGAGUAACUCGACCCACCGUCGUUGUCUCAUGUUGAGCACCUUCUGGUUGAAUAUGUGUUGCAGGCUUUUGUGGUCUGUAAAGAUGGUUCUUUUUGUAUCAUACAGGUAGUGUCUUCAGAUCUUCAGAGCAAACACAACUGCUCCUAACUCCAGAUCGUGUGUGGUGUAGUUUACUUCGUGCAUCUUCAGCUGUCUUGAGGCGUAGGCGAUAACCUUACCUUGUUGCAUGAGGACACAGCCGAGCCCUUGGUUGGAUGCAUCGCAAUAAACCACAAAGUCUUCUAUCCCUUCUGGAAGGGAUAGUAUCAGUGUAGUGCACAAGGAUCGCUUCAGCGUUUAGAACGCCUUCUCUUGUUUCUCUUACCAGUCAAUGGCCACGCCCUUCUAGGUCAAUGUUGUAAGGGGUUUUGCAAUUCGUGAGAAGUUCUGUAUGAAUCUGCGGUAGUAGCCAACGAGGCCUAGAAAUUGAAGAAUUUAUGUAGGCGUCUUUGGUGCUGACCAGUUCUCAAUGGCCUUAAUUUUGGAUGGAUCCACGUGGAUUCCCUCUUCCCUAACCACGUGUCCUAAGAAUUCGACUCUUCGGAUCCAAAAUUCGCAUUUAGAGAACUUCGCGUAGAGUUUCUCUGAUCGUAGUUUUUCUAAGAUCAGUCGCAGGUGUUUACUAUGCUCCUCCUUACUUCGAGGGUAGAUAAGUAUGUCAUCAAUGAAUACGAUGAUGAACUGAUCCAAGUAAGGAUGGCACACCCUAUUCAUUAAAUCCAUGAACACUGCAGGCACAUUUGUCAAUCCGAAUGGCAUCACUACAAACUCGUAGUGUCCGUAACGAGUUCGAAAGGCUGUCGUCGGAACAUCUUCCUCUAACACUCGCAACUGGUGAUACCCGGAUCUUAGAUCAAUCUUUGAAAAAUAAUUCACCCCUUGCAGUUGGUCAAACAAAUCGUCUAUGCAAGGCAGAGUGUAACGAUUUUUAACCGUUAAUUUGUUCAAUUCCCUGUAGUCGAUGCACAUACGGAACAAUCUGUCCUUCUUCUUCACGAAUAAGACCAGUGCUCCCCAUGGUGAGAAGCUUGGUCUUAUCAAGCCCUUGCUGAGCCGUUCGUUAGGUUGACCGGAUAGUUCCUGCAUUUCUGCUGGUGCUAGGCGAUAGGGUGAUUUGGCUACUGGGGUAGCUCCUGGAACUAAGUCGAUUCUGAACUCGACUUGUCGUUGCGGAGGUAAUGCUAGUAGUUCUUCUGGAAAGAUGUCGGGAAAGUCGCAUACUACUGGAAUGUUCUUCAGGUCUUUGGUUUCUUAGCUCGUAUCAACAACGUGUGCAAGGAAUGUGCGAUAUUCCUUACAUAAGUAUUUCUGAGCUUAAAUACUCGAGAUGAUACUAAGGCUCGUGCCCGGUUUGUCUCCGUAGAUCAACAAGGUCUCGUUAUUCGGUAGGUUUAGACGGACUGCCUUCUCGAAACACAGAAUAUCGUUAAGAUGGAGACUCAACCAGUCCAUGCCCACAAUGACAUCGAAACUUUUGAUUUCUACCUGUAUGAGGUCGAUUGGGAAUGAAUAGCUAUCUAGCGCGAGGGUACAACCUAUGUAAAUCUCGUUUGAACUCUCUGUCUUUCCGUUAGCCAUUUCUACGAUGAAAGUUUCUUUUAGUGCUUGCGUGCUUGAUUAAGUAAGUGUUUAAAUUUUUGGUUCACGAAGCUCUUUUCUGCCCUACUAUCAAAUAGGACACAUGCAUAUGAGUUAUCGAGGAGGAACGUAUCCGUGACUACUGUAGGGUCUGCCACGGCUUCAUUGUGGCCAAUAGCAAGUAGUCUCCCCGCUCCUCCCGCAUUCCCAACUUUAGGACAGUUUCUUUUGAAGUGUCCUGUCUCACCACACCCGUAGCAGGCUUGGCUUACUCCUGUACCAGGGACCUAGGUGAUGGGUUUGGGUGGUGCUUUGCAAAACCGGAUAGUAUGGCCCUUGCGGUCACAGUUGGUGCAGUGCAUUUCCCGACAGGGGCCGUUGUGAUGGAAGUUUCACUUAGUGCACUUGGGAAGGCCCCCUGCAUAUGGAUUUGUUGGUACAGGGGAAACUGGAGUCGUGGUAGCACGGAUAGCCACAACCUGUUGGUUCUUGGAAGAGGGUUAAGCUGAUUUGCCCUUCUUCCGGUCCCAACGCUUUCUCUUGUUGUCGGUCGCUUUGGUUGGCGCUGAGACAGCAGUUGUAGUAGUUAUUGUUGUUGUUGGAGGAGGAAGAGGAAUCUCGUGAUCGAUAAGCCUUUGGGCCAAUUGCUUGGCACUAUCAAAGGUUGCAGGGUUCGAGGCUAGAACGUUUCCUCGGUACGGGGGUACCAAACCCCAGAUGUAUCUCUCGACUUUCUUGCUUUCGGUGUGGAUCAUGUUGGGACAUAGAGUCACUAGGUCGCUGAAGGUGGCUGUGUAAGCUACUAUGUCGGAACCCUUUAUCUUGAGGUUCCACGGUUCCUCUUCGAGUUUCUGAACCUCGCCCCUCGUGCAGUACUCCUUUGCCAUCAGAUCCUUCAGUGUUUCCCAGCCUAUAGCGUUAGCCGCUACUCGGGAGAUUGAUUUGACAUGGCCAUUCCACCAUGUCAAGGCUCUUUCAGUGAAGGUGCAGGCAGCAAAUUUUAUCUUGCUUCCUUUAGGACAAGACCACUUCUCAAAGAUUUCCUCUGUUCUUUCUAUCCAUUGGCAUAGUGCAAUGAUCCCUCCGGUUCCGUUGAAGAACUCGAGUUUGCAGCUGAUGAAGUCUUUAUAGGUACAGUCCCGUGUACGUGGUUGGCUUUCACCAUGGUUAGAGUUGGUGCCCGUUCCAGCUCCACUGGCACCACCAAAAUUUACUUGAGUCAUGGCUGCGGCCACAACUGCAGUCACAGCAGCCUCAAACAUCACCGCAUCGAACUGCGGAGAGGGUGAUGGUGUUGGACUUUGAUUUACAGGCGUGCCUCUGGCCGGACGCUUGCGAGGCGGCAUCUUUUACUAAAACUUUAAAGAGAUGAUGAAUAAAUGAUAAGAAUCAAUUGUAAGUAUGGUGAGAGUGAUCUAUGGGCUAAAUUGCCAUAGACCAAUAGUUGAAUGAGUUUAUGUUUUGAAAUAGAGGCAUAAUAGAAGAGUACAAGAGUACAGGUUUUCCGACCGAUUAGAUAACUUUCAAUGUUACUGGUUUUACAUAUGUAAUUGGUAUGGGAAAAAUGACCUAGAAGUAGGCCUUACAUCAAACCAAGAUGGGAAAAUUUUGACAAAAGUACGACCUAAUCAAGACUUAACAGAUCCAAAGUCUUUACAAAGGUAGGAAAUUAAACUAGAGUUUUUACAUAAACUAAGUUAUAUCCAAAAGAGAGAGUUGAGUAGGCUCUAUCUACGACGAGAACCACUAGGAUGAGUCCUUGAAUCUGACAGACGGUGCUCCAUGUCUCUCAUGCGCCUUUCAGACAUUUCUUGACGAGCUCGAAGUUCCCUGACUUCAGCUUGGGAGGCAGGUAGCUGUUGCUGUAGAGCUUCAUUGGUUCUCCUAGACCUUUCCAUAGCUGUUUUGAGAUGGCGAAUGCGGACUAUGUUAACGCCCGAAGUGGCAUCAAUUUCCAUGACUCGGUCGAUGGCUGCCCGACCUUGCUCGACAUUCCGAGCAAUCCUACGGACUAUGAUGGGCAGGACUCGGUCUACUGAGCCACCCUCGCUUAGUUUGUAAAAGCUUCGGUCCCCAUUAUAGGGUAAAGGUUGACCCUAUUCAUCACUCCAACAGUUCAAGUUUGUCGCCCACAAGGGUGUGGGACCCUGAAAUGCUGGUCGGGGGUUUAGGUUUGGGACUUGUCCCUCUUGGGGUAGGUUGUUGACUUCUGGCUCGGAGUCGGAACCAUCAGAAAAGCCUUCUGUGAGGUGAUAAUCCAAAGGGAUUGGAUGGUCAUCUUCCGGCUCCUCUUCAAGCCAUCCAACAUUGCCUUGAUUAGGGAAGUACGGGUCGCCAGGAGGAUGGAAUCCAACCAUGAUAUCUACGCGAGAAAAGGGAGAUAAGAAAUCUUAUAUUAAUAGACGUACCAUUUCAGAUAAUUAUAAUAUGACCUUUAUUAGUUACUUCAAUACUUGCAUAAUGCAUACUAGUUAUAUGUAAUUGAAAUAGGAUAGACCUUCGAAUAAGUGACCCUAACUCUAAACCCACAACCAAACAAGGAGCAGGGAGUAAAGCAAAGACCACGGAUUCUCAGUCUAUGACAUCUUAGUUACAUAUAACCUUAGCAUAUCCACUUAGCAACUAUUGACCUACUAAUAAAGACCUUUUUAGUUCUCAAAUAAGAAUUUUAGUAACACAAAAUACUCCUAUAGUAUUUUAGCUUUUAUGUUUUGUUCUAUCGUUUUCAUUGUAGUAGUAUUGGUAAAUUUUUAGACUUGUUGCCGCAUCACAACCAUUCAUGGGCAUAUGCUAAUCAGUUCUCGUACCAGCAUAGUUGAUCAGGCUAUGCCACUCCCAGAACUGACCAUACAUCCCCAAGCCUACUUGUGAUAUUCAACAAUCGUAAUACUUUUGUUCUGUCUUAGUGACACUAAUUUUAGUAUGAAUGCAGGUAUGUAUACAUAGUUAAAUAUUUUAUUAUUUAAGAGUAUAAACUCUUGGUCAAAGUAUUUUAAUCCCAUUGUGUUUAUAGUUAGUAUAUCUUUUAUGGGUUGAUAUACUCAAUUCACAAUAAACAAUGCUCUGAUACCAAUCUGUCACACCCCAAAACCGGAACGACGGAAACGUUCUGGGGCGGAGGACGUCAUGUUCAGUAUCACAACAUAGAAUAAUAGUAAACGAGCAAACAACAUCGAUUGCAUUAAUAUAAUAGUUAAAUACAUGUGUGUUCCUUUAUAAAGUUUAAAUGACACCAAAAAUGUACUAUCAAAAUAUAGACGAGUCUUGGAUCCACUCCGUCCUUCAAAAGCUGCAUGGGUGUACCUGUCUUACUGGUUCCCUGAGAAUACAAGUUAUUUUGAAAGAGAGUAUCAGCAUAAAAUGCUGGUGAGUUCAUAAGUAAUUAGUGUCAUUGUUGUUGUAAAUUGUAUAUUGAAAAUGUUCACAGUAUAAGUUUAUAGUGAAAGUUUGUAAGUGUUUACUUGAAGUAAAAUGCUCGUUGUAAAUGUUUGUAAACUGGUUGCAUAAUGUUAGUAUCUUCCUAGAAAAUCCCAUAUUUUCUACUAAAUUGUAGUCUUCUACCAAGACCCAAAUGUUCGGUUUGUUUGUUAGUUUGUAAUAGUAUGUAUUUUCCCCAAUCUAACUAUUGUUAUCAAAAUAUAGGUUGUACGUUAUCGUUUAAUGAGAAAACGUUUCAAAGCAAAUGUAUUAGGGAAAACAUUAUAGAACUGUAGUUUUUUAUAUGGAAACUACCGUAGUACUACUUACUUAAAGCCUAUGGAUUAUAAGGUAAGGUGAGAUUUGUAACCAUACUAAUUGACGGUUGUAGAACACGACGAUGAAAUGCGUCGAAAUAAAAGUGACAUUUGUCACCCCUUGGCUUGGUCAGCCGGGGACUGUAGCUAACAGUCGGGGUGCGGGAUAGUCUGUCCCAUAUAGAUCUAUACACACAAUGUCCGCUCUCGCUCCAGGAGAUUCUGGUUACCAACAUGACAACGGUGGAAUCCGCGUCAUGUAGAAGUAAAUCUCAUAUUGUAAUCGUUAUGUUGGUGUAUGUUCUUUCUGCUUACUUGUAAAUGUAUAUGUAUAUUUUCUUGUUUGUUGCUUGUAAUAGUAAGUUAUGUUUGUUUCUCGUCAUAGUAGGUAUUGGCUCAUGUAUGAACUGACUCUUUGUAUGUUUUCUUGUAGUAGAAAUAGUAAGUAGUAUACCUAUAAACUAUAUCUAUUAUAGUUUACUAGGAAGGUUAUUUAACUGACUUAGUAAGUUUAUACACCUUUGCUACUGAAAGGUGAUGGAGGUGGGGUAAAAGCUUUAUAUCUAUACAUAUAUACAUAUUAUAUAACUAAGGAUCGAACACUCGAACAAACAACAGGGUACUUUAAGUCCACAACCAAACAAGGAACAUGAAUUAAAGUGAGUUAUCAGUCCUAAGUCCUUUAAACCUUACUUAUAUAACUAUAUAUGUAUUGGACAUGAUUUUGACAAUAUAUAAGUUUAAAGAAUUUAAAAGUAAAGCUUUGGCAAUUAAGACUAAGUUUUAUAAAGAGUUUAACAUGUAAAAGAAUUUGAUAAUCAUUUUGAAGUAGUUUUGUUGACAAAACAGUUAAAAGUACAGUAAAUCCAUUUGUUUAAUAGUUAUAAAUCACAUGUGAUUGAUAUUAUAACUAUAAUGAUUUAACUUGUAUACCCCCCAUAAAAGCAUUUAAAAUCAUUUAAAAGGUUGAUUAAGGGGGUAUGAACUCACUUGUAGUGAGUGGUUUGGAUGAAAGUGUUGGAUAAGGUGCUAGGUGUCAAGUGAAGACUUGAACACACACAUUGAUCCUAUUUAACAUAUAAAGGCACAUAUAUGUAUCUAAUUAGUGAUUAUACCACUAAUUAUGCAAGUAAAGACACUAUAGAACAUGGAAAACACUUUGAUUCAAGUGUUAGAAGAUCAUAUAGUUGCAUCUAAGGGUUGUAGGGUCUUUCUUUGGAGUUUACGGUCCAAGAGUAAACUCCCCAUGAGUUUACGGCCUAGGGUUUGCGGCCCUAAUGGGUUUACGGCCGUAAACCCAUGGUGAGUUCUACCAUUUGAUGUGUAAGGUCAUAUAUGUGUAUUGGGAGUGUUCUAGACUUGGUUCCAAGGCUUAGGAAAGAGUUUAUGGCCACAUUGCACCCAUUAUUAGGGUUUACGGCCAAGGGAGAUUGCCUUGGCCGUAAACUCCCUUUGUUCAUGGAUUCUUGAUGUUUUUAAGUCCUUAACUCAAUAUCCUAAACAAUAAACAUGUAAAGGAGGUAAGGACUUACGAUUUGAAGGCCAGAGAGGGGUGUUUUCGGCCCAAAACACUUUUGUGUUCUUGGUGUUCUUGAAGAUCUAGUUGAAAAGAUGGAAGUUGUGGAUGGAUUCAAGGAUGAAUCAAGAAGAAGUGAUGUAACAACACAUAAAUGGAAGGAUUUACUUACAUUUGGGAAGAUUUGAAGAAAAAUCUUGAAGAUCCUUGGGAUAGAAUCCAAUUUCUCUAGCUUGGAACGUGAAGAAUGAAUGAAAAAUGACUAAGUGUCAUGUAUAUACAAGGGGUUUACGGCCUUUAUGUGUUUACGGCCGUAAACCCACAUGGUGUGGCCAUAAACUUCACAUGAUGAUGGCUAGGUCUUUUUUAAUCGUUUACAACUUCAAUUUGACACUUCCUUUCACUUAUUCUUUUGAUGAAUUAAGCUCAGAAUGCUUAAAUAGACUCUAAACUGUGAUAAAAGUUAGCAGAAGUAAGUUUGACUAGAUUGAAAUGUAGGGUUUGUACAAGGUGGAAAGUUCGGGUUGUCACAUCAUCCCCCUGUUAGAGGGAAUUUCAUCCCGAAAUUAGAGUUUAAGCAAUAAAUAGUUAGAAAUAACUAAGCGAAAAGAUGAGGAUAUUUCAGUUUCAUUUGAUCCUCACGAUCCCAAGUGAAUUCGGGUCCUCGCUUGGCGUUCCAACGAAUCUUCACUAUUGGGAUGCGGCUUUGCUUCGUCUUCUUGACCUCACGGUCCAUGAUCUCUACAAGUUCUUCCACAAAGUUGAGGCUCUCGUUGAUCUCGAUUUUGUCGAGUGGGAUUACAAGAGUCUCGUCGGAUAGGCACUUUUUCCAAGUUCGAGAUGUGGAAAGUAGAAUGUAUGUUGCUAAGUUCGCGGGGUAGGUUGAGUUUGUAAGCUACAGGGAUGAUUCUAGCAAGAACCUUGAAAGGCCCUAUGUAUCUUGGAUUUAGCUUUCCAUGCUUUCUGAAGCGUAUCAAGCCCUUCCAGGGUGAGACUUUCAAAAGAACGCAGUCUCCCACCUGGAAUUCCAAAGGUUUCAUUCGUUUGUCUGCGUAGCUUUUCUGUCGGUCUCUAGAGGCUUUCAAUCGUUCAUGAAUCUGAAUGAUCUUCUCUGUCAUUUCCCGAAUGAUCUCCGGACCUGUGAGAGUGCUGUCAGGAACUCGUCCUUUAGCUAAUUGUGUGUCACCCACUUCAUCCCAGCAUAGAGGGGAUCUGCACUUGCGGCCAUAGAGGGCUUCAAAUAGAGCAGCCUUUAUGCUCGUGUGAUAACUGUUGUUGUAGGAAAAUUCGACAAUGGGUAAAUGAGUAUCCCAUGCCUUCCCAAAGUCAAUCACACAGGCUCUCAGCAUAUCUUCCAGUGUUUGUAUCGUUCUCUCACUUUGUCCGUCGGUCUGUGGAUGGUAUGCUGUACUCAUGUCUAGCCUCUUUCCCAGGGAAUUUUGUAGCGACUGCCAGAACCUCGAAGUGAACCUACUAUCUCUAUCAGAGAUAAUGGAUAUGGGAACACCAUGCAAUCGUACGAUUCCCCUAAUGUAAGUUCUUGUAAGCUUCUCCAUCUUGUCGGUCUCUUUUAUGGGUAAGAAAUGCGCGGAUUUGGUCAAUCUAUCGACGAUGACCCAAAUGGUAUCAAGUCCGCCCGUUGUCAUAGGCAACUUGGUUAUGAAGUCCAUAGUAAUUCGCUCCCAUUUCCACUCCAGUAUUUCUGGUUGUUUAAGUAAACCUAAUUGUUUCUGGUAUUCGACCUUAACCUUUGCGCAAGCAAGGCAUUUACUCACGAAGGUAGCAAUCUUUGCUUUCAUGUUAGGCCACCAGUAUAACUUUUUAAGAUCCAGAUACAUCUUAUCUGAACCUGGGUGGAUGGAAUAUCGAGUGUUGUGCGCCUCAGUCAUGACCAAGUCUCUGAAACCACCGUGUUUUGGUGUCCAGAUUCGGUCCAUGAGAUAAUAAACUCCGUCACCCUUGACUUCCCAGUUCUUCUCCAUCCCUCGAAGGGAUUCAUCUGCCACACUUUCGGGUUUCAAGGCUUCAAGUUGAGCCUCUUUGAUUUGUGUGGACAUAUGCGAAUGGAUAGUUAUAGUCAAUGAUUUGACUUUUCGACCAGAAUAUUCUUUCUGACUUAGGGUGUCUGCUACUAUGUUGGCUUUACCCGGAUGAUAACGAAUUUCACAUUCAUAGUCAUUGAGUAACUCGACCCACCGUCGUUGUCUCAUGUUGAGCACCUUCUGGUUGAAUAUGUGUUGCAGGCUUUUGUGGUCUGUAAAGAUGGUGCUUUUUGUAUCAUACAGGUAGUGUCUCCAGAUCUUCAGAGCAAACACAACUGCUCCUAACUCCAGAUCGUGUGUGGUGUAGUUUACUUCGUGCAUCUUCAGCUGUCUUGAGGCGUAGGCGAUAACCUUACCUUGUUGCAUGAGGACACAGCCGAGCCCUUGGUUGGAUGCAUCGCAAUAAACCACAAAGUCUUCUAUCCCUUCUGGAAGGGAUAGUAUCAGUGUAGUGCACAAGGAUCGCUUCAGCGUUUAGAACGCCUUCUCUUGUUUCUCUUACCAGUCAAUGGCCACGCCCUUCUAGGUCAAUGUUGUAAGGGGUUUUGCAAUUCGUGAGAAGUUCUGUAUGAAUCUGCGGUAGUAGCCAACGAGGCCUAGAAAUUGAAGAAUUUAUGUAGGCGUCUUUGGUGCUGACCAGUUCUCAAUGGCCUUAAUUUUGGAUGGAUCCACGUGGAUUCCCUCUUCCCUAACCACGUGUCCUAAGAAUUCGACUCUUCGGAUCCAAAAUUCGCAUUUAGAGAACUUCGCGUAGAGUUUCUCUGAUCGUAGUUUUUCUAAGAUCAGUCGCAGGUGUUUACUAUGCUCCUCCUUACUUCGAGGGUAGAUAAGUAUGUCAUCAAUGAAUACGAUGAUGAACUGAUCCAAGUAAGGAUGGCACACCCUAUUCAUUAAAUCCAUGAACACUGCAGGCACAUUUGUCAAUCCGAAUGGCAUCACUACAAACUCGUAGUGUCCGUAACGAGUUCGAAAGGCUGUCGUCGGAACAUCUUCCUCUAACACUCGCAACUGGUGAUACCCGGAUCUUAGAUCAAUCUUUGAAAAAUAAUUCACCCCUUGCAGUUGGUCAAACAAAUCGUCUAUGCAAGGCAGAGUGUAACGAUUUUUAACCGUUAAUUUGUUCAAUUCCCUGUAGUCGAUGCACAUACGGAACAAUCUGUCCUUCUUCUUCACGAAUAAGACCAGUGCUCCCCAUGGUGAGAAGCUUGGUCUUAUCAAGCCCUUGCUGAGCCGUUCGUUAGGUUGACCGGAUAGUUCCUGCAUUUCUGCUGGUGCUAGGCGAUAGGGUGAUUUGGCUACUGGGGUAGCUCCUGGAACUAAGUCGAUUCUGAACUCGACUUGUCGUUGCGGAGGUAAUGCUAGUAGUUCUUCUGGAAAGAUGUCGGGAAAGUCGCAUACUACUGGAAUGUUCUUCAGGUCUUUGGUUUCUUAGCUCGUAUCAACAACGUGUGCAAGGAAUGUGCGAUAUUCCUUACAUAAGUAUUUCUGAGCUUAAAUACUCGAGAUGAUACUAAGGCUCGUGCCCGGUUUGUCUCCGUAGAUCAACAAGGUCUCGUUAUUCGGUAGGUUUAGACGGACUGCCUUCUCGAAACACAGAAUAUCGUUAAGAUGGAGACUCAACCAGUCCAUGCCCACAAUGACAUCGAAACUUUUGAUUUCUACCUGUAUGAGGUCGAUUGGGAAUGAAUAGCUAUCUAGCGCGAGGGUACAACCUAUGUAAAUCUCGUUUGAACUCUCUGUCUUUCCGUUAGCCAUUUCUACGAUGAAAGUUUCUUUUAGUGCUUGCGUGCUUGAUUAAGUAAGUGUUUAAAUUUUUGGUUCACGAAGCUCUUUUCUGCCCUACUAUCAAAUAGGACACAUGCAUAUGAGUUAUCGAGGAGGAACGUAUCCGUGACUACUGUAGGGUCUGCCACGGCUUCAUUGUGGCCAAUAGCAAGUAGUCUCCCCGCUCCUCCCGCAUUCCCAACUUUAGGACAGUUUCUUUUGAAGUGUCCUGUCUCACCACACCCGUAGCAGGCUUGGCUUACUCCUGUACCAGGGACCUAGGUGAUGGGUUUGGGUGGUGCUUUGCAAAACCGGAUAGUAUGGCCCUUGCGGUCACAGUUGGUGCAGUGCAUUUCCCGACAGGGGCCGUUGUGAUGGAAGUUUCACUUAGUGCACUUGGGAAGGCCCCCUGCAUAUGGAUUUGUUGGUACAGGGGAAACUGGAGUCGUGGUAGCACGGAUAGCCACAACCUGUUGGUUCUUGGAAGAGGGUUAAGCUGAUUUGCCCUUCUUCCGGUCCCAACGCUUUCUCUUGUUGUCGGUCGCUUUGGUUGGCGCUGAGACAGCAGUUGUAGUAGUUAUUGUUGUUGUUGGAGGAGGAAGAGGAAUCUCGUGAUCGAUAAGCCUUUGGGCCAAUUGCUUGGCACUAUCAAAGGUUGCAGGGUUCGAGGCUAGAACGUUUCCUCGGUACGGGGGUACCAAACCCCAGAUGUAUCUCUCGACUUUCUUGCUUUCGGUGUGGAUCAUGUUGGGACAUAGAGUCACUAGGUCGCUGAAGGUGGCUGUGUAAGCUACUAUGUCGGAACCCUUUAUCUUGAGGUUCCACGGUUCCUCUUCGAGUUUCUGAACCUCGCCCCUCGUGCAGUACUCCUUUGCCAUCAGAUCCUUCAGUGUUUCCCAGCCUAUAGCGUUAGCCGCUACUCGGGAGAUUGAUUUGACAUGGCCAUUCCACCAUGUCAAGGCUCUUUCAGUGAAGGUGCAGGCAGCAAAUUUUAUCUUGCUUCCUUUAGGACAAGACCACUUCUCAAAGAUUUCCUCUGUUCUUUCUAUCCAUUGGCAUAGUGCAAUGAUCCCUCCGGUUCCGUUGAAGAACUCGAGUUUGCAGCUGAUGAAGUCUUUAUAGGUACAGUCCCGUGUACGUGGUUGGCUUUCACCAUGGUUAGAGUUGGUGCCCGUUCCAGCUCCACUGGCACCACCAAAAUUUACUUGAGUCAUGGCUGCGGCCACAACUGCAGUCACAGCAGCCUCAAACAUCACCGCAUCGAACUGCGGAGAGGGUGAUGGUGUUGGACUUUGAUUUACAGGCGUGCCUCUGGCCGGACGCUUGCGAGGCGGCAUCUUUUACUAAAACUUUAAAGAGAUGAUGAAUAAAUGAUAAGAAUCAAUUGUAAGUAUGGUGAGAGUGAUCUAUGGGCUAAAUUGCCAUAGACCAAUAGUUGAAUGAGUUUAUGUUUUGAAAUAGAGGCAUAAUAGAAGAGUACAAGAGUACAGGUUUUCCGACCGAUUAGAUAACUUUCAAUGUUACUGGUUUUACAUAUGUAAUUGGUAUGGGAAAAAUGACCUAGAAGUAGGCCUUACAUCAAACCAAGAUGGGAAAAUUUUGACAAAAGUACGACCUAAUCAAGACUUAACAGAUCCAAAGUCUUUACAAAGGUAGGAAAUUAAACUAGAGUUUUUACAUAAACUAAGUUAUAUCCAAAAGAGAGAGUUGAGUAGGCUCUAUCUACGACGAGAACCACUAGGAUGAGUCCUUGAAUCUGACAGACGGUGCUCCAUGUCUCUCAUGCGCCUUUCAGACAUUUCUUGACGAGCUCGAAGUUCCCUGACUUCAGCUUGGGAGGCAGGUAGCUGUUGCUGUAGAGCUUCAUUGGUUCUCCUAGACCUUUCCAUAGCUGUUUUGAGAUGGCGAAUGCGGACUAUGUUAACGCCCGAAGUGGCAUCAAUUUCCAUGACUCGGUCGAUGGCUGCCCGACCUUGCUCGACAUUCCGAGCAAUCCUACGGACUAUGAUGGGCAGGACUCGGUCUACUGAGCCACCCUCGCUUAGUUUGUAAAAGCUUCGGUCCCCAUUAUAGGGUAAAGGUUGACCCUAUUCAUCACUCCAACAGUUCAAGUUUGUCGCCCACAAGGGUGUGGGACCCUGAAAUGCUGGUCGGGGGUUUAGGUUUGGGACUUGUCCCUCUUGGGGUAGGUUGUUGACUUCUGGCUCGGAGUCGGAACCAUCAGAAAAGCCUUCUGUGAGGUGAUAAUCCAAAGGGAUUGGAUGGUCAUCUUCCGGCUCCUCUUCAAGCCAUCCAACAUUGCCUUGAUUAGGGAAGUACGGGUCGCCAGGAGGAUGGAAUCCAACCAUGAUAUCUACGCGAGAAAAGGGAGAUAAGAAAUCUUAUAUUAAUAGACGUACCAUUUCAGAUAAUUAUAAUAUGACCUUUAUUAGUUACUUCAAUACUUGCAUAAUGCAUACUAGUUAUAUGUAAUUGAAAUAGGAUAGACCUUCGAAUAAGUGACCCUAACUCUAAACCCACAACCAAACAAGGAGCAGGGAGUAAAGCAAAGACCACGGAUUCUCAGUCUAUGACAUCUUAGUUACAUAUAACCUUAGCAUAUCCACUUAGCAACUAUUGACCUACUAAUAAAGACCUUUUUAGUUCUCAAAUAAGAAUUUUAGUAACACAAAAUACUCCUAUAGUAUUUUAGCUUUUAUGUUUUGUUCUAUCGUUUUCAUUGUAGUAGUAUUGGUAAAUUUUUAGACUUGUUGCCGCAUCACAACCAUUCAUGGGCAUAUGCUAAUCAGUUCUCGUACCAGCAUAGUUGAUCAGGCUAUGCCACUCCCAGAACUGACCAUACAUCCCCAAGCCUACUUGUGAUAUUCAACAAUCGUAAUACUUUUGUUCUGUCUUAGUGACACUAAUUUUAGUAUGAAUGCAGGUAUGUAUACAUAGUUAAAUAUUUUAUUAUUUAAGAGUAUAAACUCUUGGUCAAAGUAUUUUAAUCCCAUUGUGUUUAUAGUUAGUAUAUCUUUUAUGGGUUGAUAUACUCAAUUCACAAUAAACAAUGCUCUGAUACCAAUCUGUCACACCCCAAAACCGGAACGACGGAAACGUUCUGGGGCGGAGGACGUCAUGUUCAGUAUCACAACAUAGAAUAAUAGUAAACGAGCAAACAACAUCGAUUGCAUUAAUAUAAUAGUUAAAUACAUGUGUGUUCCUUUAUAAAGUUUAAAUGACACCAAAAAUGUACUAUCAAAAUAUAGACGAGUCUUGGAUCCACUCCGUCCUUCAAAAGCUGCAUGGGUGUACCUGUCUUACUGGUUCCCUGAGAAUACAAGUUAUUUUGAAAGAGAGUAUCAGCAUAAAAUGCUGGUGAGUUCAUAAGUAAUUAGUGUCAUUGUUGUUGUAAAUUGUAUAUUGAAAAUGUUCACAGUAUAAGUUUAUAGUGAAAGUUUGUAAGUGUUUACUUGAAGUAAAAUGCUCGUUGUAAAUGUUUGUAAACUGGUUGCAUAAUGUUAGUAUCUUCCUAGAAAAUCCCAUAUUUUCUACUAAAUUGUAGUCUUCUACCAAGACCCAAAUGUUCGGUUUGUUUGUUAGUUUGUAAUAGUAUGUAUUUUCCCCAAUCUAACUAUUGUUAUCAAAAUAUAGGUUGUACGUUAUCGUUUAAUGAGAAAACGUUUCAAAGCAAAUGUAUUAGGGAAAACAUUAUAGAACUGUAGUUUUUUAUAUGGAAACUACCGUAGUACUACUUACUUAAAGCCUAUGGAUUAUAAGGUAAGGUGAGAUUUGUAACAUACUGAUUGACGGUUGUAGAACACGACGAUGAAAUGCGUCGAAAUAAAAGUGACAUUUGUCACCCCUUGGCUUGGUCAGCCGGGGACUGUAGCUAACAGUCGGGGUGCGGGAUAGUCUGUCCCAUAUAGAUCUAUACACACAAUGUCCGCUCUCGCUCCAGGAGAUUCUGGUUACCAACAUGACAACGGUGGAAUCCGCGUCAUGUAGAAGUAAAUCUCAUAUUGUAAUCGUUAUGUUGGUGUAUGUUCUUUCUGCUUACUUGUAAAUGUAUAUGUAUAUUNUUUGAAAUUGCCCUCACCUCAACAAGUGUCAACUAGUCCUUUUUCAAGAACCAAAGCCUCCUUUAUAUAGUGUGGUGGAUUAGGUUAAACCCUAAAACCCAUGUCUCUUCAUUUCCAUGAGAUCCAUGGGUUAAAGCUCCAUGGAGUAUCCAUGGACUUUUCCAUCCAAGCCUAGCCCAUUCCAAAUGAGCAUUAGCCCACACAAUAUAAAUAUAGAAGCCCAUAUUUAAUUAGUAAUAUCUUUGAUCACUAAAUUAAUCCUAGAUUAAUUAUAGAUCACUACUAAUUAAAUAAUAUGAUCUUAUAUUAAUACAUUAGAACUUAUAAUAUAUUAAUAAAUCAUAACUUGUACUAUUCUCAAAUAUUAUCCAUAAACUGUUCGGGUGAAGUGCAACCCAAAUGGACCAUGCCGGGUUGGGUCAAGUACAUACCAAAUAUAGUUAUGAACUUAGACACUAUAUCCAACAAUUAUAACUAUAAUGAUUCAACUUGUAUAACCCCCCCACAUAAAAGCAUUUAAAAUCAUUUAAAAGGUUAAUUAAGGGGGUAUG
rnacentral:lncRNA from 1 species